UUGAAGAACAUGAGCAGUUUGCGUGUGCUUGUUCUGCGAGCCAACAGAUUCCAUGGACCCAUUGGAUGUCCAAAUAGCAAUUCCACCUGGCCAAUGCUUCAAAUCGUUGACCUAGCUUACAACAAUUUUAGUGGUAAAUUGCCGGCAAAAGGCUUCUUAACCUGGAAAGCAAUGAUGGCUAGUGAAGAUGAAGUCCAAUCAAAGCUAAAUCACAUACAAUUUAAGAUCCUAGAAUUCAGUGAAUUGUAUUAUCAGGACGCUGUAACAGUCACCAGCAAAGGUCAAGAAAUGGAGCUUGUGAAGGUCCUAACUCUCUUCACUUCCAUUGACUUCUCCUCCAACAAAUUUGAAGGCCAGAUACCAGAAGAGAUGGGAAACUUCAUAUCACUAUAUGUCCUCAACUUAUCUGGUAAUGGUUUCACAGGCCAAAUCCCAUCAUCAAUGGGGCAGCUGAGACAGCUCGAGUCAUUAGACCUCUCACGCAACCAUCUGAGUGGGAAGAUCCCCACAGAGCUUGUGAGCCUAACUUUCCUUUCAGUCCUGGACCUCUCCUUCAAUCAGUUAGUGGGGGCAAUCCCAAGCGGUAAUCAAUUUCAAACAUUUUCAGAAGCUUCUUUCCAAGUGAACAAAGGAUUGUGUGGGCAACCUUUGAAUGUAAAUUGCGAAGAGGAUACACCACCACCGACAUUUGAUGACAGGCACUCAGCUUCCCGUAUGGAGAUUAAGUGGGAAUACAUAGCUCCUGAAAUUGGAUUUGUGACAGGAUUGGGAAUCGUGAUUUGGCCUCUAGUGUUUUGCAGGAGAUGGAGGCAAUGCUACUACAAACGUGUUGAUAGAAUUCUUUCAAGGAUUCUCCAUCACCAAGACCAAAGAGCAAGUGGUGGAAGAAGAGCUCACAGAAUUCGGAGGCGGAGAAUGUAGCAGUGGUGCAGAGGGAUUUAGUUACCAGUCAGAGUCUAUUUCCAUUAAUGAAAAAGUUGUAUAUUUAGGUUUGAUUUCUAUAAAUUUCUGGUGAGUGCAUAACUUUAUAUUUGGACUGUGUAAUGGGGAAGAUUUUUGAGGAUCAUAAGAAUUUGAUUUUCCGAAUGACGUUACUCCCAGCUUUUAGUGAUGCAAGUAUGAAGGUGCUUCUCUAAAAUAUUAUAUAAAUAAUUUUUUUUUGAUUUAUUAAAGAAUUUACAUUCUGAAACCAGUCCAUCUAAGAAAUUUGAAACUCUAUUAAUUUUUUCUUUUUUCUUUUUUAAAAACAAAGCUAUGGAAAAAGUUCGAAAAUGAGAUCCAAUUUAUAUAUAUAUACCCUGGUUAUUAACAAUUCUUUUGAUUUGUCCUUGGAGGUCUGAGAGGCCUAAACUUGUGAAUUGUCUUAAAUACUUAAUUUCCUUUCUAUACUGUCUAACUUCAUCAUGAAGCUCCUUAAUGCUUAUUUCCUUGGGAGACCGCUGGUCAAACCUGUUUAAGAUUUCAUUAAGGUUAUAAGGAUUUACAGUCUUCUUAGUUUCUGGCUUAACAACUGAUUUCUUAAAAACUUCAUAAAGAUCUUGCUUAGUUUUUUCAUCCUCAAUUUUCCUUAAAAUAUCUAGGACAAGUUCUUGAUCUUGGCUUAUGACAUUCAUGGUCUUAGGACGACAAUUACAAUUACCCUUAAUACACUCUUCUUGGUCACUAGAAGAUUGGCUAGAAACUUCACAACUACUGUCUAGUUGAUUAACAUCAUCUUCAUUAUUUGAAUCAGUCCUUGAUUCAAAAUCUGUGGAGUUUAACAUUACUUUACAAAGCAUAUCUUUGAGGUCUUCUGAGACAUUUAAGUUAUUAAUUUUUUGCUUAACUCUACAAUCUUUCUUAUAGUGGCCAACCUUGUCACACUUAAAACAUAUAAUUAGGUUGGAUUCUAAAGGGGCUUUUACCUUUUUCUGAGCUUCUUUGUUGAUCCUUUUUUGGACUUGUCUUGAAUGCUUAGUUUCAUUCAUCCUAUAGUUACCAUAGAUUCCUCUCUUACUAUGGUAAAACUUAUCUUUGCUAGCCUGCUUGUUUUUUGCUUAGAGGGAGGCUUAGUUUCUUUUUGGCUGAAACCAAAUUGGCUACACAAUGACCCAAAUUCAUUCUUGUAGAUCAUUUGUUCAUUCUUCAUUUGUUGCUUAAGCUUAAAGUCAUUGCACAACUUAAUACCUUCAACUAUGACUAUGCUUAUAAUCUCACCAUAGGUUAGCUUAUCAUAAGGGAUUUGACCAUUAUGUUGUUCCCUUAUCUUAAUCCUAAUUCUCUUAGAGAAAAGUUUAGGUAGACCUGAGAUGAAUUUUUCUUUCCAAAAAGACUGAUUACAGUUUGAUCUUAGUAUGACUUUGGUUAGGAAUACUUCCUUAUACCACCUAAAGUCAUGAAGCUUAGGACAUUUAAGGUUGGUUAAGAGAUAUGUAGUCUUAUCCUUAAUUUUUGUAGGAUCUCCAAUGAAGUGCUUGGAUAUUGAAUAGAUUAGAGUAGCCACUGCAUCCUCUAUAUCUUGGCCAUCUUUGUCCUUAACAACUUCAUUAUUUUCAUUAAUCCUAUAGGCUUUUAGGAUACUAUUUCUAUCCUCAAAAGUGAGAUAGUUAUCCCACCAACCCUUAAGCUGACCUGUAAACCCAACAACAAUUGUCUGAGCUACAGUAUGGUCAGGUAGUCUAUUGUUUAAUUUAUAGGUUAUACUAAUCAUGGUCAUUUCUUGAAGCUUAGUGAGUAUGUUAUACUCGGUCAUACCGUCUAUGUUCCAUUCAUAGAUAGUACCACUGGUGUAUGAGGCUUGAGUAUACUGAUUCAUUUCCUCAAAUUGCAUGUCAGGAAAAGUAGGUCUAGGGUAAUAAUUCCUAGUCUUAAAGGCUUCCAGAUUGUUGAUACUUUUUGAAACAACUUGAUUAUGGGGUUCCUCAAAUAUUUUGAUUAGUUCAUCAACUUCUUCUUCUGAACUAAUAUCUCCCUUAACCAUAUUGAUUCUCUUAAGGGGCUGAACUGUCAAAGGAGCAACAAUAUUAUCCUUAAUCUUCUGGUUAAUCCUAUCAACAAAAGCUUGGUUAAUUUGGGGAUUUUCUUGGAAUUCCUUAGAGAAUUCAUAAGGCUUGGUAUUAGUCUUAUCAAUGCUAUCACUAGUAGCCCAUAUCUUACGCUUACAGGGAUAGUCUGGAUAUUCCUCUUAUUUGAAGAGUUCAAACCAAAUCCAAAACUUAAUGUUUUUCUUUUCUUGUCUUAAGUAAGCAUAUAAUUCUUCUUGGUAGAGGGUUCUAAUGUCUUUAGGGACAGUGCUAAAGAACCAAUAUUUCCUCUGCUUAUUGACUUCAGAAUAGAAGUCUUUUCUUAAGAGAUCCUUGUUGAUCUCAAAGUCCUUAUCACUUAGGCUUAUAGUGUUAAUCAUCUGGGAAUAUGUAGGAGACAUAACAGGGGACUCAUCCUGUUGUGAUUCCUGAGUAGACUCAUUUUCCUUUGUGUAAAACGGUCUGGCCAUGUUGGUGUGACUUUUAACACCUGUUAGCUUAAUGUUCUUAGGAUUUGCUGAGCUGGAACCUUCUUCUUCUCUAGUGGUUCUAACUAGGAUAGAAGAGCUUGAAGCUUUAGAGGGUUCAUAAACUGAAACUCUAGGGCUGCUAGAAUGACGGAAAGAGUUAGAGAAAAUCAGAUCUCCUUCUCCAUCAGGAUAUUGAACAAUAUGUUCAAUCCUUUGAGAUCUCUAUUCUAUGGUUGGAACGACAUUAGCAAAAUGCCAAUUUUCAAGAAACUCAAAAUCUCUCCACAAGAUCUUUUUGGGGAUUAUGAAGUUUGACUUAUCUAGCAUAUCAGAGUAGAAGAGAGUAGUCUCUCCCUUAGGAUUGGUGCACAAAGCUUCAGAUCCAACACUUAUGGUCAUGCUUUUAUAGGCAAACCUAGUUAUGAUGGAAACAAGACUGUUUCCUGGUUUGAACUUAAAACCAUGGGUCUUAACAUGAAGGACAAUCGAAUCUAAGAUGUCGACAUCUCUUAAUUUAACUGUGAAGUUAGGGAAACACUGGAAGUAAACUGGGCUAUCAUUCAGUCCAGCUUAGACUGACCUAUAUAUAUAUAUUAAAUAAAAAAAAAUUUGUUCUGCCCAUGUGCGGACAAGCUUCUUAUUCAAAACUAUAGUCUAUAGCCCUGUUAAAAGUGCCCAAAAUAAACUUCUAAUUUGGGAGAUUAACAAAGUAUUCAAACUAAGUAGGAGAUGGUUUAGAUAUUUUGGCUGGAUGUGAGCUUGAGUUGGAUUAAACUUGGUUGGCUGGAUUUGGGUUGUUAAAAAAAUAUGGGCCUGAUUGGUACAUGAUAAGACUAACCGAGGUAGCUAGGCCCAUAUUCAGCCCAAUCAACACAUUUGAAGCCAUAAGGGAUUUAAGAUUCAUAUACACAUAAUUAUUAGACUAGGUGAUAAGAUGGCUGCCCAUCUACUUAUAAAAGUUUCAUCAUGAGGAUUUCAUAUUAAAAAAAAUUUUGAAAAAAAAUAAAGUUUGUGAAGAAUGACCAAUCGGAUAUAGUAUUCGUGAUUUUUUUUUAUGAUAAAAAAAAAUUUAAUAUAGUUACCCGUAUAGAAUACAUUUCAAAUUUAUCAUAUCUUUGUUUCUGGUUCUGAGUUUGUGUAAAUUCAAUUGCUAAUUUUAAUUUGAAAGGAUUGAUCUCCUUCAAAUUUUAUAAUGAAGUUGUGAUAUAUAAGUCCAAUUACUAAUCCAAGGAAAGGGGAUAUUAAAAAAAAGUAAAAUUAAACAACGAUCCCACCACUUUUACCAAGGUAAUGAAUUAUGUUUUUUAGGGGUCCCAUCAAAGAACAGACUUUAAAAUAGUGAAUUUUUUGGAAUAUUAGAUCUUUUGUACACGCUCGUCUUUGUCAUAUUUCUGUCUUCCAAUUACAUUAGAUCAUGAAAAAAAAGGAGUUUAGAACUUAACCCCUAUUCCUUUUUUUCCAUCUUACUUCUUUUUUUGGGUUUAUAAUCAAUGGAAGUGGAAAAGCCAUUAGAUGAUUCUUAAUUUGAUAAUUGUCUAAGAAAGACAAUAGGUUAUAGAAAAAAAGUGGAUAAAUAAAGGAAUUAUUGAGCAGAUCACGAAUAAAAUUUUUGAGUUGGUAUGGAUAAAAGAUCUUCCUAUGGUAUACUAUCCAAUUUUCAAUAAUAAGUUAUUGAAAUUAUUUAUUCCUAGCUCUAGUAGGAAGUCGAUUUGAGUCACAUACAUCACUAUCACUAUGUAUUAAUUCUAGUAAUUUAGAAUUUCUCACUAUAGGUUUAUAAGGUUUCCUAGGUUGUUUUGUUUGUGUACAUAUUUCAUAUUUAUGUUUCUAUAUUUGCUUUAGGAAUUAAUUUGAGAUCCAUUAAUCUUUUCAACUUUCCUAGGCUCACAUGUCUUAAUGAUUGGAGCCAAAAUAUGUGCUCUAAUGGCACAUAUUCGAUAUGAUUUGUGCACCAAAGGACAUUCAAAUCACCCAACUUGACCUAAAUCAAUGCUAAGGCCCUAGCCAUGGGUUUAAUCUAUACUUUGGAGAUUUAUCUCAGGUUCAAGGGAAGAAAAUUGUGCAAAUUGAAUGACUUUAGAUUUUGAAAGAUCAAGAAAGGGCUAAAUGAGGAAAUAAGUGAGUCAAGAUUCAUCGAAUGCAAGGAAAGGCAAAACAAGGAUAUCAUGAGGUUGGAGGAUGAUAAAUGACCAUUAUGGAGUAAGAAAGAAGGCAAGAAAGAAUGGGAAAUGAGGCAUGAAGCAAUAUUUAGUUGCAUGGAAAUUUAGAACUCAAAAAUCUGAUGGCAUUAUAUACUUUGACUUUGAGGACAAAUUUGGAGCACUUUCUGGAGUCCAUUAUAUACAUACUAUAUAUCGUUUCGAAGAUCAGGAAGUCAGGAGUCCAACACUUCAAACGGUUUGCAAAUCGGAGCUGAAAUGAAGAAGUUAUGGCCAUUUGAAGACAACUGCACCAAGUUGGAGGGUCAUUUCGAAAUUCAACUUAUGAUUUCGAAAUUCAACUUAUGAAUUCGAAAUCCACUUCGAAAUGACACCAAUUCCGAAUUCACCCACUGCCACUUUGAUGUUCCGCCUCCUCUACCUCGGGAAUUGCAUCUAAAGCACUCCAUCCGCCCUAGGUGGACCCCACAUGACUAGGAAUUACAAUUUUAUUAUUUUUUAAUCAUUUUUAGGAAAUUAUUUUGUAAUAAGUGGCCAAUGAGAGUGUGCCACAUGUUAGGUAAGUGAGGAUAUUAUAUAAACUCUCUCAAUUCUAGGUUUUAGGCAUCUUGGAUCUUGGAUUUUUUUUUCUGGAGUUUUUGACAUUGAAGGAGGAAAAAGACGAGAACUUUGGUUUGUUUUCUUUUUCUUCUUUAUUGAAUAUAUUGUUUUUAGUUUAUUUUGAUUCAAAUUAUGGAUUUCUACCCUACUAUGGAUUGUGAAUGUGACAUCACCCCCAUGAGAGGCUAAGAGCCAACUUGGGGCUUGAAGCAUGAAAACCUAAGGGCUAGGAAACCUAUAGGGACAAUGGGUAAAUUACUAUAACAAUGAGAUUAAUUAUUGGUUGGGUGACAAUUUAUUAUAUUUUUUUAUCCUAUCCUUGUGAGUUCGUUUAGGGAAUGAUACGAUAGGUUAUUACUUGAUACUAGUGAUUCUUGGUAAUUCUUGAUCAUUAGUUAUCCUCGUUUUCCCUACCGUUAUUUGCCCCUAAACAAAGCUAUAAGGAGUAGGAAGGGUUAAAAAGCCAAAUCUUAAAUUGAUAAUCAAUCUCAUUCAUUUGAUGGUUUUAGGAAUUUGUUUGAAAAAGGAAAAAUUAGGUUUCGGAUGCAAUUUUGAGUUAUAGAACCCAACUUGAUCGCGAGUGGCCAAGGAUCCCAAAACCCUAAGAUCAUAUUACUUAAAAUACCCUUGUUUUCUAUAAUUUCUAUACCCUAGGUUGGAUUGUGGAAAACCCCAAACUUGAAUCAAUUGAAUUUAAAAUCGAUAUUCAUUUUCUCUUAUUAAUCCAAUUUAUUUUACUUAGUUUCACAUUAUUCACAUAUUGUUUUUCACUUAAGGAUUUAAACAAAAACAAUUCAUUUAUUCUAGUAUUGACAAUUUUCAUAAGCCAGUCCUUGAGAACGAUACCCGGAAUACUACAAAAGCCGUAGUGACUCUUUCUCUAGUUUUUCUUGACCAGAGUUACUACGUAAAAAGGCUAAGUAUUUUGGUACAAUAGAGAAAUUUCGGUCACUUAACCUAUCAUGCCAAAUAUUACUAGAUUCAACACUGAAAAGAUAUGAAAGAAUUUUAUUACUUUUAUCCUACACUUGAACAUUGAAUUUAAUUAACCCUUCACAUACAUAAUCCUUUCCAAUGAAUACAUUAUUCUUGGUAAUUACAAACUUAUUAGACUCUAAUACAACUUUAUAACCUUAUCAAACUAAGGAUGAUGGCGUUAACUAGAUUCCUUCUCACUUCUAGAACAUGUUGCAAUUUUUUACGAGUUACGACCUUCCCAGAUGUCCUCUUCAAGUCUACUUAUCCUAUUCUUAGCACAUGUAUGGCAAAGUCAUUUCCUAGAGUCACACUUACUCCAUUGAAGUUUUGAUAUGAUUUAAAACAUACAUGAUCAAAACAUAUAUGGACAUUAGCUCUAAAAUCUACUUACCAAUCUUUAUUAUAAUAAGUAAAAUUAAUCAAGGGAGAAUUAAGAUUAUACCUAAUAGAAUGUUCACUUGAGUUCUAACCAUUUGUUAACAUAUUAACUAGGGUUCUUGGAUCUUGUUUGUUUUUGAUGUUGGUCUUGUAUUCCUUGGUCCUUUUAUAAUAGUAAUCAUGAGCUAUAUGAUUUGUCAUUUUACACACAAAGCAAACCCUCUUUUCAUUAAUUUUGUCCUUUACAUUAAUGGGUUUGUGGUUUGGUUGGUGAUGACAAGAUUGAUUAUCUUGGCGGUGGUUUUGAUGAUUAUUAUUUUUUCUACCAUUUCUUUUAAGAUUCUUUCCUCUAGAAUGAAAUUGAUUAUUAAAAUUUGAUUUAUUUGAGGUCUCCACCAUAUUUUCCCUUGAAUUUAUUUCAUUUUCUUGCUUAACAUUUGACCUAUGAUUUCCUUCAAUCCUCAAUGAAUUAAUUACUUGGGUCAAUGUUAAUUCUCCUUAUUUAUGUUUAAGAAAUUGAGCAAAGUUGGACCAUGAAGGAGGAAGUUUAUCUAUAAGGCAACAUACUUUAAAAUCUACACUAAAAGUUGUACAUUUUUUCUUUACACCUCUAAAAAGUUUUUGAAAUUCAUGAAUUUGAUUACUUAUUAGUUUUCCAUUUACUAUAACGAAAUUAUUGAAAUUGGAAACUAUAAAGUGUUCUAUAUUUGCAUCAACUAUGCCAUAUUGGGCUUCUAAGGCAUUCUAGAGAUCUUUAGCACUAGUGGUAGUGUGGUAGACAUCAAAAAGAUGAUUGGAGAGUGCACUUUAAAUCCUAUUAUGACAAUGAUAAUCUAUUUGUUGUGGUACCAAGGAGGAUGAGGGUUCUUAAUUUUUGUUAGCAUCAUUCCUCUCUUAUAAAGUAUAAACAAAUCUUAAGACAAUUAACCAAUAUUUGAUUUGCUUUUUCCAUCUCUAAAAGUGAAACCCAUUAAAUUUUUUAGAUUUAAUACUAUUGGCUUCUUUAAAGGUAGUCAUAAUAACAAAAAGAUUUUUAUUUUUAAACUUAACUUUUUUUAACAAGGGCAAAAUCAUACUAGAAGUAGAUAGAAAUUUAUGUCAAUAAUAAAUUAACUAAUUCAUUUUUUUUAAAUUUAUUGUCACAAUUUCAAAGGAAGUUCUAUUAACUUUAUAAAGGAAAUUAUCUCAAUAAAUGAUUAAAUAAUAUAAAAAUUAAUAUUUGAAUAAGGUAACUUUAGCAACUUACUCAAAUAAUUUAACAAUACAAUAUUGUAAAAUAUUUUCCAACAAAAUAAUUUUUAGCAACUUUACUCAAAUAAUUUAACACUAAUUUUUUUUAGUUGAUUUUGAAACAAUAAUGAAAUUAUAUACUAAUACUAAAUUAAUAACUAUAUUAAUCAAAAUGCAAUAACAAAUAUAAGCUGAGAAUAAUCUAAAUGAAGUAGCAAAUAUUGACAUAGAAAAUCUUAGCAAACAUAUGAAGAGUAAAUAUAAAAAUCCUACAAAUAAAAUUUCUUAAAGUAAAACCAACAAAUGGCAUAUAAAUUCAAAAGUUAAUAUAUAUAUAUAUAUAUAUAUAUAGCCAUGGUCUCGUGAAUCCUGCAAAUUCCACGAGUUGAGUGAUUAGGAAUGAAACUUUCUCCUUUAAUAAACUUAAUUUGAAAAUUAGGGUUUAAAAUAAUCCAAUCAGUUAAAUUAUACUUAAAAGCUAUAUACUUAAUUGUUUUCUCAGAUGUGAAAACAACUUUUAAAAUUCCUUGGUUCAAAAUAUCAGUUUGAAAUUUUGAAAUGCAUAAAGGAAUGCUUAAAAUAUCAUUUAUAAUGAGAUUAUGAAUGAAUUGAGUACCUAAUAUCUUAGGUGGAUCAUCUAUUCUAACAAGAUUAAUUUCUUGAUCACAAAGAGUGAUGUUUUCAACAGGAUUAGCAAAUUUAAAAAGAAUUUCCUUAUCAAAAAGCUUUGUUCUUAUUCCUUGGUUAUCAAUUCUAUUGAUUUGAUCUUGGAGAUCAGAGAGACCUAAACUUAUGAAUUGUCUUAACUCUUUAAUCUCCUUUUUAUACUGCUUAACUUCUUCAUGAAGUUCCUUAAUGCUGACUUCCUUGGGAGACUGUUGGUUAAACCUGUUUAAGAUAUCAUUAAGGUUAUAAGGAUUAACAGUCUUCUUGGCUUCUACCUUGACAACAGAUUUCUUAAAAACUUCAUAAAGAUUUUGCUUAGUCUUUUCAUCUUCAAUUUUUCCGUUCAUUCUUCAUUUGUUGCUUAAGUUUGAAGUCAUUGCACAACUUAAUCCCUUCAGCUGUGACAAUGCUUAUAAUCUCACCAUAGGUUAGCUUAUCAUAAGGGAUUUGACCAUUAUACUGUUCCCUUAUCUUGAUCCUAAUUCUCUCAGAGAAGAACUUGGGUAGUCCUGAGAUGAAUUUUUCUUUCCAAAAAGACUGGUUACAAUCUGAUCUUAACAUAACUUUGGUUAGGAAGACUUCCUUAUACCACCUAAAAUCAUGAAGUUUGGGACACUUAAGGUUGGUCAAGAGAUCUGCAGUUUUAUCCUUAAUUUUUGCAGGAUCUCCAAUGAAGUGCUUGGAUAUUGAGUAGAUUAAAGUAGCCACUGCAUCCUCAAUAUCUUGGCCAUCUUCGUCCUUAACAACUUCAUUAUUCUCAUUAAUCCUAUAGGCUUUAAGGAUACUAUUCCUAUCAUCAAAAGUGAGAUAAUUAUCCCACCAACCCUUAAGCUGACCUGUAAACCCAGCAACAAUGGUCUGAGUUAUAGCAUGAUCUGGCAGUCUAUUGUUUAAUUUAUAGGUUGUACUUACCAUGGUCAUUUCUUGAAGCUUAGUGAGUAUGUUAUACUUGGUCAUACCAUCUAUGUUCCAUUCAUAGAUAGUACCACUGGUGUAUGAGGCUUGAGUAUACUGAUUUCUUUCCUCAAACUGCAUAUCAGGAAAUGUAGGUCUAGGAUAGUAAUUCCUAGUCUUAAAGGUUUCUAAAUUGUUAAUAUCUUUUGAAAUAAUUUGAUUAUGGGGUUUCUCAAACAUUUUAAUUAGUUCAUCAGCUUCUUCUUCUGAACUAAUAUCACCUCUAACCAUAUUGAUUCUCUUAUCAGGCUGAACAGUCAAAGGGGCAAUAAGAUUAUCCUUAAUCCUCUGAUUAAUCCUAUCAACAAAAGCCUGGUUGAUUUGGGGAUUUUCCUGGAAUUCCUUAGAAAAUUCAAAGGACUUAAUUUUAUCAGUGCUCUUAUGCUUAUAAGGAUAAUCUGGAUAUUCCUCUUGUUUGAAGAGUUCAAACCAAAUCCAAAACUUAAUAUUUUUCUUUUCUUGUCUUAAGUAGGCAUAGAAUUCUUCUUGGUAAAUGGUUCUAAUGACCUUAGGGACAGUGCUAAAGAACCAAUCAUUUCUUUGCUUAUUGACUUCAGAAUAGAAGUCCUUUCUUAAGAGAUCCUUGUUGAUCUCAAAGUCCUCAUCACUUAGGCUUAUAGUGUUAAUCAUCUGGGAAUAUGUAGGAGACAUAACAGGGGACUCAUCCUGUUGGGAUUCCUGAGUAGACUCAUUUUCCUCAGUGUAAAAUGGUCUAGCCAUGUUGGUAUGACUUCUAACACCUGUUAGCUUAAUAUUCUUAAGAUUUCCUGAGCUGGAACCUUCUUCUUCCCUAGUGGUUCUAACUGGGAUGGAAGAGCUUGAAGCUCUAGAGGGUUCAUAAAAUGAAACUCUAGGACUGCUGGAAUGUCUGAAAGAGUUGGAGAAAACCAGUUCUCCUUUUCCAUCAGGAUAUUGAACAAUUUGUUCAAUACUUUCAAAUCGCUGUGCAAUGGCUGGAACAGCAUUAGCAAAAUGCCAAUUUUCAGGAAACUCAACAUCUUUCCACAAGAUCUUCUUGGGGAUGAUGAAAUCUGACUUAUCAAGCAUAUCUGAGUGAAAGUAAGUGGUCUCACCUUUAGAACUGGUGCAAAGAGCCCCAGAUCCAACGCUUGUGUUCAUGCUCUUAUAGGCAAACCUGAUUAUGAUUGAAACAGGACUGUUUCUUGGAUUGAUCUUAAAGCCAUGGGUCUUAAUAUGCAGGACAACGGAAUCUAGGAUGUCUACAUCUCUUAUUCUAACUGUGAAGUUAGGAUAACACUGGAAAUAAACUGGGCCAUCAUUCAGUCCAGCUUGGACUGCGCCUAUAAUAGAAUCUCGAUAUUCGAGAUGCCUAUUAUCCCUUAAACACAUGACAAUAGAGGUGUUUAUACCUAAUCUUGUCAAAGGCUUAGCUGCAGACGACAAUUACAAUUACCUUUAAUACAUUCUGCUUGGUCACUUUGAAUGGGUGUCUAUGGUAUCAGAGCCAUGGGGAAGGGAAGUUGGGUCUAUAUAUAUAUAUAUAUAUAUAUAUAUAUAUAUAUAUAUAUUAACUUGACUAUAAUCUUAUCCUACUCCUUACAAAUUUGAAAAUUGUAUUUUCUUCCAAGUUUCAAAAUUGUUUUAUUUUUAUUUUUUUAACCAUAUCAAAACUUGUAUUCCCUUAGAAGGUUUUUUUAUUUUUUUAGAAAAAAUAAUACUAAUAAAAUAAAUUAUUUUUCUAAAUGCUCACUAUAAGAAAAAAAUUUAAAAAUUUUCAAAGUUACUUAUCUUUACAAAUAGGGUGUGAAAGAUCUCUUACAAAUAAAAUAAUAAAGAUGUUAAAAAUCUUUUGUUGAUAAAGAAAUAAAGAUGUCAAAUUUUACUAUAAAAAUAAUACUUUUUUUUCCUUUUUUAAAUGGGAUAGUAGCUUUAGAUUUUUAUUUUUUUUUUUAUUUUUUUAUUUUUUAUUUUUGUCAACAUGGAAUAAUUUCCAGUAAUCUAUGGUUACUAUUGUGCCUCUCAACAAUUAGGUACCAAUGGUCGAUAGUUACUCCAAGAUAUAACCCCAAUAGCUCUCAACAAUGUCUUCUCUAUGAGUAUGUUUGUGAUGUCUUAUAUUGGAUAGAAGAGAAAGUUUCUGACGCUAUAUAAGUAUGGAUUCCUUUUAACCAUGUAGACGCAUUUUAAAGUUGUGAGAGCCCUUUUAGACUUACAACAGAUAAUAUUUAUACGGUUGGGAAUGAGUGAUUACAAAUGGUAUCAAAGCUAAUCAAUCCUCGACCUUGGUGUAGGGGUUUAUUUGGCUUCGUGAGGGGUGUUUGUUUGUUUGGCCUCAUAAUCCCGUGGGACACAACGGGGAUGUUGUGUCUGUAUGAGCAGUGUUUGUGAUGUCCCACAUCGGAUAGGAGAUAAAUUUUGUGACGCUAUAUAAGUAUAAAUUCUUUUUAACUAUGUAAAUGAGUUUUAAAGCUGUGAGGGCCCCCUUGGGCUCACCGUGGACAAUAUUUACACAAUUGGGUGAUGCCCCAUGUUGGAUAAGGCUAUAUAUGUAUGGGCUCCUUUCCACCUUGUGGACGAUUUUUAAAUUCGUGAAAGCUCAUUUGGGACAAAAAUGAACAAUAUUUACACGAUUGGAAGUGGGUCAUUACAUGUGGGGGUUUGUUUGGCCCCGUAAGGGGUGUUUAUUUGUUUGGCCCUACAAUCUUGUGAGACACAAUGAGGAUGUUAUGUUUGCAUGAAGGAGUGUUUGUGAUAUCCCAUAUCAGAUAAGGGAGAAAGUUAUUGGGACUAUAUUUGUAUGACUCAUUUCCACCUUAUAGAUGUAAUUUAAAUCCAUAAGGGUUCUUUGGGCCUAGAAUGGACAAUAUCUAUAUAGUUGAAUGCGGGUUGUUACAGAUGAUAUCGGAAUUGAUCCUCGACUCUGGUAUGGGGGUUUAUUUGGCUCUGUAAGGCGUGUUUGUCUGUUUGACCCCACAAUCCCUUGGGACAUAACAAGGGCGUUGUGUCUACAUGGGGGGUGUUUGUGACAUCCCACAUCGGAUAGGGGAGAAGUUCUUGAUGCUAUAUAAGUAUGGACUUCUCUUAAUCUUAUAAACCUAUUUUAAAGUCGUGAUGGCCCUUUUGGGCCCAAAGUGGAUAAUAUCUACAUGGUUGUGUGCGGGUUAUUACAAAUGGUAUUAUAGUUGAUCUCUGACCUUGGUAUGGACAAUAACUACAUGGUUGGGUAUGAGUUGUUACAAAUGGUAUUAGAGUCGAGCCUCGACCCUAGUAUGAGGGUUUGUUUGGCCUUAUAAAGAGUGUUUGUCUAUUUGGCCUCACAAUCCCAUAGGAUACAACGAGGACAUUGUGUUUAGGUCUACAUGGGAGGAAGAUAUUUGUGAUGUCCCAUAUUGAAUGGAGGAGAGAGUUACUAAUGCUAUAUAUGUAGGGACUCCUCUCUACCUUGUAGAUGAGUUUUAAAGCUAUAAGAGCCUAUAUUUGAGCUUAGAGCGGACAACAUCUACAUGAGUGGAAGUGGGUCGUUACAAUGUUAAUAGAAAAAUGGACUAAACCAUCCACUUCUCAUUGCCCAACAAAAGAGGAAAAAAACAAAAAUAGAAAAAAACUUAGGUUUUGAGAGUUGACAAAAUUUUUCUCGAUCACUCCAAUAAGGAAGACUCUUCUUUUAAAGGUAGACUUGAGAAAACUAUUACAAAUGUAACAGAUAAUUCUCAUUAAAACUCAUAACUCCCAAACUAACGAUUGGAAAUAUUAAAGAUUAUUAAUGCAAAUUAACAAAUUUUGACUUACUAAAAUAAUUUGCACAAAAUAUUUUUAUUUCAUUUUUAAGAUAACUAAAAUUUUAAACUCUAUUUUAUCAAAAUCCCAACAAAAUUUAGUUCUAACAAGUUUCUAGGUGGAGUACAUUAAGUGAAUACAUAACAAAGGAGUCAUAUACACCAAUAAAAAAUAAUUAAAAUAGAAUUGAAAAUCCCUUCAUUCAUAAAUUGAGUCAUUUUUACAUUUAGUAGUUAUGAAUUCCUUGAAAAAAAAUAAUCAUAUAAGAAGCUAAAGUCCUCAAACCUAAAGAUUCUUGCACUAAUUUACCAAAGUCGUUAAGACAAGAAUCUUAACAAAAUAAAAAUUGUAAUAUGGCAAUCCAAUUUCUAAGAAGGACCAUCAUUAAAGUACCUUACAAACACAAACAACCUCUUUAAGUAACAAACAAUAAUAAAGUAGAUUUCAACAAUAUUUUGAAGCAUAUCAAUUUAAAAUAUAGUUUAUAUAUUUAGAACCUAUGAUAUGAGCCAAAGAAGGUGAAAAUUUUAAUAAAGGUUUCCAAUAUUAAAGGUAUCAGGUGCCGAAUAAGGUCAUUUAGACUCUAACAUCAUAUCACUAGAAACAUUAGGUGCAUUGUAUUUGGCUUGUGAACGACAAUUUGGGUUUAGGCACUCAACCAAGGGUCAGAAAUAACAUUUUUCUUUUUUAAUGUUGUAAGCUCCUAAAUAAGUUGAAUGCUCCUUUGUGGCUAGCGCAUUCUCUAAGUGAUAAAAACAUGACGUCUUGAUAGAAGGUCUUUAAUUAGGCUAGUCAUGGGUUUACAAGGUGCAAAUGUUGAAGGUUUGCUCAAAAAUCAUAUGAGGAAUGAAUUCCAAGUUUGAGUAUUAGGUGCCGAAUACGGUCAUCUGGAUUCUAACAUUAUAUCACCAAAAACAUCAAGUGCAUUGUAUUUGGCCUAUGAUCGACAGUUUGGGUUAAGGCACUCAACCAAGGGCCAGAAAUAACAUUUUUUUUUUCCGAAUAUAGCAAGCUCCUAGAUAAGCUAAAUGCUCCUUUGUGGCUAUUGCAUUCUCUAAGCGAUAAAAGCAUGAUGUCCUAAUAGAAGGUCUUUAGGCUAGUCAUGGGUUUACAAGGUGCAAAUGUUGAGGGUUUGCUUAAAAAGCAUACAAGGAAUGAAUUCCAAGUUUGAGCCUAUCCUGUCCCAUUUGUUGAAAACUUUCUUGAUGAUUCACCAUGCUUUGCCUAAUAAAGUUUAACCAACUAAUGAUAAUCUUGAUGGGAUCUCCAACAUUUGACCUUUUAAUCUACUACUUCCAAAAACAAAAGUUCUCUAUCCCGGCCAAUAAAAAUGUGGCAAGGAGAAGCUAUAUAAAGAGGCAUUCAUGCUAGAGAGCAUGAAUAGUGAACAAGCUAUUCCUAGUAUCAGAUAAUUCGUUUCCUCAUUGGUUUCACUGAACAUCUUCCAACCUUAGAGUUUUUCGACCUAGGAAGACUCAUGUACUAAUAAUUGUAGUCAUUCAUGGGAAGAGAACAAAGGUCAACUAUGAUGACCGUGUAGGUAAAUAGCCAUGCUGACAAGGCAUAUGUCCCUUUGAUUGUUCAAGAACGACCUUAGAUAUCAUAACAAACACUCAAAUCCAAAGUAGUUGAAUGUCAGAUACAAUUAUAUUAGCUGAGGAGGACCCUCAACAUUCUUAGGUAGGAGAAUGAGGCCAUGGUAGCACAUCUUAUGGAUCUAACUUCUAUUUUGAGCCUAAUUCCAAGUUUAAAGAAUGACAAGAAUGUUAAACACAAAAGUCAUUCUCAACCAAGGAAGUAUAAGAGGUUAAAUAUGCAUAAAUGAGAGACUCUGGACUUGUGAAUUAUGAAAAGUCCAAGAAAGGUUAAAAUGAGUGAUCAUGGGCAUGAAAUACUAGCAAGAAAUGUUAUAGAGUGAGAUAGAUGACAAGCAAUGAUGAAAAAAGGGGUUGUAAGCUAGUGUAAUUAAGCUUAAAAUGGAAUUUGAAACUCAAACUUGGCAACAACACAUAUCUUGAAUAUGACAUGAUUUUUGAAGUACCUCCAAUGAUAAUUUUAGGGCAAGUGACCAUAAAUUUCUGUUGUAAAUAAAAUACUAAAGCCUAAAUACAUGAUAACACAAACUAAGAAAAACCAGAGAUAGAGUUAUCACAACUUUGUAGUAUUUCGAGUUGUCGUCCUCUCAGAUCAACUCUAAUAUGUUUUUUUGUUCUUAGAUUCAAAGGAUUAAUUAUUUACUAAAGGUAAAAAAAUAUCUAAUUGAAAUAAAUCAUAUUAAAAUAUGGAUGAAAAACUCCUAAAUAAACUUCUUUAAAUUAUAAAAUAAUUAUUGAUUUUUAAUUCAAUUAAUCAAGAUUGGGGGUCCACAAUCUAACUUUGAGUAUAAACUUUUAGGUGAAACAAAGGUAUAUAAUUUAAUAGUCUUAGGGUAGUCGAAAUGCAUGGUCUAAUGAGAUUAACCUGAGUUCCACACCUUAGAGUUGAUCCGUAUCCAAACUUUUAAUAUUUUAUUUCAUUGAAUUACCUAAUAUAUGAAUGGACAUGGAAUUUAAGUUUAGGCCUAAGGUUUUUUAAGCUUUUACUACUCUGUGUAGAUUUGCUUUAGGGUAGAUAACAAUGACAAAACCUUUGAUAACUAGAGAUGAAAAAUACCAAGAAUCCCUAGUAUCAAGGAACAUGCGAUUGUAUCAUCUCCUAAGUCAAACUAACUUUAGAGGAUAUUUUGAUCUCUAUACUAGUACCCUAACCUUUCAUUCGUUCCAUUGUUAGUCUGAUUUCUCCCAUUGUUUCCCUUUGGAUUUAACCUUAGGUUUUCAUGUUUCACCCCAAGAUGGCUUUUUAACCUCUUAUGGGUAUGUCCUCAUAUACAUAGGCCAUAAAAGAAUAAGAAAGAACCAUUCUUGAUUUCAAAGAAAUUAAAAUAAUAUUUAUUCAAUAAUAAAAAGAAGAAAGAAAACAAACCAAGAAAAACCUUCAAGGUUUUCUUCUCUCUCCCUAAAAAUCGUCAAGCCAUCUCUAAUCCUACAAAAAUCCAAAACUCCCUAGAAAACCUAAAUAUUGAGUUUUUAUAGUUUUCACAAAAAAAAAAAAAAAAAAAACUAACAUGUGGCAUGUUCCUAUUGGCCACUUAUUUUACAAAUAAUUACCUAAAAUGACUAAAAAAAUAAAAAUAAAAUCAUGAUUUCUAGUCGUAUGGGGCCCACUUAGGGUCAAUAAAGUGCCUAAGAUGUAAUUCCCGAAGUAGAGGAGGCGGAAUAUCAAAGUGGCAGUGUGUGAAUUUGAAAUUGGAUUUCGAAUUCAUAAGUUGAGUUUUGAAAUCAUUUUGAAAUGGUCCUUUAGCUUUGUACAGUUAUCUUCAAAUAGUCAUAACUUCUUUGCUUCAAUUCUAAUUUGCACAUAAUUUAAAGCAUUGGAUUUCUAACUUCUAGAGCUUCGAAAUGAUAUAUAGUUUUCCUAAAAUGGACUUUGGGAAGUACUCCAAAUUUUUCUUCAAAGUAAGAGUACAUGUUGCCAUUAGAUUUUGUGUUCCAAAUUUCUAUUCAACUUGAUGAAUUUGCUUCAUGCCUCAUUAUCCAUGUUCGCUUGCCUUUCCUCAUAGUCCAUGAGUCUUGACUCGCCCAUUUCCUUAUUUAAAUCAUUUCUUGAUCUUUCAAAAUCUAAAGUGAUUCAACUUGCACCUUUUUUGUUCCUUAAACUUGAGAUAAAUCUCCAAAAUGCAAGUUAAACUCAUGACUAAGGCCUUAGCAUCAAUUUUAAUCAAGUUGGAUGACUUGAGUGUCUUAUAGUGCAUAAAUCAUAUCGAAUAUGUGCCAUUAAAACACAUAUUUUGGCUCAAAUUAGCAAACCGCAUAUGGUUUUGAAGCUCCAGAAGUCAAAGUCCAAUUCUUCACACAAAUUACAAAUCAGAGUUGAAAUGAAGAAAUUAUGACCAUUUGAAGGCAAUUGUAUAGAGUUGAAGGAUCACUUUGAAAUGAUUUUGAAAUUCAAUUUAUAGUUUUGAAAUCCAUUUUGCAAUGACCCCAAUUUUGAAAUUAUACAUUACUACUUUGAUGUUUCACCUUCUUCACCUUAGGAAUUGCAUCUUGGGCACUCAAUCUGCUCUAAGUGGGCCUCACAUGAUUGGUAACCAUGAUUUUAUUAUUAUUUUAGUCAUCUUUAGGUAAUUAGUUGUAAAAUAAGUGGCCAAUAGGAACAUGCCACAUGUUGGGUUUUUAUGGAAGCUAUAAAAAAUCAAUUUUUAUAUUUUCUAGGGACUUUUUGAUUUGGAAAGAUGAUAGAAUGUAUAGAAGGAGAUUGAUUUCCCUUCUUGAAAUUCUUUAAUAAAGUUUUAGGUUGUAUUUUAUUUUAUUUUAUUCUUCAAUCUUUCUGUUUUAUUUUCUUGACAACCAAACAUGGGUAGUGAGGAGAAAUCUUUCACCAUGUUUGGCUAACUUGAUUGAUCCAAAGAUGCUAAUAUGAAGGUGAAAAAUUGAAAAGAGGAGUGACAAGAAAUGGUAACAUAUUGAAUUGGUAAAAUAAAUUCUUUAUGUUAGAUCACCCUGAUAGAUUAUUAAGAAUUCUUAUCAAGAUAUUAGUGAUUCUUAGGAAGACCUUGAUCACUAAUUAUUAUAAGUUGAUCCUAUUGUUAAUGAAUCUAAGGGCCAAAUCUACAAAGAUGGAUAUGAGCUUUUGAUUGAAAAAUUUGAAAAUAAAGAUAAACCAUCAUAUCUAAAUGGUUUUAAAAUUAUAACAAUAAGAUUAAUGACUGGUUGCUUACAAAUUAUGAAUAUCAAGUCCUAUGCUUAUGAGUUAUAUUAGGCAAUGAUAUGGUAUGUUAUUACCCAAUACUAGUGAUUCUCGGUACUCCCGAUCAUUAGUUAUCCUGGUCUUCCCUAUCAUUGUCUGCUCUAAAACAAAGUUAUAAAGAGUAGAAAGGGUUAAAAAGUAUUGGUAAUUAAUUUCAUUCACUUAAUAGUUUGAAGAAUCUAUUUUAAAAAGAAAAAAAUAUAAGUUACGAAUAUAAUAUUGGUCUUAAGAUUCAAUUUGGUCGUGGAUUGUCUUUGAUCUUAAAUCCUAGAUUUUAUAAUGCUCCUUCUAUCUAAGGAUUUGACAUUGGAUUGUGGAACUCUCCAAGACAUUAUUUCUUUUGUUUGAUUUAUUUCAUUAAAUAUUUUAGGAAAUCAUUAUUCAUAUUUUAUACCUAUUUAUUUAACUUAGGUUUUUAGUAUCUUUAGCAAAUAAUUAAUCAUUUUAAUCUAAAAACAAAUAAUCACUUUAGAAUUGAUAUUAGAGGACAACAAUUUGGAAUACUACAAAGCUUUAUGUGGACCCACAUUUUUUACGUGUGUUCCCACUCAAUGGCAAUACUCAUUUUUAUUGGUGAAAAAUUAGUUUUGGAAAAGUUGGAGUCGCCACUUAUUUUAUUUUAUUUUAAAAGGGAAAAUGAAAGAAGAAAGAAAACCAUAAAGAAGUGACUCCAUAGUUUUGGAAAAGCAAGUCUUGAAAAACCCGAGUCUUGGAUCGGGGAUCAGGUUACUUAUUGGGAAGGUACCUCUAAGAGGUAGUACCCUUCUAAGCCUUAAAGAGGUCUAUAACGGCUAAGUUGAGGAAAAAGUGACAAUUAAUCAAUUGAUUGAAGGUACCUAGGUAGGCUAAGGUGAUUUCAAAAUUAGCAUGCCAAAAAAGAAAUCAAAUCAGAAUCGCAAAGGAAGGUUAGGAUGUGUACCUGGACUACCUCUCAAGCGCAAUCAUAAGACAUUAAAAUUAGCACAGGCACACGACAUGUAUUUAAUCAGAGCAAAUCAAACAAACAUCUAGGCACCUAAGGAUGGAAUCAAACAUAGAUAAGGCUCACAACAACAUGCAUGUUUAUAAAAUUUCGAAAAGUAAGUGAUAAAGAGCGUACCUAGAUAGCAUGCAUGAUUUAUAAGAUUCCUCAAAAAAUGUUAGAGUGGUUAGGACAAGUAUAAAUUAUAGACCAUAUUCAUUAUGUCUAAUAUACAUUACCAAAGCCAAAAUUGAGCCAAGGUAAGUCAAAUGACUUCAAAAAUAAAUAAAAAAUUCAAGCAAAGUACAAGACCAUAUGCAUACAAUUAGGAAAGGAAGCAUCACAAAACAAUUUGUAAAAAAAAUAUCUUGGAGUGGAAUUUAAUUACAAAAAAAUUCAGGAAACAACUCCUACACGUUUAGAACAACAUAUCAAAAACCAGACACUCAUUCAAAUGAAAAAUUGCAGCAAAGACACCUAAAAGUUCUAUAAAGUCCAGAUUAGGUAAAAGAGUGACAUGCAUAAACAAUUUUUUUAAAAAAUAAUAAGAAAUCACAUAAAAUCAUAUAAAAAAUCACACACAUUAUUCAAAAAAUGAAUUUAGGGUUAGAUAGUACUCAAAAAUAUUUUAAAAUGCUCAGGCUAAUUAGAUAUCCAGAUUCCAUCAUGUAUUGUAGGUACGAAUUUGAAAAAUCAUAUUUCCCUAAAAAAAAACAUAUUUUUUAAUAUUUUAUAUAUCUAAGAUCAAUUUCAGGAAGUCUGGAAUUAAGAAAAAAAUAUCGAAUCAAGUUUUAAAAGUAAUCUGUUAUUUUAUUUUUACAAAAAUAUUUUGGGUGUCCAGAACUGGGUGAAAAUAGAGCCUUCCUAAAAACUCAUUUAUAUCUUCUAUUCUAGAAUUGCUUUCUAACUCAAAAGAAAUUUUAAAUUCAAGUUCAAGAAGUGUAGAAAAUCAUACAAGUUUUGGAAUUUUUUUUAAAAAUAUUAUGAGUUGUUGAAACGAAUUUUAAAUCUAAAGGGUUAGUAGUUGAGUGAAAACUAGCAACAAGGAAGAGUUUUGAAAAAUUUUCCUAUGUAGGGGUUCCAUCAAGUCUCCAUUCAAUUUUCGUAAGUUUUACAUGUAUAUCCCCAUUAGUUUGGGAGCACAAGUCCAGACCUAUGUGAAUAAAAACCAAUUUUUUUAAAAACCAAUAAAAGAGAAAUGCAACUUAAAUAAAAUGAGUUUCAUAAUUUUAAUAGAAAGUGUGUUCUUUGCCUAAAGCUAGAAUGAAUGUUUUUCUAAAACCUUUUAUUAGCGAUUUAAAUGCUUUUGAAAAUGAAUUUAAGGGAAGUAAAAAAGGACCCAAUGUUUUUUUAAAUCUCAAUCAAUAGACACAAAAUAGAGAUUUUUGAUUUCUAACUUAAGAAGGUUUUGUAAAUAAUAGAAAAGCUAAAUUGGAUCAUUUUUUGGCUACCUUUCAUUUGGUAUCAAGGAGCCAAACUUAUGAUGGAAAAAUUUAUUUUUGAAAAAAGAAAAUUUGACUCAACUCAACAUGUCAAUUUAAUAAAAAACCUUUUCUAAAAGAAAGUUCAAACUCAAGAAUUCCCUAAGGUGCCUAUAAAAUAAGUAUCAAAGAUAAAGAGAAGUAACAAUUCAAUCAAAUAUAACAUCCCAUAUAACACUCAAAAAUAACAUAAUUCUAACUUAUUGAAAAUAAAAUAAAGAAUCCAAACAAAAAUUAAAUAAAUAUCAAGCUUUAUACAACUAUCAUGAUGAACCAAAACCAAAACAAAAACAAAGUUUCAAGCUUCUCCAAUCUAAAUAAAAAAAUCAAACUAAAAAAAAAAAAAAAAAACCAUUUUUGAACUAAUAUGAGAAUCAAAACUAAAUUGAAACAGAUAUCACAACUUUUUUUGUUAAAAACAAUGAAUCAGAGCUUAAUUAAUAAAAUUCCAAUUUUUCAAUUUUUAAAACCAAAACUCAAAACCUUUACUUACCUUUCCUCCUUGAAUCAAAUAGUCGCGGUGUCCCUCGCCUUCCUUUGCAUUGCAAGCUAUGUGUACAACUGUGGAGGGAUCUCUUAGUGUGUUAGUUAAAGCUCCAAUGCAUCCAUGUAUGGCAUUGAAAUGUGGUAGCCUUCAAGUUCUGAAUGGUACGAUUGUCUUUCAAUUCGGGAUGGUGCGUGGUGUAAGUGGAUGCAGCCCAUGAAGAAACCUGUGCGUGGAGUCUUUUGGUGUGCACAACUUUAAAAAAUUCUGGGGGUUCCUCUAGAAAGUGGACUGUGCGUGUGUUGAGGUAAUUUUCAAUGGAUGCAGUUGUGUUCCAGAUGACCUUCCAUACCACUCUCAUGCUUUGAGACACAUGUUAUGUUUUUCUUUUAAAAGAAAAACCUCUUCUUUCCCCCCAAAAACCACCAGCCGAUCUUUGCUUUCUUUAUAUAUAUAUAUAUGUGUGUGUGUGUGUGUAUGGAUGGUAUUCUUUAUGGUUGAACGGUGUACUUGAUUUCUCAAAAAUCUGCUGCUUGUGCUUUGGAUGAAAGAUCUCCUAAUGGUACGUGGUGGAGGCUCUUAAAAUGCAUAGACUCUGGCCCCUCCAAUGGUGAAUGCAUGCUGUAGAGUUUUAGUGGUAACUUCUCCUUUCUAAUGGUUGCUGAACAGUGCUUCCCGUGUUAGAGAAAAGUCCUUCUUAUUAAUGGUGCCUCAACCCUUGCAAAAUUCUAGUAAUUGCUGAUGCCUCCAUUCUAAAGUGGCAGUCGUGUGAUCCUUUUUCAACCUCGUGUCCGUGCUCUAAAAAUCUGGUUGUGCGGUUGCUUCAGAAGAUUUAUGGUGCGAUUGCAGCGUGGCUUCAAUUUCUCAUAUGAAUAGUGGCUAGUGUAUGAAGAUUUCCAUCUCUAUAUGUGUGUGGUGCAAAUGGAUGCCCCCUACGUGCUAUGUGUGGAUCUUUGUGAACAUGGUGGAUGGUUUCUUCCCCUGUAGAUUAGCAGCGUGGAUCUCUUCUUGGUGGACUGGCAAUGUGGAUCUCUCCUUGGUGGUUGCUCCUCUUAUCUAAAAAAAAAAAUCUGAUGCAUAAUCCCACGUCUCAAAGUGGCAGCCUCAGUGGUGUGAUUGUAGGAAAGUUUCUUUGUUCGAUAGUUUGCCUGUGCUCCUUCCUAGUGGAUGCAUGAUAUGCAUGCGUCUUUGAAGAUGAGGGCAUGGCUUCUCUUCCAGAAAUCUGUGGUGAUGAAAGUAGUCCCCUCAAAAACCCUCAUUCUGAAGGUCUCCGCCCUGUUGUGUGUGCUGCUCCUCUUAUCUAAAAAAAAUCUGAUGCAUAAUCCCAUGUCUCAAAGUGGCAGCCUCAGUGGUGCGACUGUAGGAGAGUUUCUUUGUUCGAUAGUGUGCCCGUGCUCCUUCCUAGUGGAUGCAUGAUACGCAUGUGUCUUUGAAGAUGAGGGCAUGGCUCCUCUUUCAGAAAUUUGUGGUGAUGAAAGUAGUCCCUCCAAAAAUCCUCAUUCCGAAUGUCUCCACCCUACUAUGUGUGCUGCUCUUCCUCCCCAAACAUAAUUGUCCACUAUUCUUCCUUCAGCAUUCAACCUUGCGAUUCCUUCCAAAACCAAAUUGGUAGUUUUUUCUUUACUGUUUACAUCUAUUACUCUUUCUAUAGUAAAAAUCCUCAAACUCAAAUCUCCUUCCCCAACCCGUGUCGAUAUUUAAUUGCUUCAUUAUCUCCUAGAGCCCACCUUUCAUUAAACUCUCCCAAAUUGUGAUCUCCUAUUUCCAACCUUCCAUCCAAAGUCUACUCUGCUUCAAAUCCUCUUAUUUAUAUCAAAAAAAGAAAAGCACAUGCAGCCAUUAAUUUUUCCUAAAAGAGUCAUCUCAAACCUUGUCUUCAUCUCUUAAGAAUCCCCUCAAUAUUCAUAUUUCUUUUUCCAUUUUUUUUUUAAAAUUUGUGUCUAUCCCUUAAACUCUCCUAAAAUGUCCACGCCUACCUUUCAAUCUCAAUAUGGUAUCCAUCCCAUCUCCAAUGACCAUGCAUCCAAGGAAAUCCCGCAUUUCAAAUAUCAAUCUUAAUGUGACCGUGCACAUCUUCCAUACCUUCCCUACAAAAUUUCAAAGUUAAUAGAUUAAAUAUAAUAAUAAUAAUGAUAAUAAUAAUAAUAAUAAUAAUAAAAUAAAAAUAAAAAACAUUUAAACAAAAUUAUUAAAUUAAAAUAAAUAAGGACAAAUAUUACGAAAAAGUGACAAAAUAAUAGGAAAAUAAAAUAAAGGAGGAAAUAGACAAGAUAAUAAAUAAAAUAAACAAAAAUAUAAUAAUAAAAAGGCAAGUCAUAUGAUUUUACAAAAAUGAGUCAUGCAAGUCAUGCAAGCCACGUAGAAAUGCCUAAAGGUGACCUAGGGUAUGUCCUAGUGUGCUUAAGUGAACCUAAGUGGGUCAAGGUGAACCUAAGUGGGCCUAAGUGAACCUAGAUGGGCCUAAGGUAGUGGGCUUAAUGUGGUGCCUAAUGAGCCAAGAGUGCCUAAGUGGGCCUAAGGUAGUACUUAAUGGGCCAAGUGUACCUAAGUGGGUCUAAGGUAUUUAGGACAGUGCCUAAGUGACCUAAAGUAAUCAGGAUAUUGUCUAAGUGACCUAAACAUGCCUAAGUGUGCUAUCUUAAAAGUGCACCUAAAAGCUACCCUAAAAAGAAAGGAAAAGCCUAAGUUUAAAUUAGGGCUGCUAAAAGUCACAAUGGGGUUAGGUAAAUUCCUCAACCAAAGUCUCUAAGGUGACUAAAAAAAAGGUAAGUAGUAUGAGUAGCAAUGGACCAUCAAGGAACUAUUGUGGAGCAUUGGAAGUAAACUUAAAGACAUGUGCUAAAGGGACAAAAUGGAGGGCCUACACCUUAGCAAUUCUAUCUCUAGUUUUUCUUGGCUAGAGUUAUCAUAUAUUUAGGCUUUAAUAUUUUAUUUCUAAUAGAGAUUUGAAAUUAGCCCAUACCAUUCGAGAGUCGAGAUCUUUGGCCUAUGUGGUGAGGGCACAAAGUUGUGUGACCUUAGGGAAGACCUACACUUCUUGUGAGAAGAGUGCAAGCUGAACGAAGUUACCAACCCUAUUGAAGAAAGGACCAAGUGAUAUUGCUUAGUGGAUCUUGCUCGAAACUGAACAAAGCAUGUGACAUUCUAGUGUGAUUUUCUUAGAAAGGCUCUGCUUAGGAUUACUUUCCUAGAUACUUGAUAGCAUGCUAUCAUCACCCUUGGCUCUACACAUAGUGUAGUAAGGCCAUCCAUUUGGCUUUAUAGUUCCAAAAUUUUUCAUGUUUGAUGGGCUAAUAGACCAUUUGACCGCCUCAUGCACUAUUGCCAAGUAAUGACUCUAGACGUAGGUAAUGAUGCAUUUCUAUGCAAAGUAUUCUUGACAAAUUUUCAAGGCUUGACCCUAACUUGGUUCUACUCGAUCAAAGACUUUCGUGAACUAUCCAAAAUAUUUGUUUCAGAUUGCAUAUGCUCGGUUGGGUAGAAGUAGGGCCUCAAUAGCUUGAGCAAUCUAAAGAUGAUGGAGUUCGAGUCCUUUUGGAACUUCAUGCGAAGGUUUGGACAGGCCUUAAUCCAAAUGGACCCUCAUUAUUUCAACACAAUCAUGCAAGCCUUCGAGUAAAGCAUAAUUUUGUAAACCUUUUUCUUUGAACCCAUAUAAAAAAACCACCAGAAACCAUGAAAGAUUUUUUUCAUAAGGCAAACAAGUAUGUGGUAGUAAAAAAAUGACUUAUGAGCAACAUUUGAAUAGAUUGUAGCAGCCUUACGAGUGUUCACGCCUUGAAAAAUUGAGUCAGAUCACCCCAGCGCAAAUGCCGGAUAACUUGGAGAUAGGAAGACUCGCUCGAUAAGAAACCUUAGGGGCCAAGAGCGGAGUAAUCAUUCGACACCUCAGUUCCACCCAAUUAUUGCCCCUAAUGCAAAGCUUGGAUGGUUUCCUUUGACUAAACACCAUGUGGGGAGAAGCCAUCUAGAGGAACCAAAGUCGUUUAUGUGAAUAUCAUAAUGAUAAAGGACACACUAUUGAGCAGUGUGGACAUCUCCGCUACUAAGUUGACUAGAUGGUGCGAGUGGGCUUCCUCGACAAGUAUUUUCUCACUCGAUUUCCACCCCCAAUAGCAUCCAGGUUGCUCCUAGCUCCUCCACAGAAUGGAGGCAGGUGAUUCAUGUUUUCCACAACAAGCUAAGUCCCUAAUAAAAGACGUUGAGUGCACAACCUGAGUCUACAACAUAAAAUGUGUGUUCGCUUCUGGAAGCCUCAUCUCGAUAGAUGGUACAAUUACAUUUUCUAAGGUAAAUUUGCUAUGCAUAGCCCGAUCACAUGAGAAUGCCUUGAUUUUGACCUUAAGCAUUGUAGAUUAUGAUGUAUGCUGCAUUCCUAUUGACCAGGGAAGUUCCGUACACCUUUUGAUUCAUGCCCAUUCAGUGUAUCAGCUGAUUCAUGUCCAGCUAGUGCUCCUUGAUUGAGGGAGUAAUCAACAAAAUUUAUAACCUAUUACACCAUGAUUAGGGUAGCAAAGACAAAGCUACUAUAGCAUAGUGGCUGAUUACUACUCAAAACAUGCUAUUUUGUAGCUUGUAAUUAGCUCUUUUAAACACCAUUGAGUAGUAAUUAUUACCUUUUAACCCAAUUAGCAUGUUAGGAGCCCUUGCAAUCGUUUCUAACAAUUGUGUUAAGUUUUGGUGCUUUUUGAUAGCUUUAUGCUCACCAAAGCAAUUUAAGAAUGAGGGAGAGCUAUUUAUGGUUCAGGGCAAAGCUUUUGAAAGCUUAAAUUUAUGAAGAAAUCAAGCUAUGGAGCCUCAUAAUCCUUUGCCUUAGUGGUUCAAAGUAUACAAGGAAGAAACAAUGGAGAAGAGGAAAACAGGGGAUGAAAACAGGGGACACAGCUGCAGUCUUUCAUUGCACUUUUAGAGCACUUUCCGAAGUCCAUUUUUUACAUUCUAUAUACCAUUUUAAAGCUCAGAAAGUCAAAAAUCCAACGGUUCAAACCAUGUAUGAUUUGGAGCUGAAAUGAGAAAGAUAUGGCCUUCGGAAGACAACUGCAUCAGGCUGAGCGAAAAUUUCGCACGAUGGAAAUCAAGGUGCGAAAUCCUCAGUCCACUGUGCGAAAAUUUCGCACACCUCAAACCAAAGUGCGAAAUUGGAACUCAGCGUGCGAAAAUUGGAUAUUUUUGCCGACUCUUUUUCUUCUGAUAUUUUUGUGUCUAAAUUUCCAUUUUCUCCUUGUAUUCAACCACUCAUGUAAUUCCUUAGCUAGGAAGUAUCCAAGGAAGGGUAAANNNNNNNNNNNNNNNNNNNNNNNNNNNNNNNNNNNNNNNNNNNNNNNNNNNNNNNNNNNNNNNNNNNNNNNNNNNNNNNNNNNNNNNNNNNNNNNNNNNNGGGAGCUUUCUCAGAGACAACUUAUGUAACUUGGUUAUACAGAGAUCUUUUGUUAUUUCUCUCUCUAUUUCUAUUUUCCUGCAAGCCAAACACCUCUGAGGAUGUUUUCCCAGAGGAUGAGAGGCUAAACCAAAAGUUUCUUGGAGUAAAGGAAGCUAGGUGAAAAGUCCAGAUUAAAAGGUGGAAAGUUUCCGUGCAUUAAAUUCAGGUAGUUGGAGUCCAUAAAUGGUUUCUAAAGCCAAGGUUUUGCCUUAAAUCCCUUAGGAUCACUUUGACUGGCCAAUACAUGGUAAGCUUAAGGUCUCUGUGGAUGCUUAUUGCUAGAUCCAUAUCAGUCCAUUAGUUAUCAUGUACGAGCCAUUGGAAAGUGAUUCAAGGUGAUAGCCCAUAGUGUCUUAAGCCAUUAAUGGACCUUGAUUACCAUCUCUAGUGAUUUUUAUGGAUUAAAACUUCAUUGUCAAACCUAUACCGGUUCGGGAAAUAACUAUAUGUUAAAUCCCCAAUGCGAGGAGAAAAAUCCGGAAUUUUCCACUUUGCAUCUGGUACUUGAACCUAGCAACCUUUAGCUUCGGGAGACUUUCUUUUUUUCACUUUUUACUUAGUUCUAUGUGAGUUUAGUUUAAAUCACCACUUUCAAAACAAUUUUAGUUUCUUUUAAAUUUCAAGUUUGUGCUAAAGGAAAUCAUCAGAAUCAAUUUCUAAUUUAGAGUCUGUCACUGAUAGAGUGAAAACCAAUCCCUGAGUUCGACCCUAGAACUACUAUACUAUAGUAGCUUUGCUACGCCAGUAUAAGGUCAUAGGUUUUAUAAAUAUUUUUGAUUAAAAGACCCGGCUGGGAAUUCAAGCGAAUCAAAUGGCGCCGUUGCCAGGGAUGGUGCCACAAUACAGUGAUACAACCUUUUAGAGGCUACUUGUGAUUUCCAUCACAAGUUUGGUGAAUUCCUUUUUCACUAAUUUCAUUUUCUUUCAUUUUCCUGUUGUUAAUUUUAUUUUCAUUUUCUUCCUAACUUUAAUUUUUUUUUCUAGUUUCCUUUUUGUUUUUGUUUUUUUUUUUAGUAUUACAGGUAUUGUAACUUGUGCAUGCCCUAUUGGAUUAGGGACCAAGAGGGAAGAUUAGUAAGGAUUGAGAAUCCUCAAGACACAGAGUUGGAUAUCUGUGUAAACAUCAUGGAUCCUCCACCAGAGGAUCAGAAUUCUCAACAAGGUCAAGGGGGUAAUCCCAAUGCAUACCUAUCCAUGAGGGAUAGAAUGCAUCCCCCAAGGAUGAGUGCACCCUCAUGCAUCCUGCCCCCUCUUGAGCAGUUGGUUAUAAGACCCCAUAUUGUACCCCUCCUACCAACUUUCCAUGGAAUGGAGAGUGAGAAUCCAUAUUCUCACAUCAAGGAGUUUGAGGAGGUGUGUAAUACCUUUAGAGAGGGAGGAGCUUCAAUAGACUUGAUGAGACUCAAGCUAUUCCUUUUUACUUUGAAGGAUAAGGCAAAAAUAUGGCUUAAUUCUUUAAGGCCAAGGAGCAUAAGGAAUUGGGUUGAUCUUCAGGCGGAGUUUUUGAAAAAAAUUUUCCCCACCCAUAGGACCAAUGGAUUGAAGAGACAAAUCUCAAAUUUUUCUGCUAAAGAAAAUGAGAAGUUCCAUGAGUGUUGGGAAAGAUAUAUGGAGGCCAUCAACGCUUGUCCUCAUCAUGGUUUUGAUACAUGGCUCUUAGUGAGCUAUUUUUAUGAUGGAAUGUCUUUUUCCAUGAAGCAAAUUCUUGAAACCAUGUGUGGGGGAGAUUUUAUGAGUAAGAAUCCUGAAGAAGCCAUGGACUUUUUAAGUUACGUGGCUGAGGUGUCAAGAGGAUGGGAUGAGCCCAACUCAAGAGAGAAAGGAAAGUUUCCCUCUCAACAAACCCAAAAUCCAAAGGCUGGAAUGUACAUGUUGAGUGAAGACGUGGACAUGAAAGCUAAAGUGGCAACANNNNNNNNNNNNNNNNNNNNNNNNNNNNNNNNNNNNNNNNNNNNNNNNNNNNNNNNNNNNNNNNNNNNNNNNNNNNNNNNNNNNNNNNNNNNNNNNNNNNNNNNNNNNNNNNNNNNNNNNNNNNNNNNNNNNNNNNNNNNNNNNNNNNNNNNNNNNNNNNNNNNNNNNNNNNNNNNNNNNNNNNNNNNNNNNNNNNNNNNNNNNNNNNNNNNNNNNNNNNNNNNNNNNNNNNNNNNNNNNNNNNNNNNNNNNNNNNNNNNNNNNNNNNNNNNNNNNNNNNNNNNNNNNNNNNNNNNNNNNNNNNNNNNNNNNNNNNNNNNNNNNNNNNNNNNNNNNNNNNNNNNNNNNNNNNNNNNNNNNNNNNNNNNNNNNNNNNNNNNNNNNNNNNNNNNNNNNNNNNNNNNNNNNNNNNNNNNNNNNNNNNNNNNNNNNNNNNNNNNNNNNNNNNNNNNNNNNNNNNNNNNNNNNNNNNNNNNNNNNNNNNNNNNNNNNNNNNNNNNNNNNNNNNNNNNNNNNNNNNNNNNNNNNNNNNNNNNNNNNNNNNNNNNNNNNNNNNNNNNNNNNNNNNNNNNNNNNNNNNNNNNNNNNNNNNNNNNNNNNNNNNNNNNNNNNNNNNNNNNNNNNNNNNNNNNNNNNNNNNNNNNNNNNNNNNNNNNNNNNNNNNNNNNNNNNNNNNNNNNNNNNNNNNNNNNNNNNNNNNNNNNNNNNNNNNNNNNNNNNNNNNNNNNNNNNNNNNNNNNNNNNNNNNNNNNNNNNNNAUCCGGGAUGUCCCACCAUAUCAGUCAACAUUGGAGGGACACAUGUGGAAAAAGCUUUACUAGACUUGGGAGCAAGUGUGAAUUUGCUCCCAUACUCUGUGUAUAAGAAACUGGGACUAGGAGGAUUAAAGCCCACAACCAUGACCCUCUCUUUAGCUGAUAGGUCUGUCAAAAUCCCAAGGGGAGUGAUAGAGGAUGUUCUAGUUCAAGUGGACAAAUUCUACUAUCCUGUGGAUUUUGUGGUGCUUGAUACUGAUUCCUCUGUCAAGGAAGAAAAUUAUGUACCAAUCAUCCUAGGGAGACCUUUCCUUGCUACCUCCAAUGCUAUUGUUAAUUGUAGGAAUGGGGUGAUGCAGCUCACAUUUGGAAACAUGACAUUGGAAUUAAACAUAUUCCACUUAUGUAAGAGGCAUCUUUACCCUGAAGAGGAGGAAGGAUUUGAGGAGGUGUGCUUGAUCAACACUUUGGUUGAAGAGCACUGUGACAAGAGUUUAGAGGAGAGCUUGAAUGAAAACCUGGAAGUCCUUGAAGAUGGUUUCCCUGAACCCUCUGAUGUGCUAGCCAUUAUGUCUCCUUGGAGGAGACGGGAAGAGAUCUUACCACUGUUCAACCAGGAAGACUCACAAGGAGUUGCUGUGGAGAACCCUCCAAAGCUUAUUUUAAAACCACUUCCUCUGGAGUUGAAGUAUGCAUACUUGGAGGAUGAUGAGAAAUGUCCAGUGGUAGUUUCCUCAACCCUCACUAGUGAUCAAGAGGAUAGUCUUUUAAGAGUCCUCAGAAAAUGUAAGAAAGCCAUUGGAUGGCAAAUUUCUGAUCUGAAAGGGAUUAGCCCUUUGGUGUGCACCCAUCAUAUUUAUAUGGAGGAUGAUGCAAAACCAGUGAGGCAACCCCAAAGGAGACUGAAUCCUCACAUGCAAGAGGUGGUGAGGAGUGAAGUUUUGAAGCUACUUCAAGCUGGGAUCAUAUAUCCCAUUUCAGACAGCUUGUGGGUGAGUCCCACCCAAGUAGUUCCAAAGAAAUCUGGAAUCACUGUGAUCCAGAAUGAGAAAGGGGAGGAAGUCUCUACACGUCCUACCUCAGGAUGGAGGGUGUGUAUAAACUAUAGAAGGUUGAAUUCAGUGACUAGGAAGGACCAUUUUCCAUUGCCUUUCAUGGACCAAGUCCUUGAGAGAGUCUCAGGACAUCCUUUCUAUUGUUUUCUAGAUGGUUAUUCAGGGUACUUCCAAAUAGAAAUUGAUUUGGAAGAUCAAGAAAAGACGACCUUCACUUGUCCCUUUGGUACUUUUGCAUAUAGGAGAAUGCCCUUUGGUCUAUGUAAUGCUCCUGCAACUUUCCAAAGAUGCAUGCUAAGCAUCUUCAGUGAUAUGGUAGAACGCAUCAUGGAAGUUUUCAUGGAUGACAUCACUGUAUAUGGAAGUUCUUAUGAGGAGUGUUUGAUGCAUUUAGAAGCUGUUCUCCAUAGAUGUAUUGAGAAAGACCUAGUGCUAAAUUGGGAGAAGUGCCAUUUUAUGGUACAAAAAGGAAUUGUCUUAGGACAUAUCAUCUCCAAAAAUGGCAUUGAGGUAGAUAAGGCAAAGGUGGAACUUAUUGUUAAGUUGCCACCUCCUACAAAUGUUAAAGGAAUUAGGUAAUUUCUUUGACAUGCAGGAUUCUAUAGGAGGUUCAUUAAGGAUUUCUCAAAAAUCUCAAAACCUCUGUGUGAGCUUUUGGUAAAGGAUGCCAAAUUUGUGUGGGAUGAGAAGUGUCAGAGAAGUUUUGAGGAAUUGAAGCAAUUCCUCACAACUGCGCCAAUAGUGAGAGCCCCAAAUUGGAAAUUACCUUUUGAGGUAAUGUGUGAUUCAAGUGAUCUUGCUAUGGGGGCUGUUUUAGGGCAAAGAGAAGAUGGAAAGCCCUAUGUGAUCUAUUAUGCAAGCAGAACUUUGAAUGAGGCUCAAAAGAACUACACAACUACUGAGAAGGAGUUGUUGGCUGUAGUUUUUGCCUUGGAUAAGUUUCGUGCUUAUUUGGUAGGGUCCUCUAUAGUGGUGUUCACUGACCAUUCUGCUUUGAAGUACUUGCUAACCAAGUAGGAUGCCAAGGCAAGAUUGAUAAGAUGGAUUCUUUUGCUCCAAGAAUUCAAUCUCCAAAUCAGGGAUAAAAAGGGGGUAGAAAAUGUGGUAGCUGACCACUUGUCCAGACUUGUGAUAGCACAUGACUCACAUGGUCUGCCUAUCAAUGAUGACUUCCCUGAGGAGUCUCUCAUGUCAGUAGAUGUAGCUCCAUGGUAUUCUCACAUUGCAAACUUUUUGGUUACUGGAGAAGUACCAAGUGAGUGGAGUGCUCAAGACAAGAGGCAUUUCUUGGCUAAGAUCCAUGCCUAUUAUUGGGAGGAACCUUUUCUUUUCAAAUAUUGUGCAGAUCAAAUUAUAAGGAAAUGUGUUCCUGAGCAAGAGCAAUCGGGAAUUCUUUCCCAUUGCCAUGAUAAUGCAUGUGGAGGUCAUUUUGCCUCCCAGAAAACAACUAUGAAAGUGAUCCAAUCAGGCUUCUGGUGGCCCUCUCUUUUCAAGGAUGCCCAUUCUAUGUGUAAGGCAUGUGAUCGGUGUCAAAGGCUUGGUAAGCUAACACGCCGAAAUAUGAUGCCCUUGAACCCCAUCUUAAUAGUGGAUAUCUUUGAUGUCUGGGGUAUAGACUUUAUGGGACCAUUUCCAAUGUCAUUUGGACAUUCCUACAUCUUGGUAGGAGUGGAUUAUGUCUCUAAGUGGGUAGAGGCAAUCCCAUGUAGGAGCAAUGAUCAUAAGGUGGUACUUAAAUUCCUCAAGGACAACAUCUUUGCAAGAUUUGGAGUGCCGAAGGCCAUUAUAAGUGACGGGGGAACCCACUUUUGCAAUAAACCUUUUGAGACUCUUCUAGCCAAGUAUGGGGUUAAGCAUAAGGUAGCUACACCUUAUCACCCUCAAACAAGUGGCCAAGUUGAGUUGGCCAACCGUGAGAUCAAGAAUAUAUUGAUGAAGGUGGUCAAUGUGAAUAGGAAGGAUUGGUCUAUCAAGCUCCUGGAUUCCUUAUGGGCUUAUAGGACCGCUUACAAGACCAUUCUAGGAAUGUCUCCCUAUCGCCUUGUCUAUGGCAAAGCGUGUCAUCUUCCAGUAGAGAUUGAGUAUAAAGCAUGGUGGGCAAUCAAAAAGCUCAACAUGGAUUUGACAAGAGCCGGGUUAAAGAGAUGUUUGGAUUUGAAUGAAUUGGAGGAAAUGAGGAAUGAUGCAUACCUCAAUUCAAAAAUUGCCAAAGCAAGAUUGAAAAAAUGGCAUGAUCAGUUGGUAAAUCAGAAAAAUUUUACCAAAGGACAAAAAGUUUUGCUUUAUGACUCUAAACUUCAUCUCUUUCCAGGAAAAUUGAAAUCCAGGUGGACGGGUCCUUUCAUAAUUCAUGAAGUGCAUCCCAACGGAGUGGUGGAAAUAUUCAAUCCCACAGGCAAUCAAACCUUCAAAGUCAAUGGCCAUCGUUUCAAGCCAUUUAUAGAGCCUUACAGUACAGACAAGGAGGAGAUCAACCUCCUUGAACCACCACAACUCUGAGGGAAAGCAGGGUAUCAUGGGCUAAAUAAGUCCAUGAAUUUUUUGUUAUAGUUUUAUAGUUAUAUCAUUAAUUUUAUUUCUUUUUAUUAUAAUUUUUCCUCAAUUUUAGUUUAUUUUGUCUUAAUUCAAGUCAAUUUUGAUGAUAAAUUUCAGAAAAAAAAUCAUGAAAGGUGAGGAGAGCUCUUCAAAAGCAGAACAGGGGAGUAAAACCAAGGAAGCAGAGCACCUGAUUUCAAGGUGCCAAAAUUUCGCACACCUGAUUUCAAGGUGUGAAAAUUUCGCACACCCCAAAACCAAGGUGCGAAAUCCUUGGGCCAAAGGAAGCAAUUUUCGCACACCCCAAUUUCAAGGUGCGAAAUCUAUCUCAAGGUGCGAAAUCCGUUUUCAAGGUGCGAAUUUCCUAAAAUCCAAUUUCGCACACCACUGUGGAAGGCGCGAAAAUUUUCGCACUGUGCGAAAUCCUCUCCUGGCACACGUGUGCCAAUUUCGCACACCUCAAGCUAAUUUUUGCACUGUGCGAAACAGUGUGCGAAAAUUUCGCACACCACUGUUCAAGGUGCGAAAAUUUCGCACACCCAAUUUCAAGGUGCGAAAUCUUCAAUUGAAGGGGUGCCAUUUUCGCACACCCAAUUCAAAGGUGCGAAAUUUGCAGACCAAGGUGCGAAAAUUUCGCACGGUAAAAUUUCCAGCUCUAAAAAUUUUAAACUGACUUUUAAAUUAAAAUUUUACCCUCGAAAUUGUGCCUAACGUCUAAAAACGACUUUUCGGUUGCCUUGAAAAAUUUUUAAACAUAAAACCCCCCAAACCUCAUUCCUAUAUAAGCCCUUGAAGCCCAGGAACUCAACAGUCUCCCUCGCGCACAAGCUAAGACACCUCUGGAAUCCCGAACACCCACUUCCCUCCAUUUCGGCCAUGGCGAAGACCAGAGGAGGCCAUUCCGCGUCCCCAUCCUCACCGACACCUCGACCACAUCGAGCUGCCAUGGGAGCCGCAGCUUUGCCACCUGUUCAGGCCCUGGCCAUUCCCCCAUCUGAGGGGGAAGCUCCUUCUCAGCGUCGAUACCCCACCAGGAGGCCACCCACAGACCCUGUGCCACCAGUCGAUCAGGCCACGAGCCCUGUUUCUCGGCCACCAGCGAAGAGAACCAAGUUCUCGGGUCCUGGAGAGCCAUCCCACGCACCUCAGCCAGAGCCACCUACAGAGGACUCCCGGAUUCCUGCGGAUAUUCCUCUCGAGACCGUUAUCAGGCGUCCCAUGAUAGCUAGACCACCGAUAGAGGGCAACUUGGAUUACAGAGAUCGAUCCUUCCACUCUGAGACCUAAUUUGAUAUAGAGGCCCUCAGACAGCAGCCAGAGCUCUGAGAUUCAUUCUGACUGCUGUAGAGGUAUCACAUGGAGGGUCUUCUCACUCCUAGGCAAUUCUACUAUCCCAGAGUAGUUCUAGAUUUUUAUCAAUCUAUGACUACUCGAGGCCUCCGCAAUCCUACUCUCAUCCAAUUUACCAUAGACGGACGCCAGGGUGCCAUUGGAGCUCGCCACAUUGCUGAGGCCCUCCGUAUACCUUAUGAGCCCGUGUUUCAGGCAGAUUUCAGGGAGUGGUCCUCAUUCUCUCAGAGCGACAUGGUCCGCAUUUUGUCCAGGGGGACUUCUACAGCCUCGGUAUUGACCAGGAGAGAGCUUCCAUCUGGGAUGCUCCUCAUUGAUGUGCUCCUGCGUGCCAACCUAUUCCCCCUUCAGCAUAAAGUUCAGAGGAGAUGAGCUAUACUUGAGGCAUUAUUUAGGAUUUCUGAGGGCUAUUUCUUCGGUCCUCAUCAUUUGAUUAUGACUUCUCUACUUCAUUUUGAAGAGAAAGUCCAUCAGAAGAAGCUGCAGAGGGCAGAUGGCAUCCCAUUACUAUUUCCGAGGCUCCUCUGCCAGAUUUUAGAGCACUUGGGCUAUCCUGAAGAGCCCCGUCUUGAGAGACGCCGCCAUUGCAGAGAGGAUUUCUCUCUCGACAAAUGGCAUCACUUGGUAGCCUACUUUGCACCCGAGGGAGCACCAGCUGUGCCUGCACUUCCAGAGCUACCCCGAGAUGACCAGCUACCUCAGGCCCAGCAGGAUGAGAUUCUCACAGAGACCACACCUCCGACCCCUGCAGCACCCACCUCAGUGCACAUGCCCGAGGCUAUACAUUCUACCUCCCCUAUCACUCAGGGUGCUCCACCAGUCGUACCAGCUACCCCAGCACCUCCUCCUUCAUCUGAGCCCACUGUCACCGUUUCUCUUGCGGAAUUCAGAGGCUUAGUGCGUUCAUUGCAGACACUGAGCACUGCUCAGGAUUCUAUUAUCCACCAGAUGGCCACUAUUCGUGCACACCAGGAUCAGAUCAUUGCUACUCAGACCCAGCAUACCACGAUCCUUCAUCAGAUUCAGCAGCAUCUGAGUAUGCAGACACCUUUUGGGCAUGAUAGGUCUGCACCAUCCGAGCCUCUAGAGCCAGAUACGGAGAGCUUACCAGCUGAGCAGCCCAUACCAAAGGAGGAGAUCAGAGCAGAGCCAUCACAUGACCCCACUCAUAUCUGAUCUUUUUAUGUUUUACUUUUUAUAUUAGACUUGUAAAUCCCAUCUUUUGCAUGUGUUAUAAACUUGGAUUGGAAAUAGUACUUGAAAUCAUACAUUGUAUAUUUCUUUUUCAAGUAAUAUAUAUAUAUAUAUAUAUAUCCUUUUUUAUUAUAUUCCCUUUUCUCAUUACUCUUUUGUCUUUGGAACAUGUGGUUUAAGGUAUUCCAUACCUCCUAUACACUCAGACUUUGUCUCACUCAGGAGGUACCACUUCCUCCCUUUAUUUUUAAUCGCUUUUGAAACAUUGAGGACAAUGUUCAACUUGGUUGGGGGGAGAGUUGAGAAAGGAAGUUUUGUUGUUAAUAUUAAGUCAUUUUGGUAUUUUAGUUGAUUUUUCCUUAAAAUUUAAAAUUGCUAAAAGUUUUUUGAAUCAUUCUCUUUGGUUGUUAAAGAUAAUUUAUCAAAAAUAAAAUAGGAUAAGUCGAGUUUUAACUUAAUUAUUUAAGUCUUAGAGUUUGUUUUAUGCUUUCAAAGUUGAUAAUCUAUUGAAGCCUCUUUGAUUUAGAACUUUCUUCUUCCAUUUCAAGCUUUACACAUACUGUGCACAUUAGAUCCCGGAUAUAUGAUGUAAAACUUUCUCACCUUCUAAGCUUAGGAAAAUUUUGACUUGGUUCAUUACUUAACCUCUCUUUAAUAGUGUUGGGACACCUCAUAAAGACCAAUGAGUCUUUGAAAAAAAAAAAAAAAAGAAGAAGAAUAAGCUUCUAUUCUUUCCUUGAAACCUAAGCAUGAUCCGAAGGGGUGGCGAAAGCCUUUAAAACCCGAUGCCCUAAACCUUGAUUGGUUGGAGUCAUCGAUCCUCUGCUUGCUACAUAGGUGAAUUGGUUAAGAUUAGUGAGUAAAAAGAAUUGUGAAUAAGAAGGUGCGUUCCUAACCUAUUAAGAGUUGAUUAAUUUUGCCAAUGUUCGAGAAAAGCUUAGGUUGGAGGGUGAGGACAGUUGUAUAUACUAUAUCCGGAAGCUAAUCUCAUUAACACUUAGCUUAUUAUGGAAGAGUUUGAUUUGGAACCUUGAGAGUAGAGAUUCUUUUGAUACUUAAUUGCAUAAUCUCCACUCUUUGUACUUUUUGUUUAAGUUUUAAGCUUUGACAACUCCUAUUGCAUUUUGAAUAUUCAUAUCUUUAGUUAGCCAGGUGAGAUGUGUUUGGAUAUCAGUCAUGCCUCUCAAUUAUUUUUUUGGAAAUGAAUUGCAUGACCUCUUUUAUGUAUAUUAUUACGUUUGCUUAGUUUUUCUCUCCUUAAUUGCUAAGGGACUAGCAAUAUGUCGGUUGGGGGGAGUGAUUACUACUCAAAACAUGCUAUUUUGUAGCUUGUAAUUAGCUCUUUUAAACACCAUUGAGUAGUAAUUAUUACCUUUUAACCCAAUUAGCAUGUUAGGAGCCCUUGCAAUCGUUUCUAACAAUUGUGUUAAGUUUUGGUGCUUUUUAAUAGCUUUAUGCUCACCACAGCAAUUUAAGAAUGAGGGAGAGCUAUUUAUAGUUCAGGGCAAAGCUUUUGAAAGCUUAAAUUUAUGAAGAAAUCAAGCUAUGGAGCCUCAUAAUCCUUUGCCUUAGUGGUUCAAAGUAUACAAGGAAGAAACAAUGGAGAAGAGGAAAACAGGGGAUGAAAACAGGGGACACAGCUGCAGUCUUUCAUUGCACUUUUGGAGCACUUCCCGAAGUCCAUUUUUUACAUUCUAUAUACCAUUUUAAAGCUCAGAAAGUCAAAAAUCCAACGGUUCAAACCAUGUAUGAUUUGGAGCUGAAAUGAGAAAGAUAUGGCCUUCGGAAGACAACUGCAUCAGGCUGAGCGAAAAUUUCGCACGAUGGAAAUCAAGGUGCGAAAUCCUCAGUCCACUGUGCGAAAAUUUCGCACACCUCAAACCAAAGUGCGAAAUUGGAACUUAGCGUGCGAAAAUUGGAUAUUUUUGCCGACUCUUUUUCUUCUGAUAUUUUUGUGUCUAAAUUUCCAUUUUCUCCUUGUAUUCAACCACUCAUGUAAUUCCUUAGCUAGGAAGUAUCCAAGGAAGGGUAAAAUUACCUUCCUAUAUAAAUUCUCUUGUAAUCACUGAAUGAUGAUCUUUCGGGGAGCUUUCUCCAGGAGACCAACUUAUGUAACUUUGUUAUACAGAGAUCUUUUUUGUUUAUUUUCUCUCUUCUAUUUUCUAUUUUCUUGCAAGCCAAACACCCUCUGAGGAUGUUUUCCCAGAGGAUGNNNNNNNNNNNNNNNNNNNNNNNNNNNNNNNNNNNNNNNNNNNNNNNNNNNNNNNNNNNNNNNNNNNNNNNNNNNNNNNNNNNNNNNNNNNNNNNNNNNNGGGAAAUAACUAUAGGUUAAAUCCCCAAUGCGAGGAGAAAAAUCCGGAAUUUUCCACUUUGCAUCUGGUACUUGAACCUAGCAACCUUUAGCUUCGGGAGACUUUCUUUUUUUCACUUUUUACUUAGUUCUAUGUGAGUUUAGUUUAAAUCACCACUUUCAAAACAAUUUUAGUUUCUUUUAAAUUUCAAGUUUGUGCUAAAGGAAAUCAUCAGAAUCAAUUUCUAAUUUAGAGUCUGUCACUGAUAGAGUGAAAACCCAUCCCUGAGUUCGACCCUAGAACUACUAUACUAUAGUAGCUUUGCUACGCCAGUAUAAGGUCAUAGGUUUUAUAAAUAUUUUUGAUUAAAAGACCCGGCUGGGAAUUCAAGCGAAUCAGUGGCUCUAGGAUCAUUCACUGGGAAGGGUUUUCAAUUCAUAAAUGAUACCAAUUCAAAGAUGAAUUGGUGCCUUUUCAUUUCAAGGUUAGCUUAAGAAAUAAAACACAAACUUUGAUUGAAAAAAGUUUAGGUUUAAGCUAACGGAAAAGGAAGUAAUGGAAAUUACUUAUGAAGAAAAACAUUCCUUGGAGGUUUAGGUUCACAGGGGAGGUUCCUUAUGUAAAAACAGAGCUCCGGUCAUUUGGUUCAUUUCCUCGCAUUAGAGAAUUAACAAAUAGUCAAUUCUCUAACCGGUUUUGUACAGAUGCUUCCCCUUAAUGGAUUCAAAUAAUAAUUCCCUCUCACUGAUGCACCUUGCAAUGGCUCAUACCUCUCACCUAGCACUUUCCAUUCAAGGUGAUCUUUAACCUUGGAUUACCCGUCAAAAGCUCGCAAGAGAUAACUAAUGGAUGUCUCUAUGGAGUCCAAAAGCUUACCAAGUGUUGGCUAUUCUAGAAAAUCCUACCUUCAAACCACCUCCCAAAGGCUCGCAAGAGAUAAACUAGUGCAUCUCUAUGGAUGGAGAUCAUUUGCCUUAUCAAGUGUUGGCCCAGGUGAUUUAAAGGCGUUUUAAGUUAACUAAAAAGAUAAAACCAUUAACUGGUCACACUUUCUCUUCAUUAAUGGCUGAAACCACAAAGCUACUAAUUCUUGUACUUGGAACCUUUCCCGGCAACCUUAACUCCAAGGAACUAAAAGUCUAGCCACUCAUUCUCUAAGGAAACAUCCUCAGAGCUUGUUUGGCUAGUAAGAAAAUACAAUCAAAAUGAGAAGGUAAAAGCAGAGCAAAGCUCUGUAUUUUUCUUCCUUUUAAAAUUAUACAAAAGUUGCGUCAUCCCGAGAAAAGGCUCCCGAGAGAUAUUUAUAUGAAAAUUACAAUAAUAAUAUCUAUAAGGUUAUUCAACAUUUUUUCAAACUUAAUAACUAAGGAAUCCUAUAAUUGGUGGGUUACAAGGAGAGUUUGGGGAUUUAGAAAUCAAAUAUCUAAAGAAAAAUAUCUAAAGAUAAAUAUCUAAAGAUGUCGAUCGCAAAUAUCGGGAAGCUUCAGGAGAACACCGCGGCACUGUGCAAAAUUGACUGCGAAACUCUCUGGGUGAGCGCUAUUAGAGGAUCCGGAUAUGUAUAUCCGGAGAAGUUGAAACGCUCUCCUCUCCCAUCCGGUGUCAGAAUUCCGGAUGUGAAACAUCCGGGUGGAAUGGUGGCAGCAGAUGAUUCAUGCCUAAUUGGUGUCUCAGCUGGUUCGUGUCUAGCUGGCUACUUGAUUGAGGGAGUAAUCAACACAAUUUAUAACCUAUUACACCAUAUACUAGGGUAGCAAAGAAAAAGCUACUAUAGUAUAGUGGUUCUAGGAUCGUUCACUGGGAAGGGUUUUCAAAUUACAAAUGAUACCAAUUCAAAGUGAAUUGGUGCUUUUUCAUUUCAAGGUUAGCUUAAGAAAUAAAACACAAACUUUGGUUGGUAAAAGGUUUUAGAUUCAAACUAAUGGCACAGCAAGUAAUAGAAAUUACUUAUGAAGACAAACAUUCCUUGGAGAGUUAGGUUCACAGGGGAGGUUCCUCAUGCAAAAACAUAGCUCCGGUCAGAUGGUUCAUUUCCUCGCAUUAGAGAAUUAACAUAUAGUCAAUUCUCUAAUCGGCGAUGUAAAGAUGCAUCCCUUAAUUGGAUUUCAACUCUAAUUCCCUCUCACUGAUACAACUUGCAAUGGUUCGUGCCUCUCACUAAGCCUUUACCAUUCAAGGUGAUCUUUAACCUUGGACUUCUCUUCUCAAGCUCGUAAGAGAUAACUAAUGGAUGUCUCCUUGGAGUCCAAAAGCUUACCAAGUGUUGGCAAUUCUAGAAAAUCCUACCUUCAAGUCACCUCCCAGAGGCUUGCAAGGGGUAAACUAGUGCAUCUCCAUGGACGGAGAUCACUUGCCUUACCAAGUGUUGGCCCAGGUGACUCCAAGGUGUUUUAAGUUAACUAAAAACAUAGAAAUCACUAAAGGAUCACACUUUCUCUUCAUUCAUGGCUGAAACCACAAAGCUAUAUAGUCAUGCACUUGGAACCUUUCCCGGCAACCUUAGCUCCAAGGAACUAAAGGUUUAGUUACUCAUGCUCUGGGGAAACUUCCUCAGAGAAUUCAUAACUAGUAAAUGAAAAAUACAAUCAAAGUGAGAAGGUAAGGCAGAGCAAAGCUCUGUAUUUUACUUUCUUUCAAACUUUUACAAAAGGUUCCUCUCUCCCGAGAACAGGCUCCCGAGAGCUAUUUAUAUGAAAAUUACAAUAAUAAUUAUUACAUGGAUAUUUACUCUUUUUCCUAACUUAAAAGUUAAGGAAUCUUAUAAUUGGUGGCUUACAAGGAGAAUUUUGGGAUUUAGACAACAAAAAUCUGAAGAAAAAUAUCUCAAUGUGUCGAUCGCAAAUAUCGGGAAGCACUAAGGACCAAUUCGUAGGUGAAAACGAGGUCUGCGAAAUUUCGCAGACGCGUAAAAAGGGCUGCGAAAUCACUUCGCAACAAAAGGCUGAUUUCGCAGCGCUGCGAAGUUGGCUUUUUGCUUGCGGUGUUCAGCUUCCAAUGUGUCGCAAAUAUCGGGAAACUUUAGGGUGAAUUCCACAGCGCUGUGCAAAAGCGCUGUGCAAGGGUCCUUAAUAUGUUAAUUGGGUUAAAAGAUGAUAACUACUACUCAAAAGUGUUUAAAAGAGUUAAUUAUAAGCUAUGAAAUAGUACUUUUUGAGUAGUAAUCACUCUCCCCAACUGACAUAUUGCUAGUCCCUUAGCAAUGAAGGAGAGAAAAAUAAAAAUAAACAGUACUAUAAUUUACAACAUCAUGCUGAUCCAAAAACAAUUUCGCAGCAAAAGGGUGAUUUCGCAGCCGUGUAAAAUUCUUCCUUCAGCUUGGAGUGAUUGGCUUCCAAUGGCUGUAACUCCUUCAUUUCAACUCCGAAUCAUGUACCGUUUAAAGCAUUAGAUUGUUGACUUCCUGAGCUUUGAAAUGACAUAUAGCAUGCAUAAAUUGGACUUCAGGAAGUGCUCCAAAAGUGGCUGACAUGACUGUCAUCAAGAAUUGCCUCAUGGCAGAUUUCUCUUUGCUUCCCCUCCUUGUACUCCGGAUUUGCUUAUGGCAAAGGACUUCAAAGCUUUGGUUCUUCAUGUUUCUGAGCUUUCCAUUACUUUUCCAUGGAUUCCAAGUAACUCUCCUCAAUCUCAUAUUGCUUUGGUGAUUAAAAAGCUAUCAAAACACCAAAACUUAGCACAAAUUGAUUAGAAGUGCUUGCAAAGGUCCUUAAUAUGUUAAUUGGGUUAAAAGGCAAUAACUACUACUCAAAAGUGUUUAAAAGAGUUAAUUACAAGUUAUGAAAUAACACUUUUUGAGUAGUAAUCAGCAGAUUUCCGGAUGUGAUACAUCCGGGGUGGAAAGCGGCAGCAGCCGGAUGGAAUGGCGGCGGCAGCCGGGUGUAAAGUGGCGACAGUUGGAUGGAAUUCCUUUCCAGGUGGAAUGUGCAGGAUCCCAUUCUCUUUGUAUUCUGGAUUUUCUUAUGGAUUCCAAAGAACUCUCCUCAAUCUCGGAUUGCUUUGGUGAUAAAAAAGCUAUCAAAACACCAAAACUUAACACAAUUUGAUUAGAAUUGAUUGCAAGGGUCCUUAAUAUGUUAAUUGGGUUAAAAGAUGAUAACUACUACUCAAAAGUGUUUAAAAGAGUUAAUUAUAAGCUAUGAAAUAGUACUUUUUGAGUAGUAAUCACUCUCCCCAACCGACAUAUUGCUAGUCCCUUAGCAAUGAAAGAGAGAAAAAUAAAAAUAAACAGUACUAUAAUUUACAACAUCAUGCUGAUCCAAAAACAAUUUCCAAUUGGCAUGAUGAUCUAACUCUCACAUGGAACAUUAAAGAAGUAAAACUCAAACUUCAUCAAGAGUUAUCAAAUAACUUAUCUAAUCACAAUUCUUAAAGAGAAGGCAUUAUGCAAAUUUAAGCUUUAAAAUCAUUUCCACUUCCAAAGGACUAAUCCUUACUCUUCAACAAAAAUCUAAGUGUUACUUGAUAGCUUCCGAAUAUAGUAUGCUAAACUAAUUUCUCCCCCCAACCUAGCUUUUUUCAACACUUAGCAAACUGACCAACUUCAAUAGGUUAAGAACGCACCCUUUUUUUUUUUUCAUUGCAGGGGUACAAGGCUUAAGGGUAUUCUUUUCUAAAUUGUCCAUGUAACGGGGAUCCAUCGAUGACUCCCAACCAAUUAAGGUUUAGGGCAUCAAGCUUUAAGGAUCUUUCAACCACUAACUCCUCGGAUUUUACCCCAGACUUUUGAGAAUGAAUUUUUAAUACCCAAGCACCUAUAGUAUGUUAAACUCCACCUAUCCACCCUUGUAACGAGCAUUGAGGCCGGUGACUCCCAACCAAUGAAGGCUUAGGGCACCAGGUUUUAAAGAUUUUCACCAUAUACCCCUCGGACCUUGCUCGGGUUUCAAGGCAAGCAAACAUUUUUUUUUUCUUUUCCAAAGGCUCAUUGGCCUUUUAUAAGGUGUCCCAACACUAUUAAAUGAGGUCAAAGGUACCAAGUCUAAAAUUUUCCUAAGUCAAGAGGGAAAUAGUUUUUCAUCUUAUACUCGGAACCUGUUGUGCACAGUGUGUGAAUAGCUUAAAGUGGAAGACAUAAGCUCGAAUUCAAUAGAAGUUUCAACAAUUCAUCAACUUUAAUAAGCAUAAUACAAACUCUAAGUCAAGUGAAAAGACAAAAAUUCAAUUUCUCCUAUUUCAAUUUGAAAAUUUUUCCUUAAUAAGCAUGGAGAGUAGAAUAAAAACUUUUAAAAAUUUUAAAAUUAAGCAAAAAACAACUAAAUUACCAAAAUAACUUAGCAUUAAUAACAAAAACUUACUUCUUCAACUCUCCUCCCAACCAAGCUGAACAUUGUCCUCAAUGUGACAAAAGCGAUUGAAAAAUAGGGAGGAAAUGGUACCUCCUGAAUGACGUGGAGUGAUGCUCAGCUGCCUCUCCUGUAGGAGGCUCCUGAUGAGGCAUAGGCUGAUCAACAAAAGGAGGGGCCUGUGAUGGCUCUGAUGAGCUGGGAAAUGGCAUGCUCAGGAGCUGAUGUAAUGCCGAGAUGAUGCUGGAUUUGCCUCAGGAUGGCAGUGUGCUGGGCCUGAGCUCCUGAUCUUACAAUUAACAAAAUUUAAGAUCAAAUUUACAAUCAAAUAAUUUACAAGACUUAAAAAUUAACAUAUUUGACAAAAUUAUGGACUUUGGUGAAAUCAAGUCCAUCUAGUUCUUCUUUGAUCAGGCUUUCUGUGGCGCAAGGAGGUUGAUUUCCUCAUUUUCUGGUUUGAAUGGUUCAAUGAAUGGCUUGAGGCGAUGACCAUUGACCUUGAAAAUGUCAAUGCUUUUGGAAUUCAGUAAUUCCACCACUCCAUUGGGAUGCACUUGGUGAAUAAUGAAAGGGCCUAUCCACCUUGACUUGAGCUUCCCUGGAAAGACAUGGAGUCUUGAAUCAUAAAGCAAGACUCUUUGUCCUUUAUGGAAUUCUUUGUUAGAGAUUAGUUGAUCAUGCCACUUCUUCAUCCUCUGUUUUGCAACUUUGGAAUUGAUGUAAGCAUCAUUUCUUAAUUCCUCCAUUUCAUUAAGGUCUAAGCACCUCUUUUCCCCAGCUCUGAUCAAGUCCAUGUUCAACCUCUUGAUUGCCCAUCAAGCUUUAUAUUCAAUUUCCACAGGGAGGUGGCAUGCUUUGCCAUAGACUAGGCGAUAAGGAGACAUACCAAGAAUAGUCUUGUAAGCUGUUCUGUAUGCCCACAGUGAAUCAUGAAACUUAAUAGACCAAUCUUUUCUGCUCGUGAUCACCACCUUCAUCAAUAUAUUCUUGAUUUCCCUAUUUGCUAGCUCAACUUGCCCGGAAGUUUGAGGAUGAUAAGGUGUAGCUACCUUAUGCUUCAAUUCAUACUUGGCUAAUAGGGUUUCAAAAGGUUUGUUGCAAAAAUGAGUACCUCCAUCACUGAUUAUGGCCUUGGGCACCCCAAAUCUUGAGAAGAUGUUCUCCUUAAGAAAUUUGAGAACCACUCUGUGAUCAUUAUGUUUACAGGGGAUUGCCUCCACCCAUUUGGAAACAUAGUCCACCCCCACCAAUAUAUAAGAGUUAUCAAAAGACAUUGGGAAAGGUCCCAUGAAGUCAAUACCCCAAACAUAAAAAAUAUCAACUAUAAGGAUGGGGUUCAUGGGCAUUUGGUUUCUUUUUGUAAGCUUCCCGAGUCUUUGGCAUCUAUCACAACUCCUACACAUGAUGUGGGAAUCUUUGAAAAGCGAUGGCCAAGUAAACCCUUAUUGCAACACCUUCAUGGCUGUUUUCUGAGAGGCAAAGUGGCCUCCACAUGCAUUUUCAUGGCAAUGGCUAAGGAUCCCUUGUUGCUCUUCUUCAGGGACACACUUUCUUAUGAUCUGAUUUGCGUAAUACUUGAAAAGGAAAGGCUCCUCCUAAUAAUAGGCAUGAAUUUUUGCAAAGAAGUGCUUCCUGUCUUGUGCAUUCCACUUACUUGGAACUUCACCAGUAACUAAAUAGUUAGCAAUAUGAGCAUACCAAGGAGCUUUCUCUAGCAACAUAAGUGAUUCCUCAGGAAAGUCAUCAUUAAUAGGUAAGACAUGGGAAUUGUGUGCUAUAGCCAACCUUGAAAGGUGGUCAGCUACCACAUUCUCCACCCAUUUCUUGUCUCUGAUCUGGAGAUCAAAUUCUUGUAACAAAAGAAUCCAUCUAAUCAACCUUGAUUUUGCAUCUUGCUUCGUCAAUAAAUUCUUCAAGGUUGAAUGGUCAGUGAAAACAAUGAUGAAAGACCCUACCAAAUAAGCGUGAAACUUGUCUAAAGCAAACACCACAGCUAACAAUUCUUUCUCUGUAGUUGUGUAGUUUCUUUGUGCCUCGUUCAAUGUUUUGCUUGCAUAGUAGAUCACGUAGGGCUUCCCAUCUUCUCUUUGGCCAAGUACAACUCCUAUAGCAAAGUCAUUGGCAUCACACAUCACUUCAAAGGGUAGUUGCCAGUUAGGAGCCCUUACUAUCGGAGCUGUUGUUAAGAAUUGCUUCAGUUGAUCAAAUCUAUUUUGACAUCUUUCAUCCCAUAUAAACUUAGCAUCCUUAGCCAAAAGCUCACAAAGAGGUUUUGAAAAAUUAGAAAAAUCUUUUAUAAAUCUCCUAUAGAACCCUGCGUGGCCAAGGAACUGCCUUACUCUUUUUACAGUUGUUGGGGACGACAAUUUGACAAUAAGCUCCACCUUUGCUUUAUCAACUUCAAUGUCUUUCUCGGAAAUGAUAUGGCCAAGGACAAUUCCUUGACGUACCAUAAAAUGACAUUUCUCUCAGUUGAGCACCAAGUCAUUCUCAAUGCAUCUGUGAAGAACCGCUUCCAAAUUGACUAAGCAUUCCUCAAAUGUACCUCCAUAUACGGUGAUGUCAUCCAUGAAAACCUCCAUAAUUCGCUCCACCAUAUCACUGAAGAUACUCAACAUACAUCUUUGGAAUGUUGCAGGUGCAUUGCAUAAACCAAAAGGCAUUCUUCUAUAGGCGUAUGUUCCAAACGGACAUGUGAAAAUGGUCUUCUCCUAAUCUUCAACAUCAAUUUCAAUUUGGAAAUACCCGGAGUACCUGUCCAAGAAACAAUAAAAAGGAUGGCCAGAGACUCUCUCCAGCACCUGAUCAAUAAACGGGAGUGGAAAAUGAUAUUUCCUUGUCACAACAUUCAGUUUCCUAUAGUCAAUACACACCCUCCAGCCUGAAGUGAGGCGUGUAGCAAUUUCUUCUCCUUUCUCAUUCUGAACCACAGUAAUCCCUGACUUCUUUGGUACCACUUGAGUAGGACUGACCCAAGGGCUGUCAGAUAUGGGAUAAAUAAUACCUGCUUGGAGUAGCUUCAGCACUUCAGCUCGCACCACUUCUUGUAAAUGAGGAUUCAAUCUUCUUUGAGGUUGACGAAUUGGUUUAGCUUCUUCCUCCAUAUAUAUGUGAUGUGUACAAACUAAAGGACUAAUGCCUUUCAAGUCAGAUAUUUGCCAUCCUAUUGCUUUCUUACACAUUUUGAGAACUUCAAGUAAACACUUCUCCUGAUGACUAGUAAGAGAUGAAGAUAUAACAACAGGACAUUGAUUAUUUUCUUCAGUAACUUCUCCUUCCUCUUUAUGGAACAAAUGUAGAAUCUCUUCUCUUCUCUUCCAACUUUGUAGAGUAGCAAGCACAUCUAAGGGUUCAGGCAACCCUUCUUCAAGAUUCCCAAGACUUUCAUUCAGCUUGUUUUGCAUAUUCUGAUUACAGUGCUCCUCCACUAGAGUGUCGAUAAUGCAUACCUCUUCUGGACCUUCUUCUUCUUCCGGAGUGAUUUGCUUUUUAGAUAUAUGAAAAAUGUUGAGCUCAAGUGUCAUGUUGCCAAAAGUGAGUUGCAUGAGUCCAUUCCUACAAUUGAUGAUUGCAUUUGAGGUAGCAAAGAAUGACCUUCCAAGGAUGAUAGGAACUGAAUUAGCUUCCUUUACAGUAGGAUCCGUAUCAAGAACAACAAAAUCUAUCGGAUAGUAGAAAUUAUCAACUUGAACUAAAACAUCCUCAGUUACUUCCCUUGGAAUUUUUACUGAUCUAUCUGCUAGAGAUAGGGUGAUUGAUGUUGGCUUCAACUCACCAAGUCCCAAUUGCUUGUAGACAGAGUAUGGUAGCAAAUUCACACUUGCUCUCAAGUCUAACAAAGCUUUCUCCACUACCUUUCCUCCAAUCAUGACUGAAAUGGUAGGACAUCCCGGAUCUUUGUACUUCAAAGGAGACUUGCAUUGUAUGAUUGCUCUUACUUGCUCAGUCAAGAAGGCUUUCUUGUUCACAUUCAACCCUCUUUUGAUAGUACACAAGUCUUUUAAGAACUUUGCAUAUGUUGGAACUUGCUUAAUCAUAUCCAGCAGUGGGAUAUUGAAUUUCACUUGUCUCAAUACUUCAAGGAUUUCAGAUGCAUUUUUGAUCCCCUUUUUCCCAUGCAACGCUUGAAGAAAAGGUGGAGAAGUUGGUUUCUUCAGCAUUUCUUCCGUAAGAAGUUCUUUCUCCGGAUUUGCAUUCACUGUUGAACCAUGGUCCUCCUCCCCUUCACUGAUAUCUUUCUUCUUUCCUUUCAUUUCCUCCCUCUUCUUUAUCUCUUCGUCUUUCUUCUCUUCAACACAUGGCUGGAGUGUUGGUGGCUCAAUCUUUUUACCACUCCUUAGAGUGAUCAAGGCUUUAACAUCUCUCACCUGUAAAGAUUCUCCCUCAUGAGUUUCCACUUCGUGGAUACCCUUGGGGUUUUGGUGAGGUUGAGAAGGAAAUCUACCCUUCUCUUGCACUGUGUUCAUGUUAGUGAGCCUUGAGAUUGAGUAUUGGAGAUUAUCUAUCUUUUGAGAUAGACCAUUUUGCAUUCCAUCCAUCCUUUUAUUCAAAGUACUCUCUACACUGUCAAUUCUUUGACUGAGUUGAGCAUUGAUGGCUUUUUGGUCUCCAACAAAAUCUCCUACAACCUUGCUGAGAUUCACUAUUGCUUGUUCAAGACUUGAAGAUUGUUGAGAUGGUUGAGAUGAUUGAGCCGGCUGUUGGUACUGAGAUGCUCUUGGCUUCCAUGAGAAAUUUGGAUGAUUCCUCCAACUUGAGUUGUAAGUAUUUCCAUACGGAGCAUCGUUAUUGGGCCUGAAUUGUCCAAUGACAUUUGCUUGAUCUCCAAACAUUUCCCUUACAGCUGGAAUUGUAGGGCACUCCUCCAUCAAGUGUUCAUAAGAGUGACAAAUAGGACACGGCUGUCCUUGCACUGGUGUUUCAACAACAGCUUGCACUUCAUGCAUCUUUUUCAGUUCUAGCUCCUCCAAUCUUCUUGUCAUGGCCGCAAACUUUGCUUUUAUAUCAUCAUCUUCAUUCAAAGUAUACAUCUCAGCCUUAGCAUGAAGAGCAUUUGGUUGAAAAUUCAUCUUUCCCACUUCUCCUCUGUGCGGUUCAUCCCAUCCCCUUGAGACUUCAGCUACAUAACUCAAGAAAUUCAUAGCUUCCUCAGGAUUCUUACUCAUGAAAUCCCCUCCACACAUUGUUUCAAGGAGUUGCUUCAUUGAGGAAGACAUCCCAUCAUAGAAAUAGCUCACCAAUAGCCAUGUAUCAAAGCCAUGGUAAGGACAAGCAUUAAUGGCUUCCAUGUAUCUUUCCCAACACUCAUAGAAUUUUUCAUUCUCUUUAGCUGAGAAGUUUGAAAUUUGCCUUUUCAAGCCAUUUGUUUUGUGAGUGGGAAAAAAUUUCUUGAGGAAUUCAGCUUGUAAAUCAGUCCAAGUACGGAUACUCCUUGGCCUUAAAGAAUUAAGCCAAAUCUUGGCCUUAUCCUUUAAAGUAAAAGGAAAUAGUUUAAGCCUCAUCAGGUCGAUAGAAGCUCCUCCAUCUCGGAAUGUAUUACAAACAUCUUCAAAUUCCUUGAUAUGUGCGUAGGGAUUCUCACUUUCCAUCCCAUGGAAAGUUGGUAGAAGUGGCACAAUAUGGGGUUUGAUCACUAGCUGCUCUGUAGGGGGCACUAUACAUGAUGGUGCACUCAUACGAGGUGGAUGCAUUCGGUCCCUCAUUGAUCUGAAUUCAUUGGGAUUGUCCUGAUGACCAUGGUGACUAUGCUGAUCUUCAGGUGUAGCUUCCAUGAUAUUCAAGGUCAAUUCCAACUCCUUGGUAUGAGGUGUUUCAAGUUUAACAAGCCUUUCUCCACUAUCUCGUAUCCACUUUGGCAUACACAACUAGUAUCAACUGUAACUAAAAUGAAAAUAAAAGAACACAAAAGAAAACAGGGCUACAAAAAAAAAACUAAAAUGAACUAAACUGAAUUUAAAAGAUAUAUUAGAUUAUGAACAAGUAAAGAUACAAUAAAAAAAAUAAGAAUUGGUAAAAUGAAAUAAAAGUUACCAAACUUGUGAUGAAAAUCACAAGUACUCUGGUAUAGUAUCACUAUGAAGUUGGCACCUUCCCCGGCAACGGCGCCAUUUGAUUCAUGCCCAGUCGAUGUAUCAGUUGAUUCAUGUCCAACUGGUGCUCCUUGAUUGAGGGAGUAAUCAACAAAAUUUAUAACCUAUUACACCAUGACUAGGGUAGCAAAGACAAAGCUACUAUAGCAUAGUGGCUCUAGGAUCGUUCACUGGGAAGGGUUUUCAAUUCAUAAAUGAUACCAAUUCAAAGAUGAAUUGGUGCCUUUUCAUUUCAAGGUUAGCUUAAGAAAUAAAACACAAACUUUGAUUGAAAAAAUUUUAGGUUUAAGCUAACGGCAAAGGAAGUAAUGGAAAUUACUUAUGAAGAAAAACAUUCCUUGGAGGUUUAGGUUCAUAGGGGAGGUUCCUUAUGCAAAAACAGAGCUCCGGUCAUUUGGUUCAUUUCCUCGCAUUAGAGAAUUAACAUAUAGUCAAUUCUCUAACCGGUUUUGUACAGAUGCUUCCCCUUAAUGGAUUCAAAUAAUAAUUCCCUCUCACUGAUGCACCUUACAAUGGCUCAUACCUCUCACCUAGCACUUGCCAUUCAAGGUGAUCUUUAACCUUGGAUUACCCGUCAAAAGCUCGCAAGAGAUAACUAAUGGAUGUCUCUGUGGAGUCCAAAAGCUUACCAAGUGUUGGCUAUUCUAUAAAAUCCUACCUUCAAACCACCCCCCAAAGGCUCGCAAGAGAUAAACUAGUGCAUCUCUAUGGAUGGAGAUCACUUGCCUUAUCAAGUGUUGGCCCAGGUGAUUUAAAGGCAUUUUAAGUUAACUAAAAAGAUAAAACCAUUAACUGGUCACACUUUCUUUUCAUUAAUGGCUGAAACCACAAAGCUACUAAUUCUUGUACUUGGAACCUUUCCCGGCAACCUUAACUCCAAGGAACUAAAAGUCUAGCCACUCAUUCUCUGAGGAAACAUCCUUAGAGCUUGUUUGGCUAGUAAGAAAAUACAAUCAAAAUGAGAAGGUAAAAGCAGAGCAAAGCUCUGUAUUUUUCUUCCUUUUAAAAUUAUACAAAAGUUGCGUCAUCCCAAGAACAGGCUCCCGAGAGAUAUUUAUAUGAAAAUUACAAUAAUAAUAUCUAUAAGGUUAUUCAACCUUUUUCCAAACUUAAUAACUAAGGAAUCUUAUAAUUGGUGGCUUACAAGGAGAGUUUGGGGAUUUAGACAUCAAAUAUCUAAAGAUGUCGAUCGCAAAUAUCGGGAAGCUUCAGGAGAACACCGCAGCACUGUGCAAAAUUGGCUGCGAAACUCUCCGAGUGAGCGCUAUUAGAGGAUCCGGAUAUGUAUAUCCGGAGAAGUUGAAACGCUCUCCUCUCCCAUCCGGCGUCAGAAUUCCAGAUGUGAAACAUCCGGGGUGGAAAGCGGCGGCAGCCGGAUGGAAUGGCGGCGGCAGUCGGGUGUAAAGUGGCGGCAGCCGGAUGGAAUGUGGCGACAGCCGGAUGGAAUUCCUUUCCGGGUGGAAUGUGCAGGAUCCCAUACUCCUUGUAUUCUGGAUUUGCUUAUGGAUUCCAAAGAACUCUCCUCAAUCUUGGAUUGCUUUGGUGAUCAAAAAGCUAUCAAAACACCAAAACUUAACACAAUUUGAUUAGAAUUGAUUGCAAGGGUCUUUAAUAUGUUAAUUGGGUUAAAAGGUGAUAACGACUACUCAAAAGUGUUUAAAAGAGUUAAUUAUAAGCUAUGAAAUAGUACUUUUUGAGUAGUAAUCACCUUUUGCAUAUUUUACGGCUACAAGUAAAUGAACCUUUUGAUCAACGCUUUAGAAAGCCUAUAAUCCUAAUAACUAGGUUUAAUGGUUCAAUUAUUGUAUCUCUAGGAGACAUUGUAGUCUCAAUGUCAAUCGUGUUAGUAACAAUGAUGGUCAAAUUCUAUGUCAUGGAAGAUCCUUCUCCCUAUAAUACCAUCCUUGGUUAAGCAUGGAUCCAUGGAAUGAAGGCCAUACCUUCAGCCUACUAUAAAAAAAAGUAAGCUACUUGACUGAAUGAGGGCUAAUUGACAUCUUUGGGGAUCAAACCUCAUCUUGGUGAUGUUAUUAGGUUUCGACCCUCCUAGUUGCUAGUAAAAACUGUGAUCUAGGUAGUUUUAGUGAAGAAAAAUAACAAUUAAUGAGUGGGAACCACUCAGUGCCUUACUAGGGAAAGAAGAGGUAAUUGGAGACUUAUAUGGAAUUGCUCUGGGUAAGUUAGAUGUCAUUGUUUGAGGAAUUCAUGGUGGACCACAAAACCUCUAGGUUUAUUAAAAAGUUAAGUCACUCAUCAUUCGAAAUAGAGUAUUGGGCAUGAAACUCAACCAUCGAAGAACCUGCUCAAGAUGAGGAAGUCUUGAUGCUCGACGAAUCCUUCAACCAUUUGAUGUCAACAACAUUUAGUAGCGACGCUCCCAAUCUCCGAUCCAUAAGAGGCCACUCUUCACUCUCUAAACUUUCUAAUUCUAUUAACAUGGUCAACAACUCUUAAAUUGCCUAUCAUGAGACACCACACGGUGAACUACCAAUCGAGAAUAACUACUUUAACUAGAGCCAAGUGGCAUAACACAAUAGCAUAACCUCUACACAUGAGUGCUUGAACUAAGCCAAUCUACAACCUAGUGUAGUAAUAGUGAUCAAGUACUUGAACAAGUCUUAUUGUGCAUACAAAGCACCUAGCUAGCCUUAAGAGUGCCCACGAUGCACUUGACUUCAGGGUUAAAAAAUAUCCGCCUCGACACCGACCACGAUGAGUCUGAUACCAGAUACAGAUUUAUACCCAGACACGACCUUGAAUCGAUUGGACUCGGAUGAGUCGGUUGAUAUUCCGAGUUAACUCGACCGACUUGGUUAAAAAAAAAAAACCAAUAAAGAGAUUCCCUCUUCUUUCCUAUUAUAACAAGAAUCAAAGAUUUUUAGAGAAAUCAUAGAUUCCUCCACAAAAGAAAACACUCGUGGAUUUGUGAUUCACGAACCUAAUCUUUCAACCAUAACAUCAAACGAGAAGAGGAAAAACAAGUUUGAAACAAACCCAUGACUAUUUCAAAAGCCUUUAAAAAGAGAAAAAUAAAUAAAGGAUGAGAUAUGGUUGAACAUUUACUUACUUGACCCUAAAUCUACCAUUGCAAGAGUGUAGAUCUUUAGUGCACUGUCGGUGCCGCAAUGGUGACGGGAUGCCGACAAGGCAAUCCUCCUCCCUCUGAUUGUGGUUGGGUGGUGUCAUGACUGCUACAAACAUGUGACUGUGUGUGGCAAUGUGGGUGUGUUGGGGAAGGUUCGACAGUCUGCAGAACGUGGUGUGUUGGGGAAGAUAACCAUCAAAUCGUGGUGUGUUGGGUCAUUGGGGAAGGCAAGCUAGCAAAAAAGAAAUUGAAGAUACAUUGGUAAAGGUAAAAUUUGAUUUACCUUAUUUAAAUCAACACACCCACACUGCCACACACAGUCACACCACAUUGAGAUUAUAUUUUUAAUUUAUUGAAUCAAAUUAUAUAAAUUGGUAAUUUAUAUUUUGUUGGCUAAUUUGAUUCAUAAUUUGAGAUUAGAUUAACAAAUUACAUAAUUUGAAUCAAUUUAAAAUAUAUUUAAAAUUUGAUUUACCUUAUUAUGUUGAGAUUAUAUUUUUCAUUUAUUAAAUUAUGUAAUUUUUUAUUUUAUAAUAUUAAAUUAAUUUACAUGUAUUUAAAUUGGUAAAAUUAGAAAAUUCAUGUAUGCAGUGUAAAGUAAUGUUUAGAUGUAAUGUUAUGAAAUUGAAGAAUUGGAAAGUAAUGUUUAUAUAAAAUUGGAGAAUUCAUAAUGAUAAUAUUAUGACGAUAUUAAAUAUAUUUAUAUGUAAUGUUUUUAUUUUAUGUAGAGAUUAUAUUUUUAAUUUAUUAAAUUAUGUAAUUUUUUAUCUUAUAAUAUUAAAUUGGUUCACUAAAUUAUUUUUGUAUGGUAUAAAAAUUAUAUUUCUUAAUAUAAAAUACAUUUAUAUGGUAAACUUUAUAUGAUAUAUAUAUAUAUUGUAUUUUUAAUUUAUAUUUUUAUCUUAUAAUAUUGCAAAAUUAAAUUACAUUAGAAAAUUAAUAAUUUUUUAAAAUAAUUUUUUUUUUCAAAUAAUCAUAACUAUAAAAGUAAUGAUUUAAUAAUACGAAUUGAAGGGUAUGUAUUUACAUGGUAUAGAGAAAUUACAUUUAUAUUUGAAUCAAUUUUACUUUAUUAUAUCAUGUAGAUUUUUUAUUUUAUAAUAUUCUACAAUUAAAUUACAAUAGGAAAUCAAUAAUUAUCAAAACAAUAAAUUGGUUCACUAAAUUAUUUUUGUAUGGUAUAGAAAUUAUAUUUCUUAAUAUAAAAUACAUUUAUAUGGUAUAGAUAUUAUACUUUUAAUUUAUGUUUUUAUAUUAUAAUAUUACAAAAUUAAAUUACAUUAGAAAAUUAAUAAUCAUUAAAUUUUUUUUCUUCAAAUAGUCAUAACUAUAAAAGUAAUGACUUAAUAAUAUGGAUUGAAGGGUUUGCAUUUACAUGGUAUAGAGAAAUUACAUUUAUAUUGGAAUCAAUUUUACUUCAUUAUAUCAAGUAGAUUUUUUUAUAAUAUUCUACACUUAAAUUACAAUAGGAAAUCAAUAAUUAUCAAAACAAAAAAUUGGUUCACUAAAUUAUUUUUGUAUGGUAUAGAAAUUAUAUUUCUUAAUGUAAAAUACAUUUAUAUGGUAAACUUUAUAUGGUAUAGAUAUUAUAUUUUUAAUUUAUGUUUUUAUCUUAUAAUACUACAAAAUUAAAUUACAUUAGAAAAUUAAUAAUUAUUUAAAACAAUUUUUUUUUUCAAAUAAUCAUAACUAUAAAAGUAAGGAUUUAAUAAUACGGAUUGAAGGGUAUGCAUUUACAUGGUAUAAACAAAUUUCAUUUAUGUUUGAAUCAAUUUGACUUCAUUAUAUCAUGUAGAUUUUUUAUUUUAUAAUUUUCUACAAUUAAAUUACAAUAGGAAAUCAAUAAUUAUCAAAACAAACCUUUUUAAAAGAAUUUUGUUUUAUAAAAAUAUUCAUUUAUUUAACUAUUAUUUAUUUUAAUUAAAAAAAAUAUAAAUAAGUAGAAACUAAAAGAUGGUGAACUUAGGUGAGAUUGUGUAUAUUGCUUUUUUAGUAGAAUUUAUUUUUAUAUGGUAACAAUAUGAAACUUUUAAGUGAGUGGAAAAUUGAAUAUUAUAAUUUUUAUAUAAAUGUGUUUAUAAGUAUUUAAUUUGAAAAGUAAGUUGUUUUCCUUUGAUACAUGAUUAGGUUAAAAUUUCAAAAUGACUUCAAAACAUGCUAUUGGUUAGGAGCAUGCAAAAUCUGUUGGUGGAAAUUGAAGAACCACGAAGUGUAAAUAUUGUGGGAAAGUUAUACAUGACGAUAUAACAAGAUUAAAGCAACACAUCACACAUAUAUUCAGACAAGUGGAAUGAUGUUCAUGUGUACCGGUAGAAGUGUUACAUAGUGUUAGACAACAUAUGUAUGAUACUUCAAAAGAAAAAUCACAGUUAUAGAAAAAAAAAAUGAACGACUUUUGAGUUCCUUAAAUAAAGAAAAUUUCUAUGAAAUUGAUGAGGAUGAUUCUAAAAAUGAAAUUAAGGAAGUUGCUAUGGCUGAUUUUGAAAGAAGACAAUGAAACAAGCAAUGAAAGAAAGUCAUCGAAUUUUUGAAGAAAAUAGACAAGAGCAUUAGAAGGGUGCUAGUUCCUCACAACUUUCUAAUGCUAAUAUUAAGCACAGACCGACACAUAGCUUCAGUGUAAGAGAAAGAACUAGCAUACCUCCAAAAGGAAUUGAUCCCUACAUGUUCCUAUCAAAGCAGAAAUCAAUAAAAAGCUUGUUUUCUACUGAAGGCGUGAAUAGAGUGGGUAAAACUAUUUCUAAAUUCUUUCUCUUUAAUGCAAUACCCUUUAAUGCAACUGACAGUGGGUCUUACUAUCAAUCAAUGAUUGAUGCCAUAGCAAAAGAAGAUUCAGACAUCAAGGGUCCCACGGGAUACCAAAUUAGAAAUACAUAUUUGGAAGAGGAGGUGCAAGAGCUUGAGGUAUAUAUAACAACAUUGAAGGCUAAAUGGCCUAUAUAUGGGUGCAUAAUCAUGUUUGAUGAUUGGAGUUCUAGGACUAGAAAGCCUAUCAUCAAUUUCAUGAUUUAUUGUGAUAGAAGUAUGAUAUACCAUUCUUCAGUUGACACUACCAACAUACCUAAGAAAGCAUACUACAUCUUUUCCCUUAUGGAUAAAGUUGUAGAGGAGGUUGGGGAGGAAAAUGUUGUUCAAGUAGUCAUUGAUAAUGAGGUAAGUUUUAAAACAGUCGAUAUGUGGUUGAUGGAGAAGCGCAAGCAUUUGUUUUGGUCUCCUUGUUCAGCCCAUUGUAUUGAUUUAAUGCUUGAAGAUAUUGCAAGCAUGAAGAAAAUUAAGGAGACAUUAGAUCAAGAAAAAAUGAUCACAAGAUUUAUUUAUAAUAGCUUGAAAGUAGUGAAUUUGAUGAAAGUGUUCACCAAGGAUAAAGAUCUAUUAAGAUCAGGAAUAAUCUGUUUUGCUACUAAAUUCAUUUCACUUGAGUUGAAGAGAAUGUACACAACAAAUGAGUGGCAUGAAUUUAAUAGAGAUAAGAGCAAAAAAAGUCUAAGAGAUAAGGUAUCCCACCUUAUCUUAACUGAUCGAUUUUGGAAGAAGGUAGGGGAAGUUCAAACCAUCAUGGAACCUCUUGUCAAAGUAUUGAAAUUGGUUAAUCAAGAUAAAAAAAACCCACACUAUCAAUCAUUUAUGAAGCAAUGGAUAGAGCUAAAUUGGCUAUCAAAGCAUCAGUUAAGCAAAGAGAAAACUAUUGGGAAGUCAUUGAUAGAAGGUGGGAAAGUCAAUUGCACAGACAUUUGCAUGCUGUAGGUAAUAAAAAAUUCUUUAUAUAUUUUUUAUUAUUUUUUUCAAGUACAAAUUAUUAUAAAUUGAUCAUUAUUUAACUUAUGUCAACAUAUUUUUUAAAUUCAAUGUUCCAAUAUUCAAAGUAUUUUUCCAACCAUUUGGAAAUUAAAAUAGGAUUAAAUGAGAUUAUCAAGAGAUUAGAGCCGGAUUUGGAUAGACAAGCAAAAGCUAUUAACGAGGUAUGAUAAUAGUUUGUGACCUUUAUAUAAUUGUGGACCCCGCAUUUCGACUCAUACGUUUCCCACUCGAUGGCGAGCUCGAUUUUUAUUUCGAAAAAAUGAUAUUUACUGAUUAAGAAAAAUUGACUUGGAGUCGCCACUUAUUUUUGUUUUAUUUUUAAAGGGUAAAUAAAAUAAGAAAGAAAAACCCUAAGUGUGACUCCUUGUUUCGGAAAAGGUGGUCUGUGAAAAACCGGGUCGGGUUCGGGGGUCAGGUUACUUAUUGGGAAGGCACGGUAAAGACCGUAGCACCCCUCUAAGUCCCUAAAGUCGGGUCUCUACUAAUAAAAUGAAGCUGAUAUGGCAACCAAUAAGAAAAUCAAUGGAUACUCAAAUCGAUUAGGCGCAUAUGAGAAUCGAAGCAUGCAAUAGAGAGUGACCAGAAUAGGAGCGGAUGCGUACCUGGGCCACGAACGAACAAUGCGCUAUCAUAGAAAUGGAGUCAGUGCACAAUAUAUAGUACGAAACAUAUCACAUGCAUACUAAGCAGGGAUUAAAAUUGUUCGAAGAAAAACUGGAUUUUUGAAAUUCAUUCGAGAGUCGGACUCUUAGCGAUUAUUUGAAAAUUGGAGUUUUGGAGAUUAUUCGAAAAUUGGAUUCUUAGGAAUUAAAUGUAAGAAUGAGAAUUUUAGAGAUUAAAUUUGAAAGAAAAUUGGGAUUUUGAGGAAUUAUUUAAAAGUUCGGGAUUUUUAAGAAAAUUUGAGUUUACGAAAAUUGGGACUUUGGGAGUUGAAUUUUGAAAGGGAUCAGACUUGUAAGUUAUUUGCGAAGUAGAAAUUAUGCAAGUUGAUUUAUGAAAAUUGGAAAUCUUGAAAAUCAUUUGAAGGCGGACGUUUUAGAAACGAAUGAAUAAAAUGAUAACAAUAAUAGUGAUAACAAUAAGUGAGUAACCGGAUAAAUACGAUAAUUGGAAUAUUGAGAAGUGAAAAUUAAAUUCAGAGAUAGGACAAUUGGAAUUUCAGAUAGAUAAAUUUAGAAAUCGGAAUUUUUGAAGAAUUAGACUUUAAUGGUUGAGAUCUUUAAGGGGAAUAAAUAGGUAAGUAUGGAAUAAUGUUGCCAAUUAGCGGGAGCAAAAUUUUUAAACGAAUAGAAAAUGAAUAGUGGAAUUUUUAAAAUUGAAAAUCAAGUUAGGACGUUGGAUUUUUUAAGAACUGGACUUUAAAUAAAUAGAUAAGUGGGGGGAUAAUAAUUUUAAUUGAUGAAAAUAAGAUAUAGAUGAAUAGCGAAAUUUUUAGGAUUGAGAAAUUAAACUAAGACAUAGGAUUUUUGAAGGAUUAGACUUUGGAAUACUAGAUAGAUAUGGGAUAAUGAUUCUAAUUGAUGAAAAUAAGGUUUAAACAGAUUAUUGAGAGAUUAAAUUGAGGCAUGUGAUUUUUGACAGAUUAGACUAGAUAAAUAUGGGAUGAUGGUUCUAUUUAAUGAAAAUAAGAUUUAUACGAAUAUUUGAAAGAUUGAAUUAAGGCAGAGGAUUUUUUUGAGGAUUAGGCUUUAAAUAACUAAGUAAGUAUGAGAUUAUAAUUCUAAUUGAUAAAAAUAAGAUUUAAACGAAUUAUUGAAAAAUUAAAUUAAGGCAUGAGAUUUUCGAAUGAUUAGACUUUAAACAAAUAGGUAAAUAGGGGAGGAUAAUUCUAAUGAAAAUAAGAUUUAAACGAAUUGUAGAAUUUUUGGAAUUGGAAAAUUAAGUUAGGGAGUUGGAUUUUCGAGAGAUUAGACUUUAAAUAAGCAAAUGAAUAUAGGAUACUAAUUCAAAUUAAAGAAAAUAACGUUUAGACAAAUAGUAGAAUUUUAGGAUUGAAAAUUAAAUUAUGACAUUGGGUCUUUUUAAAGGAUUGGAUUUUAAAUAAAUAAAUAAAUAUAGGAUAAUAAUUCUAAUUGACGAAAAUAACAUUUAGACGAAUAAUGGAAUUUUUAGGAUCGAAAAGUUAAAUUAGGACAUUGGAUUUUGAAGAAUUGAAUUUUAAUAAUUAGAAUUUUUUUAAAAGAAUGAAAUGAAUAAAUACAGAAUAAUGAUAAUGAUAAUAAGAAUAAUAUAUAAACGGAUGAAAGUAAAUAAUCGAAUAUUUGAAAUUGAAAAAUAAAUUAGGAAGUCAGAUUUUUAAAGAAUUGAAUUUUUUAAAUGAAAUAAUUAAAUAAAUAUAGAAUAAUAAUAUUAAUAAUAAUAAAUAAUAUUUAAACGGAUGAAAGUGAGUAGUGAAAUUUUUGAGACUGAAAUUUUGAAGAGUUAUUUAGAGAUGGGAUUUUAAAUAAAUGAAAGAGUGAAUAAAUAAAUAAAUAAAUAAAUGGAAUAAUAAAAAUAAUAAUGAUUGGAUAAAUAAUUACGAAGAUAGAAAUUUUGGAAAUUAGAAAUUUUGAAACAUUGAAUUUAAGAAUUUGAAUAUUGGAAAAUUACAUUUAAAAUUAAAACCUUAGAAAAUUAUCAUGAGAAUUGAAUUUUAAAGGACUAAAACUUGAAAAAUAAUAAUAAGCGAAUGAAUAGAUAAAUAAACAAACAAUAUUGGAGUUCGGGAAAAUUGGAUAUCAAGAAUUGGAGUUACAUGAACUAAAUUUAGAUUUAAAUUUGAGAAGGUUAUUUCGGAAAUGCUACAUAAAUAUAAAUAUUAUUUUUUUUAGAACAAAUGAAUGAAUAAGUAAAUCUAGGACUUUGAAAUUUUAAGGGAUUUUAUAGGGGUCAUUUGAGAACGUGAAACAAAGGAAAGGUGAAUGACUAAAAUAAAUUAAGCAAAGAAAAAUAAAACUCUUAGUGUUGGGAGUUAGGAAAUGAGGCAAUGAUGGCCACUGCAUACGCCUUGGAGGGUGGCUGGUGCGGACUAGGACUCGACGUUACAACCCUCCACGGCGAGAGGAUCGUCCUCAUAGCUUCCGUCGCUGCCGCCGACGGUGGUGAGGAGAUCGACCACGGGGAUGAUGGAGUCGGCGCGCCAUGCACGCGGGGAGUCAGGCGCGGUGCCGGGUGGGUCACAGCGCCAACAGUUUGGACUUCUAGUCCCAGGCGAGCUUGAUGGAGGUCUUCACUCUCUAAACUCUCUCUCUUAUGAUUUCGUUUUUACCAUUUAUUCAACAACAAAUCAACUCGAUUUCUAAUGUCCUAUCUCUGAAUCAAAAAUGGAGGCUCAACAUAAUUUAAAAGCGGAAACAGAGGCGCUGUUGAAUGUAGAGAAGCAGAUUAGACUCGCCGGAGACGUCUCCGGAACCAAAAAUAACGUCACUGACAUCCUUCAACUAUGCUUCGAGGCCAGAGCGUGGAAGACCCUCAACGACCAGAUUGCUUUUUUAUGGAAACGACGUGACCAACUUAAACAGACUGUAACUACAAUGGUCCAGCAAACUAUGUUGUAUAUUGACCAAACACCGGAUAUUAAAACUAAGAUUGGGCCCAUUUAAAACACUUAACAGUGUGCUGAGUGGAAAGAAGCUUGGCUGAAAGAAUGGAAAUGCUCUAGAUCAUUGAAGGUAAUAGUUUCCAACUUUUUACAGAUUUCAUGGCUUGCAUGGUAUCUAGGAGUGGUGAAAGCUCAGCAUGGUUGGGCAGGUAGACAAUAAAACUAACUAGUUGUUGUGACUCGAAAAGGCAGACCAAAACGAAGACAAGGAUUGAGGUACCAAAAACAGAGAUGAACGACCUCAAACGGAACACUUUCAAAAUGAUAAAUAAACAAACAAAAUACUCAAUAUAUGGGAACCCGUUUCAUGCCGAAAUAAAUGGGCUCCAUGGCCGAUGACAUAACUCGAACCGUAUCCAGAUUUAUCUUUGCAGUGAACGCCCAAAGAGAGUGACAAAGAAAACAGAGCAAUAAUAUACCCAAAUAACAUGAGAGCUAGAAAACCACCAGAUAAAUACAUGAAGAAUGAUAUGAUAAGGAUGAUGAAUAGAAAAACCACAAUGCUCGUACCUGAAAGCCUCUUCCCCGUUUAAGAUAUCUCGUCUUCAAAAACUCAUCUGAAUGAAUCCCUUGGAGCCCCCGUUACUUGGUUCCCCGGUGAGCUGUAAAGACCCCUGCUCUGUUCCUUCUCAGUUCAGCUCUAAAAAAAUAUCCUCCUGAACGGCCCGAAAAAAAUCCCUCAUCUUCUCCGUGGCCAUCUCCCCUCCUGAAGAAAAGCCCCAGAUGUCUCCCUUUUCUUUUCCUCUGUUUGUGUCUUCCUCAGCAAGCCAUCCUCGGCUCCACUGCUUCUCUCGUCAGCAAGGAUGGUGUCUCUGACCAUCAGCAUGGCCUGUGGCAUGCCCAUGCAGCUGAUUUCCCGGGCGUAGGGAAAAGGGGGCCCCCACUUACUUGCCUAGGGUGCUGCCAGCUGCUAGUGAUGAGGAGGCACCCUUCCAAUGUUAUUAUUAAAAAAACCUAAAGUCCCCGGCUCUUGAAAGGGGGUCUACAAUAAUAGAUUUUGUAUAUGUAAUGGGCAUUAACAAAAAAAAAAGUUAAUGAUGUAGGUGAAAUUAUUUGUUGACAGCCAAGGAGAAUUUGGAAGUGCAUUUACAAAGAAAACAAUAAAUCAAUCUCUUCCAAGUACUCAAUACAUUUAUGUCUAUUACAAAUAAGAUAUUAUCAUCAUUUUUUGUUAAAUAUAUCAUAGUGAUUAAUAAGUAUGCAUUUUCUUUAUUAUAAUGUGGAACAACUAUGGUGACGAAGGUCCACAUCUACAAAAGAUUGCUGCUAAAAUUUUAAGCCAAACUUGUUCUUCGUCAGGUUGUGAAAGAAAUUAGAGCACAUGGUCAUUGAUUCACACAAAGUUGCAUAACCAUUUGACAAUUAAAAAAUUGCAUAAGUUAGUUUAUGUGCACUACAAUAUGUGACUUCGAGUUAAGAAUUUGAUGCAAGAGCGAAACAAUAAAUAUUUAUGCAAUCCAUUUGAUCUGAAUCGUAUCUUUAAUGAUGAUGAUAUAUUAGAUGAGUGGAUACGAAAAGGAGAGGAGCCUAUUUUAUCAUAUGAUAAUUUGGAUUGGUUGGAUAAAGGUCUUUUCCCUAGUGAAGAAGGUAGAGAAACAGUUCAUGAAAAUGAUGGUGCCACAAAUCAUAGAGUUAGUAGGCGUACAAGUAAUGGUACACAAGAAAGAGAUAUUGAUUCCCAUUGUAAAGGUAAGGAUCCUAGAACAAUUUGUUCAAGUUCUAGUAGUGAUGAUGGUAACAAUGGGGGCAGUAGGUAGGGUGGUGGCACUUGUGGGGGCAGUAGAGGAGUUGGUGGCACUGGUGAGGAUAAUGAAGGAGAUGGUAGCACUGGUGACGGUUAUGUUAGUCAAGUAGAUCCUGACAUGUCAUGGGCACAAGGAGAUGGAAAUUACUAUGUCACACAAGAUACAGAUCAUGGAUAUUGACUAGGGAUAUGGGAACAACAAAAGUAUUUGGAAAAAUUAACUACAUUUCCUAGCGAUGAUGAAUAUUCUAGUGGGCAUGAUUAUCAUAGAUCAAAUUAUCACCGUAUUGAUGAGUACUUACAGAAUUUUGGUAUAGGAUCAAGGCCGUAUUUCAGAGGAGUAGAUGAUAGAUCAUAUCACAACUUUAGGGACCGUGAUAGCUCUUCUAGUACUUUUAGUAGAAAUGAUUUUAAUUGAUUUCCAAUGAUGCAUCCAGAGGGAUAUUCAAAUACUAGAACAUGAGCUAGUGAUUCCUAUGGAUAUGAUCAAUCUUUUAGUAGCAGUAGCAUUGCUUAUCGAGGUUUUGGAUACUAUCAAUAUGGUGUUGAUCCCGAACAACCUUCAAAACCAUAUUUUCAUGAUUAUAGAUCAUCAAGCCAGUCAUCUCAGCCAACAUAUUUGAUUAUGAACAACUCUUUCAACCAUAUCCUUACUACGGGAAUUACCAUCCCAAUUUGUAUACUCAUCGUAAGAUUGAUGAUAAUGAUUUUGAACCCUCUCGUCAUUCAAUGUGGAAUUGAUUAUUGUAUUGUAUGUUUAUUAGUAAAAAUGUUAUUAUAUUUGAAAUAAAAUAAUUUUCUUUUAUUAGCAUUAUCAUAAAUAACUUUGAGUGGAUACUUUUAUAACUAUUUAAAUAAUGUUAAAUGUGAGACAAUUUUAUUUUAUUAAUUUUUUGAGCUUAUUUAAUUGUAAAUAUUUUUAUAAUUUUUUGAAAUUUCUAAUUAGUUUAUUUUGUGUAUUGUCCGAUACCAAGCUGAUACACCGAGACCAAUACGCCUUAGGACUCUCCGAGUCAGUGACCAAUACCGCGACUUUGAACUAUGCACAUGAGUGGGCAAUACUAGACUGUGAAGAGCGCAUUAGAGGUACUAGGUGCCGAAUAAGGUCAUCCAAAAUUUGAAAUUAUAUCACUAGAAAAGUCUGGUGCAUUGCAUUCGUCUUAUGACCAAUAGUUCGGGUUUAGGCACCUAGCUAAGGGUCAUAAAUAACAUUUUGCUUUUCAAAUAUUACAAGCUCUCGGAUAAGUCACAUGUUCCUCCAUGACAAGAGUAGUUUCUAGGUGGUAAAAGAUAGAAAGUUUCCAAGCUAGUCAUGGGGUUAUAAGGGGAAGAUGUUGAGGGUUGGCUAAAAAAAAAUACAAGGAUCGAAUCCCAAGUCUGAGCCUGUUCUGUUCUCAUCGGUAGAAACUUUUUUGGUGAUCUGCUUCAUGCUGCCUAACGAAGUUGGACAAACCAAUGAUAAGCUUGACAAGAUCUCUAAUGUUUGACCUUAUGAUCUACAACUUCCCAAAGCAAAAGCUAUCUUUGCUGGCCAGUCGAAAUGCCAUAAGGAGAAGCUUUAUACAGAUACAUUCAUGCAAAGGAAGCAGGAAGAGUGAACAACUUACUCCUGGUAUCAGAUAAUUUGUCUAUCCACCAAUUCCAUAGAGAUCAUUGAACAUCUUCCACCCUUGGAGUCUUUUGACCUAGGAGGAGUUGUGUACUGACAAAUAUGCAACACCUAAUAACAUUUGAAUGCCUUAAACAUAACAUUUUAACGGAUGCUUGAUGAAAGUUUGUUGUUUUGCCUAAACAAAAGACAAAAAGGAUUGAAUCACUAUCAAACAUUUAACACUAAGUGGUAGCAUAAAUUUGCGUUUGAGAUGAACAUGAUGGAAAAGUGGUCUAGAAAAAAAAACUAAUAUACUUUAUAGUUUGGUCAUUUAUUUGGAGAACAAUCCCUAUUAUUAUGGAAAAUGUUUGAAAACUAGCAAAAAAACAUUAUUAGAGUGGCUUAUCUCUAGGAUAAACCCUUUUUUUUCUUUUAUGUUUAAAUACUACCAUACAUGAUUGUAGACCCUCAAUUUUGUUCCUUUAGCACAUGUCUUUGAGUUCGUUUUCAGUACUUCAAAAUAGUUCCUUGGUGGCCCAUUACUACUCGUACAACUUACCUUUUUUUGAGUCACCUCGGGGACUUUGGUUAGGGGAUUAUCUGACCCUUUAUUGUGAUCCCUUGGCAGCCUUAACUUAGACUUAGGCUUUUCUUUUUUAUUUUUUCUUUUUUUUUUUAGGAUAACUUUUAGAUACACUUGGCCCAUUAGGCACCACCCUAGGCCCACUUAGUCUCAUCAUAGGCCCGUUUAGGCACACUUGGCCCAUUUGGACAUUUUUAGCGUGACUUGUAUGACUUGCAUGGUUACAUGGCUUUUGAGCUCGGCUUUUGUUUAUUGGUUUAUUUUUAUUUUAUUUUAUUUAUUUUAUUUUAUUUUAUUUUAUUUUAGUUUUAGUUUUAUGAUUAUCAUUCACUUUUUAUUAGUUAUUCUCCUCUUUAUAUUAUUUUCCUUAACUUAUUUAUUAUUUAUUUUUAUUUAUUUAUUUAUUUAUUUUUACCGUUUCCUAAUUUAUUUACUUGCUUAUUUAUUCAUUCAAUGAUUUAACUUUAAAAAUUUCAUGUUUUUGCAAGGAAACUUACCAUUGGAGUUUAAGGAAGGUAGGACUCUCUUUGGAAGGUUUUGGAGGGGAAUUUGAAAUUGGGAAGAUUGCUUUUGAUUGGAAGAUUUAAAAAAGGAUAAGGAGAAAAGAAGAGAGAAAAUAGGGGAUUUUCCUUUCGGGACAGAUUUAGGAUUUGGGAGGUGAUAUAUACAUAGUUACGUGAAAAGAGAAAAAAAAAAAAGAAAAGGAAAGAAAGGGGAGAGCUUUUUUUGAUUAAGGGAGGAGAUUCUUUUUGGAGCAGCACGCAUUGGAUGAUUGGGAGAAAUUCUGAGAAUCAGAGGCACGAAUAGCAAGGGGAUCAUCUGGGGGAAAAACACGUAUUGGAGUCUUGAGAGGGAGAGGAAUAAAGAUAGCAAAAAAAGGAUUUUUUUUUCUUUUGAGGAGUACGCUGAAGAAGAGGAAGGAGAGAGGUGAUUCAUUACUCUGCAGCCGCCUAAAGGUAAGUUCUUCAUUGCAAAGUAUGGACUCCUUUCCAGAUUUCUUUUGUCUUGAUAGAGACUCGUUGGAUGCUUUGGUGUGGUCAUCAGAGACAUAUUUGCUAAUCUUCGAUUUAUUUGGGCUAAGUUAUAGUGUUUUCACGUUUCACUUUUAUUGAUUUUUUUCGUCAAGAUCAGUUUGGUACUGCUUUAGUCUCUUUGUGAGUUGUCUUCAGUCAUGUUUUGAUUUUUAUUUGAAAUAUGUUUGAUUCCAAUUUGAAAUAUGUUUGAUUCUUUUUAUUUGAAAUGUGUUUGAUUUCACCCACCAAUUUAAACCUGUUGAUUCGAAACAUGAAACAUGACUUUUCUUGGUUUCUUUCGUUUAUUUUCUCCAUGCCCUGUUUUUGGAUACCUUCCCCUGUUUCUGGUGUUGUUUAUGUAUGGUGACUCUACUGGAUAUUGUGAUGAGAGGCAUGGAAUGAUAGUGGUUUAUGAAUUCAUGGAAAACGGGACUCUGAGAGACCAUCUAUACAAAUUGGAAUGAGGAUUGCACCAUGUCGAUUCCCUGAUCACAACUGUCUUGGGAGGUCUGGCCGAAGAUCAGAUGCACAAUGGUGUCCAUGUUCAUAUGAAGGAUUUGAAGGUGUCAGCAAAGGAAGAUAAAUUGAAGAGAGAUAAUUCAUCCCAGAAAAUGAAUGAACCCGAAAGAAAUCGAUCUUUCCUGAGUUUUCAAUCCUUUACCUGGUUAUGGAGAGCUCAUAGGCUAUCUGAGGACUUUACUCUCUGUUUUGUUUCCUUUCGCAGAGUGCCCACCAGCUCAUCCCUUGAUCAUGAAGAGGUGUAGGGAGUCUCAAUGAUUGGAAAUCACAUGCUUUAAGACAGGUCGGUUCUGUCAGUACUUUCAAAUUCUGCUUGUCUCUGAGGCCCCUACUUUUGAAGAUUGUCUCGAGGAUUGGUUAAUUUCCAACAAUUGAAGCCAUGCAAAUGUGGUUAUGAGACAUGUGUUUAAUGCUAGCAUCAUAUAAUGAACAUGGCUAAGAAGGAUGAAACAGAGGGUCAGUGCCCUGCCUGCUGUGUUUCUUACACUAAAAAAAAAAUUGUAGGGAUAGCAGGAUACUGCAAGAGGUUGUGGCAGAAAUCAAUUUUGAGAGAAAAAUGAAAUCACAGAAGUCAAAAACUGAAUUAUCUGAAGAAAUGAAGCAACUUGACAGUGUGCAAGUGAUUCAACACAACUAAUUUUGGUGCCAUCAACGAGAGGGAAUGCACUAUAUGCCUAUUUGAUUUGCACCCAUCAGCAGCAGAUUGUCACUGUUCUCUGGAUAGAUAUGCAUGCCUAAAUCACGCAAAACAGUUGUGUUCUUGUGCUUUACACCACUGAUUUCCUAAUGGAUUCUUGAAUUCCGAGAUGCUGAGCUGAGCAUGCAGGGUUUAAAUUCCAAACAGAUCAAGCAGUCUGCCAAUGCAAUAUCUCAAUAGAUAAAAGUCACUGCAAGUCCAACAAACGAAAGUUUCUCUGCAAGCCAUCAGUCUAACAUCUCUACUGCUGCUACUGUUGAAGCUGCUCAUUUGAAGGCUGACAUCAUGUCAAUAUUUGAGGGUCUGACACAGGAUGAUCAAGAUUCUGUUAGGUUAUUGGCUGUUAAGGGUUGUGCAGCUCUCAGAAAACUGUUGGAACCUCAAGAUUGUGUAGCAUAUAUUCCUCCCAUAAAUUAUGAAUUUCUCUCAGGAUAAGUCUUGACGUGUUCGCUAUAUGGUUGCAAAUCAAUUAUAUGAGCUAUGUGAAGCUGUUGGUCCUGAGCCUACCAGGUCAGACUUGGUUCCUACAUAUGUUCGGUUGCUUCAUGACAAUGAGGCUGAAGUACGCAUAGCAGUUGCAGGAAAAGUAACAAAGUUCUGUUGGAUUUUGAACCCAAAACUUGCAAUUCCACCGUAUCCUUCACAUGUUUCAUCCAUAUUCCAGAAGUUCUAAAAAGGAAAAGAAAAAUCGAUGGUGAUUGGAGGCAUAAAUUAGCAAUCCGGGCUAACCAAUUUUAGUGGCAGCUUGUGUUCGCUCUAUAGAAGCAAGGAGAAGGGUUUUCAUGGAGAUCAGUAAUAUACUUAAUGACUUUAAUGAUUUAUCCAAUGAUUUUAGGCCACCCGGCAAUGAUAUCCAAGCUUUUAUUGAUUUGCUCAAUGAUGAAUUAGCUGCAGCCUGAUUAAGUUUUCCUGAUGAUUACGCAUUAUAAUCCCACUAGUCACAAGGAACCGCAAUGUUAAAGCUUCCUCCACUUCCUUUCAUUCCCACUCCAUGGAACUUUAAUGAUCCAGCAAUAUGCUGCACCCACGUAAUAGCAGCACACUGCUCCAAUACUUAACACAUAGGGGAUCUGCACUUGUUCUGGUUGCUCAACUUGGUUGUCAGUUUUUAUGGUGAUACUGUGAAGAACCUAAUUGAAACGAUGGAGGAUCUCGGAAGAGGGGACUAGCAGUACUCAUGAGGAAGAGGGGAAGAAAGGAAACGAUUCAGAUGUGUAUUUCCUAGAUGAUCCCUUCAGUGUAGUGGAUGCACAUACAGCUGCAAUUCUUUUCUAUUCAUACGUCAUAGCUGCCCUUGCUCAUAAAAUCGUCAGUCUAGUGACUCAUCAAGUGGAGUUUCUCUUUGAAAUCGAUAAAAUUCUGGUUGCGGAAGCUGGAUAGAUAACUCAAUCAGGAAGCUAUGAGAAUCUCUUGACAUCCGGGACAACAUUUGAGCAGCUUGUAAAUGCAUAUAAGAAUGCAGUAACAGUAUUGGAAUUUCCAAAUGAUGUACAAGUAGAACCUCAAAAAUUGGAUCAGAAUCUGCUAGAGAAGUCUCAUGGAUCUCUCUCCAUCAAAGAAAACAGUGAAGGGUAGAUUUCUAUGAAGGAACUGCCUGGGGUUCAGCUCGCUGAAGAAGAAGAAACAGAGAUUGGUGAUGUUAGCACCUGAAGUUAUUAUAUCUUGUGUCCUUAAGUUUAUUGAGAAUCUAUUGAACAUUGAUAACGAAUUGGAUGAUGAAGACAUCACUAUCGAAAAGGAAAGAAAGCUCAGAAUUCUGAUGCAUGUGUAGAAGCUUUGCAACUUAUUCGAGAUAUUAUACCAGUUUCAGGGAGUGAAACUUCUCCAAAAAAAAAUCUUGAAUGCCAUUUCUCCUCUGCUAAUUUCUGCUAGACUGGAUAUACGUUUGGUUAUUUGUGGCCUUCUUGGUGAUCUUGCUGAAACUGACCCUUAGGUACUCUCUGUGGCAAAUCUCAUAAAUGAAUUGAAUGUGACCUCUGUUAUGGAAACGAGUGGCCUGGAUUAUGACACCAUAGUUUAUGCUUAUGAAAAGAUUAGCAUGGAGUUCUUUAAUAAUAUCUCAGAGAAUCAGGCACUGGUCAUUUUGUCGCGUUGUAUAUAUGAUAUGUCAUCCAAUGAACUGACCUUAAGGCACAGUGCAUAUAGGUCAUUGGUCUCUUUGUUGAACUCUCCGUCCAAACUCUUAGACUUGAAGUGAAGACUUGAAGUGAAGAGUGACCGUGAAAUGUCUGAAGCAAUAGUAACAUCCAUACCUGAUGGUUAUUGGACUGAAGCAUGCAUUCAGCGCAUGAUAAACAAAUUCCUUUUGGAAUUGGCAGUAUGUUGGGCAUAGAGUUUGCUAAGAGAGUUUCUGAAACUGUUGAGGUGGCUCUCUAUAUUUGAUUGAAUGCGAGACAUCAUAAGAAUGCUGUAGGGGAGCAGAAUGCUGCAAUUCUGGGUNNNNNNNNNNNNNNNNNNNNNNNNNNNNNNNNNNNNNNNNNNNNNNNNNNNNNNNNNNNNNNNNNNNNNNNNNNNNNNNNNNNNNNNNNNNNNNNNNNNNNNNNNNNNNNNNNNNNNNNNNNNNNNNNNNNNNNNNNNNNNNNNNNNNNNNNNNNNNNNNNNNNNNNNNNNNNNNNNNNNNNNNNNNNNNNNNNNNNNNNNNNNNNNNNNNNNNNNNNNNNNNNNNNNNNNNNNNNNNNNNNNNNNNNNNNNNNNNNNNNNNNNNNNNNNNNNNNNNNNNNNNNNNNNNNNNNNNNNNNNNNNNNNNNNNNNNNNNNNNNNNNNNNNNNNNNNNNNNNNNNNNNNNNNNNNNNNNNNNNNNNNNNNNNNNNNNNNNNNNNNNNNNNNNNNNNNNNNNNNNNNNNNNNNNNNNNNNNNNNNNNNNNNNNNNNNNNNNNNNNNNNNNNNNNNNNNNNNNNNNNNNNNNNNNNNNNNNNNNNNNNNNNNNNNNNNNNNNNNNNNNNNNNNNNNNNNNNNNNNNNNNNNNNNNNNNNNNNNNNNNNNNNNNNNNNNNNNNNNNNNNNNNNNNNNNNNNNNNNNNNNNNNNNNNNNNNNNNNNNNNNNNNNNNNNNNNNNNNNNNNNNNNNNNNNNNNNNNNNNNNNNNNNNNNNNNNNNNNNNNNNNNNNNNNNNNNNNNNNNNNNNNNNNNNNNNNNNNNNNNNNNNNNNNNNNNNNNNNNNNNNNNNNNNNNNNNNNNNNNNNNNNNNNNNNNNNNNNNNNNNNNNNNNNNNNNNNNNNNNNNNNNNNNNNNNNNNNNNNNNNNNNNNNNNNNNNNNNNNNNNNNNNNNNNNNNNNNNNNNNNNNNNNNNNNNNNNNNNNNNNNNNNNNNNNNNNNNNNNNNNNNNNNNNNNNNNNNNNNNNNNNNNNNNNNNNNNNNNNNNNNNNNNNNNNNNNNNNNNNNNNNNNNNNNNNNNNNNNNNNNNNNNNNNNNNNNNNNNNNNNNNNNNNNNNNNNNNNNNNNNNNNNNNNNNNNNNNNNNNNNNNNNNNNNNNNNNNNNNNNNNNNNNNNNNNNNNNNNNNNNNNNNNNNNNNNNNNNNNNNNNNNNNNNNNNNNNNNNNNNNNNNNNNNNNNNNNNNNNNNNNNNNNNNNNNNNNNNNNNNNNNNNNNNNNNNNNNNNNNNNNNNNNNNNNNNNNNNNNNNNNNNNNNNNNNNNNNNNNNNNNNNNNNNNNNNNNNNNNNNNNNNNNNNNNNNNNNNNNNNNNNNNNNNNNNNNNNNNNNNNNNNNNNNNNNNNNNNNNNNNNNNNNNNNNNNNNNNNNNNNNNNNNNNNNNNNNNNNNNNNNNNNNNNNNNNNNNNNNNNNNNNNNNNNNNNNNNNNNNNNNNNNNNNNNNNNNNNNNNNNNNNNNNNNNNNNNNNNNNNNNNNNNNNNNNNNNNNNNNNNNNNNNNNNNNNNNNNNNNNNNNNNNNNNNNNNNNNNNNNNNNNNNNNNNNNNNNNNNNNNNNNNNNNNNNNNNNNNNNNNNNNNNNNNNNNNNNNNNNNNNNNNNNNNNNNNNNNNNNNNNNNNNNNNNNNNNNNNNNNNNNNNNNNNNNNNNNNNNNNNNNNNNNNNNNNNNNNNNNNNNNNNNNNNNNNNNNNNNNNNNNNNNNNNNNNNNNNNNNNNNNNNNNNNNNNNNNNNNNNNNNNNNNNNNNNNNNNNNNNNNNNNNNNNNNNNNNNNNNNNNNNNNNNNNNNNNNNNNNNNNNNNNNNNNNNNNNNNNNNNNNNNNNNNNNNNNNNNNNNNNNNNNNNNNNNNNNNNNNNNNNNNNNNNNNNNNNNNNNNNNNNNNNNNNNNNNNNNNNNNNNNNNNNNNNNNNNNNNNNNNNNNNNNNNNNNNNNNNNNNNNNNNNNNNNNNNNNNNNNNNNNNNNNNNNNNNNNNNNNNNNNNNNNNNNNNNNNNNNNNNNNNNNNNNNNNNNNNNNNNNNNNNNNNNNNNNNNNNNNNNNNNNNNNNNNNNNNNNNNNNNNNNNNNNNNNNNNNNNNNNNNNNNNNNNNNNNNNNNNNNNNNNNNNNNNNNNNNNNNNNNNNNNNNNNNNNNNNNNNNNNNNNNNNNNNNNNNNNNNNNNNNNNNNNNNNNNNNNNNNNNNNNNNNNNNNNNNNNNNNNNNNNNNNNNNNNNNNNNNNNNNNNNNNNNNNNNNNNNNNNNNNNNNNNNNNNNNNNNNNNNNNNNNNNNNNNNNNNNNNNNNNNNNNNNNNNNNNNNNNNNNNNNNNNNNNNNNNNNNNNNNNNNNNNNNNNNNNNNNNNNNNNNNNNNNNNNNNNNNNNNNNNNNNNNNNNNNNNNNNNNNNNNNNNNNNNNNNNNNNNNNNNNNNNNNNNNNNNNNNNNNNNNNNNNNNNNNNNNNNNNNNNNNNNNNNNNNNNNNNNNNNNNNNNNNNNNNNNNNNNNNNNNNNNNNNNNNNNNNNNNNNNNNNNNNNNNNNNNNNNNNNNNNNNNNNNNNNNNNNNNNNNNNNNNNNNNNNNNNNNNNNNNNNNNNNNNNNNNNNNNNNNNNNNNNNNNNNNNNNNNNNNNNNNNNNNNNNNNNNNNNNNNNNNNNNNNNNNNNNNNNNNNNNNNNNNNNNNNNNNNNNNNNNNNNNNNNNNNNNNNNNNNNNNNNNNNNNNNNNNNNNNNNNNNNNNNNNNNNNNNNNNNNNNNNNNNNNNNNNNNNNNNNNNNNNNNNNNNNNNNNNNNNNNNNNNNNNNNNNNNNNNNNNNNNNNNNNNNNNNNNNNNNNNNNNNNNNNNNNNNNNNNNNNNNNNNNNNNNNNNNNNNNNNNNNNNNNNNNNNNNNNNNNNNNNNNNNNNNNNNNNNNNNNNNNNNNNNNNNNNNNNNNNNNNNNNNNNNNNNNNNNNNNNNNNNNNNNNNNNNNNNNNNNNNNNNNNNNNNNNNNNNNNNNNNNNNNNNNNNNNNNNNNNNNNNNNNNNNNNNNNNNNNNNNNNNNNNNNNNNNNNNNNNNNNNNNNNNNNNNNNNNNNNNNNNNNNNNNNNNNNNNNNNNNNNNNNNNNNNNNNNNNNNNNNNNNNNNNNNNNNNNNNNNNNNNNNNNNNNNNNNNNNNNNNNNNNNNNNNNNNNNNNNNNNNNNNNNNNNNNNNNNNNNNNNNNNNNNNNNNNNNNNNNNNNNNNNNNNNNNNNNNNNNNNNNNNNNNNNNNNNNNNNNNNNNNNNNNNNNNNNNNNNNNNNNNNNNNNNNNNNNNNNNNNNNNNNNNNNNNNNNNNNNNNNNNNNNNNNNNNNNNNNNNNNNNNNNNNNNNNNNNNNNNNNNNNNNNNNNNNNNNNNNNNNNNNNNNNNNNNNNNNNNNNNNNNNNNNNNNNNNNNNNNNNNNNNNNNNNNNNNNNNNNNNNNNNNNNNNNNNNNNNNNNNNNNNNNNNNNNNNNNNNNNNNNNNNNNNNNNNNNNNNNNNNNNNNNNNNNNNNNNNNNNNNNNNNNNNNNNNNNNNNNNNNNNNNNNNNNNNNNNNNNNNNNNNNNNNNNNNNNNNNNNNNNNNNNNNNNNNNNNNNNNNNNNNNNNNNNNNNNNNNNNNNNNNNNNNNNNNNNNNNNNNNNNNNNNNNNNNNNNNNNNNNNNNNNNNNNNNNNNNNNNNNNNNNNNNNNNNNNNNNNNNNNNNNNNNNNNNNNNNNNNNNNNNNNNNNNNNNNNNNNNNNNNNNNNNNNNNNNNNNNNNNNNNNNNNNNNNNNNNNNNNNNNNNNNNNNNNNNNNNNNNNNNNNNNNNNNNNNNNNNNNNNNNNNNNNNNNNNNNNNNNNNNNNNNNNNNNNNNNNNNNNNNNNNNNNNNNNNNNNNNNNNNNNNNNNNNNNNNNNNNNNNNNNNNNNNNNNNNNNNNNNNNNNNNNNNNNNNNNNNNNNNNNNNNNNNNNNNNNNNNNNNNNNNNNNNNNNNNNNNNNNNNNNNNNNNNNNNNNNNNNNNNNNNUUCAAUGAGGGUUGGUUGGUAGAAGUGACAGUAAUAGAAGACAUUUAAAUAACCAAACAUCAGGACUUGUUCGAGAAGCUGAUGCGUUAAAACCUAAAAGACAGCGAAUCUAAUUGGCUCGUACACUCUACCAGGAUGCCGGUAUAUAUCCCUUGGACGUCCCAUUCAGUGCAGUUGAAGCACAUACUGAAAUGAAUCUAUUGAAUGAACAUGUAAUGAGUGCAUUAUCAAGGAAAACAGUCCUACUUAUGACCCACCAAGUUGAUUUUCUUCCUGUUUUGGUUCUGUUUUGUUAAUAUCAGAUGGGAAGAUCCUACAUGCGGCACCUUAUCAUCAGUUGUUGACGUCAAGCCAAGAAUUUCAGGACCUUGUGACUGCACACUAACAGACUGCUGAUUCUGAAAGGCUUACAGAGGUUGCUCUACCUCGUAGAUGUGAAAACCUCUACAGGAGAGAUCAAAAGAACUCAUAUUCAGAAAGAGUUUAAUGCGUCUGGAUGUGAUCAAUUAAUCAAGCAAGAAGAGAGAGAAAUAGGAAAUCCAGACUUUAAGCCCUACAUGCUGCAUCUAAAUCAAAAUAAGCAAUUCUGGCUCUUCCCCACAGAGAGGGAUGAAGAUCACGGGAGUCCAGAAGAUGAUGAUGAUGGUUCUGAGUACGAAGGUGAUGACACAGAUGGUUCAGAUGCUGGAAGCAAUCUUUACAAGGAUGAAGAUGACAGUUCAGGAACUUAUUGGGAAGUCAGACUGAAUAGAUUGGACUUGCUAUCGUGUUGAACUCAUGCAGUUUGAUAUGGAGAUUCAGCUACAGUUCUAGGUCCAGCAAAGGCCAUUGUUCAAAUUAAACCUUCUGGAGUGGAAGUCCAUUGCAUGCCAUAGAUUAUGAGAAUAUGAUAAGCAUAACAGGCUUAAGGCCUGGAAACACUGCCAUAGAUCCAAGAUGGAAUAGGCCAAAUUGUCAUUCAACCACUAACUACUCAAGAAAAUCUUAACAGCUCCAAAAGACAUCAGUAAUGAGCAGAUCAUCCAACUUCGCGCCUUUCAUGUGAUGGUCCUGAUUCAUAGAACAGAGAAGAAGCCUGUUGAGAAGGAACCUUCAGGAGGAACGAGAGAAUGGUGGAGCUUGGUGUCUUCUUGGCAGCCACUCUCGAAAGUUCAGAGAUGUAGGAUCCAUCAGAAAGUCUCUAGCUUACUACCCAUUUGCCUUCACACAUGCGACUAAGUUGCUGAAUCCUUUUGACUGAGGGUUAAUUUUUUUUUAUUAUGGACAAUUUUAUAUGCCUGAAGAAUGAGGAGCCAUCAGAGGAACUGGACAUCUGAAAAUCAGUUAGGACACGAGCACUCAGUUGAAGAAAAUUAUCUGUGAGCAAGUUGACGAUAGAAGCAGAACUCAGAUGUUAAUUACACUCAAACGACCUCAUAACAUUCUCUGAACUUGAAUUAGAAGAAAUGUUGGGAGAUGUCAGUCGGAGUGCACCAAGUUCUUGCUCAGGUUGUGAAGCAUUCCAUUUCAGCAAUCUACAGAAGCAUCCUUAGGCAACCUAAGUAAUUCAGUCUCAAAAGCAGCCUAGACACUAAUCCAGCUUGGCCGCCUUGCCACACAUCAUACUCCUCCGAAUGUUUCUCCUUCUUCUUUUUUGUGAUCUUAUGCAUCUUAAAGCUGGAUUUCAAAAUCUUUUUCUGUAAAAAAAAUAAGUCUAAUUUUCUUAAAAAUUCCUUGGGAGUUUCUAGGCUUAAAAUCCAUAUUUCAACAAAUCUUUUGCUGUCAUUUUCCUUCCGACAUGUGUUUUCACUAUUUUAUUUGAUUUUCGGCUAUUUUCAUGGUUUUCUCGAUUUUCAACAAGCAUGAACAAAAUUCAUGAUUCCAAAUAAUGGAAUUUAUAGAAUCAACUCAUGCAAAAUUAAUUAGGGCUUUGGAGGGGGGCCCGACAUUCAUGAUAUUUCCUCAAAUAUUUUUUGUUUGAUAUUUGAUUAAUUGUGCUUUCUCUUUAAGAUACGUGAGAUUAUUAUGCACCUAUCAUUAAGCAAUCUUGUUUCCCAUAGAGUCAUUUUAGCUUGCUAUCCAGGUACGCUCCUUCACACCUAUUUUUGAGAAUUCUAUUGACACAUAUGUUACUGAUGACUAUACCCAUACAUGAUGCAAUUCUUGGAUGUUUUGAUAUAUGCUUGAUUUGCUUGGAUAAAAUGCAUGUUGCGUGCUAUAUCUCUAUACUAACUUUGAUGUCUUGUGAUAGCGCUUGAAAAGUCGUUCAGGUACGCACUUCGAUUCCCUCUCAUGGUUUGUUUUCUUAUUAGGCAUGCAAUAUUUGAAAUCACCUAGUCUACUUAGGUAUCCAUGAUUAACCAUUUAAUUGCCACGUUUCCCUCAACUUAGUCAGUAGAGACCUUUUAGGGCUUAGAGGGGUGCUACCUCCUAGAGGUACCUUCCCAAUAAGUAACCUGAUCCCCGGACUUAGACUCGGGUUUCUCAAAGACAUGCUUUUUUCAAAACUAUGGAGUCACUUUUUAGGGUUUUUCUUUCUUGUUUUAUUUUCCCUUUAAAAUAAAAAUAAAAUAAGUGGCGACUCCAACUUUUUCCAAAAAUUAAUUUUUCACAAAUAAAAAGCGAGUCUCGCCGAUCGAGUGGGGACGCACGUGUAAAAUGCGGGUCCACAAUGAUAUAUAUGCAAACCAAGAUAUUACUAAGCUUAAAAUCAGCUAUGGGGAAAAACACAUGAAACUCAAUUUGCUUAACCUAUGUUUUAGUUAAGUCCCAUUGGGAAAAAUUGUGGAGUAAUUGUAAGAUUUGAUGUAGAAACAAUGAAAUAAAUUCUUGAAAACAAUUCAAGGGAAUGAGCAAAGCAUGGAAUAAUUAAAAAUUUAAGAAAUGAAGAGGAAACUAAGAAUAUAUAUCACAAGAUUGAUCUUGAGAUUGAUUUUGAAGAGAAAUUCUUUGUAGAUGAGCAAAUUAGAGACAACUUGGUUUCCUUCUCUUGAUCCCUUUAAUUUGAUGUACGUUUCUUAAUGAAGAGAAAUUAUAUAUAUAUUGAAGAGAGAAGAUCAAAUCUAAAAUAGGGUCUCAUUUUUUUCUCAGGCGAAUGGUUAUUUAGAAAGCAUCUCCUCAACUAACCAAUAGGCACUUAAUAUUAUUAACCAUAAUUAUCUUUUAAAUUAAAUAAAAGAUAAUUAAUAAUAAAAUAACCCACAUGACCACAUUAAAAAAAGCUAAUAUUUUAUUUCAAAAUUUUCUUUAUAAAAUAUUAAAAAUGAUAUAAAUUUAUUUAUUAGCAAUAUACAUGAAGAUGAAUUUAUUAAUAUCCUUUAUACCAAAUAAAUACUUGUAUUAUUUAAAUAAAUGAGAGUUAUAAAUUUAAAAUAGAAUUUAUAUAUUUUUUAUUGUUCCAUAUCCAUAAGAAAAUCAUUAAAAAUACAUGAAUAUAAAUUUAUUUAUUAUAAAUAUAUAUGAAUAUAAAUUUAUUUUAAUUUAUUGAUAUUGAGAGUUACUUCUUUAAUAUGAACUCUUUUGUUUAAUUUUUUUUAUUAUAUUUUGUAAAAUGUUAAAAAAAAUAUUUAUUGGUUCAAUUUUUUUAAUUAUUUUUUUAUCAUUUUUUUUCAUGAUAUUCAAAUAUAAGAAAACAUCUCCCUUAAUAUACAAUUUUUUUUACUUUCCCUUAAUCCUUUCCACGAAUCAAAUGUAAUAAAAAAAUUUAACGAUUAGUUGUAAAAAGUGGAGCCAUUGAACACGACUUCCUUUACUGACCCUUGACUCUCUAUCUCUCUUUUGUCAUGUUCAAAGGGCCAUUGAACAUGACUUGAUGUAGAGAACCUUGAAUUUCUUUCGUAUUCAUUUAGUUACCUUGCCCAUUCAAAACGCCUUUAGUUGGAAGGCUUUGAGGUCUACAACCAUGUAAAAGUCAAGUCCUGAAUUAUGCCCAAACAUCACACUCACAAGUCUUUUCUUUCACUCUCCCAACUAACUUAAAUGCUUCUUAUAAGAGAAACUACUAUAUAAAUAGUUCUGAGAUGCAUACUUAUUUAUAUUUAUUUAUCAUAAUAGAUAACAAUUAUAAUUAAAACAUGGCAUUUUGAGAAGAUAGCUAAAAUAAAUUGAAACCUCAUCCAAUUGUUUGAGGAGAGAUAAGAUAAUGUUUGAUUAACAUAUAAACUAAAUUAAAUGUGUAAAUGACAAGAAAAAUGUUAUGCUUGUUAAAGAAUUCGAGUAUUGACUAGUGUAUUUUUUGGCCUAGAAAAAAUGUGACAAAGAAAAAAGAAUUAUGGAAGGGAGACUUCCAUUUUCAUGUUGGCGGGAGGAUAGACUUGAAUCUAAUUUUCCAAGUGACAAUGACUUAUCCCAUUGAAUUCAAAUCAAUAAAUUUGAUCAUUAUAGAUAUUUUGAUAUUUUUAGUAAUGGAAUGAAAUAAUGUAGAUACUGGAUUCAUUUAGAUUAUGUUUGGUUCCCAAAAAAUAUUAGGAAAAGAAAAAAAUGUUAGGGAAAAUGGUUUUAUCAUGUUUGGUUUCACUAUAUAAAAUAUAAAAGAAAAUCAAAUAUAAUUAAAAUUAAUUUACAAUUUAGAUAUUUUUAAAUUAUUUAAUCUUGCUAUAAGAGAGAGAAAUAAGUAAAAUGAGCUUGAAAAAACAUAUAAACAUAAUUUAUUAAAUUUAAACCUUUUUUUCUUCACUUUUUCUUUCUUUCUACUUUUCCUCUUUAUUUUCUUUCCUUCACAUUUUCCUUCAAAUUUUUUGGGAACCAAACAUAGUCUUAGUAUCACUUUCUAAAGUUAAUUCGGUAUGUAUGCAUGCAAAAUUGUAUAAAAUUGAAUUUAUUGCUUAUGUUGUAUGCCACAAAAUUUGUAUAGACUCCAUUUUUUAUUUAUUUAUUGGAAUGAUAUAAAAGUUGUAGUUCACAUGUUUGUUUAUUUGUUUGUUUUUGUAAAGAAGAAAAGUACGUACAAAAAAAAAUCUCGUAAAAUCUUGAAAAACUAAUAAAUUGUUAUGUGACUUGAAAUGACAUGAAUAGGGUUGUGAGUUUAUGUCUUGAUAUAUGAAACUAUCUUAAAAGGGCAAAUAGGUAAUCUAAGCUUGUAGUUCCUAAUUUUUAAAUUAAUUUAAUUUGUGGAAAUCAAUAGUUUUCAAUCACAAGGCAUAUUACAAGUGUAGCAAUUCUAAAGUUCUAUUCCAAAAUCAGAGAUAUUACCUUAUACUUGAAAUCUUCAAUUUAUCAACCUUCAUUACUUCAAUAAGUUAAUCCAAGGUCACUCAAACUAAAUAUUUAUAAUUAAUGUAUUAAAGCCUAAAUACGUAGUAACCCAUAUUAAGAAAAAUUAAAGAUGAGAUCACCAUGACUUGUAGUAUCUGGGUUGUCAUCCCCUAAUAUCCAUAUACUAGACUAUUCAACAAAGCAAAUCCUCUAUCUACAUUGAAAAGGUCUAAAAGCAAAGUUUUUUUUAUGAAACUAAUUCUCUAUCACAUUGCUAUCAUGAAAGUAAUAAAAUCUAUAGUAAAAACUUUUGAAGAGUUCAAAAAUCUAAUUUUAGAUUCAUAGAUUGAGAUAGUAACUUUUAACCCUAAGCCAAAGAUCAAAGUUCAUUAGGAUUGAAUUAGAUUUUAAGACCAAUUUGCAUCUAGCGUUGAUAUUUAACUUUAAGGUACUAUUCUCUUAAACAAAUUUAACAUGUCUAUUAUUUCAAUUUUGAGUUUAUAUACUUUCAUUACUAAUAUCCAUCAUGUAGGUUUGAUUGCUAGAGUUUCUCUAAGUUGAUCAAAUCAAGUUGACUAGUGAUCAAUGUAUCCCCAAACAUCACUAGUACCAUAGUAAGAAUUCCUUAUACUUAACCUAAGCCAAACCACAUAGAAGAUUAUUUUAAUUAAUUUAAACACAAAAUAUUUAUAAACAAACCAAAUGCACUUUAUCAUUCUAUUGCACAUCCUUCUAUGAAUCAUCUAUCUUUACGUUACUAUUAGGAAAACAGCCUCUAGAUCUAGAUUAACGAGUGCAUGCAACUAAGAUCCUAAGUAUAGUAAAAGAUGCCUAAUUUUUCAAAAAAUUAUUCUAAGGUGUUCAUAAAAAACAUACCCUUGGAUUCGAUCCAAAUCUUUUUCCCAAUUUGCAGUAGAAAUCUUAAAUGCAUUGUGAUCUUCUACCUGAUGACUCUCUCUUGGAUCUUAGUUAUAAAGAAUAAUGGACCUCUCUUUAGAGGAAGUGAUGGUUAUGAUUUCUCUCCAAACAAAAUAUAAGACAACAAUUAGUCUAACCCUAAACCCUAAGAGGGUUUAUAUAAACUCUCAAUUGGGCUUAAGUGACUAAGGCUCAUCAUAUGGGCUUAGGUUGUUUAAUCUUAGCCUAGUGAGUCUUAUUUAAUUAAUUAUGCUAAAUGGCUUCAAUUAAUUAAAUAGAUUAAAAAGAAAACCCAUAAAUCAUUUAAUCAUAAGUCCUUGUACAACCUUUGCUUAUACAAAUGCAACCUUAUGCAUACUUAUAAUUAAGUACUAAAAAAUACUCAAAAUAAAUACCACCAAAAAGUGUGAGCUUGAGUGGGACCACCAGAACCCAUAGGAAAUUACGUAUUAGCUACCUUAGAAUCAAGUUCUAAAAUUGAUUCAACAUUCCAUUAAAGAAAGUCAAUUGCACUCCAAUAUCUUAUGAUAUUAGAUGAAGUUAGAAAACUUGGGUCCAUGACUUACUAUCCAUUAUAUGUGAGUUUCCUAUAAACUAAAGUUUGUAAUAAAAAAAUGUGGUAGCUAUCAACCUUUAAAGAUCACUUUUCAAUCCUUGAGUCUUAAAUCCUCCUAUACCAUGUCAAUUUGACAUACUCUAAUCCACAAAGAAUAUAUGUUAAAUUUCAUUGAAGGAAUUGUUAUAGUCAUAUACUACAUGAUCGUGAAAUCCUUGGAUCAUUCACGGGGAUAUAUUGUCUCAAAUCCAUGAGAUAUUAUAAUGUCUCUAUUAAUCAUAAUAUCUAUUAUUACUUGCCAAAACCAUCAGUCACCCAAUCCUUUGGGAAUAUAUGAUCACUUUAAGAUUUUACCCAUAGGUCAAAGUAAUUGAUGACCUCAACAUUAGCAUAAUAUUCUCUAAAGGUUGAGAACCCAUGAAAUUAAUAUUUAGUAGUUUAGAGAAGUUUUGACAACCCGAUAAUCAUUAGUCAUGAUUCUCCAAAGGUCUUGUUCAAUCUGUAACCAUACGCACUAGUACACUCAUCGUGGUAAACCUAUUUUGAUGACCAAAAUAAGUUAUUACACCACUUAAGAGGUAGUGCAUUAUGACUUUUGAUGGAUUGCCUUAGUCUAAAAAAAAAUCAUAAACUAACUCAUCAACUUAUAAGAUGUUAGGAUAAAGCCUUUAAAAACAUGACAUGAUAUAACAAAAUUUGGAAUUUAUUAUUUAUUAAUAAAGUUCCAGUUUUACUUAUAUUGAUCCUUAUUUCAUGCAUUAUACUUCAUGAAUAUUAUGGCCUAUAUCUCUUGCAAUGUACAUGAAUUGGAUAGGAAUUAGACAGAAGAUCUAAGUCAUGAGUCCCUUGUAAGAGGAUGACUUGUUCACAGUUAGUUUGUGUUCCUUAGCAACCCAUUAGAAACUGUAGUGCACUAUAUCCUAAUUGGAGGGAUAAUUGGUUUUGGCCAUCAGGAUGGGUUUCCUAUACUAGUGUGUAUGGUUACAUAUUAUAUAAGACCUAUAGUGAGUCAUAACGUAAGACUCUCAAGUAGUCAUGAUGUCAUCAAGUUGUUUCAUUGUGUUUUUUUUCAUCUUUGAGUGAAUAUUGAGCUUAUAAUAAAAUUAGUAAUGACUUUGACCUACAAGUGAGAUUUUAAAGUGAUCAUAUAUUCCCUUAUGGAUUGAGUCACUAUUGAUGGAAACUUAUAACAAUAGUUAUUCUCAAUGAAGGUACCAUCAUAUCUCAUGAGAUUAAGAUAAAGUGUCUUAUUGGAUGAUCCUAAGAAAGUGUGUUUAUGUAAAUUAUUACUAUAGUAGUUCCUUAAAUGGUACUGGACAUAAGCUCUUUGUAAGCUAAGAUUGAACAAGCAUAAAAGAAGAAUAGUGUAAUGAGGGUAAACAAAUUUAAGUUAAAAUUGUUUUUCAUAAAAAGGAAAAAAGAGAGGAGCCCACAUAAGAGUGAUGAAUAGAAAAAUAUUAUGUACUAGUAACAAAAUGAUGGAAGGUCGGAAAGAGAAUUGUCCGUCACUAAGCAUGAAUCUUAAAGAACAUGAUGGCAACUUUUGGCCACUCAUAAUCACGGCUUGAAAUGCUAUUCUUCACCAUACCACCAUAAAAUUGGAUGAAAUUGGUAUCUUUAAUCCAUUUCUUGGCAAACGACAUUUCGAAAAGAAAAAUCCCUUUCAACUGUUUUGGAGAAACACCAUCUAGUUACAAAUGAAAUUCUAAUCCAAGAAUUUAGCCAUAAAUAGUUCUUCUAUGAAAUAGCAUUCCAAACACACCUUUAAAUGGUCAAAAGUCAUCCAACUCAAAUACUAGAAUGAGUAGAAUGGAUCUAUUUUAUGACUCUAAAUGAAAUAUUUAAUCCUUGGAAUAAAAUGUAAAGAAUAUUUUUCUUUUAAUUUAUUUUAGGGAAACAUCUUCUGGGAUGUGGUAAAAAAGAAAUUUUAAUACAAAAAUAUAGUUAAAAUAAUCUAGAAAGUUGUAUUGGAAACAUUCCUUCAAUUAGAAAAAAAAACUUUUUUAAUAAGAUCAACAUAUUAUGAUUAAUUAUAAAUUUUAAAUUUUGUAGAAAUACAUAAUCAAGAUCUAAUUAGACUAGUGUUGCCAAUACAUGUCUAAUCCAAAAUGAAUUCAGAGUGAUACUUCUUUUCAAACCCAACUUAAAUUAUACAUUAAGGAAUCCAAGAUUGUAAAGAUGGUGCCAAGGAGCACUUUAUGUAAGAAUGAUGAUCAUAUAUAUAAAAAAAAAAUAGUGUAGAAGAAUUAGAACCAAGUAGAAUUGAAAGUGAAUUGAGAGUGAAAGGACAACUUGUAAGAGGACAUUUAUGGGUAUCAUUCAAGGAAAAAUUGUGUUUUCACCCUUGUUGGAAUUGGUAAUUGAGGUAAGGUCCUCAUAUCGCUUAUAAUUAAACUCAAAACCCAAUGAAAGAGUAUAAAUUGAGAGGAAGGAUAUUGCCUUUAAAAAAUCCCUAAAAUACCCUUGACUAUUAAAAGAAAAAGUUAACCGACCAUCCCACCUUUCUCAUCCUUUUUUUUUUAACUCUUUCACCCUUCUCUCACGUAUUUAUUAGUGGAACCAAGUUGAAUCAUUUCCUAAUCAUUUUUUUUUCCAUCAAAUUGAAUAUGAAAGAUAAAUGACUAAAAAUGAUUAUUAUUAAAUGCAUUUUUCAAGUAAAUAACUUUUAAAUACCUCAUCAAAUAUUAUUCUUUUUUUUUUCAAACUUAUAUAAUAUAUAAUAAAUAUAUUUUUAAAUAUGUUGGAAACUUACAUAAUAUAUAAUAAAUAUUAUUCUUAAUUUCAAACUUAUAUUAUUUCUCAUAUAUAUUAAAUGAUUUGAAAAUACCUCAUAAAAUAUUAAUAUUCUUUGUUUGUUCUACCUUGCAAAUUAGACAUCAUCAAAUAUUUUUUUUUUCAAACUUAUAGAAUAUAUAAUAAAUACUUUUUAAAUACCUUAACAAAUAUAUAUUUUUUGUUUCUUACUUACAAAAUAAUAAAUAUUUUGUACAUUAUUUCUUAUAUAAAUAAUUUUUAAAUAUCUCAUAAAAUAUUUUAUAUAUAUAUAUAUAUAUAUAUAUUUUCUAACUUGCAAAUUAGACACAAAAUGUUUAUUAUUUCUUGUAUUAUUUCGGAAAUAAUGUAAACACUCACAUGCUAUAUAUAUAAUAUUAAUCAAGAAAACAAUAUUUUUAAGACUAAUUUACCAACCUUCUAAUAAUUUUGAAAGUGUAAAUAGGAUAAUUGAUAAAAUUAAAGUCUUCAAGAUAUUCAAAAUUUCUCCAUUCCAAAAUGACCUAAUUGCUCCCCACAUUAAUCCUAAAUAUUUUUAAAUAAAGAUUUAAAUAUUUAAAACUAUUAAAAUAAACAUUUUCUUAUUAAAGCAAUUUUUUUAAAAGUAAUUAGAUAAAAAUCAUGAAAUCUUCAAAACUAUAAUUAAAACAAAUAUUUUUAAAUUUAAAACUAAUUUCAUAAUUUAAAUGAAUGAUUUAAACAAAAUAAAAAUGUUACAAAAACAAUUUUUGUUUAUUUUUAAUUCCAUUUAAAUAUGAUUUUUCAAUCUCUAUUGAUAACAAUAAAAUUAUGUUUAUAAAGGCAAAAUAGUAAAAAAAUAUAUAUAUUUCAUUUAGUUUACUUAUAAUGAACAAUUCAAACAUGAUUGAUUUUAAUUUUAUUUCCUAUGUGUUAAUUUUUGUAGGAAAGAUCUUAAUGACAUAGUUUGGGAAAAAAAAAAAACUAUCAAUACUUGUCUUAAUGUCAAGUUGUUUAAAAAUCGUACAAAACCUAUUAAGAGCCUUGUACAUCCUUGUACAUUUGACACAUUUCCUUUAUACAGUUAGUGUAAUACCCUUGUACAAUAGCGCAAAUUUCAUAUCCCUCUUAAGUUUUGUGUUCAUGUAGGUGUGCUAACCAUGUUUUCAAUGGUUUGGUUGAGAAAAUGGUAGAUGACUUAGGGUCAAAUUUUUUUCUCCAAAUAUCAUUAUUGAGGAAAGUAUUGAAAUUUUCAUGUGGGAGUUAAAUAAAGUGCAUGACAUAAGUGUACAAUCCUCGGGUGACAAGGAAAAUAAAGGAGUGGUUCGGUUGAAAUCUUUCAUAAAGGGUAAUUUUGUACACCCUUGUACGCUUAGUACAUUUCCCUUGUACACUUAGUGUAAUACCUUUGUAUAGUGGCACAAAUUUCAUAUGUCUCCUAAGUUAUGUAUCCAUGUAGGUGUGUUUAACCAUAUUUCCAAUGGUUUAGUUGAGAAAAUGGUGGAUGACUUAGGUCAAAUUUUUUCGCCAAAUAUCAUUAUUGGGAAAGUAUUAGAACUUUUAUUUGAGAAUUAAAUAAAAUGCAUGAGAUAGGUGUACAAUUCGUGGGUGAUAAGAAAAAUAAAGGAAUGGUUUGGGAUAAAUUGAAAUCUUUUACAAAAUGUAGCCUUGUACAUCCUUGUAUACUUAGUACAUUUCUCUUGUAUAGUUAGUGUAAUACCAUUGUAUAGUGACACAAUAAAUGAAUAAAUAAAAUUUAACUCUUUUUAUUAUUUUCAUAUAAAAAUAUAGUACUAAACAAGGUUUUCAAUUUUCAUUUUUAAAAAUAGCUUUCAUUUUUUAAUUAAACGUAUUUGUAGACAUAAAAAUUUUAGUGGAUUAAAUAACCACUAAUUUGGUCUUCAAAAAAAAAAAAAAAAAACUAAUCUCCAAUUGUAAAAAUGAAAAAAAUAAUAAUAAGAAAAUUAUUAUUGUUAUUAUUAUCUUGUUGAAAAAAACCUCCCGAAAAAGAAAAAAUUUGCUAAAAUCAGGGAACUAAAUCCCUUGAAUUAAGCAACUAAAAUUCAGGAAUUUGAAUUUCAAAUUCCCUAUUUUCACCUAUAAAUAGGGGUGUCUUCUUUUAAAAAGGGGGGAGGGGAUUCAGAAAUCAUAAAUUGAGAUAUCGAAAACAUUAAAAAAAAAUGGAAAAUCCUAAGGAGAAAAUCCAAAUGCGACUUCGUAUGGGAAAAUAAGCUUCACAACAAAAUAAAAAACUUCAUCAAAUCUCCCUACAAGUUCGAUAAACAACAAAAGAACUUCUACAUGCGUUCUUCGCUAUUCAACGAGUUCAUUAGGAAUAAACCACUUGUGACCCUCAAUUGAUCCUUCAAAUCAAGAAAACAUCGUCGUCGUUCUUCAAGUUGUGGUCAAAGCGAAAGAAUCAGAGGAAAAAUAUUCUUUUACAAAGAAUAUUGUUUUUGAGAUUGAACCUCAAUAUUUUUAAUUUUGAUAAAUAUUUUGUUCGUAUUAUUUUUGUUAUUGUUUUCCUUACACCGUGGGAUCAUUUACGAAAUUUAUGCGUACAAAUUUCUGGCACACCUGGUGGGACCUUUCUGUCUCUCAUCUCUUUUGUUAGAAGAUUGAUCUCUACUUCAUUGAUGGCACCCAAAAGAACUCAAGUUGUGCAUGUCAACAAAGGCAAUGACAAGAUCGUCAUUGCGCAAUCGACGCAUGACAUCGUUACGACCCUUUUGACUUGUAGCAAAGCAAAAUCGACAUCUUCACUCUCAACAAAACAAACAAGUGAGUUUGCUUGUUUGCUAAAAUCGGUAAGAAUGCAUGAUGAGCACCAACCACUCAUCACCUUGGUCUCUCUAGGGGCAAAGAGCCAUCAUCCUCAUAGCAGGGGAACUGCCUUCAAUACUAAAGGACUUUGGGAAUAAAUCUCCUUACUCUAUUACCAAUGCCAACUCUAACACCAACUCACACUCCAGAUCGCCAACUAGAAUGUCAAAAGAGGAAAACUACUCCAAUCAUUCCGACUUUUUUACUUCUCAUUUCUCAAUUACUACACCGAUAAUGACAACCGGCACUACAUCCGUAGAGUAACUAUUAGCAGAGAUAGCUCGUGACAUCUCCAAACUCACUAAGACGAUCGAGGAGAAGGAUAUGCAGAUAACCUCUCUCAUAAACAAAGUUAAGGCGCAAGUACAAAAAACGAGUGAGUCAAGUCAAGGGCUCAACCACCUUCCGAAUGUUACAUCACUUCUCGAUGAUGCACCACAUGCGUAUAGGAUAGUGCAAGUUGAGAGAAAAAUGGUGGAAUCUACCUCAGUGACAUCAUUAUUUGUCCAACAACUUUAAGACAUGAUAACCAACACCAUUACAGCGUAGUACGGUGGACCCUCAUAGAGUACGCUCAUGUACUCUAAACCUUACUCUAAGAGGAUUGAUAACCUAUGUCUAUGGGUUAUCAACCUCCAAAGUUUCAAUCAUUUGAUGGGAAGGAAAAUCCAAAACAAUAUGUUGCCCAUUUGGUUGAAACUUGUAACAAUGCAAGUAUAUAUGGUGACUUAUUAGUUAAACAAUUUGUCCGUUCUCUCCGAGGGAAUGCUUUCGAUUGGUACAUAGACCUUGCACAUGAGUGUAUUGAUAGUUGAAACCAAAUGGAACAAGAAUUCCUUAACCGUUUCUAUAGCACCCGACGAAAUGUAAGCAUGAUGGAACUUACUAACACUAAGCAAUGGAAAGACAAGCCAGUUGUAGACUAUAUCAACUGUUGGCAUUCCUUAAGCCUUGACUGCAAAUAUAGAUUAUCUGAGAUACCAGUCGUGGAGAUGUGCAUACAAGGAAUGCUUUGGGGUCUCCUAUACAUUCUCCAAGGGAUACAACCUCGUACCUUUGAAGAAUUAGCUACUUGAGCACAUGGCAUGGAACUCAGCAUAGCCAACCAUGGUUCUAAGAAGGACCUUAUCGUUGAUCGGAAAAGAGAGAGACAUGAUGGGAAAAUGAGUGACAAGACCUCGAAGAAACCCAUCCAAGAUUCAAUGACGGUAAAUAUGGCUCUCGUCAAAGUCUCAGCAAGAUAUAAAAAGAAAAAAGUAAAAGAGGCUGGACCAACUUAGGAAAAUGAGAGGCAUCGGUUCACCUUGAAAGAAUUAAAGGAGAAUAAGUAUCAUUUUCGUGACUCUAAUGUGCCUAACAUGUUGGAAGACUUGCUUUAGAAAAAAGUUAUUGAGUUACUUGAGUGCAAGCGUCCAAAAGAAAUGGGUCAUGUUAAUGAUCCAAAGUACUGUCAUUACCAUCGAAUUGUCAAUCAUCUUGUGGAAAAAUGUUUCAUUUUAAAAGAUCUCAUAAUGAAACUUGCAAAGCAAGGAAGAAUUCAUUUAGAUCUAGAUGAAGUAGUAGAGUUAAAUCAUGCUACAGUCACAUUUGGGUCAUUUGAUUUUGUUCAAUUACAUGUUCCACUUAAGAAACUGGAAGGAUGUGCCAGUACUAUUUAAUGCAAGUCAUUGAAACCAAAGAAAACACAAGUGUCAUGUCAGGAUAGCCUUCUUCGCCUUUGCUCUGAUAAUAAAUCAAUGUCAUGUGAUGAAGAAGGUUGGACAUUGGUGACACAAAGAAGACAUCGCAAGAAGCAAGUGUCACGUUCAUACCCUAACCUUCUUAGGAGGAGACGACAUAAGUAGAAUACUCGUUAACAUCUAAAGAAGGAAGAAAAAAAAAUCCUAAAAGAAAACAAACAAUUGCACAAAUAGACGACCUAUUGGUCCAAAAACUCAUCACCCCUAUCAUCCUAGGGGAAAACUUCCCCCUAGGGUUCUUUGAUAAAAUGGUGAUAGUAUCAACUCAUAUGGUCUCUUCCAAUGAGACUUCAAAAGAAGAGGGGUUAAGUGAAGAUGAGGAAAACAUUCUUGGUGUUGAGUCAAGAAAAACUAAGGAAGAAGGGAGGGUAGUAGCAAGCUUACAACACCUACCAUCACUGUUUAGUAGUCACAAAAUGCUAUAACUUCCUAAUGGGAUGCAAAAUGCGUUGAUUCAAGUACUUAAGAAUCCAACACUCUAUGCCACCAAAAUAUAGGGGGCAAAAAGACUUAAGGAUGAAAACCACACUUGCGCUAAAUAUUGUGCAACCAUCACUUUUACAGAUAAAGAUCUUCAGUUAAGGUUAAAACCACAUAAUCAACCACUGUUUAUUACCGGGUACAUACGGGAACAAAAUACCGCUCGCAUCUUAAUUGAUGGAGGGUCUACAGUAAAUAUCAUGCAUAAAACAACUAUGAAACGACUAGGGAUUGCUAUGAAAGAACUAACUCGAAGUCACCUACUGAUCCAAGGCUUUAAUCAAGGGAGACAAUGAGUUAUUGGUAUGAUUCGCCUAGAGCUUGCUACGGGUGAAUUGAGUUCGAUCACAUUGUUUCAUGUAAUCGAUGCAAAAACAUCUUACAAUGUAUUACUCGGGCGACCAUGACUUCAUGAGAAUGGGGUAAUUCCUUUGACACUACACGGGUGUUUCAAAUUCUAUAGAGGAGGGGUAAAGAAAGUAGAGGUUGAUACUAACCCAUUUACAGAAGUCGAGUCUUAUUUUGUUGAUGCUAAAUUUUACACAGAAAAUGAUGUUAUGCAGGAAGUCCUUCUUGCGAUCAUUCCCUUCACUAGGAAAGCUAAACUUAAGGGAAAAUUUGAGUAGUGUAAGUCGACAUUAGCAGGGGAAAUCUCAACCAAUGAUGACUCAAAUUGAAGAAAAAGAUAAAUCCUUAAAAAAAUCGACACUAGACUUGACGAGUGUCACUACUUCCCUAGUUUUAGGUACAUCCCAAGAUCUCGAUGAAGUGAGGGUCAACCACCUUUCAUAGAAAACAAAAGAGAAGUACAAUCUCGAAGAUUGGAAAAUGGGGACCUUCAAGUCUUGAAAGAAGAUGCGACCAUUCCUCUUCCAAACUUACAACUUAUCUUUAGGGAUGAGACACAAAAAUCCGUCAAAUCCUCAAAAGAUCAAACAAAGCAAGAAUUCUUCUCUGGUAAAAGAAUAGAUGAAGAGUUCAACCCUAAGGCUUACAAGUUAUUAGCCAAGGUAGGGUAUGACUUCACUUCGUCAUCACAAUUAGGAGAACUUAGCCCUGAGACUACAGGUGAAAAGCAUUGCCUUAAUGAAACUCAAAAGAAGUUGAAACAACAAGGGUAUGCAGUCAAACCUUCUAGGGCAAGUUUAGGGUUUGUACCUUUCGAGCCUAACAAAAUUUCAGUUAAGACUAAGAAGACUAAAGCAAGUACAUGACAUAUCACUAUAGAAGACAUGAAGGAGAGUAGUGGGUCAAAUUCUCCUCCUUGAAUUUCAGUAUUUGAUUGGAUUGAAGCUCCAAUUACACGAGCUUCAAUGUUCAUUAGGUUGGGCGAUUUUAACCAAGUAGAACAUAAUUAUCACAUAUUCCACAAAGAUCAAUACAACAAAGGAUUGGGACUCUACCCUAAAAUUCAUGGUGACGAAAUCCAAUAAGAAACAAUGUAUUGAACUAAAGGAGGAUGCAAAGACAAAGAGUUUAAUCCAUCAAGGAUGAAACACCAUUCAACUUGGGAAAUCUGUACUAAUGGUUCGUUAAAAGUAAAACGACAUACCAUCGUGAUCACCAAACAGUCGGACAAGGGAUGCCCUAAAGAUGUUGAAGAAAGUUCGAUGCACACUAACUACCAUGUUACAGUAGAAGUUGACUCUAAUUCAAAAUUUUCAGAAGAUUAACCAGGAGAAGCUCCUUAAGUAUUUGAGGACGGGGGGAAAACCACUAUAGAUGAGUUAAAAGAGCUCAAUUUAGGUACAAAUGAGAACCCAAGGCCAAUCUAUGUAAGUACGCUUUUAAGUUCUUCUGAAAAUAAAAGUUAUUUUGAGUUGUUACUCGAUUAUAAAGAUGUCUUUGCAUGGUCAUACAAAGAAAUGCCAGGUCUUGAACCAAAAGUUGCAGUACAUCAACUCGUGGUGAAACAUGGUGUUCGACCAAUUAAGUAAGCCCAAAGACGAUUUCGACCAAAACUUGUUGUGCAAAUAGAAAUGAAAAUUGAUAAAUUGAUUGAAACUAGUUUUGUUAGGGAGGUAAAGUACCCGACAUGGAUUGCGAACAUCGUUCCAGUUAAGAAAAAGAAUGGGCAUAUCCGUGUUUGUGUGGAUUUUAGAGAUUUAAAUAGUGCUUGCCCAAAAGAUGACUUCCCAUUGCCAAUCAUCGAGCUUAUGGUUGAUGUAACUACUAGUCAUGAAGCUUUAUCCUUCAUGGAUGGAUCAUCGGGGUAUAAUCAAAUACGAAUGGCGCCAAGGGAUGAAGAGCUUAUUGCAUUUCAUACUUCAAAGGGUAUCUACUGUUACAAAGUGAUGCAUUUUGGACUAAAGAAUGUAGGUGCAACGUAUCAACGUGCCAUGCAGAAAAUCUUUGAUGACAUGCUCCAUAAGAAUGUCAAGUGUUAUGUUGAUGACCUGGUGGUAAAGUCUAGGAAGAGAGAAGACCACCUGCGAGAUCUCUGUAUGGUGUUUGACAGGUUAAGAAGGUACCAACUUAAAAUGAGCCCAUUCAAAUGUGCUUUUAGUGUUACUUCUGGUAAGUUUCUAGGGUUUAUUGUUCAACACCGUGGCAUUGGAUCAAUCUAAGAUCGCAACCAUUCGAGAUAUGCUAGAGCUGAGGAAUCUUCAAGAACUUAGAAGUCUUCAAGGACAUCUUGCUUUCAUUUGACGGUUUAUUUCAAACCUUGUAGGAUGAUGUCAACCUUUCAACUGACUUAUGAAGAAAGAUGUCCCAUUUGUUUGGGACAAAGCUUGUCAUAAUGCCUUUAAGAGCAUAAAAAAGUAUUUGGCUAAUCCACCAAUCUUAGGUGCUCCUAUGGCAGGGAAGCCAUUGAUACUCUACAUCGCUGCACAAGAAUGUUCUCUUGGAGCAUUACUUGCACAAGAAAAUGAGGAGAACAAAGAAAUGACAUUGUAUUACUCAAGGAGGAAAUGUGAUAUAUCGACGAUAUAUCGCCGACAUAUCGUCUAUCGAGAGACGUUGACACGAUAUUUUAUGGAGAAAAAUUGUUGAAAAUCGGUAAAAAAUCGUCGAUAUAUCAGCAUCAGGCGAUAAAUCGCUGAUUAAAUGAAAAAAAAUGGCCAAAAGGGAAGAAAAUCGCCGAUAUUUUGGCGAUUUUUCGGUCGGUCAAUGCGGGUCAACGAGCUACAGUGCUCCCACUACAGUAGCUACAGUGCACCCACUACAAUGCACUCUCAAAAAUGCCUUUUUUUUUCCAUUGAAGGAAUUCGAACCCCAAACAAAAGGUUUGGGGUUCAACUCAUUAGACCACCAGGGCAAGCUUGCCCUUUGUUAAAUGUAUUGCACUUAAAAUAUAUAUUCAAAGUCAUCAUGUAAAGAAAAUUUUAGAGAGAAAAUUAAUUAUAAUUAUUUUGUAAUUAAAUACAAAAAUUUCUUUUUAUUGAUUACCAAAAAUAUAAAAAUUAUCACAAUAAUUUUCUUCAUAGUGUUUUUACUAUCAUUAAUAAAUUAAUUAAAUAUUAAAAAAUUGUACAUAUAUCAUAAUUUAUUAUAUAUCAUUUAAUACAAUUGAAUUAAAUGGAUCAUAAUUUUAAUAUUAAUAUAUAUUUUUAGUUAGACAUAUUAUAAUCAAAUAUCAUAAUAUUAUUAUGAAAUAAUAUUUGAUGUAAUUUAAUAAUAAAUGUAUACUUAUAAAAUUCAUAUUUUUAUCGAUGCAUACGAUAUUAUUAUCAAAUAUGAUAAAUCAUAUUAUACGUAUAUUAAAUUCUUUAAUAAAACAACUUUAAAAUAUCUAUUAUACUUCUAAUUACAUUUUUAUGAAGUCUUUCUUGUAUUUUUAUAAAUUUUGAUCAAUUUUAGGCUUAUUGAUAUUUUUUUCCAAAAUAUCCGUCGAUAUAUCUCCGAUAUAUCCGAUAUAUCCGUAAAAUCGAAGUACCGAUAUAUCCGUGAUUACCGAGAUUUUCAUCAUUGGUAUUACUUUAGUCAAACUCUAACAGGACCAAAACUAAAUUACUCUCCAAUAAGGAAAACUUGUCUUGCUUUAAUCUUCUUGACAAAAAGCUAAAACAUUACAUGCAAACAUACAUGGUACACUUAAUAGCACUCACUGGUCCCAUUAAGUAUGUGCUAUUAAAGCCAGUUCUUUCAGCACGAUUAACAAGAUGAUGGUUGUUACUCAUUGAGUAUGAAAUAAUCUACAUCCCUUAAAAGACAAUCAAAGGACAAGCACUAGCAAACUUCUUGGUAGAUCAUCUUGUCCCUAUACCAUGGGAAAUUUUAGGCGACUUUCCUGAUGAAGAGAUAUUUUAUGUUGGCGUUUUUCCUUUGUGGAUGAUGUUCUUCGAUUGGUUAGCACACUAUGAUGGAACAGGCGCAGGUGUUGUAUUUAUCUCACCACAAAGACAGAUACUACCUGUAGACCCCCAUUUUGGGAGGUAAUUGCUGCAGCAAAUUUUUCCAGGUGGAGCAGCUUCAGGAGGCCACGUGUUGCCUCUUCAUUGGCUGUUGAAGAAUCAAAUAAUGGGUUCGGGAAGCCAAUGGGUGUGCGACACGUGUCCAGAGAAUAUGAAAAAGGCUACAAACCGUUGAGGGGAGCAGAGGAGAGGAUGCUUUUUGGCUGCCAGCUGCAGGAGAGGGUCGGGGCUGCCAUUAGAGAUUUUUUGGAGAGGGUAUGGUGCUUUUUUGAGAGGAGCUGGAGAGAGGUUUUGGAUGCUGGGUCUGAGAGAUUUUUUUCAGGCAGGGGGAGAGAGAUAUUUUUGAGGGCAUUGCUUAGCUGGAGAGGGGAACCAGAUGAAAAGGGGGGGUAUUCGUUGAGCAGGAGAGAAAAAGCUAGGAGGAGGGGGAGGAUCCCAGGGACGACUAUGAGAAAUUCUGGAGAGUUUUGGAGUUUGAGCUGAGGUAGAAAGAUAUUUUUCUGAGGAUUCCAUUGCUGUUAGAGAGGGUGUGCCUUCUCUGCUGUGGAGAAGAGGUUUUGAAGCUGUUUGGGGCUUGGGAAGGACUUACAUAGGAGUUUACUAAGUUGGAGGAGGGGAUAACAGAGGAAAGGAGCGUCUGCAGGUGAGUUUUGAGGUGAGUUUCUUGCUUAUUUUGAUUCAUAUAUUUCUCAUCAUUUUUCCAUUUUCUUUGACUCUACACUGCUCGUCUACUUGGGUCGGAUAAUAUGGAUUACAUGCUUAACUUUGUUGAUUUCUGGAUCAUACUUAUACUCUGCCGUUGUUGAUCUCAUUGCUAUUCUCGUGGCUUGACUUGGAGCUGCCAUGAAUCUGUUUUGUAUACACUGUGCAAAUCCAGUUUAAGGAAUCCCACCUGUUUUGGGCCUCUUGAAAUGAGGUCCUAUACGUUCAUGUGGUGCAUGUUGCCCUAUUGGUUCUAUUCUCUGUGUUCACUGUAAUUUCUGCUUUUACUCUCAUCCCUAUAUUCUUGCUGUGGUUGAUGGGUUGCUUGAUCUGAGGCUUGGUGGAAUUGAGUGGAGCCAUGCUUGUGGGCUAAGAGGAUUGAUGAAGAGGAGAAAGUGUCUGGUUCUAGACGGAGGUUGAAGCAGAUAGACUUUUAAUCUGAUUCACAUGAUGCUGGGUUUUCUGGGUCUACAUUUGAAUUGAGGAUACAGUCAAUCCCAUCUCCUUGGUGACUGUCCAAAAGAACUCCUGAAGCUACCCAUAAAGUUUUCAUAUGCCAGUAUAAAUAUUGCUGCAUUAGGUAGAAUGGAGGAGUCAUGCUCCAAUAUUAAAGAUAGUAUCAGACACAGUGUGGUCAGAAAGCAGAGGAAAAUUCAGAGUUGAUGAAUGAAAUAUAAAGUUGAGGGAGGGGUGAAAGGUACCAUGCAUGCCAAGCCCACCGUCCCCUGUCUCCUCCAUUAUCCAUUAAACUUGAUCACCAUGGCACCCUCACCUACAAGUUUGUCAUUCAUCAUUGCUUUGCCGAACCUGCUGCCUUCAACCCAUUUCUCACUCAGGCAUAGGGAUCAUGCAUGCAUAGCCAUCCUUCAAUCUCCCAUACCCACCGAAUUCCUCAUACCCAUUAUCUCUCACUAACCUACACCCUCCAUACCAAUAACCCCAUGCCUACAUCCUUGAACACCUCCUAUCCUUUAUGCCCAUUUCCUAACCUUCAUACCUCCAAUACCCUCAUCACCAUGCCAACUUGAUUACUUCCUAUCAAUUCACCAUUAUACCCAUCCUUCUCACCUUUAACCACAUACUGAAUAUAUGGAAACAAGUAGCCAGAGUUGUCAAAAUUCUUGCCGAGAAAGAUGGACAAUGCCAUAAAGGACCACUGGAACAGUUCUGUGAAGAAGAAGCUGGACUCUCAUAUAGCAUCAGGUUUGCUUGUACAGUUCCAAGGCUAGCCUCUUGUUGGUCAUCGAAACCAAUCUAUCCAUCUAUCAUCUCCAAGGAUAUAACAGAGUAGUGGAGAUGAUGGUGAUGCCAAAGGUGGAUAGAAGCAGAGGACUUUUCGAAAUGUAGUCCAAGUUCAACUGCAAAUUCCCUUGUGAACUGAAUUGCCCUUCCAACUACCUCGAGCCAAAUUUCCUACGUGAAGCUAGAAUUUCUGGAAGCAUGGAGCGUCAGUUUUCUCACCUCCACCUGAGGGAGUAGGGAAUUGCAAGAGAUGCAUUCUCAUUCUGAGGUUAUGGAGAGCUACACUCAUGAGUUUUGCCGCGCUAUGGGCUGCCCAAACUUUGCCAAGGAAUGUGGGGAGGCAGCUUCAGGUUGGAGUUAUUUGUUGAGCGGAUGUUGUUGCUGUUGAGGUGGUUUUCUUUUCUGACAUUUGGUACUACAGACCUUGGAGUCUUUGUUGUGGAAAUGAAGGCCAGAUAAGGGGAGCAUGAGAGCUUUUUCAGGGUACAUUUGAGUCUCACUGAUCUGAUGCCGUAUGGUAACAAUCUUCCUGAGAGGCCGCUUGGUUAUCUCAGAAAGUACAGUUGUAUUUUUUUACACCCAUCAAUGAAUCAGUGGUAGGACAUGCAAGCUGAAAGUGGUCCGCCUUGUCAUCUUGACUGUGGAUAUCAUUACUAUCAGAGGCACAUCUUCUUCAAAGAGUGAUUCCUAAGGCUACGGAAUUUGAAUCAGAUACCCCUUACCCAUUCACCAAACUAGCAAGCUAUCAAUUGUUGGAAGUAAUGAUGAUUCUCUGGGCAUGCUCGGGAUAGAUAGUCAACUGAAGAAGUGAUUAUAUGAUAGGGUUUUGGAUGCAUUGGUACCUAAAGAAAGAGGCGAUAUGAAAAGAGAGAGGUCACGGCAGGCAAGGAUUUUAUUUAUCAGGCGUCAUGAGAACUUGGUCUCCUGUCAUGUGGACUCGCUAUACUCAUUAAAUAAGGAACUUCAGGGGCAGCUAGUAGCCGGGCAAGAAGACAUUCGCGCAGCAGAUUUGAGUGAGUGCUGGAAGGGAGUAGCUUUGGAUCAUAACGGGCAUUUACUACCAGGAACAUGUGAGGCCGCGGCUGAAAAAGAUUUAUGGACAUUGUUCCAAGCAUGGAAGGGCAAGUCCACAAGCAAUUUCAGCGUGUUCUCGAGAAACAAAAGAUGCAGUCCAUGUUCAGAAUAAAGGUAGCAAGUGUUGGUACAUCUGGAGACCUUGUUAAAUUGACACUUGAACCAGCAGCCAGUGGUGAGCAGAGCACACUUGAGGCUGAUCUUGUUCUCGUCUCAGCUGGCGUCCGUGCUAUUGAUGAUGUAAUUCCAGGUUUCAUGUUAACUCACAAGGCAGAAGAGGAGGGGAGCUUAUAGGUGCAAGAGUUGACUGAAUUGGAGAGACAAGGACAAGAGAUGUCUGUGGUAAUAUAGAUGUGAUUUGUUACAGGCCACAACUGUUCGCGGCUCGGACCAAGUGAUUGUGCCAGCCGCUUCGUCUGAAUCGUAUUGCACUUCUAAAUCUUGUUCUAGCGAACGUUGGAGAUGGAGCAAUAAUCAUAAACAAUCUACUUCAGCAUUUGAAAGAGCACAAAAACCCAGUAAUGGAAGGAGUUUGGCUGACAUAGAGAGCAUGCUAGUUCAGGGAAGAAUGGAAUUGCCUCUCAGCUUGUGUUUUGCAGUUUUGAGAGGAGAUGACCUAUUGUUGUAUCAGUUGCUGAAACGUGGUUUGGAUCUAAACGAAUUGGACAGCAACGGAUGAAUUCCUCUGCAUAUUGCAGCGUUCAAAGGGAGAGCCAAAUCUAAAAAUAGAUUCUUGUUCUACCUAUUCAUAGGAAGAAGAACUCCAAGUGCAAAUUCAAAGUUCUGAAGUUUUGCUGCUUCCCUACAAGGCAGAAACAUCAACUGCUGUAGAGAUCACAAGAGAACAAGUUGGGUCUUCAGUAGUUUCAGGCUCCAAUGCAGAAUUAUUGGACUUUGAUAGCUGGUUCACAAGGCUCCUCAUUCAUAUGGCCACCUCGGGGUACCUCUGAUCAGUCCUCGCCCAUAAUCAGUUUCAGUAUACUCAUGAUCUUGCAGUAUUCAUCACUCUGGUUCCGUUGGGAUUUUAGAGAAGGCAUGCAACUGGUGUUCAAGGUGCAUCAAGUUCAGAAUCCCACUUGUGCACUGGACCUACAAGCACGACCCGUUUUGCAUGGCCACCUUUGGCAUGCAACCAAGGGGCCACUUGUCAUCUUUCACUUCCCCCAUACCUCUUUGAUUUUGAAAAUAAUUCCCAAACUUCAUUUUGUAAUUCCAAAUUCUGUUUUGUUUUAAAAUAACUUCAAGUCUUCAAAGUUUUCAUUCUUAGAGUUUUUAGGUUCCACAAGACUCAUUUUCAAUAAAAUUUGGUUGCUAUUUCCUCUUCGGCAAGCCAUUUUCACAUUUUCUAUUUUUUUUGGAAUGUUUUAAAAUAAGUGCGGAUUCAAUUCCGUAAUUCCAAAUAAUGGAAUUUAUGGAAUUAAUCCAUGUAAAAAUGAAUUGGGCUUUGGUGGGGGCCCUACAUAUGAGAUUUCAUGAUUGACUGAAUGAUUGAUUCAUUAGCUAUAUGUGUUUGAUUUACUCUGUUCCUUGAUAUACACAUUAUCCUUCUGUGUUUGUUCACUAACCCUGUUUCUGAUAGCACGUUACGGCUCGUGGCCCAGGUACGCGUUCUCUAUACCUAUUCUGUUUCUCAUAUGUGCAUAAUUGAUUCGAGUAUUCAUUGACUUUCUCAUUGGUGGCCAUGUCAGCUUCAUUUUAUUAGUAGAGACCCGACUUUAGGGAGUUAGAGGGGUGCUACGGUCUUUACCGUACCUUCCCGAUAAGUAACCUGACCCCCGAACCCGAUCCGAUUUUUCACAGACCACCUUUUCCAAAUAAGGAGUCACACUUAGGGUUUUUCUUUCUUAUUUUGUUUACCCUUUAAAAAUAAAACAAAAAUAAGUGGCGACUCCAAGUCAUUUUCAAAUAAUCAAUAAAAAUCAAUUUUUCAAAUAAAAAUCGAGCUCGCCAUCGAGUGGGAAACGCAUGAGCCGAAAUGCGGGGUCCACACUACCAUAUUCAUUUGUUCUUAGUGAGAGAUGCUCCAACAACGUUGUUGAAUACCAAACCUUAAUUAUCGGGAUACAAAUAUUGAUUGAAAUGAAAAUCACAAGCUUAGAGAUAUGUGAGGAUUCUAAGUUGGUAAUCCAUCAACUUUUAGCCUUAUAUAAGGUUAAAAGUGAUGAUGUGGACCCGCAUUUUUCACGUGCAUCCCUACUCGAUCGGCGAGACUCGCUUUUUAUUUGUGAAAAAUUAUUUAGUUUUGGAAAAGUUAGAGCCGCCACUUAUUUUUAUUUUUAUUUUUAUUUUAAAGGGAAAAUAAAACAAGAAAGAAAAACCCUAAAAUGUGACUCCAUAAUUUUUGGAAAAAGCAUGUCUUUAAAAAACCCGAGUCUAGGUCCGAGGAUCAGGUUACUUAUUGGGAAGGUACCUUUAGGAGGUAGCACCUCUGUAAGCCCUAAAGAGGUCUUUACUAACUAAAUUGGGGGAAAUGUGGCAAUUAAUUGAUUAAUUGUAGAUACCUAAGUAAGCUAGGUGAUUUCAGAAAAUAGCAUGCUAAAUAAGGAGAUCAAUCACAAUAUAGGAGAGUUAGGAUAUGUACCUGAACCACUUCUUAAGCGCUAUCAUAAAACAUCAAUGGUUAAUUCAGAAAUAUGACACACGUCAUGCAUUUUAUCAAGGAUGAUCAAACAAACAUCAAGACAAUCAAGUAUGUCAUCAAACAAGGGCAAUGACAUGCAUAUUCAUGAAAUUUUGGGAAGUGUGGUGGCAGAGAGCAUACUUGGACAAAAGCUAAAGCGCCUCUAUGGGAAACAAGGUUAGCCCAAUAACAAAUUCAAAAUAAUCUCAUGCACCUCAAAGAGAAAGCACAAUCAAUCGGAUAUCGAACAAACAAUAUAGAAGAGAAUAUCAUGGAUGUCGGGCCCCCACCAAAGCCCUGAUUGAUUUUGCAUGAGUUGAUUCUAUGAAUUCCAUUGUUCGGAAUUAUGAAGUUUGUUCAUGCUUGCUUAAAAAAGAAAAUCAAGAAAAUCAUUUGAAAACAGUGAAAGUGCAUACCAGAGGGAAAAUUGGUAGCAACGGGUUUAUUAAAAUUUGGAUCUUACUGCUUAUGGAAGGACUGAGGACGAUUCUUUAAAGUAAGAAUUAUUUGGAUGAAAACGAUUUUGAGAACACAAUUUAAAAUACAUAAAAAUACGAGGAUAACCAGAGGGUGCAAGAGGAAGAGGGUAAUGUGCACCAGAAUGGUCGUGCCAGAGUGGGGCUUGGGGGUCUAGCUAUGACUGUGUUGCUGGUGGUUGUAGGUGCUGCCGUUAUUCUCUCUAAAUUUUCCGUUUCUACUCUCUUGCACGUAUUCAAAUACCUUACAUCGUUGCAUUUCUGGGCCUUUUCUAAUUACUUGAAAUCCCCUACGUUCAGACCUACUCCCAAGAGCUUUGACAUUAAUUCCUCAUAUAAAUCUCUGAAAUAUGCUGAGAAAUUUAUUCUUUUUGGACUGCCAUUUCUGAUAGCUGAAGAACUGAAGGCUGAAGAAUCAUAUCCAAUUGGAUUCAGCUUGAGAGGAUGACCAUAGGUCGUGGUCGAAAAUGAAGUCGAUUUCCUUUUCCUCGGACCUUUCUGUAUGUCUAUGUUCAUAUAUCUGUUAGCAGCAUGACUUCCUCCUCAGGCUUGUGGUGCAGGGAAUUACCUAAGUCCUUUACAUGCAAAUCAGAAUUCUCCAGUUGCAAUUUUAUAUUAGAAUUUUUUAACUUCCCUACUUUGUUCUCUUAAUCAAGUUCGGAUAUCAUCAUCUGUUUCAAUUUUUGGAGACUAAUUUCAGAUCCAAAGGUAGAGCCUUCUAUCCCUCUUGUAAUUGAGAGUGCAAAUUCUACGGAUUCUGCAAUUCUCCCAGCAUCUGCUUCUGGUUUUUCUCAAGCUCCUGGACAAGGGCUUCAUAGUAGUACUCCAUCUGGUCCAUUUUUCUUGUAAGGCUCUCCCGUUCAGCUUUAGACUCAUCCAACCCUCUCUUUGAAGUUUAAAGGAUUUGUCUUUUAUUGCAUUGGUAGCAUCUAGAGAAUCAGGUACAAUAGAAACCAGGCCAGAUACACUAAGUAAUGAAAAAAAAUCUUUAGGUAUAUCAUGCAGCAUCAAAUCCAGUUCCUGACACAAAUUGUUGUCUUUCUCUCAUCUCCUUUAUGUUUGCAAUUUCUGAUGGUAAAGCAUUGAACAUAGAAAUUGCUUGUACAGUUCUUUGUUUGAGGUCCUUAGUUUGAAACUCUCGUCUUGUCCUCCAUAUUUAAAAGUCCCUUUAGCCAUCUCAGCUGUGAGUCUUCAAAUCUAUGAUCCUAAUCUGUCCGGAUAAUUUCCCUCAUAGUAAAUUCGGGAAUUGACUUAGAAUUUCUAGGAUGUUCGAGGUCCUCCUUGAGUUUUGAACACUCUAAUUUCAGUACAGAAACCUCUUCUGCAAGAACUUCUCCUGAAGCAAUCUCAGCAGCAAGUUGUUUAGCGAACUUUUGUGUUUCAACGUCUAUUUCAUCAACAUGACUUUGUAGAGAGCUUACCUCCAGCUUAAGCUCAAUAAUAGAAGACUCCGCAAUUUUCGAUCUUCUUCUAAGCCUAUUCUUCUCUUCAUAAGCAAUUGCCAAGUCAUUAUCCGCAGAAUGAUCUGGACUCCAUCCAUGGACCCAAUCAUUGCUUCCCUAUGCCAAAAACCUCUGAUCUGAUGGGUCCCCUUUCUCCGUCUGAGGGCUUUGAGUGUAGGAAAAUCCAUUUAAAUCACUAGAGAUCAUGCUCUUGAGGCUAUCGAUUUCAUGUGUACUGGAGGUAUCAUGUUGAUCAGCACUUAAACUUUCUGAUGUAUUCAAUGAGCGAUCAAAUCCAAUAGCUGGGUCUGAAUAUUCAUCAUUUAAUCCUCCAUCUUCUUCAAGUGAAGGAAGCUCCGUUGAUUCUGGUUUGGAUCUAACCCCUGUACUGAUUCUAUCCAUGUGUUCAUUGACAGUUUCUUCGGAUGAUAAUGUCUCUCCUCCAUUAGAUCCAUCACGCCUAUUUUGUCCAGUGUUCAUCUGCAACCCUCUCUCUCUCAGUUUCCCUUGCUGCUCAAACUCUCUGAACCCGUUUUUAGAAGUUAACAGCUGCACAAUAACAUGUAAUACAGUUCUAGAAUUGCAUCCAUGAAGAGGCAGUGAAACAAUAUAAGGCUUUAGCGUUCACAUCAGCUUUCAUACGUCAACGGAGGUAUGGCAUAAUCAAGUCACGUAGGACUAUUGCACACCUGUAAAUGGUGGAUACUUGUAAUAGAGAAGCAUUGGCAUAGCCACCAAUAGAUAUAGGAACUGUAAAUUCUGCUUCAAAUACAUGCAACAAUCCAAACUUCCCGGGGAAGAUAAAAUCGAACAAAGACCACAGCUCAGCCAGCUUGUUCUGAAUUGAUGCACCAGUUGUUAUUAUACGAUGAACAGUCUGUAGCUAUUUAUGGAGUAUGGUAACUUCAGCAUUUGAAUUCCGAAUUUGGUGUUCUUCAUCUAAAAUUGCAUAACCCCAUUUGAUAUCAAGUAGCUUUCCAGCCUGGAUGGUCUUGCCAAGUCCCAUCUCAUCUCCAAUAAUUCCACCUACUUGUUGGCAAUACAGUUCCCACAACCACUGAACCUCCACCUUUUGAUAAUAAAAAGUUUGCUGAAUAUGCUUUCAGAUAUUCACGGACCACCUUCAAUUGUUACAUAAGGGGGUUCAUAUCAUCGGUAUCUUCAAUAUUUUUUUGGUUUACUUCUUCAUUACUGGAGGUCACUAAGUUGUCACUUGUAUCUCCAUCACGAUCUGCCUCCUCAAAUUCUAGGAUCGAAGCACCUGCAGAAUUAUUCUGAGCCAUGUCUAUGCUGGAAGAUGGACAAGUCUGCCUCUUAACUUCACUUCAAAUAACUGGAAUUUCUGAACCCUUACGAUUUGGAUGGCAAGGUGGUUCGAACCAAUUUCUAAUCAGACUGCACAGUCUUUGAAUCACAGUUUUUGUUUUAAGAAGUGAAACAGAUUAACCAAUAGAUGCAAGGCUUUGAUCCAGCUUUAGUACAGAAUUACUAGAACCAGCUAAUGUUGAACUACUAACUAUGCAUUCUGAUUCAAAUAGAAUCCUUUCUAUCAAAUGAGUUUGUUCCAUCGCCUACCUUAAUCCUUUUUAAUUUUGAACAUGAGAGAAGAAGAGCGUUAUAACUUCUAUUUCGAUUUUCCCAUUUCUAAUAGCAUUUGCCUCAGCUUUUGGAGAAGAGCUUCAUCAUCUAACCUGGCCGUUUGCAAUGCUUCCAGGAAAUUCUUGCAGCCUGCAUCAUCUUGAUCGCUUGAUUUGCUUUCCACAUCGUCAAAAAUGACCUUUAAUAAAUUUAGAAGCUGCUCCAGAUGAGCCAUAUUCCUCAAAUAAAGGGGCUGUUUCAAGAGGAUCAACAGCAAAGCAAUAGACAGGUAUCCUUCAUGAUGCAGCUCUUUAUCUACAACUUCAUCCUCAAAGAAUAAAUAGCACUCAGAAAUCAUUUUUUAUGCUUCAUUGAACCGUAUUCUUCUCUCUUCGGGCGCAUUGGAAAUCUGUAUUCUGGUCGCUGGUAUAGUACAGUAAUUCGCCAAAAUUUCUCAUGGGCAUGUUGGGCAAGAUUCACAAAGGCGACCUUAUUGAGAGGGUCUUUAUGUUUCAGCUUCAGAAAAUUAUCUAUAAUAGACAUUACUUCAACACAUUGGUAAGAGUUCAAGAUGAAUCUGCAUGUCCACUCUUGAAUGACUGAAAGAUGACCCCGUCCGAAACUCACAGCCUGUAGAAUUCUCCAACAGCAUCCUCUAAUAGCUUAUCCUGCUCAUUAGUUGCUUCUCUGCCACUCCAUGCAUAGAGCUUCUUAAUAUUCCAGAGCCUAUUCAUGACUUAUCUCAAACGGUAACAAAAUAGAGAAUCAAGACCUUCAAUUGAUGCCUGCGCUCAGAAUCUGUAACUGGGCAUCAAAAUCAUCUAGGCAUAGAUCACAACCCUCAACAUGGACUGUGGAAUCUUCAAUGAACUGCAAAAUGUCAUCCACCCGCUUUGGAACAGCAAAUAAGAGCAAGCAAGGAGUAAGAAAAAAAAAUUGAUGCGAUCUCCUCCAGUAACAUCAUUCUAGUAUACUGAAACAAGGUUUCAAAUUCCAUUCUAACCAACUCAGAAUUUUCCUUUCCACACCAUCUUUUGGCAAAUAGUAUGUAUGUUGGACCACCAAAGACAUUGCCUCUUCUGGAUCAAGGACCAGAAGCUCAUCUGUUACAGCAGCCCAUCUAAUAGCUGUUGUAGUUCUAAAAACAGCAGCAUACCAAAACAAGUUGCCACCAAAUAUAUGGCCUUCUCAUUGAAUUCUCUAAAGAUUCACUUUGACAAAUUUGACCAUCUCCGAGAUGAUGUUGUGGUGGGAUGAUUAUAAAACUAUUCAGCAUGCCCCAAGAAGUGAAACACCAGAACGAAUAUGACAAGAAACAGAGAAAAAAGCAUCACAAUCUCAACAACCAUAAGCCUUUUCUUCAAUGUCUUAGGAUUAGAAACAAAGUCCCUUCGAGCACAAAAGUUCCUAUCAAACAUUGUCUGUAGUAUGCACCAAUUCAAGGUCCUUUCAAGGGCCUUUGUCAGUAUCAGAUGAUGCUGCACUCCAUUUGAGCCAAACUUAACAGUCAGUCCAGCACCUGGGACUCAACGAGAUAUUGGGAAAGCAAGAACUCUCUUAUGGAGCAUUCCAAUUAAGUAAUUCUUCUUCCGCAUCAAUCGCAUCACCACGUCAUGAGCAGAAAGAUCCUUAACUACACAAAGUUGUGAAUUUUGUGACUGAACAACCUUUCAAGAAUUGAUGCCCAAGGGAUCGUUUGAAUCUCAUUGUCAGUAACAUGGGGGCUGUUGUAAUCAGGAUCCAUGCUGGAUGAUUUUUCUCUUAAAUUAUACAUAUUUUCUUCAAUAGGUGAUAUCUGGCUGCACAUUUCACCCUUCAUUCCCAGAAAAAUAUCACUUCAUAACCAAAAACACAUUCAAACAACUCCGUUGUCCUCUGGCUUUACUAAAUGCAAUUUCCCAUUACAUGAGCCAAAGUACCAUGGGGUUACCUUGUCCUGAAAAAUGCUUAUACAUCAAAUAUCCAUUGAAGCUAAGUUCAUCAAAUACAUCAACCAAGCAAGACAAACAGUCUCUAAUGGGAGUUACAGCUCUGCAGUGCGAAUUCUUCACAAUAAAACAGGAUUUCUUGCCAUCCAAGAGCGUAAUCAACAGAUGGCUUAUCUCUUGAUGAAAAAUAGUGUGCUUAGAGGAAUGAGCACCCAUUUCUUCCUGUCUCUCCUGUCAAUUCAGUAACUGCUUGAAACAAACUAAACAGAGCAAGUUCAGGCAGAAGGUUUCCUCAUAGUCACAGUCAUUAAUACAACACCCGCAAUGAAAACAGCGUGCUAUGCACAAAGUGCAAGCUCUGCACAACUGAGUAGAUUGAUGUUUCCCUUGGCAACUCUCUGAUGGGCAAUCAUAUAUUAAUCUCACUUUCUGGCAUCUGGGGCAAACCUCGAUGUCAAUGGCAUGAUGAUCAUCACAUGAAAGAUACAACUGCUCUCUACAAUAAAACCGUGGUUUGAUCUCUUGUUGCAGGCACUCAGUGGGACAGUUCCAGUGUAGAGAUGACCUGAUGCUCUUUUUUACCCAAAAGUUAUAGAUUUUCUUUUAUCAAUCAUACAAGCAAAAUAAAUACUAGAGGGUCAUCUUCAUAGUUUAAAUCUCUACAGACGUCUGACCCCAAGCAACCCUGUUAUACACAGCUUUUAAGAAGUUUCUGCCUUUCUUGGAAUAUUCAUAUCAUCAUGGUCUCCGUAGCCCAGGGCACCAAAGGGGAAAGGGAAGAAAUAUGGAUGCAAAAGCAAAGAAGAAAAAAAAUAAUCCAAGAAAAAACAAAGUAAGGGAGAUAAAGGUGGGUAAGCAGAUAAGCCACAUUUCAUCAUUUUCAAAAGGGCUUUGAAGAAUUUGAACACUUUAAGACAAACUUAGUUAAAAUUAUAUCAAGAUUCCACAAACAUUAAAGUUCAAACAUAAGUCUCUGUUUCAGCUAUUUAUAAAAAAAAAAUCAGAGAAAUCAAGAACACAAUCAUAACAGAGCAAACUUGAAGGAAAUUUCGAUUCAACAAAGCAAAUAAGUGGUCCUCAAUGUCCACUCCAAUCAGCAAGAAUAACUUCUCGAAAACAGCCAGAGAAUCUAGAGUGGAAUGUAAACAGGAAUACCAAAAUAAAAAAUAAAAAAUAAAAAGAACAAGAAGCGUACUUGGCAGAACCCUGGCUAUAAUCUCCCUUUUCCCACUCUUGUGCACCUUCCACCCCUGACAAUCAAAGAAUCCCCCUGCCUUUUUCUUCAUCUCUCACGUAUAUAUAUUAGCCUUCCCCAAAGAACCCCCCAAAUCGAUUGGAGGAAAAUCCCCUCUUUUUCUUCAUUUUUGUGUCUCUUUACAAAGAAAAAAAAAUCUCCUUCCAAAAAGAAAACUUCUCUGAUCCAAAAAGGAAAUCCACUUUCCUUUCUUAUUUUCUUCCCUUUUGUAACCGAUUCCCCCAUGGUAAUAAUAUAUGUGCUAUUCUUCUAAAAGCAAAAUCUCAUCUUUUUCAAAAUUCUGUUGAUUCUCCUUCCAAAUAGAUGGCGGCCUAUUUCCUCAUGCCCAAAAAGCUAAGAAAUAUGAUUUACAAAACUUGUAAUAAGAUAAAAUAGAAUAAAAUAAAAAUAAUAAAGAAAUCCAUAUAAGCCAUACAAGUCAUGUAGGCCAUGCAAUCAUGUAAGUCAUAUAAAAAGUGGGUUUAAAAGUGCUUAAGUGGGCCUAAGUGGGCCUAAGGCGUUUAGGAAAGUGCCUAAGUCUAAAUUAGGGCUGCCGAGGUCAUAAUAAGGGGUUAGGCAAUCUCUCAAUCAGAGUCUCCGAGGUGGUUCAAGAAAGGUAAGAAGUGUGAGUAGAUAUGGGCCACCAAGGAGCUACUGUAAAGUAUCUAAUAGGACAUGUGCUAGGAGGACAAAAUUGACAGUCUAUAGAUGACUUAGUUUCUUACUUCCAAUAUUGUACCCAACUGAUAGAAAAGUUCGAGCGAAUCUCUUCAGUUCAUAUCCCAUAAAAGAAAAGCAAAUGGUAGAUGUUUUAGCUAAUCUAGCUACAUGUUUGACACUGCUUAAGGAUGAGAAUGUACAUAUCCCUCUUUGCCAUAAGUGGGUACUGCUACCAUUGCCAAUAUUACAACAAGAAGAAGUAAACGCUACAUCAAUAUUUACUAUUGACAGUGAAGAUUGGUGACAACCAUUAAUUGACUACUUAGAGCAUGGGAAGUUACCUAAUGAACUAAUACAUCAGACAAAAAUAUGACGUUGAGCUCCACGAUUCAUUUACUAUACAGAAACACUUUAUGGACACUCAUUCGAUGGAGCACUUCUUUGAUGCUUAGGAAGAGAAGAGACAAAUCAAGCAAUUGAAGAAGCUCAUUCUAGGAUCUGUGUGUCUCAACAAUCAGGGCCAAAACUUCAUUUUUGAAUCGAAAGGAUGGGAUACUAUUGGCUAACUAUGGUUAAGGAUUGUAUGGAAUAUGCAAAGAAGUAUCAAUCAUGCCAGUUCCACUCAAAGUUUAUACACCAAUCCCUUGAGCCACUCCAUCCUACAAUUGUGUCAUGACCAUUUGAUGCAUAGGGACUUGAUGUGGUCAGAUCCAUUACUCCUAAAUCCCCUAUUGGGCAUGCUUAUAUAUUGGCAGUAACAGAUUAUUUUUCUAAAUGGGCAGAAGUUGUGCCACUUAAAUAAGUGAAGAAAGAAAAUGUAGUGACCUUCAUUUGAAGUGAUAUUAUUUAUCGGCAUGGGGUACCAUGGUACAUAAUCACUGACAAUGGGAAACCCUUCUAUAACAAAUUGAUGAGCAAUCUUUGUGAGAGGUUCCGUUUCAAACAACACAAUUCAUCAAUGUACAAUGCACCAACCAAUGAUCUCGUAGAAGCAUUCAACAAGACCCUUUGCUAGUUAUUCAAGAAAAUUGUUGGUAAGUCAAAGAGGGGUUGGCAUGAACGAGUAGGAGAAACACUUUGGGCAUAUUGAACAAAAUAUCAAACACCUACACAAACAACCCCUUAUUCCCUCGUUUAUGGUGUAGAAGUUGUAUUGCCCCUUGAGCUUCAAAUCCCUUCAUUAAGGAUUUCUAUGCAUGAAAGACUAACUGAUGAAGAUAAUGCCAAGUUACGUCUUCAAGAGUUAGAAGCACUGGACGAAAAGCAACUUGAAGCCCAACAAUGCUUAGAGUGUUAUUAACCACGCCUUUCAAGCGCUUUUAACAAAAAGGUUUGUCUUCGGUCUUUUAAAGUCGAUGAUCUAGUUCUUGCUAUUCGUAAACCUAUUAUCACCACACAUAAGAUUGGGAGCAAAUUUACAUCAAAAUAGGGUGGACCUUAUGUGGUGCAAGAAGUUUACACCAAUGGUGCUUAUAAGAUCGUCGCUGAAGACGGAUUAAGAAUUGACUUUAUCAAUGGAAAAUUCUUAAAGCGUUACUGUGGUUGAGUCACAUUGCGCCUUUGGCUCGCAUGAGCAUAAAUUGUGUAUGGCGCACAAAAAAAAAAAAAAAAAAAAAUCCGCCAAGUUGAAAACCUGAAAAAGCGACUUAGGCAAAAUUUAGGGCAUAUACUUGCAAGAUUAAAUUUUUCUUUUAAUCUUAGCAAAAGUUAGUGUGUGAAAAAAAAAUGGAACUAGGUUUGACUUGAUCCCCUUUUUUUGAAGGGUAUGUAGGCAACUCGAGGAAACUAUUAGUCACUACCAAAAAAAAAAAAAGUCACAUUUUUAUUAAUAAAUAAAUCCGGUUAAAAAAUGCUAGACUUUAUUAUAUCUUAAUUAAAAAAUUGAAUGAAAGAAAAGAAUGAGAGCUAAAACUAAGUAAAAAAGUACAAUGAUCACAUCCACACCGAGCAUGCAAAGCUCAUCAGGUUGAGUUUUUAAAGCUUCUUGAAGUGUCUCUAAAGUCUUGACAUUGACAUUAGUGAGCAUAGGGAUUUGCGUGAUAAUGAUGUGUUCUUUUCUCAAGUGAGAAACAUCAUUCCAUUUAUUGGCUAUAAUCUCAUUGAUUUCCAAGAUUGAGUUAUGAAAGUGCCCUUUUUAUAUACCUAGUUGCUCCAAUUCCUUCCUAAGUGCUUACUUUUUAGCGAGAGUAACUAAGUCAACCUUUAAUGAUUGAUUACGAUUCGCCUAUACACCCUCAGAGUUUAGAGGAUCCACAAUCUGAGACAUAACAAUAACUAAAUGUUCACUUUGUAUUUCCGGAGAUAUCUUCAUGGAAUGGGUACGUUGCACUAUAUUGAAGUGAUUAACAUUUUCCUUGUAUUUCUCAAUCUGAAACUUUAAUGGUGAAGGGUCCACUCCAGUCUUCGUGAUAACAUCGAAAAGCUCAUCAAUUUUUCCUCUCAAUAAUGGGAGACACUCAUUGGAAGUUUUGAUAAUCAUUUCCUUAAUACCUUCUCCUAUCAUAAGUACUGCUUGGCAUUCGACAUUAAGAAUGAUUAGUUCGACGUCGAAUAUGUGAAUGGAAGUAGAAUGAGCCACAAUAGUAGGGCAUGGAGAUUGUUGUUCAAUAAUUAAACUUGUAACUGCUAGAAGUGUCAAUUCAUCUUAUGUUGUAUCUCUAGUUGUGGUCCCUUAACCUUGAAAUUCAAUAAGAACAUCACUUAAGAUGUUAGUAUUACCUUCAUCACCCAAAUGAGAAUGAAAAAAAGGUAAUAGGAUGAUAGGGUGAUCAUCUCGUUGUAUAGUCAAGGUAAAGGGCGUUGACUCCCUAGUAGCAACAACACUUUCAAACUGAUCCUUAGGAGAUGACUCAUCCCCUUCAUCAAGAAAUUGGUUGUCACCCUCCACCAAAGGCAAAUAUUAUUUUUGUUAGUAUCAAUGCAAAAAAAUAAAAAAAUAAAAAUUAAAUUACCUCUUCACCAUCAAAUUCCAUCAGUUGAGUAGAAGUUGGGACUUCAACAAAGAAGACAUCUGCAUCAGAGGAUGACAGUUAGUCUCAUCAUAGUACAUAGGGUUGGGUCUAAUCUUUCGGCGUUUAAAAUGACAUUCACUUGUAUCUUCAGAGUCAUCAUCUAAUACAUAAAGACCCUAUGCAUUGUUAUGUUGCUUAAAAGUCUUAUGACAGUGAGCACUACCACCAUUGAAAAUAGUUUUCUCAUGCUCCAAGUGUGUAGAGGUAUUAGUUUGAUGACUACCUAUUGAGCUCUUAGAAGAAGCUCUUGAAUCAUCAGGUAAAUAAUCAAAAUCCUUCCUAACAUUGUCUCUAACGUUCCUCUUAGUAGAAACACUUGAGUCAACCUUGUGCGUUCUACUCUCUAAAGAUUUUGAGGGUAUUUGCCGAGAAUAAUCAGGAGGGAGACCCAUACAAGUAGCAGUAAGAAUUGCCUUAUCAAGAUUGCGCACUUUGAUCCACCAAUCCGCAUAAGCCUUGGUGACUCAAAACUCUUCAAGACUAUGAUAAUCUGGUAUAGUAACAUUGGAGUAGGUAGCAAGCCUAGUGCAUGACUCCCAAUGUUGAUACACUGCCUCUAAAGUUCCAAUGUGAAAAAUCUCUAGCGAACCCUCAGAAGGUCUUGAGGAUACCCAAAUUGCCUAGAAAACUGAUGGGGAUAAUACGGUUGGAUUACCCAAUGGUUACUUUGUUGUAAAGAUAAAUAGCUAGAGCGAAGACUUAUGAGAUAAGAAGCUUUGGUAACACUAAUAGAUUCAUUUUCAGUCCAGUGCACUUGCUUCUUAUGGUGCAAUGCUAAGUGGUCUAGCUUUACGCCUUUGCAAGACAUUAUCAAAGUCUGAGCUUGCAAAUCAUCAAAACACUUAGCAAAAAAAUCAUCAGCGUAAUAAGUCAUCCAUGGGGGGUGGUUCCAAGAAGGAAAAAAUGAAAUGGGUAUCGAAAUAUUCACCUAACCAUUUGUAUAAAUGAUGAAUAGGGAAAAUGGAUGCAUUAGUCCUAGGCUUCGAAGAACAAGCAAUUUCAUUUAAGCCAUUGUAAAUGUUUGCUAACACUGGAACAUCAAGGCUAAAUGUCUCACCUUGAGCCAUUCUACUAGCUACCUUGAAAACUCCAGAAUGAAUCAAAUUAACACCCCCCAAGGAAGAACGAACUUGCAUAACCAACAUGCCAAGAAAGUGGCCAAGUUUUCUUAACAUUUACCUCGACUAUGCCAAGGUCGUUCAAAACUUCCAUCUCUGACUGAGUAAGAGAUUUAAUAGGAUCAACUUCCCCAAAGGGGUUAUGAGUCUCCUUAGGCCUCUACGCCUUAUUCAUUGUACUUUUCUUUGGGGGUUUUGCAUACUUUAUGGAGCCUUUGUACCAAAAUGACACCUAAGAGGCUAACUUGAUUGAAGAUUUCCCUUCCAUCUCAGAGUAAAUUCGUUGAUAUGCAAGGAAUAAGUUUCGACAACUUGGUGGGAGUGAGAACUUUGUUGCAUAAUUAGAUAACUCUUUUGCGCUCGGUACCAUCUCAUCAUAAAAAGAUCCAAUGAUGGGUAGUCCAACAAUACUAUACAAAUCCCAAAGAGAGAUGAAAACCUCUCCAAUGGAAGUGUGCAAGGUGUUAGUGGUAGGACACCAACGUUCGCAAAAGACCCUAAUCACAGAGGCAUGACUAUCAGAGCUAAAUAAGGAUGCAAAAAUAGCUUCAUAAAGCUUGCAUCCUUUAAGAAAUGGUCCAUGCCAACCCAAUGCCUCCUCUACCCAUUCCCAAUAUCCUUCGGUAAAGAAUGAUUCCCCAAGUACUUUGAAUGAGUUUUCCCAUUUGGCUUAAUAGUCACGAACACGGGAACCCAACAAUCCAAAUGCAUCAUGAGCUUCAGUAGUAAUUAGGUGAAAGGAAUUCAACAACAGAACAUCCGAAACAAGUUUUACCUUAUUGAGUUUUGAAUUGCUGAUAUUUGCAAGCUUGCAAAAUGCAACCAAGAAGAAAUGUGUAAUGGGUCCUUUAUCACUGGCACUAAUAAAGAUUGAAGGUUAGUAAGUGACUUAUGUACUAACAAGGAAGUCCCCUCUUUAAAAUCUUCACUAUCAUCCUCAAGAAUGGUUACAAUCUUCUCUUGAAACAUUUGAAGAACGCCAUCCUACAAAAAAAUAAAAAAGGUAGAAAAAGCGAUGAAUAAAAUAUGGGUCUAAGUUUUUGAAUACCACUAUGCAUUUAAGUCAAGCCAAUUUACAUGAGUGAAGACCUUAACACUUAAGUCAUAUUAAGUGCUGAAAGUACAACACCGUGUAGCAUUAGGGCCAUAACUUUUGCAUAGAUACCAAGUAUUAUUCUAGUUUUAAUUAAAUGUUAAAACUUGAAUAUCACUAUGCAUUCAAGUCAAACCAAGUUGCAUGGGUGGAUACUUUAGCACAUAAGUGUCGAAAAUACAACACUACGUAACAUCAAGGUCAUAACUUGUUUGCAUAGAUACCAAGUAUUAUUCUAGUUUUAAUUAAAUGUUAAAACUUGAACACCACUAUGCAUUCAAGUCAAGCCAAUUUGCAUGGGUGAAGAUUUUAGCACAUAAGUGCCGAAAAUACAACACCGCUUUGCGUCAGGGCUACAAUUUGAUUACACGAGGGUCAAAUUUUAAAUAUUCAUAUUUUUUAUGGAUAUUUAAUUUUAUUAAAAAUUCCCCCUCAAGUAUUAAGGUGAUUUAAAAAAAAUAAAUUAAAUUACCUGAAAUCAAAUUCAUCUUUACAAAUGAUGAAGGCCGACACGUGUUCGAAAAAGGUAAGUUUUUUUCUUCCUUUAAAAAAAAGCCAAAAAAAAGAAUUGAAUAAAUAAAAAGAACACAUGUCAACAUAUGAUUACUACUCAAAAAGAGCAUAUUUUAGAUAAUAAUUCUCAUGAUUUUCACAUCUUUUGAGUAGUAAUUAUGCCUAAAACACUCAAUUAACAUGUUUUUUCCCUUACAAGAGUUACUAACAAGUUUUAUGAAGUUUUGGAGUCAUUUCAAGGUAUAAUUUUGAUAAAUUGGUGACAAAAGAGAUUAAUCAAAUUGAAGAAAACAAAUAAAGUUGAUGAUAAUCCAAAUGCAUGAUGAAAGAAUCAAUGCAAUCAGUUUGGAUUGGGAUUUGGAGCUUAAUUGAAGGUGGUGGAGAUGGAUUAAACAUGAAGAAAUGAGAGAAAUUGCAAAGAGGAGCCGGAAUAGCAUGAUUUUCGAUUUCGCAUGACCAUGCGAAAUUUUCGCACAGUCAUGCGAAAUGAAACAGAAGGAUGUUGGCUGCAGCACAUAAGGGAAUUGUGAAAAAGUGAUUUCGCAUGACCAUGCGAAAUUUUCGCACAGUCAUGCGAAACGCUCCNNNNNNNNNNNNNNNNNNNNNNNNNNNNNNNNNNNNNNNNNNNNNNNNNNNNNNNNNNNNNNNNNNNNNNNNNNNNNNNNNNNNNNNNNNNNNNNNNNNNAUCCAAUUGAUUGAUUAAUUGAAAUUUGGGGAUUUUUCUCUUCAAAUUGUCUUGGAUGAUUACUACAAUGCAAGCUAGGUAGAUUCAUCAAAUUCUUAAUGCUAGAUUUGAUGAGAUUGAAUAGUUGCAUUGUGUGAAUCAUCGGAAGAUAAUUUAAGAUGAAUUGAAUAUAUGAUUCAAAUUGAUCUCUUGGAUUAGAUUACCUAAUUUGAAGAGAAAUUAGAUCUAGACCUAAAGCUAAAUCAAAAAUCGGUUUAGAUGAAAAUUUAGGUUUUCAAUCUAACUUGAUGAAAAUUAGAUCUUAACACCUAUUCACCAUGGAAAUUGCUCUAUAGAAAAUCCUAACUCCGAGAAUCUCACAUCUUAUUAAUUUUCUUCUCUUUUACACUUCAUUUUCCUCUCAAUUUGAAUACAUUGUAAUUUGGAAUUUUAUCAUGCAUUUUCAAAUCAAUUUCAUUUGAUCACAAUCAUUUCUUAUCAUCUCAUUCAAGCCUUAAUUACCGAGAAUAAUCCAUCCUUGUGGACGAUACCUAAAAACCACUAUACUACAGUAGUUUGUACUAAAACCACUUUUUGAUCGGGUACAAAUUGCUAUAGAAGAGUGAAUUAGGUUAUAAAUUUUGUUUUGAUCCAACAAACGACAAAAUAUGAGCGAUCAAAAAUGGCGCCGUUGCCGGGGAUGGUGCCAAGGUGAUUGAGGCAUUUUUUUUGGUGAGGAUUAACCCUUGUGAUCCACAUCACAAGAUUGGUGAAGUUCUCUUUACCGAUUCUCCAUUUUUAUUUUUAUUUUUUUAUUCCAUUUUUUAUCUUUUGUUCUUUUUGUUUUGUUUUGGUUUUUCUUAGCUUGUUUUGUAGGCUAUCCAUUGCAUGCUACAUUGAGAAUAAAAUUCAAGGGAGAGAUUGAAAAGAACUUACAUUGCUAAUCAUCUUUGGUUUGUGAUCCAAUUGUUGAGGAAAUGGAAAAUCAAGGGGAAAAUCAACAAACUCAACAAGGACCAAACAAUGGCAAUUCUCAUAUGUCUAGAUCAAUGAGAGAAUAUAUGCAUCCUCAAAGGAUAGGCAUGGGAUCAUGUAUAGUUCUUCCUAAUGAGCCUAUUGUGAUAAAAACUCACUUGGUACCCCUUCUACCUCAAUUUCAUGGAAUGGAGAAUGAGAAUCCUUAUACUCACAUCAAGGAUUUCGAAGAAGUUUGUCAUACUUUUCAAGAAGGGACUGCAUCCAUAGAGCUUAUGAGAUUGAAGCUUUUUCCAUUCACAUUGAAGGAUAAGGCUAAGUUGUGGUUCAACUCAUUGAGGCCCCAAAGCAUAAGGUCAUGGUUGGAACUACAAACAACCUUCUUGAAGAAAUUUUUCCCCAUACAUCGCACAAGUGGCUUGAAGAGGCAAAUUACCAACUUUGUGGCAUUAGACAAUGAAAAAUUUUAUGCUUGUUGGGAAAGAUAUAUGGAAGUAAUAAAUGCUUGUCCUCAUCAUGGUUUUGACACAUGGAUGUUGGUGAGUUACUUCUAUGAGGGCAUGUCACCAACUAUGAAGCAAUUGCUAGAAACCAUGUGUGGAGGUGACUUUAUGAGCAAAAGUCCCGAUGAAGCUUUUGAGUUUUUGAAUUAUGUGGCUGAAAUAUCAAGGUCAUGGGAUGAGCCACAUGAAAGGGAUUUACACAAGUCCAAGUCUCAAAGCAAUUCAAAAGGAGGAAUGUAUAUGUUGAAUGAAGAUGUUGAUCUACAAGCUAAAAUGGUAGCUUUGACAAAAAGGCUAGAGGAACUUGAAGCUAAGGGAUUUCACGAGGUGAAUGCAAUAUAUGAUAAUCCAAUUUACAUGGAGCAAUGUUCUAGUUAUCAAUCUAUAGAACAUGAAGUGAGUGGUUGUCCUACAAUACUAGCCAUGGGGGAAAGACUUGUUGAGAAUCAUUCGAACAUGUCAUGGAAUUGUGGACAAGAGCAAUUUUCUUCAAGGCAACACUCACAAAGCCAACAAUUCAUGGAAGACUCUCCACAACAAGUUUCUUUAGUUGAGCAAGCUAUUGUAAACUUGAGUAAAAUUUUGGGUGAUUUUAUUGGUGAUCAAAAGAAUAUCAAUAUUCAAGUAAACCAAAGGAUAGAUCAUGUGGAGACAUCUUUCAAUCAGAAAUUUGAUAGCUUGCAAACCAAUCUCACACAAAGGAUUGAUAAUAUGCAGCUUGCUAUUUCUAAACUCACAAACAUGCAUACGGUGCAAGAAAAAGGAAAAUUCUCUUCACAACCCCAACAAAAUCCAAGUGAAGUCCAUGAAAUUAGAGAGACAAGUGAAAGUUCUAUUGAGAAGGAUGAAGUCAAAUCAGUCAUUACCUUAAGAGGUGGUAAGCAAGUUGAUCAACCUAUGCCAAAACCAAAAGAGAAUAAAGGAGAGGAACAAAAGGAAAAUGUGAAAGAACAAGAAAAAGGGAAAGAGGUGAAUGAGGAUGAUAGAUCAAAGGAAGAUGAGAUUGUUAAAGAACAGGUUAAGAAGAAAGAUAUGUUCUUAGCUCCACCUUUUCCCAAAGCUCUUCAAUCCAAGAAAGUGGUAAAUAAUGCUCCAGAAAUUUUUGAAGUUCUCAAGCAAGUCAAAGUCAAUAUACCACUCCUUGACAUGAUAAGACAAGUUCCAACCUAUGCCAAGUUUCUUAAGGAUUUGUGUACCAUAAAAAGAGGAAUGCAUUUGAAAAAGAAAGCUUUCUUGACUGAACAAGUUAGUGCAAUCAUCCAAUGCAAGACUCCAAUCAAGUAUAAGGAUCCGGGAUGUCCAACUAUCUCGGUGAAUAUUGGCAACACUUUUGUAAAAAGAGCACUUUUAGACUUGGGGGCAAGUGUGAAUCUUCUUCCUUACUCGGUAUAUAAGCAAUUGGGGCUUGGAGAACUAAAGUCUACUUCCAUCACACUUUCAUUGGCGGAUAGAUCGGUUAAGUUUCCAAGAGGAAUUAUUGAAGAUGUGUUGAUCCAAAUCGAUAACUUCUAUUAUCCGGUUGAUUUUGUGGUGCUUGAUACGGAACAAGGAACUAGUGGACUCAACCAUGUUCCUAUUAUACUUGGCCGACCUUUCCUCGCCACAGCAAAUGCAUUGAUUAAUUGUCGAAGUGGGGUGAUGCAACUUACCUUUGGUAACAUGACAAUUGAGCUGAACAUUUUUCAUUCAUGUAAGAAACAUGGUACCAAAGAGGAGGAGGAACUUAAGGAGGCUUAUUUGAUUGAAUUGCCUAUGGAAGAGCUAGUGAAAGAAAAGGUUGAAGAUAAUUUUUCAAAACUUGGUGAAAUAAUUUCCAAUGAAUGGAUUGAAGUUUGGAGGAUCAAUGAAGAAAUUGAACCUUUGAAGUUAAUGAAAUGGUCUUUCAGCUUCAAGAAAGUGAAAACCAUGAAGCAUGAUGUGCACAAUAAUCCAAAGAUCAUGAAAAAGAAGCUCAAGGAAUGGCAUGACCAACUUAUUCAAAAGAACAAGUUCAAAGAAGGUUAUUUCAAGCCACAUUUUUUUUCGGGAAAACUUAAGUACCAAGGAGUUGGUCCAUUCAUUGUUUGCAAGCCAUAUCCAAAUUGAGUAUUGAUGCAAAGAAUAAUGGGCUUAGUCAUGUCAAUGGCUAGCUAGCCCAAUGGUUUCUCAUUUCUCUACUUUCCUUUGAAUUUUGAUUUUUUUCUUUCUUUUAGUUUCCAUUAAAUAAAUUCAUCUCAAUUCUUUGAUUUGUGUUUUGAAGGACUUGCCGGAUGGAUGGAAUGCAUUAAGCAAAGGAAAAAGGAGUUUUAAUGGCCCAACACCAAUGUGUAUGUUCAUGCCAAAAACAGGGGAGUCUUCAUGCCAAAACAGGGGAGUUUUCAUAGCUUUGGAAAUGUGCAAAACGAGUCUCUGUCCCAGUUCGCAUGAUCAUGCGAAAUUUUCGCGUGACUAUGCAAAACUGAUGUGGAUGACUGCAACAAUUUUAUGCCCCUAGACCAUUUCGCAUCAGCAUGCGAAUUUUCGCAUGAUUAUGCAAAAAUUCUAUUGAAUGCCACAAUAAGAUAGAACUCUCUUGACCAAUUCAUAUGUACAUGCAAAUUUCCGCAUGAUUGUGCCAAAUUAUUUCAAAAGAAGAAAGUGGUUGCAAAGCAUUUCACCUUCUUGUCUAGUUUGCACACUUGUGUGAAAUUUUCAAAAACUCCAUGAGAAUCAUUGACUUAUCAUUGAACUCAUGUUUUCUUUGGACAUUGUCAUCAUCUAUACCUUGAUUUUACUCCAUACAUUGUGCCUCUAACAUAGUUUUUUUUAAUAGAUUUGUUUUCAUACUUUCUUCUCUUAUGUCAUUCAUAUCCAACAAUUCUCAUGUGUGAUCUUAUUUUUGUUUUAGCUAUUGAAGCUGAAAUUCAUGAGAGAUUGAGGUAUCUUCCCUUCCUUUCUUUGUAUAUUUUCAUUACACAUUGAGGACAAUGUACAAGUUAGGUUGGGAGGAGGGUUAAAAAUGAAGAGAAGGAAAUAUGUUAUUAGUUUUAUUAGUAUUUCUAUUUUUUUUUUUCAUAAAUCACAUUUGUGACUUAUUUGGUGAGAUUUUUUUGAGAUGACUAUGGCAUUUGUGAUUGAUGAAUGAGCAAACCUAACUUGAAAAAAGUUGAUUUAGAGUACUAGCUUAUUUGCUUGAUCUUAGAAGAUUUGUUAUGUGAAUUAAAGUUGAUUUGACUUUGAAGUCUUCAUUUUCCAAAGGGUCAUUUCUAUUUGAGUCUUGACACAUACUGUGCACUCUAGACCCCGGAUAUAAGAUGAAAAACUAUUCUAACCUUAAGACUUGGACUUAAUUGUCUUGUAACAUUGAUUACUCUUGAAUUGAGUUGAGACACCUUAAAAAGAGGCCAAUGUGCCCAAUUGAAAAAAAAAAAAAAAAAAAAAAAGUUGAUGAAUAAAAAGGUUGAGUUAUGCUUGCCUUGAAACCUGAGCAAGGUCCGAGGGGUAUAUGGCCCAAAGGUCUUUAAAGCCUGGUGCCCUAAGCCAUUUUGGUUGGGAGCCACCGACCUCAAUGCUUGUUACAUGGGUAGAUAGGUGGAGUAUGAGCUCAAUUGUAGGUGCUAAGGUAUUGGAUCCUAAUUUGAGGAGUCCGGGGUGAAGUCCGAGAAGUUAGUGGCUAGUUAAAUAGUCCUAUAAACUUGGUGCCCUAUGCCUUAUGGUUGGGAGUCAUCGAUGAAUCCCCGCUACAUGGACCAUAUACUUGGAGAUACCUUUAGCAUUGCACUCCUACAAUAAGUCCUUUGAAAAUAAUAAUAAUAAUAAAAAAAUAAAGAUAGGUGCGUUCUUGACCUAUGAGAGAGUGAUUUUUGUUGUUUGAGAUAAUUUGAGCUAGGUUGGGGGGAAGAUUAGUUUUGAGUACUAUAUUUGGGGGCUAGCUUAAUUACACUCAAGACUUGUUUGGAAAAAUUGUUUUGGAAAUGAAGAUGGAUAUGUUUUUGAACCUUGACUUACAUGAUAUUCUUUCUAUUAGAGAUAGUAAAUAAGUUGGGAUUUUGUUGAUACAUAUGGAUAGUAAGGUGUGCUUGUUUGUCAACCAUUUAUGCUAUGGAAAUUUCAAAGAUUUUUUUUCAAAUGAUUUGCUUAUGUGACUUAUGAUUUCUUUUGUUUAGUAUCGUUUUUCUUUCCUUUUGUUAUACCAUUGCUAAGGGACUAGCAAUGUGUUGGUUGGGGGGAAUGAUUACUACUCAAAAAGAGCAUAUUUUAGAUAAUAAUUCUCAUGAUUUUCACAUCUUUUGAGUAGUAAUUAUGCCUAAAACACUCAAUUAACAUGUUUUUUCCCUUGCAAGAGUUACUAACAAGUUUUAUGAAGUUUUGGAGUCAUUUCAAGGUAUAAUUUUGAUAAAUUGGUGACAAAAGAGAUUAAUCAAAUUGAAGAAAACAAAUAAAGUUGAUGAUAAUCCAAAUGCAUGAUGAAAGAAUCAAUGCAAUCAGUUUGGAUUGGGAUUUGGAGCUUAAUUGAAGGUGGUGGAGAUGGAUUAAACAUGAAGAAAUGAGAGAAAUUGCAAAGAGGAGCCGGAAUAGCAUGAUUUUCGAUUUCGCAUGACCAUGCGAAAUUUUCGCACAGUCAUGCGAAAUGAAACAGAAGGAUGUUGGCUGCAGCACAUAAGGGAAUUGUGAAAAAGUGAUUUCGCAUGACCAUGCGAAAUUUUCGCACAGUCAUGCGAAACGCUCCAGAAGAACGAAAUUGAAGCUGUUGGAUUCUCCACUUCGCACCAUCAUGCGAGAUUAAUAGGGGCUUGUGCGAAAAUGCAUUCUCUCCAGAUUCCUUGAUGAAGAAGCAUCCGGAAGACCUCUAAAAUGUUGCCAAGUGUCCUUUUUACCUUGGCCUAUAAAUAGAAGCGGGAUUUACUCAUUUAAAGAACUUUUGAUACAUUUUCUAAUUGUAGAACUUUUCAUAAUUCUUCUCUCUAUAUAAUUCUCCACUUUCCUUCAGUUUCUCUUAUUUUCUCGGUAGCCAAACAUGUCUUGUGAGAUCAAAUCUCCAAGCAUGAGUGGCUAAAUCUCGUUUUUCUCGGAGGAGGGAGGAUCUAGAGGCAAGAUCUAUGGUGAAUUAGAGAAUUGAGCUUGAAUUGCUAAGGUAAUUUGAUCCAAUUGAUUGAUUAAUUGAAAUUUGGGGAUUUUUCUCUUCAAAUUGUCUUGGAUGAUUACUACAAUGCAAGCUAGGUAGAUUCAUCAAAUUCUUAAUGCUAGAUUUGAUGAGAUUGAAUAGUUGCAUUGUGUGAAUCAUCGGAAGAUAAUUUAAGAUGAAUUGAAUAUAUGAUUCAAAUUGAUCUCUUGGAUUAGAUUACCUAAUUUGAAGAGAAAUUAGAUCUAGACCUAAAGCUAAAUCAAAAAUCGGUUUAGAUGAAAAUUUAGGUUUUCAAUCUAACUUGAUGAAAAUUAGAUCUUAACACCUAUUCACCAUGGAAAUUGCUUUAUAGAAAAUCCUAACUCCGAGAAUCUCACAUCUUAUUAAUUUUCUUCUCUUUUACACUUCAUUUUCCUCUCAAUUUGAAUACAUUGUAAUUUGGAAUUUUAUCAUGCAUUUUCAAAUCAAUUUCAUUUGAUCACAAUCAUUUCUUAUCAUCUCAUUCAAGCCUUAAUUACCGAGAAUAAUCCAUCCUUGUGGACGAUACCUAAAAACCACUAUACUACAGUAGUUUGUACUAAAACCACUUUUUGAUCGGGUACAAAUUGCUAUAGAAGAGUGAAUUAGGUUAUAAAUUUUGUUUUGAUCCAACAAACGACAAAAUAUGAGCGAUCAACAUAUAUAUGGAAAAUCACUUAUGGAAGGUUUGACUUUUUCAUGUAUAUUAUAUAUAUUAAAGAAAAUCUCCACCACUUUUUCAAGCGAUUAUAUAUAUGCAAGUGAUCACGUCUCCAAGGUAACCACCAUUGUGACUCACGUCUCUACUAACUUUAGCACGUCUCCAUUGACUUCGGCAUGCACGCCACAAACGGCCUCUUAUACUUUGCCACUGUGGAUGCUUCCCCAUAGCUUGAUGUUGAAAUUUUUUUUUUUCAAAAUUUUCUCACAUUCUUUUAAAAAAAUUUUAAGAAGAAAAUCUUUAAUCAUUUUUUUUCCUUUUUUUUUUCACUUUUUAAAUCUUUUCUCAUGAUACCUAAACAUCAAGAAAUAUCUUUCUUCAUAAAUAAUUUUUUUCCUUUUUCUUAAUCAUUUCCAAAAGUUUUUUGAGCAGUUAAGACUAUGUUUGAUUCCCAAAAAAUUUGAGGUAAAAUGCAAGAGAGAGAGAGAAAAAAAAGUGGAAAAUUAGAAGGAAAAAAAAUGAAAAUAAAAAAUAGAUUUGAAGUUAAUAAAUUAUUUUUAUAUGCUACUUCAAACUCAUUUUAUUGAUUUUAACUAUUUCAUAUGAAGAUUAAAUAUUUUGAAAUUAUAUCAGUUUCUAACUAGUUUUAAUAUAUAUAUUAUUUUCUUUGGUAUUUUUCACAUGACAACCAAAUAUGAUAAAAUCAAAAUUUUUAAUUUUUUUUCCUUGCUUAUUGCUUUUCAGGAAUCAAAUAUAACCUAAAUUUUUUGUUCUUUUUUCCUUUAUAGAUCAACCAAGAGAAGGGAUAAGGGCCAUUGAACAUGACUUGAUGUAGAGAACCUUGAAUUUCGCUCGUCUUGCUCUAGUUACCUUGCCAAUUCAAAACGCCUUCAGUUGGAAGACUUUGAGGUCUACAAACAUAACCUAAAUUUCAUGUUUUUUUUUUUUUUUUACAUAAUAGAUAAACCAAGAGAAGAGAUAAGGGCCAUUGAACAUGACUUGAUGUAGAGAACCUUAAAUUUCUCGUCUUUCUCUAGUUACCUUGUCAAUUCAAAAUGCCUUUAGUUGGAAGACUUUGAGGUCUACAAACAUAACCUAAAUUUCUUGUUCUUUUUUCCACAAUAGAUUAACCAAGAGAAGAGAUAAGGGCCAUUAAACAUGACUUGAUGUAGAGAACCUUGAAUUUCUCUUUGUCUAACUCUAGUUACCUUGCCCAUUCAAAACACCUUUAGUUGGAAGGCUUUGAGGUCUACAACCAUGUAAAAGUCAAGCCCUCAAUUAUGCCCAAACAUCACACUCACAAGUCUUUUUCUUUCACUCUCCCAACUAACUUAAAUGCUUCUUAUUAGAGAAAUUACUAUAUAAAUAGUUAUGAGAUGUAUACUUAUUUAUAUUUAUAUAUCAUACUAGAAAACAAUUAUAAUUAAAACAUGGCAUUUUGAGAAGAUAGCUAAAAUAAAUUGAAACCUCAUCCAAUUUUUUUAGGAGAGGUAAGAUAAUGUUUGAUUAACAUAUAAACUAAAUUAGAUGUGUAAAUGACAAGAAAAAUGUUAUGCUUGUUAAAGAAGUGGAGUAUUGACUAGUGUGUUUUUUGGGCUAGAAAAAAGGUGGCAAAGAAAAAAGAAUUAUGGAAGGGAGACUUCCAUUUUCAUGUUGGUGGGAAGAUAAACUUGAAUCUAAUUUUCCAAGUGACAAUGACUUAUCCCAUUGAAUUCAAAUUAAAAUAUUUUAUCAUUAUAGAUAUUUUGAUAUUUUUAGUAAUGGAAUGAAAAAAUGUGGAUAUUGGAUCAUUUUGACAUUUUUACUAAUGAAAUGAAAUAAUGUAGAUAUUGGAUUCAUUUAGACUAUGUUUGGUUCCCAGAAAAUACUAGGAAAAGAAAAAAAAAUGUUAAGGAAAAUGGUUUUCUCAUAUUUGGUUUCACUAUAGAAAAUAUAAAAGAAAAUCAAAUAUAAUUAAAAUUAAUUUACACUUUAAAUAUUUUUAAAUUAUUUAAUUUUGCAAUAAUAGAGAGAAAUAAGUAAAAUGAGGUUGAAAAAACACAUACAGAUAAUUUAUUAAAUUUAAACCUUUUUUUUCUUCACUUUUUCUUUCUUUCUACUUUUUCUUUUUAUUUUCUUUCUUUCGCAUUUUCCUUCAAGUUUUCCAGGAACCAAACAUAGUCUUAGUAUCACUUUCUAAAGUUAAUUAUGUAUGCAUGCAAAACUCUAUAAAAUUGAAUUUAUUUUUUAUGUUGUAUGCCACAAAAUUUGUAUAGACUCCAUUUUUUUUUUUUUUUAUUAUUAUUAUUAAAAUGACAUAAAAGUUAUAGUUAACAUGUUUUUUUUAAAGAAGAAAAGUACGUACAAAAAAAAAUUCUCAUAAAAUCUUGACAAACUAAAAAUUGUUAUGUGACUUGAAAUGACAUGAAUAGGGGUGUGAGUUUAUGUCUUGAUAUAUGAAACUAUCUUAAAAGGGGCAAAUAGGUAAUCUAAGCUUGUAGUACCUAAUUUUUAAAUUAAUUUAAUUUGUGGAAAUCAAUAGUUUUCAAUCACAAGGCAUAUUACAAGUGUAGCAAUUCUAAAGUUUUAUUCCAAAAUCAAAUAUAUUACCUCAUACUUGAAAUCUUCAAUUUAUCAACCUUCAUUACUUCAAUAAGUUAAUCCAAGGUCACUCAAACUAAAUAUUUAUAAUUAAUGUAUUAAAGCCAAAAUACAUAGUAACCCAUAUUAAGAAAAACUAAAGAUGAGAUCACCAUGACUUGUAGUAUUUCGGUUGUCAUCCCUUAAGAUCCAUAUACUAGACUAUUCAACAAAGCAAAUCCUCUAUCUACAUUGAAAAGGUCUAAAAGCAAAGUUUUUUAUGAAACUAAUUCUCUAUCACAUCACUAUCGUGAAAGUAAUAAAAUUUAUAGUAAAAACUGUUGAAGAGUUCAUAAAUCUAAUUUUAGAUUCAUAGAUUGAGAUAGUAACUUUUAACCAUAAGAUAAAGAUCAAAGUUCACCAGGAUUGAAUUAGAUCUUAAGAUCAAUCUGCAUCUAGCGUUGAUAUUUAACUUUAAGGUACUAUUCUCUUAAACAAAUUUAACAUGUCUAUUAUUUCAAUUUUGAGUUUAUAUACUUUCAUUACUGAUAUCCUUCAUGUAGAUUUGAUUGCUAGAGUUUCUCUUAGUGGAUCAAAUCAAGUUGACUAGUGAUCAAUGUAUCCCCAAACAUCACUAGUACCAUGGUAAGAAGGCCUUAUACUUAACCUAAGGCAAACCACAUAGAGGAUUAUUUUAAUUAAUUUAAACACAAAAUAUUUAUAAACAAACCAGAUGAACUUUAACGUUCUAUUGCACAUCCCUCUAUGAAUCAUCUAUCUUUAUGUUACUAUUAGGAAAACAACAUCUAGAUCUAGGUUAAAGAGUGCAUGAAACUAAGAUCCUAAGUGUAGUGAAAGAUGCCUAAUAUUUCAAAAAAUUAUUCUAAGGUGUUCUUAAAAAAGAUACCCUUGGAUUCGAUCUAAAUUUUUUUCCUAAUUUGUCGUAGAAAUCUCAAAUGCAUUGUGAUCUUCUACUUGAUGACUCUCUCUUGGAUAUUAGCCAUAAAGAAGAAUGGACCUCUCUUUAGAGGAUGUGAUGGUUAUGAUUUCUCUCCAAACAAAAUAUAAGACAACAAUUAGUCUAACCCUAAACCCUAAGAGGGUUUAUAUAAACUCUCAAUUGGGCUUAAGUGACUAAGGCUCAUCAUAUGGGCUUAGGUUGUUUAAUCUUAGCCUAGUGAGUCUUAUUUAAUUAAUUAUGCUGAAUGGCUUGAAUUUAUUAAAUAGAUUAAAAAGAAAACCCAUAAGUCAUUUAAUCAUAAGUCCUUGUACAACCUUUACUUAUACAAAUGCACCCUUAUUCAUACUUAAAAAACACUCUCAAAAUAAAUACCACCAAAAAGUGUGAGCUCGAGUGGGACUACCAAAGCCCAUAGGAAAGUAAUUAUUAACUCCCUUAGAAUCGAAUUUUGAAUUUGACUCAACACUCCAUUAAAGAAAGCCAAUUGCACUCCAAUAUCUUAUGAUAUUAGAUGGAGAUAGCAAACUUGGGUCCAUGACUUACUAUCCAUUAUAUGUAAGUUCCCUAUAAACUAAUGUUUGUAAUCCAAAAAUGUAGUAGCUAUCAACCUUUAAAGAUCACUUUUCAAUCCUUGAGUCUUUAAUCCACAAAGGAUAUAUGUCAAAUUUCAUUGAAGGAAUUGUUAUAGCCAUAUACUACAUGAUUGUGAAAUCCUUAGGAUCAUUCAAAGGGAUAUAUUGUUUCAAAUCCAUGAGAUAUUAUAAUGUCUCUAUUAGUCAUAAUAUCUUACUUGCCAAAACCAUUGGUCACCCUAUCCUUUGGGAAUAUAUGAUCACUUUAAGAUUUACCCAUAGGUCAAAGUAAUUGAUGACAUCAACAUUAGCAUAAUAUUCUCUAAAGGUUGAGAACCCAUGCAAUUAAUAUUUAGUAGUUUGGAGAAGUUUUGACAACCCGAUAACCAUUAGUCAUGAUUCUCCAAAGGUCUUGUUCAAUCUAUAACCAUACACACUAGUACACUCAUUGUGGUAAACCUAUUCUGAUGACCAAAAUAAGUUAUUCCACCACUUAAGAGGUAGGGCACUAUGACUUUUGAUGGAUUGCCUAAGUCUAAAAACUAGUUGUAAACUAACUUAUCAACUCAUAAGAUGUUAAGAUAAAGCUUUUAAAAACAUAACAUGAUAUAACAAAAUUUAACAUUUAUUAUUUAUUAAUAAAGUUCCAAUUUUACUUAUAUCUAUCCUUAUUUCAUGCAUUAUACUUUAUAAACAUUCUAGCCUACAUCUCUUGCAUUGUACAUGAAUUGGAUAGGAGUUAGACAGAAGAUCUAAGUCAUGAGUCCCUUGUAAGAGGAUGAUUUGUUCACAACUAGUUUGUGUGCCUAGGCAACCCAUUAGAAACUGUAGUGCACUACCUUCUAAUUGGAGGAAUAAUUGGUUUUGACCAUUGGGAUGGGUUUCCUAUACUAGUGUGUAUGGUUACAUAUUGGAUAAGACCUAUAAUGAGUCAUGACAUAGGACUCUCAAGUAGUCAUGACUUCACUAAGUUGUUUCAUUGUGUUGUUUUUCAACUUUGAGUGAAUAUUGAGCUUAUACUAAAAUUAGUAGUGGCUUUGACCUAUAAGUGAGAUCUUAAAGUAAUCAUAUAUUCCCUUAUGGAUUAAGUCACUAUUGAUAGAAACUUAUAACAAUAGGUAUUCUCAAUAAAGGUACCAUCAUAUCUCAUGAGAUUAAGAUAAAGUGUCUUAUUGGGUGAUCUUAAGAAAGUGUGUUUAUGUAAAUUAUGACUAUAGUAGUUCCUUAAACGGUACUAGACAUAAGCUCUUUGUAAGCUAAGAUUGAACAAGCAUAAAAGAAGAAUAACUUAAUUAGGGUAAACAAAUUUAAGCUAAAACUGUUUUUCACAGGAAAAAAAAAGAGGAGCUCACACAAGAGUGAUGAAUAGAAAAAUAUUAUGUACGAGUAACAAAAUGAUGGAGGGUCCCAAGGAGAAUUGUCCGUCACUUAAGCAUGAAUCUUAAAGAACGUGAUGGCAACUUUUGGCCACUCACAAUCACGGCUUGAAAUGCUAUUCUUCACCAUACCACCAUAAAAUUGGUAUCUUUAAUCCACUUCUUAGCAAACAACAUUUCGAAAAGAAAAAUCCCUUUCAAUCGUUUUGGAGAAACACCAUCUAGUUACAAAAUGAAAUUCUAAUCCAAGAAUUUAGCCAUAAGUAGUUCUUCUAUGAAAUAGCAUUCCAAACACACCUUCAAAUGGUAAAAGUCAUCCAACUCAAAUACUAGAAUGAGUAGAAUCGAUAUAUUUUAUGACUCCGAAUGAAAUAUUUACUCCUUGGAAUAAAAUGUAAAUAAUAUUUUUCUUUUAAUUUAUUUUAGGGAAACAUCUUCCGGGAUGUGAUCAAAAAGAAAAUUUAAUACAAGAAUAUAGUUAAAAUAAUCUAGAAAGUUGUAUUGGAAACAUUCCUUCAAUUAGAAAAAAAAAUUAACUUUUUUAACAAGAUCAACAUAUUAUGAUUAAUUAUAAAUUAUAAAUUUUGUAGAAAUACACAAUCAAGAUCUGAUUAGACUAGUGUUGCCAAUACAUGUCUGAUCCAAAAUGAAUUCAGAGUGAUACUUCUUUUCAAACCCAACUUAAAUUAUAAAUUAAGGAAUCCAAGAUUGUAAAAGAUGGUGCCAAGGAGCACUUUAUGUAAGAAUAAUGAUCAGAUAAAAAAAUAAAUAAAAAAUUCAGUGUAGACAGAAUACAGAAGAAUUGGAACCAAGUAGAAUUGAAAGGACAGCUUGUAAGAGGACAUUUCUGGGUCUCAUUCAAAGUAAUGAAUUCCAUGUGGUAGGCGUUCUUUUCUGCUUUCCUUGUUUUCUUUCUCUUUCACAAGGACUUGAUUAGGAAGACUUGAAGCCAAACCGAACCUCAUUGAUCUUCCAACUACGUAGCAGCCCCUCCCUCACGAAGCAUUCCCACUUGCAACUUACAUUAUCACUACAUUUGUCAAAGUCAAGUUGGACCAACCAUACGUUCAGUUUGGGUGUGAAUACAUUAACCACUGAAACUUUGCAAUGGUAAAUUUACUACAUAAAAUGUUAUGAAAUUUUUGUAGAAUAAUUAUAACAGCAAUAGAUUGAUAGGGUUUAUUCAGAGAGGACUAUAAUGAUGCCCAAGCGAGGAAGAAAAAAUAUAUGGUAUUAAAAGCUAAAAUGAUAGAUGAAAUGUUUAUGUGGAUGACCUCUAAUCAGUUUGUUUUUUCUUUUUAAUUUUUUUAAUUUUAGCACUCGACAUUUAUUGUUGGGUUUGUUUAAACUAUUAAUGAGAGAUAGAAUAUAUAUGAAUUGAUAGGGUUUAUUAGAAGACUUUGAGGUCUUCUUGCUCAAGUCAAUAAGCUAAGUCUUCUUUAAGACUUGAGCAAGAGUACUAUAUGUUCUCUUUUUCACAACCACUCCUGUCACCGUCACAACCAAUCACAACUAAAUUCCAUGACGCUUCCUACACCAAGAAAGAUCACUGCAAUUACAUUUAUUGCUGGGUUUGUUUAUGAGAGAAAGAUCACUGUUGAAAGAAUAGACAUGAAAUGGAAACGGGCAUGAUUCCAUGUCCUCACGCGGUUUGAUUUUUCAAAGGAAUGAAAAGUUUGUCUUCUUCUUCCAUUUUCUUUUCUUUCAAUUCCCUUACCUUCCCUUCCUUCACCUACUAUUAUUGCUAAUUCAAGUAGUUUUACAGAAAGGAUUUGCCACAAGGUUAGGACAGAUCAAACAGACUAAACAUAAUAUUUAUGCGUGUAAAUUAUAUUAAGGCUACUUUUUAAGGACAUUAAUGGCUUUGUUGAUCACCAUGCAUGAAAUUUAAUGGUUCAUAUAUAUAUAUAUAUAUAUAACAUGCAUGAACAUAUCUUUCAUAUGACAAAUCUAGUGGCAAGGUUAAAGGCUUCAAGGAUGAAGUGGAUAAGUAUCUCCUAAUACAUUCCUUAUUUAAUUCCUUGUCUUUUUCAGUUGAAUAACAACAUUUUUAAGGGUAGGUAGAAUGUUAAUAAAUUGGUUACUACCCUCGUCCAAGAGGAGACAGGGCUGAAGCAACAAAUGAAUUGAAUUUAACAGAAGUUCCUUACUGUAGGUUUUUGAUAGAAACAGAGUGUGGAAACUCUUUGGAAGCAAUAGAACGUUGAGGAAUCUGAAGUUAUUUUUUUAUUAAGCUUCAAAGCACUUAUUUAUACAGCUAGCUUAAAAUAGAAAAAUAUAAAAAUAGCAACAAACUUGCUACCUAUAGAUAAUUCCUAAAGAAUAGAAACAACCAACAAACUUCCUAAGGAAUAGGUAAAUCUUCCACAUGACUAACUUAUUUGACUACUUCCACUUCAAUCUACUCAGCUCCAUGUCAACAGCUCCUAUGACAUGUCAUUCAACACUCCUCCUUGUCUUUGGAGCUGCAAACUCCAAGCCUUUGCCUUAAGAACUCAUAUCUAGCUUUGGGAAGUGGUUUGGUUAAGAUAUCAGCAUUCUGACUUUCUGUUUUGCAGUAGACCAACUGAAUUUCUCCCUCCUUCUGUAUCUCUCUUAGGAAAUAGAGUUUCAGCUUGAAAUGUUUUGUUUUUCCAUGGAACACCGGAUUAUUUGCAAUUGAAAUUGCAACUUGGUUGUCUACGAGUAUUUGUGUGCUUUCCUUUUGCUCCAUAAACAAGUCAGCCAUUAAUUUCCUAAUCCAGAGAGCCUGAUUCACAACAGCGGCAGUAGCUACAUAUUCUGCUUUUGCUGUAGAUUGAGCUAUGACUUCUUGCUUUUUGGAACACUAUGAAAAAAUAGCAGAACCAAAGCUGAAACAAUAACCUGAAGUACUUCUCAUGUCAUCAACACAACCUGCCCAAUCACUAUCUGAAUAACCAUGGAGAGUAAAUUUUUUAACUUGACAAAACCUCAAACCAUAGUCAAUUGUACCCUUGACAUAUCUAACAAUUCUUUUUGCUGCUUGAAAGUGAAUUUCACUAGCACAAUGCAUGUACCUUGAGAGUAAACUUACAACAUUCAUAACAUCUCGUCUAGUUGCCUUUUACUGCAAGAUAUGCUCCAUUUCCAAUUCUAACUUUGGAAGUAACAGUUUUGUCAAGUUCCUUAAAGAGCCCUUGAUCAUAAGUCAUAUGGUUUGUACAACCACUGUCUAUAAGCCAAGUUUCUGGGGAGCUGCUAGUGGCAAAGCAUGAUACCACAAAUAGUUGCUCAUCUGGAAGUUCUUCCACAGCAGCCUUGACUUCUCCUUGCUGCUGUUGAGAUUUGCAAAUCCUUUCCACAUGCCCUAGCUGACCACACUUGUGACAUCUUACAUCCGGCCUCCACCAACACCUUUUUUGUGGAUGAUUGGAUUUUUUACAGUAAAGACAUGGUGGAAACUUUUGAGUGUUGUUGCUGUUGUUAUUGUUGCUUUGCAUCUCUUUUUUGUACUGAGAUAUGGCUUGAAAUGCACCCUCCACAGAUCCUUCUUGUCUCAUAAGCCUCCUUUGUUCUUGAGCCUGUAAUGCAUUCAACAACUCUGCCAAGGUGAUACUUGACACAUCUUUUGAGUUUUCUAGAGAUGAUAUUGUAGUCUUAAACUUUUCAGGAACUGUUAUAAAAAUUCUGAACUAUUCUAGAAUCAGAAAAGUCAGUACCAAGAAGUCUUACUUUGUUAACAAUACUAAGAAGUCAGUCUGAGUAAUCCUUGAUUGUUUCUGAUUCUUUCAUCCUUUGCAUCUCAAAUUCUCUAAUCAAGUUCAGCACUUGCAUACCUUUGACUCGUUCAUUUCCUUCAUAUUCCUUCUUCAAGAAGUUCCAUAUUUCAUUUGCUGUCUUCAGUGUCAUGAUUCUGGUGAAAAUUGUGGAUGAGACAGCUGCAAAUAAACUAGCUUUUGCCUUUGAUUUCCUUUGCCUCCUCUCAUUGUGUAAUUUUAUCUGAGCCAUAGUUGGAUUGUCGGACAGAGGAGGAACUUCAUAUUCCUCACUAACAGCUUCCCACAGAUCACUAGCAUCAAGGUAGGCUUCCAUACGGACAACCCACACUUGAUAAUUUAUUCCAUCAAACACUGGAGGGGCUAGUGCAUUCAGUGAAGUUUCGGAGGUCAUUUUGGAUAUUGUUUGUAGGUUUUUUAGGCUCACUCACCUCACAAGUUACUCAAGAACCUUGCUCUGAUACCAGAUUUGUAGGUUUUUGAUAGAAACAGAGUGUAGGUUUUGAUAGAAACAGAGUGUGGAAACUCUUUGGAAGCAAUAGAACGUUGAGGAAUCUGAAGUUAUUUUUUUAUUAAGCUUCAAAGCACUUAUUUAUACAGCUAGCUUAAAACAGAAAAAUAUAAAAAUAGCAACAAACUUGCUACCUAUAGAUAAUUCCUAAAGAAUAGAAACAACCAACAAACUUCCUAAGGAAUAGGUAAAUCUUCCACAUGACUAACUUAUUUGACUACUUCCACUUCAAUCUACUCAGCUGCAUGUCAACAGCUCCUAUGACAUGUCAUUCAACACUUACAAUCCUUAGUGGAUUGAUUCACACAUAACUACUCAUAUUUCGUACACAAUACAAGGAUUCUAUAAAAUCCAAAUAAGAACUUAAAUCCAAUACUUUGACGACCUCCUUCGUCUUCCAUUUCCCCAUCCUCUGCUUCUCCUUCAUCUUCUUCCAUUUGUUUUUUCAGUCCCCAUCUGGGGUGGAAUCCGAGUAAGAAUUGGAGGUGAGGUUGAUGGGAGUGCACCUCGGUGAAGCCACUGGGACUUUGAUCUUCUCUUCAUUUCUUUGUCUCAUAGGCGUCUCUCUCUGUUGCUUCCAAUGAGAAUUAUAGUCUUUUUGUGGCUCUUCUUCUUGCCCUUGUGCUCAGUCUUGUUUGGGAUCAAUAUCGCUUUGGUGUCUGGUGAAUGUCUUGGUGGUUCGAGGCUGUGUCUGGAGGAUGAGAGGUCGUUGCUGCUGCAGCUGAAGAACAGCCUCAAAUUCAAACCUAAUGUGGCGGUGAAACUAGUGACGUGGAAUGAAAGUGUGGGUUGCUGUUCUUGGGGAGGUGUAAACUGGGACGCCAAUGGUCAUGUUGUCUGUCUUGAUCUGAGUAGCGAAUUGAUUUCUGGGGGAUUCAAUAACUUCAGUAGUCUUUUCAGUCUUCGAUAUCUCCAGAGCUUGAAUUUGGCCAACAACAGCUUCAAUUCUUCUCAAAUUCCAUCUGGAUUCGGUAAGCUUGGCAAUUUGGUUUACCUGAAUUUGUCGGAUGCUGGCUUUUCUGGGCAGAUUCCGAUUGAGAUUUCCCACUUGACAAGGUUGGCUACUAUCGAUCUGUCUAGCAUUUAUUACCUUACUGGUAUCCCUAAGCUGAAACUUGAGAACCCAAACCUGAGAAUGUUGGUUCAGAACCUCAAGGAGCUAAGAGAACUCCAUCUUAACGGUGUGAACAUAUUGGCCCAGGGAAAGGAGUGGUGCCAGGCCUUAUCAUCUUCAGUGCCUAAUCUCCAAGUGCUGAGCUUGUCCAGCUGUCAUCUUUCAGGCCCUAUCCAUUCUUCCUUGGAGAAGCUUCAGUCUAUCUCAACGAUUUGUCUGAAUGACAACAAUUUCGCCUCACCAGUUCCAGAAUUCCUAGGAAACUUCUCAAAUUUGACACAAUUGAAGCUUAGUUCUUGUGGAUUAAAUGGAACAUUUCCAGAAAAGAUCUUUCAGGUACCAACCCUCCAGAUUCUUGAUUUGUCAAACAACAGGUUACUUGAGGGUUCUUUGCCAGAAUUCCCUCAGAAUAGAUCUCUAGAUAGCUUGGUGCUCAGUGAUACAAAAUUUUCAGGGAAAGUACCCGACUCCAUAGGCAAUCUCAAGAGGUUGACUAGGAUAGAGCUUGCAGGUUGCAAUUUCAGUGGGCCAAUCCCAAACUCCAUGGCCAACCUUACUCAACUGGUUUACAUGGACUUGUCUGGGAAUGCGUUUUUUGGUCCAGUCCCAUCUUUUAGUUUGUCCAAGAAUCUAACCCGAAUAGACCUUUCUCAUAAUCAUUUAGCAGGUCAGAUUCUUUCCUCUCACUGGGAUGGUCUUGAGAAUCUAGUGACUCUUGACUUGCGUAACAAUUCACUGAAUGGAAGUCUCCCAAUGCACCUGUUUUCCCUCUCAUCACUGCAGAAGAUACAACUAAGCAACAACCAAUUUUCUGGUCCCUUCAGUGAAUUUGAAGUCAAGUCUUUUUCUGUAUUGGACACCCUUGAUUUGAGUAGCAACAAUCUGGAAGGGCCAAUACCUGUAUCCCUCUUUGAUCUCCAGCAUCUUAACAUCCUUGACCUUUCUUUCAACAAAUUCAAUGGUACUGUUGAACUAAGCAGCUAUCAGAAACUUAGGAAUCUUUUCACUCUUAGUCUUUCGUACAACAACUUGUCCAUCAAUGCAAGUGUUCGUAAUCCCACUUUGCCUCUGCUGUCGAAUCUUACCACAUUAAAAUUGGCUUCUUGCAAGCUCAGAACAUUACCUGAUCUUAGCACCCAGUCAGGAUUGACAUAUUUAGACCUUUCCGAUAACCAAAUUCAUGGAACCAUACCUAAUUGGAUUUGGAAGAUUGGUAAUGGAUCUCUUAUGCAUUUGAAUCUCUCUCAUAAUUUACUGGAGGAUCUGCAGGAACCUUUCUCUAAUUUUACUCCUGAUCUGUCCUCCCUUGACCUACAUUCCAACCAGCUCCAUGGCCAAAUCCCAACUCCUCCCCAAUUUUCCAGCUAUGUGGAUUACUCAAACAACAGUUUCAACUCUUCCAUCCCAGAUGAUAUUGGUAUUUACAUGUCCUUCGCUCUUUUCUUCUCUCUUUCGAAGAAUAACAUCACUGGAAGUAUUCCUAGAUCCAUCUGCAAUGCAACUUACCUGCGAGUUCUUGAUUUUUCUGACAACACUUUGAGUGGCAAAAUACCCUCAUGCUUAAUUGAGAACGGGAAUCUUGCGGUGCUGAAUCUAAGGAGAAACAAGUUUAGUGGCGCUAUACUUUGGGAAUUUCCAGGUGAGUGUCUUUUACAGACCCUAGAUCUCAAUAGAAAUCUUUUACGAGGAAAAAUUCCGGAGUCUCUGGGCAAUUGCAAAGCCUUGGAGGUUUUAAAUCUUGGGAACAAUCGGAUGAAUGAUAACUUUCCUUGCUGGUUGAAGAACAUAAGCAGUUUGCGUGUUCUUGUUCUGCGAGCCAACAAAUUCCAUGGACCCAUUGGAUGUCCCAAGAGUAAUUUUGAAGGGGAUAUACCAGAAGUAAUGGGGAACUUCACAUCACUCAAUGUUCUCAACUUAUCGCAUAAUGGUUUCACAGGCCAAAUCCCAUCGUCAAUAGGGAAUCUGCGACAACUUGAGUCAUUAGACCUCUCGCGAAACUGGCUGAGUGGAGAGAUACCUACACAACUUGCCAACCUAAAUUUCCUUUCAGUCCUGAACCUCUCCUUCAAUCAAUUGGUGGGAAGCAUCCCUACGGGCAAUCAAUUGCAAACAUUUUCAGAAAAUUCCUUCCUGGGUAACAGAGGAUUAUGCGGCUUCCCCCUAAAUGCAAGUUGCAAAGAUGGUACACCACAGACGUUUGAUGACAGGCACUCAGGUUCCAGGAUGGAGAUUAAGUGGAAAUACAUAGCUCCUGAAAUUGGAUUUGUGACAGGGUUAGGAGUCGUGAUCUGGCCUCUCGUGUUAUGUAGGAGAUGGAGGAAAUACUACUACAAACAUGUUGAUGGAAUUCUUUCAAGGAUUCUCCUUGGGCAAGACCAAGGAAGAGCAAAUGGUGGAAGAAGAGCUCACAGAAUUCGGCGGCGGAGAAUGUAGCAGUGGUGAAGAGGGAUGUGGCUACUAGUAAAAGCGUCAUUCCGUGUGUUAAAUGUAAUUCUGGCUUGCUUUUUCAUAAAACAAUCAUAGGAAUUAGAUUUUCAAAGUAAUAUUACUCUUACCUUUUAGUGAUGCAAAUAUUAAGGUCUCUAAAAUAUUAUAUAUUUUAAUAGUUUUAUUUAAAAAAUUUAUAUAUUAAAUAGAAAAUAUAUUUUCCACCCAUGUGCAGAAAAGCUUUUUAUUCACAACUCUAGUGUAUAACCAUGUUAACCCUACCCAAAUUAAAAUUCAAACUUGGGAGAUUCUGGGAGUCACUCAAGCUGGGCUGGAGCAUGGGUUAAGAUGUGUUGGCUGGAUGCGGGCCCAAGUUGGGUUAGGUUAAACUUCGUUGCCUGGAUUUCGGUCAUUCAAAAAUAUGGGCCUGAUUGUUACAAACGAAAGCCAACUGAGAUGGCUAGGUCCAUAUUCAGCCCAAUCAACACUUCCAAAGCCAUAAGGGAUUUAAGAUUGAUAAAUAAGGAGUUGGGUGGCUGCCCAUCUCCACCAUUUAUCAUUUCCAAGAAUCAUUAAACAAUGAUGAGAGUCUGAGAUUUUUUGAAGUAGACAAUGAAUCAAUAUAACCUUCUAUUUUUUAGAUCUUAAUGGAAUUUGAAAACUACUCAUAUUUUUAUGCAAACCAAAAACUUGAAAAAUAAAACCCAAAACCAUCUUCCAAUUGAUCAAAAUCCAUGCCCAAUCUUAUAAAAAUGAAAAAAUAAAUUACUAUUUUUUUUUUAUCUUAUACAUUCACAAUUUAGAUUUAUUUUCAUGUUUUCAUAUGAAAAAGACUAAGAAUGUUAGGUCCUCACAUGAUAAACCUAAUUUUAUAUUUUGUAUAAUCAAUAUAAUCCAAAUUAGACUUAUAUAUAUAUAAAAUAAAAGUUAUAAAAAAAUAAAUGAUUUUAAUGUAACAUUUUUUUAUUUUUUUUUAUAAUUUAAUUUUUAUUUUAUUAUAAGUUAUUAAGGAUAGUGUAAGAUAUUGACAUUAAAAUCAAAUACCUAUAGAUAACGAUAUAAGGUGGUUUUAUGGAAUGUAUAAGAUUAGGAAAUUAGAAUUUACUAAAAGUUUUAUAAAAAUCUUUAUAAAGGAUUAAUUUUUAAAAAUUUAAAUUUAUUGUAUUAUAUAGUUAAUAUUAGGAUUUUUUUUCUAAAAAAUAUCCAUAUGAAAUACCUAUUAAAAAAAAUUAAGUAGAUAGAUGAUUUUAUAGAAAACAUGAGAUUGCUAAAACAUUAUACGGUCAAAGUAUUAAAAAACAAUUUUUUUUUUCUUUUUAUCAACUUUAAGUGAUCUAUAAAUUUUCCUAUGUCUUUAAAAAAUCAAUUAGAAAAAAUAUGAAAAAAAAGAGAAGAAUUGAAAUAAAUAUAUUUAUAAAUUUCAUUAUCUUAUAAAUUUAUAUAUGAAUUAUAAUAAGAUAUAAUACUAUCAAAAAUUAAAGUAAAUUACUUUUAAAAGUUUGUUAUCCUUUACAAUCACAAUUUAGAUUUUAAUACGAAGAAGACUAAUAGUGCAUUUUAUUGGGGAUGAAUUAUUUUCAUCUCCAAUAUUGAGUUUUUACAACAAAACAAUUUCUUUUUCAAUAAAUUUCUUUAUUCCUCCAUCUAAUAGUAUUAGGACAAUAAUUUUGUCCCUCAUUGUGAGGUUUUUCCUCUCCAAACUAUUUAACAAUAAAAUAAUUUUUGUUGUCCAUUAUUUACCUUUUGGGACAACAUUAAGUUUUCAUCUCCCAAUAUAUUUUCUACCACAAAAUAAUUUAGGCUCAAUUCAAUUUCAAUUAAAAUUUUAGAAACAAAUUUUUGUGACAAAAUCAAAUUUUAUCUCCCAAAAUCAUCUUUGGAGAUAAAAUCAUAUUCAUGCCCAAAAAAAUUGUGCCAAAAGGUAGAAUUUCUUGUAGUGGUUUUUCCCGUGCUUUUUGUUUGUUUGUUUUUUUAUUAUCCUUUCAGUUGUGAAUCACUCUUCUUCUAUUAUAUUAUUAUUUUAAAAGAAGUGUCGGCAUCUUUUUGUUCAUAAAAUCUUUUACUUAUGUAAUAUCCUUCUAAAACAAAACAAUAUAUAAUAAAUAACAUUUCAGGUGUGCUUAUUUGGUUUUCUUUCUUAUAGAGACAUGUUGAAAGGUCUUUGUUUUACUGGCGGGUGCUUUGGUCACCUGAAUUAUGGGAAUCUCGUCUUACCUUAUCACCAAUGUAGUGCCUAGCAUCACUAGAAGCGUACGUUGUGCGAAAGACGGUACAAUUCGCUGGUAUACAUGUAAUAUUUAGAUGACUUUUAUUGGUUCAUUAAUGUGGCAAGAAAGAAAUAAUUUGUAUUAAUAUUGAUUGCAUUAGUAUUUAUGUAAUAUUUAGAUUUUUUUUUAAAUAAAAACAUAAAUUAGUAUUAUGCAUUUAUAAUUUUAAAAAAUUUCAAAAUGAUUAAGGAGUUUACCAUAUGAAUGAAUAAAAAUAUAGAAAUCAAAUAUAGUUUGAUAUCUUUACAAAUAGUCUUUAUUUAAAAAUAUUAAAACGUUAUAUAUAUAUAUAUAUAAAUUUUAAUGAAGUGUGAAUCUAAAAAUUGUUUAUAUAUUUAUAAUAUCAACUUAAUUGAAGAAAACAAUCGAUUUAUAAAAAGAAAAAAAAACAAUAACUUUCAAACAAAUUUUUUGUUUUAUUUGUUCUAAAAACUAUUUUUACUAAUUCAAUCAAAUAUGUUUUUUUAAGAACAAAAACUGUUUUUAAAAAUUCAAUUCCUAAAAGCAAUUUUAUUUUUAAAUACAUCAAAAUCUAUUCUAAAAUAAAAAAUAUUCUCAAAAAUUAUUUUCUAGAACUAUUUCCAAAAACACUUUCCAAAUAUGCCCUAAAUAUUCACAAGAUCACAUCAAUAUAGCUCACAAAAAAAUAAUGACCAAAAUAUUCAAGAAAUGAUCCACAUCAACACAUGAAAAAUAGGUACUCACUACCACGGUCUAAUAUCAAUAAAAUAUUUAAUGUCAACAACAUAUCCUUCUCUCCAUUUUUGUCCUAGAAAAGACAAAGGGCCAUUCACCAACUAAAUAUCUAAUAUUCAAACCAAAACAAGUAUGCUCAAUAAAUUCUCCAAUAUCCAAAAAUCAAGUAUUCACAUAUAAACAAGUAUUUACAUUAGCAUCCAAAAAAUUAAUAUGAAACAAGAAUCUCACUCCCACCACAUGGUUUCAACCCAGAACCUUUAGAAAGCUCUCUAUCAUCAUAUAAAUAGAUUCUAAGCUACAAAGAUCUAGCAUGGUUGAAUGCACUCAUAAUAAGCUAGAUCUAACAUAGUUAAGAAUAAAAAAAAAUGAGGAACUCCCCAAGGUAAGAAGAUAUCCUUGUUAGGAUAAAGUCCUUAAAAGAAUGACAUGAUGUAAUAAACUCUUGGAUUUUAUUAUUUAUUGAAUAAAGUUCCAGUUCACUUUUAUUUAUCCUAUUUCCAUGCAUGAUAUUUUGUAAGCACUCUCGCCUGUAUAUUUUUCAUUGUACGUGACUUGGGUGCAUUAAGAGUUGCACGGAAAAUCCAAGUCAUAGGUUUCUUGUAAAUAGAUGACUUGUUUAAAGUCGAUUGAUGGGUUUAGGCGACCCAUUAGAGGUUGUAGUGUACCAUAUCCUAAUUUGAGAGAUGACUGGUCUUGACUAUUGGGAUGAGUUUCCCAUGGUGAGUGUACUAGUGUAUAUGGUUACACAUUAAACAAGACCUAUGGUGAGUCAUGACUUAAGACUAUCAAGUAGUUAUGACUUCACAAAACUACUUCAUUGUGUUGUCUCUCAACCUUGAGAGAAUAUUGAGCUUGUGUUGAAGUUAGUAAUGGCUUUGACCUAUGAGUGAGAUCGUAAGUUGAUUAUAUAUUCCAUAUGAAUUGGGUCAUUAUUGAUGGAAGCCGGUAGUAAUAGGUAUUUUCAAUAGAGACAUUUUUUUUUAUUGAGAAUUAAACUAAUAAAUAGGAACAAUUAAACUAACAAAUUAAAACCACAAACACGUCUAAACAUAAAAGAUAGAUCAAAACUAAACUAAAUCGGAAUUAAAAACAAGAGCUUUUCUAAUAUGAAUAAUUAAACUAACAAAUUAAAAUCACAAACAAAUCUAAACAUAAAAGAUAGAUUGAAAUUGAACUAAAUUGAAAUUAAAAAUCAGAACUUUUCUUAUAGAAAUAAUUAAACUAAUGAAUUAAAAUUGUAAACACGUCUAAACAUAAAAGAUAAAUUAAAACUAAAUCAAAUUGGAAUUAAAAAAUAAACUUUAAUACUUAGAAACCAUUAGAUUAACAAACUAAAAUAAUAAAAAACACCUAAACUAAACAAAUAGAUUAAAACUAAAUUUAAGCAAAUUAAAGUUAUGAACUUGAUCACAUGAAUUAAAAAUAGAACUAAACUAAAAUCUAAACUUUCAUUAUCUUUGCAUGAAUUAAAAAAAUAAACUAAAAUUUAAGCUUUCAAUAUCUCACAUGAAUUAAAAAAAAAAAAAAAGAACCGACUAAGAUUUAAGCUUCCUUAAUUUAAUAUGAAUCAAAAUCAGGGCUAAACAAAAAAUUAAGCUUUUUUAGUUAAAUAUAAAUUAAAAGAAAAUUAACUUACCUUUUCCGAAGAUGAGUGUGAGUUGCGACGUGAUUUUUCAAAGUGCAGGCCUAUGUGUGGUGAUGCAAGAAUGGGUUGUGCAUGCUUUCUGAUGUUAAGAUGUAGCUGUUUUUUUUCUUCAAAAAAUAAAAUAAAAUUGGGUGUUGUUCUUUAAAAAAUGACAAAAUCCCAUGAUCCCCUUUGAUUCCCCCCUUGUGUAGUCUUCUAUUGCCUCCCUUUUAUCUCCUAGUGCCCACAUUUCUUUUAACUCUCCCAAACCAAAAUAUCCUUUUUUUCAAACUUCAUUUUCAAAAUUUAAAAUUUAUCCUCUCUAAUUUCAAAAAGAAAAAAAAAAAAACCAUUUUCCAAUCUAAAACUUAAUAUCCCAUUCUUAAAAAAUAUUCAAGUGUCAACCAUUUCGUUUAAAAAAUAUCUUGAUUUUCCGAUUUAAAAUUAAUCUUUUUUUUUUUUUUUGUUCUUUUUAAAUUCCGAUUUUUCAAUUUUUUUUUAAAAACUAAAUGUCAUUUAAAAAAAAUUAUGAUGUCAUUUUUAAACUUAAUUUCAAACUUAUCCCCUCUCUUUUAGAUAAACAAAUCUAUUUUCCAAUUUAAAACUUAAUCUCUCACUUUUUUUUAAAAAAAAAAAUCUGAUUUUCCAAUUUAAAAAAACUAAAUCUCCUUUUUUUUUAAAAAAAAAAAUUAUGAUGUCAACCCUUUCUUUUCCAUUGGUAAGUUUCCUUGCAAAAAAUCAAAUUUAUUAAAUGAAUAAAUAAAUUAGAAAACAAUAAAACAAUAAUAAAUAAAUAAGUUAAUUCAAAAAAUAAUAAAAAAAGAAGAUAAUAAAUAAAUAAAAAUAAACAAGUGAUUGAUAAUAAUAAUAAUAAAAAUAAAUAGAUAAAAAAUGAGCCACGCAAGGCAUGAAACCAUGCAAGUCAUACAAAUUAAGCAAAGAAUGCCUAAAAGGUGACCUAAGUGUACUUAAUAUGGGCCUAGGUGAACCUAAGUGUGCCUAGAUGAACCUAGGUGAAUCUAAGUGGGCCUAGGUGAAUCUAGAUGGGCCUAAAUGGGCCUAGGUGAGGUAGAUGAGCCAGGUGGGCCUAGGUGGGCCAAGUGAACCUAGAUGUGCCACAUAUGCCUAAGUGAACCUAAGUGGCCUAAAGGUGCUCGGGUGACCUAAAAAGGCCAAGGUGAUCUAAAUGGGCCAAAUGUGCCUAAGUGGGCCUAAGUGACCUAGGGGGCCUAAUGAGUCUCAAUGGGCCUAGGGGUGUCCAAAUGGUCCUAGGUGGGCAUGGUAUGCCUAAAAGGGUCUAGGUGAACCUAGAUGGGCCUAGGGGUGCCUAAAUAGGCUAGGACAUGCCUAAGUGGGCCUAAGUAACAUAAAUGGGCCUAGGUGAACCUAGAUGGGCCUAAAGUGGUGCUUAAUAGGGCCAAGUGUGCCUAAAUUGGCCUAGGUGAGCCUAAGUGGGCCUAGUGUCACGGACUUAGUCGUUCACUAAGCUCAUGCGGCACUUAGGCAAGUCAAGACGCUUGAUCUUGCUAAGUCAGCCUUGCUCCCAAUGCUUAGCUUGCUAGGCUAAGAUGCUCAUGACUCGAAAGCUUAAGAAGCUUAGUAGGCAACUCUUAGAGAAUGGAAGCUCUUAUUACUCAUGGAAGCUCUUAUUACUCAAGGAAGCCUUUACAAGUGCUUUGAAGACUCACUUGCUUGGUUAGAAAGUGAUUUGGGUGGUGUCUUGGCCAAAUGAGGGCCUCACCUAUUUAUAGGUACCAAUGGAACUCUCUGGAACCUUGGAGGGUUCCUUACAAAUCAAGAAUAUUCUAGAACUCCCUACACUAAUCUAUGUACAACCCUAUGUACAAGAAUAUACAAGAGAUCUCUAGAAUUCUCUAGAAAGCCUUGGACUUCUCUCAUGCCUUCCACCAUAGUGUAGAGAUGUGUAGACAUCUCUAGGCAUCUCUAGAACCUUCCACACUCUUCCAACCAAUGUCUUAGUGUAGAUGGCUCCAAGAGUCUCUAGAAGCUUUCCUCCUCCUAUAUAAGCCCAUUGGGAGGGUCAUUUGAAGCAUCUUGUGACACUAGGGUGUCUAAAUGAGCCUAGGUAGACCUAAAAGGCAUCUAAGUGACCUAAGGUGAUCAGGACAACGCCUAAGUGACCUAGAGUGAUAAGGAUAAUGCCUAAGAGACCUAGAGUGAUAAAGAUAGUGCCUAAGUGACCUAGGGUGAUCAGCACAAUUCCUAAGUUACUUAGGAAAAUUGGGAAAGUGCUAAAUGACUUAAACAUGCCUAAGUUUGCUAUCUUAAAAGUGUACUGUAGACCCUCAAUUUUGUCCCUUUAGUACAUGUCUUUAAGUUCGUUUUCAGUGCUUCAAAAUAGUUCCUUGGUGGCCCAUUACUACUCGUACGACUUACCUUUUUCUGAGUCACCUCGGAGACUUUGGUUGAGGGAUUAUUUGAUCCCAUAUUGUGACCCUUGGCAGCCCUAACUUAGACUUAGGUUUUUCUUGUUUUUUUUUUUUUAGGAUAGCUUUUAGAUACACUUGGCCCAUUAGGACACACUCUAGGUCACCUUUAGAUGUUUUUGCAUGGUUUGCAUGGUUGCAUGGCUCGUGUUUUUGCAUGGUUGCAUGACUCAUAUUCUUUUGGUGGUUACAUAGCUCGUAUGGCUUGCAUGUGGUUGAUUUUUUUUAUUUUUGUUUUUAAUUAUUUUUAUUUUUUAUUUUUAUUUAUUUAUUUUAUUUUUUAGAUGUGUGAUUUAAAUUUCUUUUGAUUUUCAAUUUCAUGAUAUUUAUUGAUUUUAAUCUUUAUUCUAUUUUGUCUUUAUUUUAUUCUUAUUUCUAUUUGUAUCUUUGUUUAUUUAUUUAUUUAUUUAUUUUUUGGGCAUGAGGAAACGGACCGCCAUUUAUUUGGAAGGAAAAUCAACAGAAUUUUGAAAAGAGGAGAUUUUAUUUUUAGAGGGACAACACAUAUACUUCUUCCAUAGGGGGAUCGGCUACAAGAAGGAAAGAAAAGAAAGAAAGGAAAGAAAGGAGAAAAGGAAGUAGGAUUUUCCUUUUCAGCAAGAUGGUUUCUUUUUGAAAAGUGGGACUGGCAGCACGCAUAGAAAAAGGGAUUUUUUUUUAAGAAAACCAGGGGCACGCAUUGGAGAAAACGGUUGAAGAGGAGAAGAAGAAGGAAGCACAAGAAAACCAGUGGAGAUUUUCUGAGGAUAGAAACCAGUGCAGAUUUUUUUUAUUUGUCAGAAGUAAGCAUUCCCAGGGGGGGGGAUUCUUUGGAUUGCUUUGGGUGAGAAGAACAGGGACUAAGGUACACGAGUUUCUAAAGGAUUUGGGAGAAGGAAUCAUAUCUAGAAGAAAGGAAUUGAGUCAAAGCUGCCGGGUAUGCUUCUUGCUACUUUUUUAUUCCCGUUUACAUUCAAUACUCCAUGAUCCUCUGACCAUUUUUGAAUAUUCAAUCUUUGCUGAUUGGUGUGGACGGUAGGUCCACAAUUAGUUCUAUUGAAAUUGGUUGUUUCUUUGUUUAUUUAAGACUUUCGUUCUUUUCAAUGUCAUUAAUUUCUUAUGAGAAUAAUAUGCAUUUGGGUCAGUCCUUGAUUCUGAUGAUGGAAAUCCUACCUUGUUCACGUUGAAAAUCUGUUUUAAAUCACUCCUCUAUUCUAAGCCAAUGGAUUGAAAUAUGAAAUUGUGGCUUUUCUUGGUUAUUUUCCUCUUCUUUCUGUGUUUCUUUUUUUUGUUAUUUUCUUCUAUUUCUGGCCCACACCUCAACCAGCCCUAUUCCCGAUCUUCAAGAUUUAUUAACGUUGAUUCAAAAAUUUUUGGAACUAUGGAAGAGAAUUUAGGAAAUAAAGAGGUUCUUGAGAACUGUUCUAGUGAGCUCGCUUUCUGCUAGCCGUCUGCAUGGGGAUGUUGUAAUUGGGGAGCUUUUGGCUAAAUGGCUUCUGAAACUUCAGCCUGUGACUACUUCUCCUUAUGUGUUAUUAUCAAACUUGUAUGCUUCAGAUAGGAAGUGGGCAAAUUUAAAGAACCUGUCAUCAGCAGGCAACAGUUUCUUUGGCCCAACUACAGACUCAACUUCGAGGUUAGAAUCAAUCCAGUCUUUAGAUUUCAGUUGCAAAUCCUUUUCUGGUGAUAUGGCAGCAUCAUUGACUGUUGAGUCUGAUAUGGAAUACAAUUGGAAUGCCAACAUUGAGAUAUUUGGAAGAAGAGGUCCUGCUCCCGGAGUUAGACUUGGUGGGGUGCUUGGCGACUCACUUACCAGAGUUGCAAGAAAGCAAGCAGAUGCACUUUUGUUUGCAGAGGCCAGGAAACAGAGUCUUGAUUCUUUGAAAAGAGAAGAUGGCAUUUUUGCUAUAGAAGGAAAAGAUUACAGCUCAAGUUACUAGAAGUGGACAGAGGCAAAAGAUAUCAGUAUAUGAUCUAAUUCCAGGUGAUAUUGUUCAUCUUUCCAUUGGAGAUCAGGUCCCAGCUGAUAGACUUUUUGUUUUAGGAUUUUUCUUUGUCGAUAAAUGAGUCCAGUUUGACAGGAGAAAGUGAGACGGUUCAUAUGAAUUCUGAGAAUCCUUUUUCUCUUGUUCGGAACUAAAAUUCAGGAUAGGUCAUGCAAAAUGCUUGUGACUACUGUUGGGAUGAGAACCCAAUGGGGUAAAUUGAUGGCAACUCUUAUGAAGGAUGAUAAGCCUACUGCAUCAAACUAUCUGUCCAUAGCUGCACUGCCAGUGGGAGAGACAAGGAAGGAGAUGGAUUUAAUACUUCAAAAACGGAGCAUUUAGAAGUUCGGAUGGAUCUUACAGAUGACUUAUUGCACAUGGUUUCCUUUUCUUGGACUAUAUUAAUCUUCGUCGAGCUGCUACAGUCUGUAAGUAGUGGCGAGCUGGUAGUUCUCAUGAAGACUUCUGGAGGUGUCUGAAUCUCGAAAAUUAGAACAUAUCUGAAGAACAGUUUGAGGAUAUGUGCCGUAGAUAUCCGAAUGCCACUGAAGUGAAUAUUUUUUUUGGUGCUCCUUCAAUUCACUCGCUGGUUAUGACAGCAAUAUCUUCUUUAAGGAAUCUGGAGAUCUUAACCUUGGGGAAAGGAACAUCAGGUGAUGCAAUUUUAUUUUAUUUUUAGCCUUGGCUGAUUGUUAUAUACUAAAGAGACUUGAAGCAGUUGAAUUCUCGAAUGCCCUGUACAAGAGCUUUUUGGACGAAGACCUGAUUUGACCAGAGAAGCUUUACUCCAGGACAUGUUUUCAAAUGCAAAAAGACCACAGCAAGACGAUUGCAUCUGGCCAAAGAGUUGCUUACUUUUCUUGUUGAAGCUCUAAAGUCUUUUGCUGAGACCAAAGAAGGGACUUCUGAAAAGGUGCUCCAGUUCUGUGGAGAAAGUGCAGAUCCUAAUGUCCAAACCUCUCAGUUUGUUUCCAUGAGAUGAAGGAAGAGGUGCAAGUCAAGAUUUAGUCUUGCUGCAAUUUCUGAUGUCGAAACUGCCAAUAAUUCUGCCAGCCUACAGAAAAUUCCAAUAUCUGUUUUGAAUAUUGAUGAAAAAUACAUUGCAUCAAGGUUUUGCUGUAAUCUGGAGAAGUCAUUAUCACCAUUAUUUAAGGAUGCAGCAUACAGAGAUUUUGACCUCAAUUUAUCACUCAAUUGGCAAGAGAUCGUAAGUGCCUUUGAUAACUGAUCAGUGGCUGUUUGAGGCGCCAAGUAUGUGACUAAUGAUUAUGUAUCAAUGACAGAACUGACUUCAUAGGCUACCUACAGAAUUUAACAAAGAAAAGAAAGUCGGGAGAGAAAUCUGAUGUUGAAUUCAAUGGCAAGUCCAAAGGAAUUCAGUGGCUGUUUAAGAUGACUUUUAUGGAUGAGUUCAGUAGAGAAUUGAAAAGAAUUCAAGUGGUUGCAUAUGUGGGUGAGACUCAAUUGCGUUAACGGGUACUCUUGAUGGCAGAAAUUCGAAGGGAAUGGGGAAAGCUCAUUAACACAUUGGGGAUCUGCACAUGUUCUGGCUGCUUAACUUGAUGAUCAGUUUUAUGGUGACAUUAUGAAGAAUCUAAUUGAAACAGUGGAGGAUCUUGUCAGAUGGGGGAUUUAUACAGGGCGUUUUGGACAUCAUAACAACAGGGGUUGCAGAUUAUGUAGUUAGAAGUGUCAUGGCCUGUGACAGUUCUGUUUUAACGCCAUGAUAGAGAAGAAGAUCCUUUUAGUUGUGAAUGUGGGAGCAUUGGAUAUGGUGAAUUCUGAAGCCAAGAUUACCAUACUUUCUCAUUUACUGAACAGAAAUAUUCAUGUACACAAUGAGCAAGUAUCUCUUAUUCGAACAUAUAUGUAAAAAGUCCAAAAGCUUCAAUGUUUUGACCAAAUCAAAUGCUUUUGUUUCUCCAUCAUCAGAGGCGUUGACUCUUAGAAGAAGGCGCACUCAUGAACAGCAGCUUGAAUUCCAUGUCACAGAGGUUUUGGAAGAGGCUCGAAUCAUUGAGGCUAAGCACAAAAGAUUGUUGGAUUAUCUGCUGGUGCAUUACUUUUGGAGUAUCACAUAAAAUCUCACUGGGAUUUUGUCCUAUGGAAAUCAUUAAACGGCGAUAACAAGUCAAGCUGGAGUUUAUCUGCGAGUUGAUGAACUCAUUGAAAUUGCCAAACUCCUUGGAUUGAAUUCUCAGGGUGAUGUAUCAGCUGCUGAAGUUGUUGUUGCUGGUGAUCUGCAAUUGGCAUUUGAUCUCUGCCUUAGUUUGGCAAAGAAAGGACAUGGUCCCAUUUGGGACUUAUGUGUUGUUAUGGCAAGGGGUCCUGCUCUUGAAAACAUGGGUAUAAACUCUCAAAAGCAGCUACUGGGUUUUGCCUUGAAUCAUUGUGACGAGGAAUCCAUUGAUGAACUGCUACACGCAUGUGAAAUCUAUGUUGUUGCACUGCUGGUGAUGUUGAACCGAGGGAAUAAAGAGUACAGGUUUAGGGAUUACUCCAACUGACUCCAUAAUCAUUUGGUGAAUGACAAGAACCAGGGCUGGAUCAAGAAUUGUUUGAUAGAUAUCAACAUUUGUAGUUGCCUCGGGAAAGAGAUAAAUGACGAUGUUGCUACAUUCCAUAGGAAGAAUUUGUUUCCAAUCCAGUCGAGUCACAACAAACCAACAGCCUAAUGUUCCUAACGUUGUGUAGAUCCCAUGGAAGAGGCACAUCCUGAAGAGCAUGAUGAGUUUACUGAGAAUGGUAAUGGUAAGGAAAAAGAUUCCAACAAUCCGGCAGAUGAAAGUUUUGAAGAGAUAGAAUCUGGACAAGUGGAUGGAAAAUUUGAGAGGGAUGAUCUGGGAAGGGUAAUGAAGACAAAGCUGACAUGGAUUUAGAGGCACCAAGGAAAGGUGUCUUGGGAUCUGAAAAUUCUAACUUCAUUAGUGAUCAUAUGUUCAAUGCAAAAUCUGUGACGCAAUCAAAGGAUGACAUGCAGGCUGCAAAUUCAAGAAACGUGACACCAGAAACCCUUUUUGCCUUCUCAAUUCUCAUGUUGGGUGCAAUUUCAAAGAGUAUUGCUACUUCUUUGACAUAUCUAGCAAUUAGGUGUAAGAUCAUGGUUCAAGCAGCAGAUCCAAAUGACGGUGAAGCCUAGAAAGCUCCACAGAAAUCCCACAAAAUAGUACAUGAUGUUCUCUAUGUUAUUUGGAAGAGAGAAGGUGGACCGGGGUUCUUUAAGAAAUUGCAAGCUUAGAUCCUGAAAACCGUACUAAACUCAGCAUUGCUUUUGAUGAUCAAGGAGAAAAUUGUAGCAGGCAUUUGAGUACUAAUACUUGCAGCCAUCCCCAACUAAGCAAGAGCCGGAAUUGUUAUUUCUUGUUAAUUUCUACUGUCACCCAUGAUCAAAUGAAGCCUUUAAGCUCUCUUCUAGCAAUGUCUUUGAUAUUAAAUACCCACCAGAAUCCCCAUUCAGUAACUGCUUCAAUUUGAGCUCAUGGAUCCGAGGAAAACAUGGAUAGGGAAAAUUGGUUAUGCCAGGGUCCGUAUUUCUCAAGAGCAAUCCAAGUUUGCUGGGAUUCUUCAUCCCUCAUUGGAAGUCACCAAAACUUUGAACNNNNNNNNNNNNNNNNNNNNNNNNNNNNNNNNNNNNNNNNNNNNNNNNNNNNNNNNNNNNNNNNNNNNNNNNNNNNNNNNNNNNNNNNNNNNNNNNNNNNNNNNNNNNNNNNNNNNNNNNNNNNNNNNNNNNNNNNNNNNNNNNNNNNNNNNNNNNNNNNNNNNNNNNNNNNNNNNNNNNNNNNNNNNNNNNNNNNNNNNNNNNNNNNNNNNNNNNNNNNNNNNNNNNNNNNNNNNNNNNNNNNNNNNNNNNNNNNNNNNNNNNNNNNNNNNNNNNNNNNNNNNNNNNNNNNNNNNNNNNNNNNNNNNNNNNNNNNNNNNNNNNNNNNNNNNNNNNNNNNNNNNNNNNNNNNNNNNNNNNNNNNNNNNNNNNNNNNNNNNNNNNNNNNNNNNNNNNNNNNNNNNNNNNNNNNNNNNNNNNNNNNNNNNNNNNNNNNNNNNNNNNNNNNNNNNNNNNNNNNNNNNNNNNNNNNNNNNNNNNNNNNNNNNNNNNNNNNNNNNNNNNNNNNNNNNNNNNNNNNNNNNNNNNNNNNNNNNNNNNNNNNNNNNNNNNNNNNNNNNNNNNNNNNNNNNNNNNNNNNNNNNNNNNNNNNNNNNNNNNNNNNNNNNNNNNNNNNNNNNNNNNNNNNNNNNNNNNNNNNNNNNNNNNNNNNNNNNNNNNNNNNNNNNNNNNNNNNNNNNNNNNNNNNNNNNNNNNNNNNNNNNNNNNNNNNNNNNNNNNNNNNNNNNNNNNNNNNNNNNNNNNNNNNNNNNNNNNNNNNNNNNNNNNNNNNNNNNNNNNNNNNNNNNNNNNNNNNNNNNNNNNNNNNNNNNNNNNNNNNNNNNNNNNNNNNNNNNNNNNNNNNNNNNNNNNNNNNNNNNNNNNNNNNNNNNNNNNNNNNNNNNNNNNNNNNNNNNNNNNNNNNNNNNNNNNNNNNNNNNNNNNNNNNNNNNNNNNNNNNNNNNNNNNNNNNNNNNNNNNNNNNNNNNNNNNNNNNNNNNNNNNNNNNNNNNNNNNNNNNNNNNNNNNNNNNNNNNNNNNNNNNNNNNNNNNNNNNNNNNNNNNNNNNNNNNNNNNNNNNNNNNNNNNNNNNNNNNNNNNNNNNNNNNNNNNNNNNNNNNNNNNNNNNNNNNNNNNNNNNNNNNNNNNNNNNNNNNNNNNNNNNNNNNNNNNNNNNNNNNNNNNNNNNNNNNNNNNNNNNNNNNNNNNNNNNNNNNNNNNNNNNNNNNNNNNNNNNNNNNNNNNNNNNNNNNNNNNNNNNNNNNNNNNNNNNNNNNNNNNNNNNNNNNNNNNNNNNNNNNNNNNNNNNNNNNNNNNNNNNNNNNNNNNNNNNNNNNNNNNNNNNNNNNNNNNNNNNNNNNNNNNNNNNNNNNNNNNNNNNNNNNNNNNNNNNNNNNNNNNNNNNNNNNNNNNNNNNNNNNNNNNNNNNNNNNNNNNNNNNNNNNNNNNNNNNNNNNNNNNNNNNNNNNNNNNNNNNNNNNNNNNNNNNNNNNNNNNNNNNNNNNNNNNNNNNNNNNNNNNNNNNNNNNNNNNNNNNNNNNNNNNNNNNNNNNNNNNNNNNNNNNNNNNNNNNNNNNNNNNNNNNNNNNNNNNNNNNNNNNNNNNNNNNNNNNNNNNNNNNNNNNNNNNNNNNNNNNNNNNNNNNNNNNNNNNNNNNNNNNNNNNNNNNNNNNNNNNNNNNNNNNNNNNNNNNNNNNNNNNNNNNNNNNNNNNNNNNNNNNNNNNNNNNNNNNNNNNNNNNNNNNNNNNNNNNNNNNNNNNNNNNNNNNNNNNNNNNNNNNNNNNNNNNNNNNNNNNNNNNNNNNNNNNNNNNNNNNNNNNNNNNNNNNNNNNNNNNNNNNNNNNNNNNNNNNNNNNNNNNNNNNNNNNNNNNNNNNNNNNNNNNNNNNNNNNNNNNNNNNNNNNNNNNNNNNNNNNNNNNNNNNNNNNNNNNNNNNNNNNNNNNNNNNNNNNNNNNNNNNNNNNNNNNNNNNNNNNNNNNNNNNNNNNNNNNNNNNNNNNNNNNNNNNNNNNNNNNNNNNNNNNNNNNNNNNNNNNNNNNNNNNNNNNNNNNNNNNNNNNNNNNNNNNNNNNNNNNNNNNNNNNNNNNNNNNNNNNNNNNNNNNNNNNNNNNNNNNNNNNNNNNNNNNNNNNNNNNNNNNNNNNNNNNNNNNNNNNNNNNNNNNNNNNNNNNNNNNNNNNNNNNNNNNNNNNNNNNNNNNNNNNNNNNNNNNNNNNNNNNNNNNNNNNNNNNNNNNNNNNNNNNNNNNNNNNNNNNNNNNNNNNNNNNNNNNNNNNNNNNNNNNNNNNNNNNNNNNNNNNNNNNNNNNNNNNNNNNNNNNNNNNNNNNNNNNNNNNNNNNNNNNNNNNNNNNNNNNNNNNNNNNNNNNNNNNNNNNNNNNNNNNNNNNNNNNNNNNNNNNNNNNNNNNNNNNNNNNNNNNNNNNNNNNNNNNNNNNNNNNNNNNNNNNNNNNNNNNNNNNNNNNNNNNNNNNNNNNNNNNNNNNNNNNNNNNNNNNNNNNNNNNNNNNNNNNNNNNNNNNNNNNNNNNNNNNNNNNNNNNNNNNNNNNNNNNNNNNNNNNNNNNNNNNNNNNNNNNNNNNNNNNNNNNNNNNNNNNNNNNNNNNNNNNNNNNNNNNNNNNNNNNNNNNNNNNNNNNNNNNNNNNNNNNNNNNNNNNNNNNNNNNNNNNNNNNNNNNNNNNNNNNNNNNNNNNNNNNNNNNNNNNNNNNNNNNNNNNNNNNNNNNNNNNNNNNNNNNNNNNNNNNNNNNNNNNNNNNNNNNNNNNNNNNNNNNNNNNNNNNNNNNNNNNNNNNNNNNNNNNNNNNNNNNNNNNNNNNNNNNNNNNNNNNNNNNNNNNNNNNNNNNNNNNNNNNNNNNNNNNNNNNNNNNNNNNNNNNNNNNNNNNNNNNNNNNNNNNNNNNNNNNNNNNNNNNNNNNNNNNNNNNNNNNNNNNNNNNNNNNNNNNNNNNNNNNNNNNNNNNNNNNNNNNNNNNNNNNNNNNNNNNNNNNNNNNNNNNNNNNNNNNNNNNNNNNNNNNNNNNNNNNNNNNNNNNNNNNNNNNNNNNNNNNNNNNNNNNNNNNNNNNNNNNNNNNNNNNNNNNNNNNNNNNNNNNNNNNNNNNNNNNNNNNNNNNNNNNNNNNNNNNNNNNNNNNNNNNNNNNNNNNNNNNNNNNNNNNNNNNNNNNNNNNNNNNNNNNNNNNNNNNNNNNNNNNNNNNNNNNNNNNNNNNNNNNNNNNNNNNNNNNNNNNNNNNNNNNNNNNNNNNNNNNNNNNNNNNNNNNNNNNNNNNNNNNNNNNNNNNNNNNNNNNNNNNNNNNNNNNNNNNNNNNNNNNNNNNNNNNNNNNNNNNNNNNNNNNNNNNNNNNNNNNNNNNNNNNNNNNNNNNNNNNNNNNNNNNNNNNNNNNNNNNNNNNNNNNNNNNNNNNNNNNNNNNNNNNNNNNNNNNNNNNNNNNNNNNNNNNNNNNNNNNNNNNNNNNNNNNNNNNNNNNNNNNNNNNNNNNNNNNNNNNNNNNNNNNNNNNNNNNNNNNNNNNNNNNNNNNNNNNNNNNNNNNNNNNNNNNNNNNNNNNNNNNNNNNNNNNNNNNNNNNNNNNNNNNNNNNNNNNNNNNNNNNNNNNNNNNNNNNNNNNNNNNNNNNNNNNNNNNNNNNNNNNNNNNNNNNNNNNNNNNNNNNNNNNNNNNNNNNNNNNNNNNNNNNNNNNNNNNNNNNNNNNNNNNNNNNNNNNNNNNNNNNNNNNNNNNNNNNNNNNNNNNNNNNNNNNNNNNNNNNNNNNNNNNNNNNNNNNNNNNNNNNNNNNNNNNNNNNNNNNNNNNNNNNNNNNNNNNNNNNNNNNNNNNNNNNNNNNNNNNNNNNNNNNNNNNNNNNNNNNNNNNNNNNNNNNNNNNNNNNNNNNNNNNNNNNNNNNNNNNNNNNNNNNNNNNNNNNNNNNNNNNNNNNNNNNNNNNNNNNNNNNNNNNNNNNNNNNNNNNNNNNNNNNNNNNNNNNNNNNNNNNNNNNNNNNNNNNNNNNNNNNNNNNNNNNNNNNNNNNNNNNNNNNNNNNNNNNNNNNNNNNNUUAUGGAAUCAAGUCAUGCGAAAUUGAUUAGGGCUUUGGUGGGGGCCCAACAUUCAUAACACUCACUUCAAUACUGUUUGCUUGAUAUGAUGAUUUUUUAUUCUUCUUGAUGAAAUACAUGAAUUCACUUUAUAUCUAUUGUUGAGAUACCCCUGUUCCCAUAGACGUGUGGAUGCCCACUAAUCAGGUACGCUCUCUUUACCUCCCAACUCUAAAAUUCUAUGAAUAUGUAUGUUAUCAUGAACCAUGACCAUGUUUGAUGUCAUAAUUGAUUGUCUUGAUGCUUGUUUGAUCAUCUUUGAUAAAAUACAUAUAAUGUGUGUUAUACUUCUAUACUAACUCUGAUGUUUUAUGAUAGCGCUUGAAGAGCGGUUCAGGUACGCACCCUAACUCUCUGUUUUUGUGAUUUGAUCUUGUUUAGCAUGCAAAUCUUUUGAAAUCACCUAGCCUACUUAGGUAUCCAUAACUAACCGAUUAAUUGCCAUAUUCCCCUUAACUUAGUCAAUAGAGACCUCUUUAGGGCUUAGAGGGGUGCUACCUCCUAGAGGUACCUUCCCAAUAAGUAACCUGAUCCCCGGACCAAGACUUGGGUUUUCAAAGACACGCUUUUCCAAAAAUUAUGGAGUCAUUUUUUUUAGGGUUUUAUUUCUUGUUUUAUUUUCCCUUCAAAAAUAAAAAAUAAAAUAAGUGGCGACUCCAACUUUUUUUAAAAUUAAUUUUUCACAAAUAAAAAGCGAGUCUCGCCGAUCGAGUGGGGACGCACGUGAAAAAUGCGGGUCCACAUGUACCUAAAUGAGCUAUCCUAAAAAAGAAAGGAAAAUCCUAGGUUUAACUCGGGGCUGCUAGAGUCACAAUGAGGGGCCAGAUAAAUUUUUCGACCAGAGUCUCCAAGGUGGCUCGAAAGCUAAGUUGUACAAGUAGUAUGGGGUAUCAGAGGACUAUUGUGAAGUACUAAAAGAGCAUCUAAUAGGGCAUGUACUAAAGGGACAAAAUGGAGGGUUUACAAUAUUACUCUAAGAAAUAACAUGUUUAGAAGAAAGUGAUUUGUUGUCCAGGUGUUGAUCAAGUUCAUGUUUAGGUAGUUUUUGAGGAAUAAAAGAGUUUCUCCUUUUAGGCAUGCAGCUUAUGGAUUUAUACAAUACCUUUCAUAUUAGUCUGUGAAACUUUUUAUGACAACUAGUUAGUUGACUAUGAUUGUGAAUCUUUGGAAUGGAAAACUCUUCCUUUUACUAGAGGAAUGGAGCUUGGUGAUGUUGUCUACAUAACCACUGACACUCAAAGGGGUUUUGAAGUGCAAAUCUUUGAAAAAAUGAAAGGAUUGGGAUUAUAGGCACUUUAAAAAAAUUCAGAAAGUAUAUUCAGUUCGCCCCACACUAAUAGCUUGGUAUUGCCUAGAAGCUCUUCAGAUAUGGCAAGCUUGAAGAAUAAAGCAUUUUUGGGUAUUGGAUAUAGUAAAAGGCAAAGAUCCAAAGUGUUUGUUUCAACGCCAAUAAGGAAAGGCCACCUUCGAUGCACAGUCCUAGACAACCCUACGGUUGUCCCUCUUCUGGUCAAGUUCAAGAUUACCUUGCUACUAGUUUUCUUUUCCAUAGGCAUGGCCACCUUCUGCCCUUCAGUGGUGCACUGCUUUACAUACAGUGCUCCUAUUCUCCGACAAAUCCGAUCCACCUUGGGGCAUACAUAUGGAAUUUUGAUAAAUGGGGCUCAGAUUAUUGCCUGAAAUGGCACAAUGAGAUGAGUUGUGGGAGUUCCUUCUACUAAGGUGAUAUUCAUUCGCUCAAAAUGGGUCAAAUCUCAUCCUUAGACUUGGUAUCUAGCACCUAUCAGUCUCUAUUCCUUCUACUCCUAUACCAACACUAAGCAAAUAUUCAAUAUACAAAAGACAAUCCUCUUCCUAGGGUCGCAAUUCUGGGAUAGAAAUACAUGUUUCCAAAAAUGAGAAACUACUGGUAGAGUUAGGCAAGAACGAGGCUUUAGUUGCAGUACUACAAGUGGAAAUUGAUGACUUGGAUAGAAGUUCCUUUAUUAUCUAGACAUGAGAGAUUGAAGUUCGAGAUACAAAAGGAGUCUUAUGAAGUUCUUAGACAAAUAGGCUGACAAUAAUUCUAUAAUUUCAGUUUUGCAAGUUAAAAGUGCCAACUUGGGUAUGAAUCAUGCAUUGUAAAGUUCAAAAUUUCCUUUUAUUUGGUGGACCAUAUCCUAUCUCAUCAGAUAUCCUUUCUUCUUAGAUGAAGUAAGAGCUUGAAUAAUCAGUAUCCAUUUGAUCUUCACGUCUUUGCUCCCCAUCCAAAUCACUGUAACAUUUUGCAUCUAUAACCAUACAACAGAAAUGCCCAUAAGAAUAGUGGAUCUUGUUGGUUCAGAUGCAAUGGGCACAUCAUGCUUAUUUAUGAGAAGAUGCUUGAAUCUGCUAGAAAAAACCUCAUCAGAAAAUAGGUCCAUCUAAUUUAGAUGGUCAUGGCUCUUAGACCAUUAAACCGGAGACAAUUCAAUGAGCAUUUAAAAUAGUUUCUACAAAGUCUAUCUAGCCUAAGGAAGCUCACCUUCAUCAGUUCAUGGACAUGAAAAUGGCAUCUAAAGACAUGAUGUGUUUCUUUUUUCACCUAAUUAAUAGUUCAGGUAAGAUUUGACAGGACUUCAAGAAUAACAAGUGUGAAAUGGGGGCUUUAGACUUGGAAUUCUGGGCAGAUAAAGAAAUCAUUGACGAGCAAGGAAACUUUUCAUUCACCAGCAUGAAAUAUCUUUCGCAUGGUUCUACUUAUGAACACCAUAUAGACCUGCAUUUUUCACGUGCAUUCCUACUCGUACGGCGAGACACGCUUUUGAUUAAGGUGAUUUUGUAUUUUUGUAUAAACUUGGAGUCGCUACUUAUUUUUAUUUAUUUUUUAAAGGGGAAUAUAAAGUAAGAAUAAAACCCCCAAAAGGACUUGAUUUUUGGAAAAGCUGUCUACAAAAAACCCAAGUCUGGGUCUAGAAAUCUGGUUAAUUGGGAAGGUACCUCCAAAGAAGUAAUAACCCUCUAAGCCCUAAUGAGGUCUUUACUAGCUGAGUUGAGGAAAAUAUGACAAUGAAUUAGUUGAUUAUGGAUACUUAAAUGGACUAAGGUGAUUUCAAAACUCUAUUAACACUAGCAUGUCAAACAAGAAUUCACAACACAAUCAUAAAGAAAAGAUUGUAUUGCAUACCUUAACCACAACUUAAGCACUAUCGCAAGACAUCAAUGGUUAGUUUGGAAAAUAAAACACACAUCAUGCAUUUUACCCUAGUCUCCUAAUCAAACAUGGUAAGUCAAACAAAUAAUAAAAAAGAUAUGCUAAAUAUGUUAAUGAUCACAUACAAAGCAAUACAUAAUAAUCACAUACAAAGCAAUACAUAAUUUAUGAAAUUAAGAUGUGAAGGUAAGAUGAGUACCUAAAUAGCAUAGAUAACUCAUAAUGUGCUUCAACAAGAUAUGGAGGGUUAAAUCAAAAUUAUAGUAAUAAAUAAUAAAAGAAAGAAAUCCUAGCAUGCUUGGUAUCUAAAUAGCAUAAAAAAAACGAUUGGAGUAUACAAAAUCAUCAAUUAUGACAUAUAUCUUGCACAUAAUUCCUAAAAAAAUUGAUGGUUAUGAUUACAACAAGUAGCAAAAGUGGACGCAAAGAUAAGUUUUGAAAACAAUCUUUUAUGUAGGGGUUCCAUCAAAUCCUCAUUCAAUAUCCAUAAGUUUAACUUGUGUAUUGCCAUUAGCUUAGGAGCACAAGUUCAAAUCUAUGUGAAUAAAAACAAAAUUUUGAGAACCAAUAAAGGUGAAUGCAACUUAGAUUGAAAUAAGUUGCAUAAUGUCCAAAGAAAAUGUGUUCUUUGCCUAAAUCUAGAAUGAAUGUUUUUCUAAAGCUUUUUAUUGAUUUAAAUACUUUUGAAAACAAUUUAGAGAGAACAAAAGAAACCAAGUGAUUUGAUAAAUCCCAAUCUACACAAAAUAGGUAUUUUUGAUUUCUUUCUUAAAAGAAAUUGAAAACAGCAAAGGUCAACUUGGAUAACUUUUUUGUCUACCUUUCAUUUGGGUUCAAGGAACCAAAUUCAUGUUGGAGAAAAAUUCAUUUUAAAACUUUUUUCAAAUAUGCAUACCAAAUAAAAUUGGUUGCAUGAAUUUUGGAAAAUUGACAUUUCUUUAAUUAAUUGAUCUAGGAUUAAUUUUAAAAUGAAGUUAGAAGAUUAAUUUGGCAAAAUAAAAAAAAAAGUUGAAAACAAUUUUUAAAAAAUAUUAAAACACAAAAUCUCAAACAUGAACUAUUAAGAAAGAGUGUAAGUGUGUAUUUGUGAAUUUUCUAGUGUGCCAAUGUGAAACUCAAGUGUCCUAAAUAUGAACCUAAGGUGCAACUGUAUUUAAAACUAUUGUGUCUUAAUUUAAGUGUUAAAUUAUGAUCCAAAACUGUCCUAAGUAUAAACAAUUAAUCGACCUCGAUAAUCAUCCACUAAUAUGCCAGUAACCAUUAAUAUUAUUCCAUUUCCUAUAUUAUCAUCCAUUGAUUUAAGAAAACACCAAGCAUCAUAAUACAUCUGUAGACAUAAAAAAAUUAGUGGAUUAAAUUACCACUAAUUUGGUCUUCUAAAAAAAAAAAAAAAAAUCUUAUGGAUAAGUCUCUCUCAUCUCCAACUAUAAAAAAAAGAUAAUAAUAAUAAUAAAAAUUAUUAUUAUUAUUAUUAUCUUCUUGGUAAAACCUCCCGGAUAAGAAAAUUUGCUAAAAUUAAGGAACUAAAUCCCUUGAAUUAAGCAACUAAAAUUGGGGAUUCUGAAAUUCAAAUUCCCUAUCUUCACCUAUAAAUAGAGGUGUCUUCCAUCAAGAUGGGGGAGAAAAAAUUCUAGAGGGAAAAAAAAGGAGAAAAAUCUAGAUAGGAAAAUCCUAAGGAGAAAAUCCAAAGGUAACUACUCCGUAUAGGGGAAGGGGCUUCACAACAAUAGGGAGCUUCAUCAAAUAUCCUUGCAAGUUCAAUAAACGGCAAAAGAACUAAUACAAUCGUUCUUUGUCAUUCAACAAGGUCAUUCGAGAAUAAGCCAUUUGUGGCCCUCGAUUGAUCUCUGAAAUAAAAAAAACGUCAUCGUCGUCUUCCGAAGUGUGAUCAAGUCAAAAGAAUCAGAGAGAAAAAUAUUCUUUUGGAAAGAAUAUUAUUUAUUUCUGAGAUUGUACCCGCACUACAUUUUUAAAUUUAAUAAAUCGUUUGUUCGCAUUAAUUUUCCUAUUUUAUUUUGUUAAUUUUUACAGGAUAAAAUUUUACGAAAUUUGUGCGUACAAAUUUCUGGCACGCCCGGUGGGACCUUUCUGUCUCUCAUCUCUUUUGUUAGAAGAUUGAUCUCUACUACGUCGAUGGCACCCAAAAGAACUCAAGUCGUGCAUGACAACAAGGGCAAUGAUAAGAUCGUCAUUGCACAAUCAACACAUGACACCGCUACGGGCCCUAUGACUCGUAGCAAAGGAAAAUCAACAUCUUCACUCUCAACAAAACAAACAAGUGAGUCUGCUUGUUUGCUAAAAGCGGUAAGGACCCAUGAUGAGCAUCAACCGCUCAUCACCUUGGCCUCUUUGGGGGCAAAGAGCCAUAGUCCUCGUAGCAGGGGAAAACUCUCUUCAACACUAAAGGACUUUGGGGAUAAAUCUCUUUGCUCUGUUACUAAAGCCAACUCCAGCACUGGCUCAUACUCCGGAUCGCCAACCAGAAUGUCAAAAGAGGAAAACUACUCCAAUCAUUUUGACUCUUUUACUUCUCCCUUCUCGAUGACCAUGCCGGUAAUGGCAACCGACACUACAUCCGUAGAGGAACAAUUAGCAGAGAUGGCUCGCGCCAUCACCAAACUCACCAAGUCGGUUGAGGAGAAUGAUAUGCAGAUAGCCUCUCUCAUAAACAAGGUUGAGACACAAGUACAAAAUGCGGGUGAGUCAAGUCACAAACUCAACCACCCUCCGAUUGUUGCAUCUCCUCUCGAUGAUGCACCACAUACGUAUAAGACAAUGCAAAGUGAAAAACAAAUGACAGAAUCUGCCUCAGUGGUGUCAUUAUCUGCCCAACAACUUCAGGACAUGAUAACUAACACCAUUAGGGCGCAGUACGGUGGACCCUCACAGAGUACGCUCAUGUACUCUAAACCUUACACUAAGAGGAUUGAUAACCUACGUAUUCCUAUGGGUUAUCAACCUCCAAAAUUUCAAUCAUUUGACGGAAAAGGCAAUCCAAAACAACAUGUUGCCCAUUUCGUUGAAACUUGUAACAAUGCAGGUACAGAUGGUGACUUAUUAGUUAAACAAUUCGUCCAUUCUCUUCAAGUGAAUGCUUUCGAUUGGUACAUAGACCUUGCACCAGAGUGUAUUGAUAGUUGGGACCAAAUGGAAUGUGAAUUCCUCAACCGUUUCUAUAGCACCAGACGAACUGUAAGUAUGAUGGAACUUACUAACACUAAGCAAUGGAAAGAUGAACCGGUUGUAGACUUUAUCAACCGUUGGCGUUCCUUAAGCCUCGACUGCAAAGAUAGAUUAUCGGAGGUAUCAGCUAUGGAGAUGUGCAUACAAGGAAUGCAUUGGGGUCUCCUAUACAUUCUCCAAGGGAUACGACCCCGUACCUUUGAAGAAUUAGCUACCCGAGCACAUGACAUGGAGCUCAGCAUUGCCAACCAUGAUGCUAAAAAUGACCUUAUCAUUGACCAGCAAAGAGAAAGACACAAUGGGAAAGCAAGUGAUAAGAUUUCAAUAAAACCCAUCUAGGAGUCAAUGAUGGUAAAUGUGACUCUUGCGCGAGAUAAAAAGAAAGAAGUAAAAGAGGUUAGACCAACCCAAGAAAUGAGAGGUGUCGGUUCACCUUUAAGGAAUUAAAGGAGAAGAGGUAUCCUUUUCCUGACUCUGAUGUGCCUAGCAUGUUGGAAGACCUGCUCCAGAAAAAAGUUAUUGAGCUACCUGAGUGCAAGCGUCUAGAAGAAAUGGGUCGUCUUAAUGAUCCGAACUAUUGUCAUUACCAUCGAAUUGUCAGUCACCCGGUGGAGAAAUGUUUCAUCUUAAAAGAUCUUAUAAUGAAACUUGCAAAACAAAGAAGAAUUCAUCUGGAUCUAGAUGAAGUAGUAGAUUGAAAUCAUGCUACAGUCACAUUUGGGUCCAUCGAUCUUGUUUUGUUACAUGUUCCACCUAAGACACUGGAGGCAUGCGCCGAUACUAUCCAAUGCGAUUCACCAAAACCAAAGCAAACGUAAGUGUCAUGUCAAGACACCAUUCGUCACUUCUAUUUUGAUAAUGAAUCAAUGUUGUAUAACGAAGAAGGUUGGACAUUGGUGACACGAAGAAGACCUCACAAGAAGCAAGAAUCUCAUCCCUACCCAAAUCUUCCUAGGAAGGAACAAUGUAUGCAAAAUAUUCAUCGAUAUGCGAAGAGGAAAGAAGAAAAGAAGCCUAAAAGAAAACAAGCGAUUGUACAGGUUGAUGAUUUCUUGGUACAAAAGCUCAUCACCCCUUUCACCUUAGGAGAAUACUUCCCUCAGGAGUUCUUUAAUAAAGGAAUGGUGACAUCAACUCAUAUGGUCUCUUAUCAUGAGAUUUCGAAAGAAGAUGAGUCAGGUAAAGAUGAAGAAAACGUUUUCGGUGCAGAGCCAAGAAAAACCAAGAAAGAUGAUGAGAUACAUAGGAAUCCAUCAUUUUAUGCCACAAAAAUAAAGGGGGCAAAACGAUUUGAAGACAAAGGCCACGAUUGUGCGACAUGUUGUGCAAACAUCACCUACACCAGUGGCGAUGAAAAUGACGUGACAUCAAAUUUUACCACAAUUGUUUUCAAACCUCAACAUUCUAGUGAUGCUCCUUAAAGCAUGAGCCUAAACUGCAUAUUGCUCCUAUCCUACAAGAGCUUAAACUGUAGUAAAAAAAAAAAUCAUUCUUGGCAAACUUCUUAAACCGAGGAACAAACCCUUUGUAUUAAAGAAGUCAAAUUCGGAGAUUCCAAACUAAAAUCUCUAAUUUCUCUACAUACAAGUGUUCUUUUCUUUCAGCAUGACGCGUUCUCAAAAGGGCGAUGCAACCUAGAACCUAAAUCCAAAAAAUGAAGCUUUAAAAGUCAAAAUCAAACUCCAAACAUUUUUCAACAAGCUCGUGGAAGAAUAUCAAACUCAAACAAAAGUGUCAUUCAUCCACCUUCAAAGCUAAAGAAGACAAGGAUGGGUUCUUCAAAACACUUGAGGAAAUUGUUGAUAAGUUUACUUGAGAGCAAGUCAUCAUUGACCCUCAAUUAAAUUUUGCUCCAAGAAUACGUGGUUACCACCCUUGGAUUAAAAUCAAGUCCAAGCUUGACACAUUCUUCAACAAGCUCGUGGAAGAAUAUCAAACACAAUACAAAAGUGUCAUUCAUCCACUUUUAAGACUAAAGAAAAUCAAGACAAAGAACUUCUUUUGUUCUCCAAAAUGCUUAAGAAAGGUCUUCAUAAGUUUGGUUGAGAAUAAGUCAUCUUUGACCCUCAAUUAAACUUUAUUCCAAGGACAUGAAUUUAUCAUCCUUCAAUCAAACUCAAGACAAGUGAUACUCUUGGCCCGCAUGAGCAUAAAUUGCGUACGGCGUAAAAAAAAUAAAAAUAAAAAUUUGCUAAGUCGAAAACCUGAAAAGGCGACUUAGGCAAAAGUUAGGACAUAUGCUCGCAAGAUUAAAUCUUUCUUUUAGUCUUGGAAAAAGUUAGAGCGUAAAAAAAAAAUGGAACUACGUUUGACUUGAUCCCCUCUCUUUGAAGGGUACGUAGGCAACUCGGGGAAACAACUCGAAUUUAGUCGCUACCACAAAAAAAAAAAAAAAAAAUUAUUACUUCAAGACUCACCCCAUCUACAUGACAAAGCAUGUACGUGAUGAGUCUUGAAGUGGGGCCAUUUGUAGACAUAAAAAAAUUAGUGGAUUAAAUUACCACUAAUUUGGUCUUCUAAAAAAAAAAAAAAAAUCAUCUUAUGGAUAAGUUUCUCAUCUUAUGGAUAAGUCUUUCUCAUCUCCAACUAUAAAAAAAGAUAAUAAUAAUAAUAAUAAAAAAUAUUAUUAUUAUUAUUAUCUUGUUGGUAAAACCUCCCGGAUAAGAAAAUUUGCUAAAAUUAAAGAACAAAAUCCCUUGAAUUAAGCAACUAAAAUUGGGGAUUCUGAAAUUCAAAUUCCCUAUCUUCACCUAUAAAUAGAGGUGUUUUCCAUCAAGAUGGGAGAGAAAAAAUUCUAGAGGGAAAAAAAAUGAGAAAAAUCUAGAGAGGAAAAUCCUAAGAAAAAAAUCCAAAGGUAACACCGUAUAGGGGAAGGGGUUUCACAACAAUAGGGAGCUUCAUCAAAUCUCCUUGCAAGUUCGGUAAACGGCAAAAGAACUAAUACAAUCGUUCUUUGUCAUUCAACAAGGUCAUUCGAGAAUAAGCCAUUUGUGGCCCUCGAUUGAUCUCUGAAAUAAAAAAAACGUCAUCGUCGUCUUCCGAAGUGUGAUCAAGUCAAAAGAAUCAGAGGGAAAAAUAUUCUUUUGGAAAGAAUAUUAUUUAUUUAUGAGAUUGUACCCGCACUAUAUUUUAAAAUUUAAUAAAUCGUUUGGUCGCAUUAAUUUUCCUAUUUUAUUUUGUUAAUUUUUAUAGGAUAAAAUUUUACGAAAUUUGUGCGUACAACAUCUCCAUUGAUUUUUUAUUUUAUGUAAACAUCAACAAUACUAACAUUGUUUCCAUUAAUUUUUUAAAAUUGAAACAAAGCCAUUAAAAUCUUUCCAUGCCGACAACAUUAUUUCAUCUAUAUAUAUUUCAUAAAAAAUAAUCAACUCAAAGGCCACUUAAUUUUUAAGCCACUAAAAUAUAUUAGAUUCCAAACAUGAGACACCUUCAAUUCAACCACUAAAAGACCUUCCAGUUUUAGUCAUGAAAUUCACUUCAGUUAUUCAUCGAAAUGCAUGAAUUAGCUCCCAAUAAUAGCCACAAAUUCAGCCUUGGGAUUCAACACUCCUAUGCCACCUUAUAUCCUCAUUUAUCCACCCAAAACUCACUCCAUUGACAUUUGAGCCACAAACUUUACACAUGUUGCCACUUUCUUUACAUUCUCUCAUUUUUCUAAUGCAUUCAACAACAUAACAUCACCCUUCAAUGAGUCUCCAAAGCUAGCUCCCACCAUCUCCAUGUUCUCUCAUUAUUAAAUUCAAGCACUAAGGCUCCUUAAGACCAUGAAUUCUCAUUGAAAAAUAAUCAUUCAUAAAAGCUCUAGACAUAACCACUUUCCACCAUUAAAAAUUAAAGCACCAAAUAUAUUUAAAUAACCAUGAACUCCAUAAAAAAAAAAAAAAAAAUCAGCAUUACUUUCUCAUUGCAUGGCCACUUAUUUGCAUUAACUUCCAUCAACAAAUCUACACUAACAGUAUCAAAUUCAGCUUUGAAUUUCAACCUUGUGACUCACAUGUAUACAUCCACAAUUCAACUCAUGCAAACCUCCAUUCAUGCAGCCACAAUUCAAUCACAUUUCUACCAAUAUUUCAGCCAUCAACACAUGCAUAUGUAGCCACAAAUCUUCAACCAUUAGCCUAUAUUACGUGGCCACAACUUUCAAUCCUUGAACUCCACUAUGUUACCAUAACUUUCAGCUAUUAAAUUCCACUAUACAAUCAUAACUUUCACAUAAGCUUUCAAGCCUUCGUACAACCAUGAAAUUCGCCUAUUUUCCAUUGCAUUUUUAGCCUUCAAAAUCACCCUAUGAAACCACCAAAAUUCGUGCUAGUUUAGCCAUGUUUCUACUUUCAAAAUUCAGCCUCCAAAUUUGAAGAAUUGACCACAAAGAUACAUGGCUGUUCCAUUAAAAAAAUUAUCCAUAUAAUUAUUGUACCUUUCAACUUUUUCAUUGAAAUAUAAAAGAGAAUCUCCCCCUAAAUCAUGUUUUCAAUCUCCGCCCAAACAUGUUUUACAAUCUCAAAUAUAAUGAAUCAAAAUUAGCACUAGACGAAAUUCAAAUUCCCAAUCUAAUAUAAUAAAUAAAACUUAAAUUUAACAAAGUUCAAACCUUCAAAACCAAAAUAAUGGAUUGAAACUAAACCUAACAUGAUUUCCAACUUUUCAAACUAAUAAUUAAAAACAAACAAAAGCUAAAGCAGAAUAAAAUUCCAACAUUUUAGACUAACGUAAUGAAUCCAAACUAUAUUAAACAAAAUUAUGAUUUUUCAAGUUAAAACAAAGAAAAGGUUUUACUUACCUUCUUCCAUGUGGUGCGCGACGUGGAGACUCAAUGGGUUGUGCAUGUUCUCCAUGUCUGUGCGAAUUGUUUUCGUAGUUCCAUAUAUUCCUAGUGAGAUGCAGGCUGGUGGGCAUUCCCUAACUGUGGUGUGGCUUGUGGAGAGAUCCUCUUUGGUGCAUGCUGUAAAAGGAUUUUUAAUGGUCGUACUACUGAAUCUCUUGUAGGAAGACCUCUCUUGGAUGCAUGGUGGAGACUCAAUCCUCUCUCCUAAAAAAUGGCAAUCUACAUAAACAACUCCUAUGCGUUUUGUCUUUUAAAAGUGGUAGUCUCUAAUGUCUCUGUGCAUGCCAAAUGAAUCCACUAUUUCUUAAAAAUAAUGGUGCGUGGUGGCCCCUUAAACCCUCUUAAUAUGUGUGUGUUGGAAGUCUCAUUAAUGAAGAAAAGAAUGCCACUACAUGGUGUCUUCUACUCUCGAUGCAUGUUUCUUCUCUGUUUUUCUACUCAAAAUCCUUUCUACCAAAACCUCUCGACCUCUCUAAAAAUCCCUAAUAUUAUCUAUUUUUUUUUUGGCUUUUUAAUCAUUCUUAUAUGAGAAUAUUUAGUCCUAAAAAUAACCCUUUUGGUUUUUUUAUUUUUCCAAAAUCCUAUAUUUUUCCCAUGCAAAAAUGCUUUGGAAAUCUAGUCUUACCCCCUUUCUUAUGCAACAACCCUUCAGAAAUCCUCCAUUUCUUCUUUUCCAAUCCUCUAUUUUCUUUUCUCUUCCCUUACCUUUCAAAUUCUGGUGGAUCAUGCCUAGUUGACUCCAUGCACAUGGAGAGGAUGACAUGUACUUAAAUGACCAUGCAAAGGUGGGACCCAAAAAAACAAACAAACUUAAGUGAUUGGUGAGGCGUAGCUGAGAUGUAGUUCCAAUAUUGACAAUGUUGCACUUUGACCUUUGCGAUACUAGUAGCUUGCCAUGGACGUUUUAUGGAAGUGGUAGUCCUCAAUUUCCAAUUUAUAGUAUUCAAGUCCCAUGCAAAAUAAAAUGAGGAUGUAAGUAGGAAUAAUGCAAUUUGAAAAUUAAACAUAAAAAUUAUGCAAUAAAAAAAAUUAAUAUGUCAAUUGCAUGUAUAUUUAAAAUCAAUGAUUAAUCACUCAUGUGCAAAAGAAAUCAAAGUGCGAAUCUCAUGCAAUAAUAAUAAUAAUAAUAAUAAUAAUAAUAAUAAUAAUAAUAAUAAUAAUAAUAAUAAUAAUAAUAAUGAAAAUAAAAUAAAUAAAUAAAAAGAUAUAAGAAAUAAAUAAAUAAAUAAAUAAAACACAGACAUAAAUAUCACGUUUGCAAUCCAAUGAAUUAAGAUGUUAAACGAACUUAAUAAACAAUAAUAAAAAAAUAAAAAUAAAAAUAAAUGAAUAGAUAAAAAUAAAAAUAUCAAACUUGUACAAAUCGAAGAUCGAAAAUUCAUCUCAUGCAAUCAAAGAUCUAAAAUCAAACCCAAGCUCACUUACACUUAAAAUCAAGUAAUCAAACUCAAAAACUAACCCAAGUAAAUUAAGCCUACAAAAGCAUCCAAGUGGAACCUAUCCUCAAAAAGAACUGAGUGAGGCCUAAACUUAGCUUGAUAGGCAACCAAGGGAUGGCUUCGAAUCAAUAGAGAAGUACAAGCAUACACCUAGUGUCAUAAGUGCUAAGUGGACAAAAUGAAGGGCUUACACACCAUUAAAGCUUUCUGGCAUUGGCAUCUAUAGCUAUCCGUGUUCACCUAUAGAAGUUUAGGCUGAUAGUUGAUAUUUAAUAUCAUAGAUCCUAACUAGACAAAUCAAUGAGACAUCAACUUCUAGUCAUAUCACCAGUUCCCUUCACAACUUGGGUCUGCAAUAUUCAAGUAAUGAGGAUUUAGCAACAACUACAACCACCAGCAGUACAGUCUCAAGUACACUCCUAGGCUUUAUUCUUACAUAGGCAUUUUGGUACACAUUACCUUUCUCCUAAUCAUUUUUGUUUUCCCUGUGAUCUUACACCUUUAAAAUUUGGAUUUCAACGAACCUUUUUCAUUAAAUAAUUCCAAUUUUCUUUAAAAAUUCCAUAAUUAGGAAUUUCUAAGCAUAAAAUCCAUAUUUCAACAAAUCUUUUGUUGCCACUUUCCUUUGUGGGUGCAUUUUCACUAUUUUAUUUUGUUUUCAACUAUUUUCAUGGUUUUGUUGAUUUUUAACAAGCAUGAAUAAACUUCUUGAUUCCAAACAAUGGAAUUCAUAGAAUUAACUCAUGCAAAAUUAAUUUGGGCUUUGGUGGGGCUUGACAUUCUUAACAUCUUCUUUGAUAAUGGUUCAAAUGAGGUAUUUGUUUGAUAUUUGAUUGAUUUUGAUUUAUUUCUGUGAUACAUGUGAUUGUUUUGCACAUGUUAUUGAGCUAACCCUGUUUCUAUAGAAGUGUUGAUGCUUGCUACCCAAGUACACUCUCUAUCACCUAUGUUCAGAAUUCUAUGAACAUAUAUGUUAUUAUGCGUUAUGUCCAUGUUUUAUAUUAUCUUUAGAUGUCUUGAUGUUUAUUUGAUUUGCUCGGAUAAAAAGCAUGUCGUGUAUCAUAUUUCUAAACUAACUUUGAUGUCUUGUGAUAGCGCUUGAGAAGCAGUCCAGGUACACAUCCUAACUCUUCUUUAUGUUUGUGAUUGACUUCCUUCUUUGGCAUGCUAACUUUGAAAUCAUCUUAGUCUAACUAGGUACCUUUAAUUAAAUGAUUAAUAGUCAUAUUCCCCUUAACUUAGCCAGUAGAGGCCUUUUUAGGGCUUAAAAGGGUACUACAUCAUUGAGGUACCUUCCCAAUAGGUAACCUGAUCCCUAAACCUCAUCACGGGUUUUUCAAAAACAUAUUUUUUCAAAACUAUGGAGUCACUUUUUUUAGCUGCAUGGAAAUUUAGAACUCAAAAAUCUGAUGACAUUAUAUACUCUGACUUUGAGGACAAAUUUGGAGCACUUUCUGGAGUCUAUUAUAUACAUACUAUAUAUCGUUUCGAAGCUCGGGAAGUCAGGAGUCCAACGCUUCAAACGGUUUGCAAAUCGAAGCUAAAAUGAAGAAGUUAUGGCCAUUUGAAGACAACUGCACCAAGCUGGAGGGUCAUUUCGAAAUGAUUUCGAAAUUCAACUUAUGAUUUCGAAAUUCAACUUAUGAAUUCGAAAUCCACUUCGAAAUGACACCAAUUUCGAAUUCACCCACUGCCACUUUGAUGUUCCGCCUCCUCUACCUCGGGAAUUGCAUCUAAAGCACUCCAUCCGCCCUAGGUGGACCCCACACGACUAGAAAUCACCAUUUCAUUAUUUUUUAAUCAUUUUUAGGAAAUUAUUUUGUAAUAAGUGGCCAAUGAGAGUGUGCCACAUGUUAGGUAAUUGAGGAUAUUAUAUAAACUCUCUCAAUUCUAGGUUUUGGGGAUCUUGGAUUUUUUCUGGAGAGUUUGACAUUGAAGGUGGAAGAAGACGAGAACUUUGGUUUGUUUUCUUUUUCUUCUUUAUUAAAUAUAUUGUUUUUAGUUUCUUUUGAUUCAAAUUAUGGAUUUUUACCCUAUUAUGGAUUGUGAAUGUGACAUCACCCCCAUGAGAGGCUAAGAGCCGACUUGGGGCUUGAAGCAUGAAAACCUAAGGGCUAGGAAACCUAUAGGGACAAUGGGUAAAUUAUUAUAACAAUGAGAUUAAUUAUUGGUUGAGUGACAAUUUAUCAAUUUUUUUUAUCCUAUCCUUGUGAGUUCGUUUAGGGAAUGAUACGGUAGGUUAUUACUUGAUACUAGUGAUUCUUGGUAAAUCUUGAUCAUUAGUUAUCCUCAUCUUACCUACCGUUAUUUACCCCUAAACAAAGCUAUAAGGAGUGGGAAUAGUUAAAAAUCCAAAUCUUAAAUUGAUAAUCAAUCUCAUUCAUUUGAUGGUUUUAGGAAUCUGUUUUAAAAAUGAAAAAUUAGGUUUCGGAUGCAAUUUUGAGUUAUAGAACUCAACUUGAUCGCGAGUGGUCAAGGAUCCCAAAACCCUAAGAUCAUAUUACUUAAAAUACCCUUGUUUUCUAUAAUUUCUACACCUUAGGUUGGAUUGUGGAAAACCCCAAACUUGAAUCAAUUGAAUUUAAAAUCAAUAUUCAUUUUCUCUUAUUAAUUUAAUUUCUUUUACUUAGUUUCACAUUAUUCACAUAUUGUUUUUCACUUAAGGAUUUAAACAAAAACAAUUCAUUUAUUCUAGUAUUGACAAUUUUCAUAAGCCAGUCCUUGAGAACGAUACCCGGAAUACUACAAAAGCCGUAGUGACUCUUUCUCUAGUUUUUCUUGACCAGAGUUACUACGUAAAAAGGCUAAGUAUUUUGGUACAAUAGAGAAAUUUCGGUCACCCGCCCCAAUUAGGAUGGGUAUGAGAGCAUAGUAAUCGGGGAUGGGACAGGUUUGGACUUAAUUUUUAAAACUCAAAUCGAGUUCAGGGCGGGUUCGGGUUUUGUAAUAAUCUGCCCUGCCCCGGAUAUAAAAUUACAAGUUUACCCUUUAUAUCUUACAAAAUACUAAAAAAACUCCACCUAUAAAUAUUUGUUUCUUGUCUCUUCCUUAGGGUUACUCACCUUUAACACAAAAAUCUCUCAUUCUCAUUGUUUUCAAACGUCUAGCUCUCAGAUUGAUUUUCCCAACUCAAAAAAUUUCUAUCUCACAUUUUGAGCCGUUAGGGGAGAAAAGAGAUAGGGCUCACAGCUUGUGGAGAAGACAAUCCCUCUAGCUUCAUUUUAUGCCUUCUUGAAACACGAAGAAAAUGAAGUCGAAGCUCACCUAGAGUACCAAAAUCCGAGGUCUAAAGGCUUUGGUUUUUGUUUGGAUUUCUUGUUUUUAGGUUAAAAAAAACCCUUAAAUUUCUAGGUUUUAUUUGCUCGAAUUCCUUUUUCUUGUUCUUGCCUAAAAUAUCCAUGUAAUUUGUUAUUGUCAAAGCCAAACCGAUUUGAUUUAGUGGCUUCACAUGCAUGAAAACAAUGAAUGAUUUUAAGAUUUUUAUCUCCCUUUUAUCAACUCAUUAAUUGUAAAAAAAAAAAAAAAUUCUUUGCUUUAACCCUAGUUUGAAAUUUGUAAUCAAUAUUUCUGAUAAUUUUUAUUUUUGUAUUUAUUUUCAAAUUUUCCAUUUCACAUAGAUUUCGUUUAAGUGCUAUUUAGAAUUUAACAACUCCAUAAUCCGUAAUCAUUUUUUUUUUCAUUUUUUUCUCUAUGUUCUGUUUGAUUUCCAAGAAAGUGUGGGAAAAGAAUAGAAAUGAAUUGAAAAUUAGAAUCAUAGAUUUUUAUUUUAUAUUUUUAUGGUCUAUUUUUGUGGUAAUAGAGGCUUAUUUAUAUAGGGUUUACUUGGGUUGGUUUGAAUGUAAAUAGGAUCCUCUUAUUUGUUUGAAUGUUUUAAUUAUAGGAUUUAUUUCAUUAUAAGAAAAAUGACAUCAGAAAAAUGGGAAAACUUUUCCAUACCAAGUGCGGGUUCAAAUCCAAUUACGGUUAGUACUUCAACUACUGAUAGAACAUUGGGAUCUAAAAGAAGAAAACUGACUUUGGUUGUUUGUAAUGAUUUUGAUAAAGUCAUAGAAGAUGGACAAGAUUAUGCUAUUUGUAAGCAUUGUAAAGGAAAACUCAAGGCCAAUAGCAAGAAUGGAACAAAACAUUUACAUGUACACAUAGAUAGGUGCAUGAAAUGAAGAAAUGUUGAUAUUAGGCAACAAUUAUUAGCAGUAGAGAGAAAAGGUCAUGGAAAAGUUCAAAUUGGUGGUUUUACUUUUGAUCAAGAUAUUUCAAGAGAGAAGCUUGCACGUGUAAUUAUAUUGCAUGAGUACCCGCUUUCAAUAGUUGACCAUGUGGGGUUUAGAGAUUUUGCUACUAGUCUCCAACCUUUGUUUAAGAUGGUUUCCUGUAAUACAAUUAAGGAUGACAUAAUGAAGAUUUAUGAGGUUGAGAAAGAGAAAAUGAUUAGCUACUUGGAGAUACUUAAAAGUAGAAUUGCAAUCACAACUGAUAUGUGGACAUCAAAUAAAAACAAAGGCUACAUGGCUAUCACCGUACAUUACACGUAUGAGUCUUGCUUAUUGCAACAUCAUAUUGUAAGGUUAGCUAUGUUUUUUUUUCUUUUUUUAACUUCCUAAGUUUUUUUUAUUUGAUCAUUUAGUGAUAUCACUUUGUAUUAAUUAUAUGUUUUUUUAUAUAUAUUUUUAAUGUAGGUUUGUUUAUAUGCCUCCUCCACACACAAAAAAAGUUCUUUUAGAUGUGUUAAUGGAUUUCUUGUUAGAUUGGAAUAUGGAUAGAAAAAUAUCUACAAUUACUGUGGAUAAUUGCUCAAGUAAUGACAUAAUGAUUGAUAUUCUUAUAGAGAAAUUGUCUUUGAGGGGUUCAUUUUUGCUGAAUGGAAAAAAUUUUCAUAUGCGAUGUGCGACACAUGUCUUGAACUUAAUUGUGAAGGAAGGUUUGGACGUCAUCGAAAAAAAAUUGAAAAUAUUCGUGAUAGUGUUGCAUAUUGGUCGACAACACCAUCAAGAGUUGAAAAGUUUGAAGAUGCAGAUCACCAAUUACCUAUUCCAUGUAAUAAGAAGUUAACUCUUGAUUGUAGAACAAGAUGGAAUUCUACAUACUUGAUGUUAUCAAUAACUAUAACAUAUACAUAUGUGUUCCCACGUUUGAAGCAACAUGAAAAACACUAUAUGGUUGUGCCAUUAGAAGAAAGAAUGGAAUAUGGCAAAAGAAAUAUGUGGAAGAUUGAAAUUGUUUUACAACAUAACGGAGUUUUCUCAAGGCAAAAUUAUCCUAUUGCAAAUAUUUUCUUCAUCAAAGUUUGUGAGAUUAAAAAGGCAUUGUAUUAUUGGUUGAUCUGCGUAAAUGAUGUUGUGAAAACGAUGACAUCAAGUAUGUUGCAAAAGUUUGGCAAGUAUUAGAGUGGGUGUCAUAUUGUGAUGGCAAUAGCAACUAUAUUUGACCUAAGCUACAAAAUGAAGAUUUUAGAGUUUUACUUCCCAAUAAUGUACAGGUGCUUCAAAUGAGAUAGAAAAAAAUUCGUGGAAUGUGUUAUGAGUUGCUUUCUGAGUACCAAUCAAAGUCUAAGUUGGGGUAAGAAACUGCAUCCUAUGGUACUUCAUGAGGUUCAACUCUUUCAGUGUUCAACUAUGAUGAACAAGAUCCUCUUUCAAAGUUUGACUUAUUUGUUCAUAGUACUAUAGAGAAAGUCAUGCAAAGUCGGAGUUGGAUUAUUACUUAAAAGAGUCUAUUCUGCUAAGGACUUUAGAUUUUGAUGUUUUAAGUUGGUGGAAGAAAAAUGAUAUAAAGUAUCCAACUUUGUAAAUGAUUGUUCGAGAUAUCUAUGCUAUUCCGGUAUCUACAGUUGCAUCAGAGUCGACCUUUAGCACUUGUGGUAGGAUGGUAUCAAAACAUCGCAGUAGGCUUCAUCCAGAUACUUUGGAGGCCUUAAUGUGUGCUCAAAGUUGGUUAUGGAAAGAAAUGGAAGGUAACCAAUUUACAAAAUUAUUAAUUUUAUGAAUGGUUUUGUAUUAAAAUAUUUAGUAAAGUGACUUGUAUGUUUUUGGGUGUUUAUUUUUUUUUAUUAGGUGAUUCUUCGAUUCAUAGUCACAGCUCCAACUCACAAUUAUAGAUGAAGAUGAUGAUUCACUCGUGCUUUAGGUUUUUUACUUGAGAUUAUGUUAGAGACAUAUUUUGGGAUGUUAACAUUAUCUUUGUAAUGUCUUUUUUUUUUUCUUCAUUUUCAAUGUUGUUAAGUUUAUGGAUAUCUUUUAAUUUUGGAUGUUGUAUUUUAGGAUGUCCUAUAUGUUGAAUUGUUAAUCACUACCAAUAUUAAUUAGACUAGUUUUAUAAGUGCAAUGGUUGCAAAUGUUGCUUUUACCUACAAAAGUUUAUAUUUAAAAAGCAAUGGUAAGAUAUUUCUUGAAGAAUGCAAUGAUAAGAAUGUAUACAAUCUUUUUAAACUGAAUUCUUUCUAAGAAUGUAGCCUUAAUUUAGUCUUGUUUAUGCAAUAGGUACCAUGGAAUCUGGCACUGGUUUAGCUCCAUGAAGUACCUUGAUGUUUCAUUUAUGGCUCUUUCUACUGCUGGUCAAUCUUAUUCACGUUAAUCCUAUACCAUACUGGUAAGUUUUUUCUCUACUUUUUGUUCGCUUUAUUGGGAUGAUUAUGGAAAUGCAUAUCAUGUCAUGAGAUAUUGGGGAGUAUAUUCUGACUGUUGGUUAACUACAUGUCACUGCAGAUUUUUAAGAAGAACCCAACCAUAGUAAAGAAUUAUGGGAUUUGACACUACUUUGAAUGGUGUUGUUGAGCAAAUGCACACUGAGAUGACUUCAUUUUUCAUGCUUAUAAUCUGCACAUCAGCAUUGUUUAGGUCCAGUUCAAUCUUUGUUGUCCUGUUUAGGCCACAUAUAUUACAAUGAUAAUAAGAAGAACAAAAUGACAUGGGGUUGUGAAAAAACUCAUGAGUUUUAUGAACUUUUCUUUUCUUUUCCAAAUUUAUAAGUAUUUAAAUUUUGCAAGUAUGACAAGUCUAUGAAGCCAAAGGCGUGAAAUCCAAAUGUGAAGCCAAAGGUGUGGAAUUGGACACCGGUAAAAAUGUUGGAUUGCAAUGUUGGAUAUUAUAUGAUACUGCCCAUAUUCUGAUGUUGGAUUGCAAUGUUGAUGUUUUUGUUUUUGUUUGAGCUAAAGAAAAGAAAAAGAUGGCUACUAAUAGAGCUAUUAGCUUAGAAGAAACCAAGAAUGAGACAAUUGAUUUUAUAAGUGCUUUCUUUUAUUUUCUUCUUUUGUUUUCUUUUAUUCUUUUAUAAUUUUUUUUCCUGGGUUCUGAAAUAAAAAAUGUUGGUUUAGUUGAAAAUUGCUUCAUUGAAUUGAUCACAUAAUUCUUAUAUUUUUUCUAUUUGAAAUGUGUUUUUUUUUUUAUAAAUAAACACAUGAUUUUCUUUAUAUUUUCUAAAUUGUGGUAGUUUCAAAGUUGGUGGUGAAUGACCACAUUUGUUCAUGAACACUAAAACUGUUUCUCAAUUUUAUUUUACUUUGUUUGGCUCAUGCUGGUCAUGGUUUUGUGACUUAUAGCUUGCUGGUAUAUGGUCUAGUUAUUGAUAUUUGUAGAGUGAAAAUGAUUCUUUGUGGCCAUUUCUAUAAUUCAAAACUGUUGCAAGCUAAUGGGUACAUAAAACUUUUUAGAAAAUUCCAUGUCAUUCCAUUUCCCCCAUUUUCAUUUCCUGCUGUUAACCAUUUGCAUAAUUAUUUCCCUUACCUUUUAACAAGUUAGAUAUGCUUGUUUCCAGCUUGAAGAUGAUGUCAUACCAAAGAGCUUUCCAGUAAGUUUCUAAUAGUUAAGCUAGAAGCAGCACUAGUACUAUCCGCUUAUUCAAAUAGAAACAUUUUGACUUGUUUAAUUUUGCUUCUUAUAUUCAAUUUUCUUUUAUUAAUGGUGUCAUGUUUUCUGCUUUUGAUUUUGAAGGUUUGUGAUGAUCGCCAUUUUGAAUUAAUUCCCUGUCUAGAUAGCAAUCACUUUGAUGACUGGUUGUCAACUUAUGAGUUGGAAAGUGUCGAUGAUUACCCUUUCAAUUGACAUUUGGUUCUGCAAACUUAAGUUUGAUUUUGGAAAUCUUGGUUUUGUACAAGAGUUCCUUUUUAUGAACCUGGGAUCUAUGGAAUUUAUAUUUGAUUCCAAACCCAUUGGUACCUUAUGGCAACUAACAAUGAAAUAGGAAUUACAACUCCAAAGGUCUUGUUCUAUUAAUCAAACACGGGUUAAUUGUCACAGACUUAUUAUGAUGGCCCCUUGUCUUUAGUCCCUACAGAGUCAUUUGAGACAAACUCAAAACUCUAUUUCAAUAAUGUCAUACAACACUUUAUGUAGGAUCGUUAGCUUUGUAUAGAUGCUUACUUACAGAAGCAAUUAGGCAUUAGACUGGAAUAUAUUUGUCAUGUUAAUUAGAAAUUGUUUUUUAUUUCUUUUAUUUGAUAGAAAAAUUGGGUAAAAAUAUUAAUAUUUGUUAAAGAUUUUUCGUAUGUAUACUAUAUUUUUGCUAUUCCUUUGUGGCCUGGUUAGAUUGGAAUUGACUAUAUUUUUCCUCUUAUUAUAUUUCCUGUGUGGUUGGAAGAAUACAAUAUUUCCCUUAAUUUUGUGGUUAUGAUGCAACAACAAUUGAUUGCAAGACACUAUAUGAUUUCUUUGUGGAAGGAUUUUAAUUUGGUUAGAUUUCAUGGGUUACCCAACAUGCAUAAAAAAAUCAUUUGGAUGUUUUGCUGAAAAUGCAUAUUCAAGAGCUUGUUUUACUAUUGCUUAUAAUGCUUGUAUGCUUUGCAAAUUUCUUUGAUAGUUUUUGGGUUGAAUUUUUUUAGGGUUUGGUUUUGAUACAUCUUAAAGGUAUUCAUACUUUUAUCUAUUGGAACUGAUACCUUGUAAAAGCAUGAUAUACAGGCUUAUUUUGGAUUGUGAAUUUGACAUUAAAAAAAAAAAAAAAAAAUCUUAUUGGUUUUUACUAUUGGCAAUUUCAGCUAUGGGACCCUCAUUCUAAUCCCCAUUUGUUGACUUGAAAGUGAGAAGUUUUAUUUGGGAAGUUUUUAAACUGAACAAUGAGAGAAAGAUCAGAUGGAUCACAAAGAAGACUGUGUGCAUGGUGGCAAUUUUUCUUGUGUUCCUAUAUGUGUAUCAUGGAUCCAUUUCUGGCUCUUAAAAGACUUUAGAGUAUGACAACAUAUCUUUGAGAAAACUUAGUCUAACUGGGGAUGAAGAUGCUGAUCUUGGCAACAAUCUAGUAGGGGAUAAAAUGCCAUUUCUUAAUGUUAUCUGAAAUAUGUAUUAUAAUAAAUAUGUGAAAAAUGAAUUUAAUAGAAUUGUCAGAAUUUGAGUUUCUUUUAGAGCAACCCAACCCAACAUUUCUCUGGACAUCAUUUUCUUAUACAACAACCCAGCCCAACCUCGCCUCAUUUCGGCCCAGCCUAGGCUGGCCUACCCCAAAAACACAUACACGGGUCAGGACGGGCUGGGGAUAGGAUUUCAAUGGUUAUUUGAAAACGGGAACGGAACCACGAACCCCAUCCCGUCCUAGGUUUGGGACGAGGAUGGAAAAUAGUUAUAUAUUUUGGGACGAGAAUGGGAUAGAGGGAGCCCAUCCCAAACCCGCCCUAUCACCAUCUCUAGGUGAUGACCACCUUGCAUGGAAGCACCCCGUUUUCCCGGAGGCUUGUAGACAGUUGCGUAUCGCCGAAGGGUAUGAUCACUUCUGUUAGGGAUUCUUUAACCCACCUGAUUUGUCUUAUAGAGCCACUUUGGUCUUGUAGGCUACCUUAGACCCAAUUAAGAUUUCACUCCUACACGUGGGUGCAUCUAUGGACCUUCAAAGCUGCCUUAGUCACAAUUGGGUUUAGCUACCCUUUCCAUAAUCUCUUUUUGUUGUGCUCAAAGAUUGCUACAUGUUUGAGUUUCAUUUGGGCCACCUAUUUGCAUCGUGAUUAGUGCAUUUCCAUAUCUUCGGAGCUCCCUUCAUGUUAUUUCUCUUGUACCUUAUAGGAGUGUUAUUUGUUUUGGUGUGGGUUUGAUUUUUUAGAUUAGAGUUAGAGAUAGAUUGAUCAAGGUUUUAGAGUAAUCAGAUAUGAUUCCUCAGCAUGUUACAGUUGCCAUGAUUUCUAUUCAGGAUGUACUGUUAGGUUUAAGCCAGAGGAUUGAUGGAUAGCAAGAUAGAUAGCCAGAGUUCAGGAUAAGAUGUUGUAUGAUUCAUUGGCGCCCACCCUCACCACGUAGCCAAUCAAUGAUAUUGUUGAAGAUGACAUUGUACGUAUGAUGAGAUUAGUGGAUAUUGAGCCAAAGCCUGUUAUAUCAAAUGAGAGUUCUUGUGGAGGAUGUUAGUUUUCUCUCUAAGAUGGCAGAUUUGAUUGACAUGGUUUUCUUCAUCAUGAGCCUGAGAUGGAUGUAUGGGAUGACAUUUAAAUGGUCAACAAAAAUUAGCCAGAGAUAGUUCAUUCUCUUGAUAUGUUUGAGGUCAUUGUUAUCGAGAGUUUAGAGAAGUUUAGUUUGUUUCUGCUUUAGAGUUGCUAGGGCAUCCUGCCUAUGUUGAUGAUAUGUUUAAGGGCGAUGUGAGCCCAAUUAUGGUCAUGGAGAUUCAUCUAUUCUAGGAGGUCUUAGAGGCCUACUUGCAAUACAACACAUGUCAUUAGAGAGUUGAUCCUAGAAAGGAAUUAUGAUUGACAUAUCUAGAUGGAGACCAGUUCAUAGACCCAACUAGCGUAGGUCAGUUGAAGAAGUAUUACAUUUGAGAAUACGUUCGUAGGAUGGGUGGCCAUCAUUUUAGUUAGCCUUAUAUUUUAUUAUCCUUAUUGAUAUUUAGACCAUUGUUAGCCCAUUGAGCCUCGUCUGGUACAUUAUGACCUUUUAUUUCUUAUAGCCUUGCUUACCUUCUCUAUACCAGGGUUAGGGCCCUUUGAUGUAUAUGUAUGCUUUGCUAGGAAAGUCUCAUAAGCUUUGGACUUAUAGGCCUAUUUUCUCAUCCUUAUUACCAUCUCUUUGUCACCUCAUUUGUUGUAUUGUACUAUUAUCGUGUUUUCAUUUUCUUCCUCACUCUUAUCAUUAUUUGCUUCAUUUUAUCUCUUAUCUUUCUUGGAUUGAUGAUUCUUCACAUCUUGGUAUAAAAAGGGUAGUCAUAUCACUCCCUUUAUCGCAUCAUUUGGCAUUGAUUAAGAGAUGUUAACUAGAGAGGUUAUCUCAUAGGUGGGGGUUCACAUUCUCAUUAGUGAUUGGGGAGAGUUUGCCCAUUCCUUGUAUAUUUUAUCAUUAGGGUAUGAUUCAUUGAUGGUUAGAGUAUGCACAUUCAUUCACUCAUUCAAAAAAAAAAAAAAACAAAAGACAAAAAAGAAAGAAAGAAAGAAAGAAAGUGCAUUGAUAUGUUUAUAUAUGAUCUCUUAUUCAUUUGGGCACUUAUAUCACUUUUUGAGGACCGUUUAUUGGGUAUAUUUAUCAUUGAGGGUUCUUAUGAGAUUUCUAUGAGAGUUGUUGCUUCUUGCUUCUUGAGAUUUCUAUGCAUUUGGAGUGUUCGGAUAUCAUGUGAGAGUUCUUUGAGAUCCUUCUCUUUUUGGAUCAUGGUUGAGAUGUAUUAUGGGUGGGAGAGAUGAGUGACUUCUUACUAAGGUCUCUAGAUCAUUGUUUUCUCUACCAUUAGUGAUAUGACUCUUCCUUCAUUGCAUUGAUAUGGGUUGAUCAUCAUUCAUUUUUAUUUCUCUAUGGCUUUCUAUGUUUUUCCAUGACUUUUUUUCUUGAUAUUGAUCCUGCCUUUUAUUCAUUUCUUAUAUCGAUACACAUUUUUGAUUCGAUACCUUGUUCACAUUAUUCUCAUACUUUAUUGAUAGUUUAACCACCUCUCAUUUUUCUUUUUUUACCAUCGACAUUUCCUUUGGUUACUUUUAGGUUUAUGGCUCAUGAGAUUUUUUCCACACAUUACAUCUUAUACACGAGGGUAUAAGUUUGAUUAUUGGGUAUUUGAGCCUAGUUUCCCUUUAUUUCUUUACCUUAUCACCCUGGCCUACGUUAUGUCUUGUGUCUUAAGACCACCCUAAGGCCAUGAGAUCAGGCGUUAUAUUUGGCAGCCUUUACUUAAGCUGGUGUUUGGGAUUUGGUUGAUAUGUAGACGUCGUCUUGUUUCUUCUUCUGGGAUAUGCUUCUUUGAUGCUUGGAGGUGAUUUAGUGAUGGAUGUAGACGAUCGCUUCAUGUUAUGGAGGAUAUUUGAUGUUUUCUGAUUUCCCUCUACUAUGCAUUAGCUAUCAUACUGGGGCAUAUCCCUCAUUUGAUGAGAUUGACAGAUUGUUAUUGGUUCACAUGGUCACUUUGUUUAUGAUGAUAGAUGUAGAUUUGAUAGUGUGGUUUCGUUAUGAUUCUCUAGUGGAGUUUCUCCCGAGUCAUUGAUCACACUCAUACUUUUCGAUAUCCUCAUUAUUCUUAAUGGAUCUAACUUAGUGAGACAUGUUUUCAUCCAUAUUCUUAAUGGAGUAGAUUAGUAUGAUGAUUUUUUAUUCUUGGCGGGCUUUGCUUUUGAGCUAGCAUGGUGGGUCAUUUCACAUAUACCUUUUGAGUUGGUUGUCUCAUCCUCGAAUAUAGAGAUGAUGGGUUAGUGUCAUUUGAGGUACCUUAUGACCUUGCAUCAUUUGCUAUACUAGGACAUAUUCCUCUUUCAUUUGGUUGAGAUGAGCCCCUAGUGGAGCACUUUCUUUGAGCUUGGGCAUUUUCACCGAUUAGAGAUUCCUAUUGGAGUAUGUUGAGAUGAUAUUAGUUAUAAUGGAGCAUUGCUGAGCUCAUUGAUAGUUUUCAUGAUUCUGGGUUCCAUUUAUGAAGUACUUCUGAGAUAGACUAGUGGAUUAUUACUGAGUUGGAGAAAGUUUUUAGUGCAGUGUAUAUAUCCUGUAUAUUGGGGCAUAUUUCCCCAUUUCGAGGUUACCGGAUUCUUGUUAGAUUCAGUUAGGGAUUCAUUACAGAAGUGUUUCUACUCUUGAGAUUAUCACAUCCCUCAUCAUUUUGGUUAUUCAUUUGAGAUUAGAUUUAGAGUGUCUCCCUUGAGACAUUGGCAGAUACUUCAUUCUGACUUCAUAGUGGAUUAUUAUUGAGUUGGAGAUAGUUGAUUGAUGAUGUUGGAUUCAUCAUUUUGUUGUGCAUCAAAUAUCCACACUAGGGCAUAUUUUCCCCUUUCUCUGAGAUUCCUAGUUACUGAUUGGGUUGUAUGGCUAUCCUUACUCAUGGUUACAGAGAUGUUUGAUUGAUGUUGACAGGUUCUUUAUCGUGCAUCAGAUAUCCAUAUCGAGGCAUAUUCCCCUCUCCUUGAUGAGUUUUGUUUGGGAAGUGGUACGAGGAUGGAUGAUUAGUGUUAGUUGUUUACCUCAUGACUUUGACAUCAGAUCUUAUACUGGGACAUAUUUCCCCAUUUUCUUUUAGUAUCUUUGAGAUUGAGAUAGUGGCUUGUUUGGUUUCAGAUUGAGUGCUAGCUUUGGACUUUCGAUGAUUUAUGAUAUCAGGGCUUUCUCACAUGGUUUUAUUGAGAUAGAGAUAGAUUGCAUCGGGUUUUAUCCACUGGACUGAUGGAUUCUUCUGUGGAGUGUUUAUGAGAUAGAUUGUUAUUGCUAUAAUUGUUCCACAGAUUGGGUUAUCCAAAUGAGCAGUAUUUUGUGCACUUUGAGCUUCCUUUUUAGAUGAGUUGUGGUGUACACACUUCGAGAUUUAUCUUUUGAGAUUCGUCGAUAGAGUAGCUUUUGAGACACAAAGAGUUCUUUUAGUUCAGAUUUUUCAGAGGUUUUUGUCAUGAUGCAUCGAUUUUUGACCCAUUAAUUUCAGUAGAUGAUUGAUUUACUGGUUGUUUCAGCAAUGUGAGUACCUCGGAUACUAGGGCAUAUUCCUCCUCUCAAGCCCAAUAGUGAAAUCCUUGGCAUUUAGAGUCUACAACUUUGACCCCUUUUAUUCCCUAUUAAUUUUUGAGUUAGCCUUCUUUAUCAGUUUCUUUUAAGUCUUAAGCCUUGUCGCUUUGAGCCAUCAUUUCCUUCUAGGCCUUGAGCCUCGUAGCCCUAAGCUAUCUUCUUCUCUUAGGCCUUAAGCCACGCUGCCUUGAGCCAUCAUUUCGUUUUAAGCCCUAAGCCUCGUAGCUUUCAGAUAUCUUUCUUCUCUUAGACCCCAAGUCUCGUAACCCUAAGCUAUCCAUUCUUUCUAAGCCCUGAGCUUGGUAGCCCUAAGUUAUUCUCCUUCCCUUAAGCCUUGAGCCUUGUCGCCUCGAGCUAUCAUUUCUUUAGGCCCAAAGCCUUUCCAACCUGAGUUGAGCCUUUAUCAUUUGGUUGUCCAUGAGUGGUUUGACCUAGAGUUUACGUAUCACACUCUCCUUCUAGUUGAUUAGUCAUAAAGCUCGGAACUCAUAGCCCCAAGUUGUUCACAGAGCCCUAAGUAAUUCAUGGCAUUUUGGAGUCCUGAGCUCACAACCCGAAGUUGUUCAUAUCCUUUACAUUCCUAAGAUGUUUUGUUUUCAUCAUUCUAGCCACUCAUGAGUGGUCUUGACUCAACACAUGAGUCGGAAAGCAUCUUGAUCAACUAUCUAUUUAAAGCCUCGAGCUUGCAACCUAGUAUCGUUCUUCUCAUUCGUGACCUUGAGUUAUUCAUAGCAUUUAGAGCCUUGAGCUCAUGACCUAGUGUCAUUCACCUAUUUCAUGACUCGGAGUCAUUCAUCUUGUCUUUGACCCAGAGUCAUUCAUCUCGUCCUUAACCCAAAGUAAUUCAUCUCGUCCUUAACCCAGAGUCUUUCAUCUCGUCCUUGACCUAGAGUCAUUCAUAGCAUUUAAAGCCCUGAGUUCCCGACCUAGAGUCAUUUAUCUCACCUUUGACCCAAAGUCAUUCAUAACAUUUAGAGUUUAGAGCUUCUGAACUGAAGUCAUUUGUAGCAUGUCAACCCAGAGUUGUUUAUCCUAUUUCUGACCCAAAGUUGUACAUCUUAUCCGUGACCCAGAGUUGUCCGUUUUCAUUUAUGACUUAGAGUUGUUCUUUCCACCUUUUUCUAUCCUGUGCUACUCAUCACGUACUUUUCCCCUUUUAUUGUCAUUUUUUCCCAUAGAGUUGUUCCAUCUUUGUUGUUGCAACCUCGUGGUCCGAGCUUACCCUUGUCAUGUGUUAGGAUAAAAUUUUUGGUCAUUUUUAGUUCUUCGCUAUAGUUCACUUCGUUCCACUUAUUACUCAUAUUUCUACUCAUAUUCCUUACACUUGUGAUUUCUACUGAGUAGGGGCAUAUUUGUAGACCCUCCAUUUUGUCUCUUUAACACAUGUCUUUAAGUGCUCUUUUAGUACUUACAGUAGUUCCUUGGUGGCCUGUUGCUACUCAUACAACUUACCUUUUUUGAGCCACCUUGGAGACUUUGGUUAAAGGAUUUAUUUAGGCCCCCAUUGUGACCUUGGUAGCCCUUCGAGUUUAAGUUAGGCUUCACUUGAGUGCACUUUAGGUUAGAUUCCACUUAGUUCACCCUAGGACACUUAGACACACCUUAGGUCACCUUUAGGCGUUUUUACAUGGUUGCAUGGCUCGUAUUUUUGCAUGGCUCUUAUGGUUUGAAUGUGGUUGAUUUUUAUUUUUUUAGUUGCAUGAUUUUAAUUUCUUUUGAUUUUCAAUUUCAUGAUAUUUAUUGAUUUUAAUCUUUAUUUUAUUUCUUGCAUGAGGAAAAAAACUACUAGUUAUUUGGAAAGAGGAUCACCAAAAUUUUUGACAAAGAAAAGUCCACAACUGCAAAUGGAGUGCAAUAUUGAGGAUAUUCACGCACUAAAGGGAUCCUGGUUUUAGAAGGAAAAAGAUUUGGAUGGGAAGGUGGAAUUCUCCAGACCUGUGGCUGCCAUGUGAAGUAUUCUCUUUAAGAAAGAAAGGCAUGACUGAAGCACAAGAAGAAGAGAUUCUUGAAAGAUACAAUAGACUUAUCAUAUGGGAUUCAUGCACCUUUAAAAGAAGGAUAGCAGGCUGGCAAGGGUUCUUUCUUCAACAGAGAGGGUCAAUAACAAGUGAAAAAGGAAUGGAUUCUCUUUAUCCGAAUAAAAAAGAGAUUCAGAUUUUUUUUUAGGGCAAAGCAGACGACAUACAUCCUUGGGGGAGAAGAUAGAAUUGAAGAGCAGAGGUUUUGGAAGAGAACAAGGGAGAGGAGCAGAAGGUUUUGGUUUUCGUGAGAAGAAGGCUAGGGUAGGGAAAAAAACGAGAAAAGAGGAAUAAAAGGCAUGAAAUUUUGAAGAUGAGUAAAUCUUGCUCGAGAGGAAAGACCCCAGGUAUGACCAUUGUGAUAUGCAUAUUAUUAUUUAUUAUUUAUUAUUAUUAUUAUUAUUUCUUCACACUAUUUCGCUUGAUUUCUAGGAUUGGUUUUCAUAUGCCUAUGCUGUCAGUUCUACUCUUGUCUUACUUAGUUUGACUUGAGAGGGGCGAGACUAUAUCAUAUUCAUUGUAGGUGUGUCUAGAGAUAUUGACUACAUUUUCUUUGCUUUGUUUAUGUCUGGUUUUUUUUCACUAGGCCAAGCCCAUUGAUCUCAGCAUGAGAUGGGACUUGGUUGAUAGUUCUUAGUUGGUUUUAUCCUCUGUUUCUAUUUUACUCUUCUCUGUUUAUUGCUUAGUUUUUGGCGGGCAGUGGUGAUAUUGUUAAUGUCCAAAUUUCCAGGACUGAAUAAGUGAGGUUGUGGAGGAAAAUGAACUCGAUGUGAGGUUCCUAUUUUUGCAUCUAUGCUCCAAUCUAUUAGUUCAAAACAUGGGUCACAAAAUUGCGUUGGAGUCUUGCAUUUGGGAUUGCUUUGUAUCUGGGUUUAAUAAGCUAUAUAUUGUAGAAAAGAUGAGACUCUGAGCAUUUAGGUUGGUCAAUCUGGUCAAUACAUUGGUAUGAUUAAUCUUGGUGGAAGAAGUUGGCUUUGAGAUAGAGCUAGAAAAAGAAACCAGAAUAGAGAAGAAGCAGAGGAAGUUGAGGUAUUUUCUUGAUGGUCUUUAUCGGAUAAGAAUCUCGCAGGUUGAUGAUAUGAUCAGAGAAUAAAAACCGCUGUUGGAAUGGAGUUAAUUUCGUUUGAAGGCGAUACACUUCAGGAACCAUGUGAAGGUAGGCUAUUUGCACAGAAUGAGCAAGUCUUUCUUCUUGAUGAGUGCUUUUUCGAGAUCUUUAGACGGUUGGCCUGAAAGCUAAGAUGAUAUACUUUGUUUUCCUGACACUUGAAGACAUUUUACCUUUAAUAUGCCUGAAUCUGGGGUUAUGAGUAAUCGAUGAUCAUUAGAAGGAGCAUUAGUGCUUGUUACGGGAAUUUCUAGAACUGACCCCGAUAGUUGUUGGAUUUUUUGCUUAUGAGUUGGCUCUGAACAAAAUCUCAUUCCAAUAGUUUGGAUAACAGAUUCUAAAGCACUAAUUUUUCUAGUUCUCGAAAACCAUUGAAAUGUUCAUAGUAAGAACCGUGAUUUUGGAGAGAAAAUGUAGAGAAGACCAUGAAAGCGUCUAACUUCACUUAUGAUGAACCAAAGAAGAAGAUUGUCGAUUGAUCUUGUUUUCUCCAAAACCCAUUACCCAGUUUGAGGUUGUUGCAAUUAAGCUUUGGAAAGUUUGCAAAAGAUUUGGAACUAGAAGUAACCUUGCAGAUUAUGCAAUUGUAGUUGAAAAAGCUCUUGGAUAGAUUGGGAAUUCCUACUACAGAUGCACCUGUGGAACAUUCCAUUCUCCAAGAUAGCAUGUUUUGCAAGGUCUCAACACAGAUGGGUCACUGUAUGGGGGAUUUCUAGAACAGAAAAGUUAGAAGCACCAUAAUCACUUGCAAUGGACGCUGUAAUUAAGGUAUUCAAGCGUGUUGCUAGGUUAUCCGAAUGCAAAAGAGGAAGAUAAAGACUCAAAGUUGCUUCCAAAGAUUGGUUUUGCUCAUUCUGAUCGAUCAAAUAGGAAAUUCGGUUCUCCAGAUUUUGCUUCAUGUUUAGAUUGAAAGCCAUUUAUGUUUUGAAGCUCCAUGGUCAACCUAUUGCUCGACGAAGCUUUCUCUCACGUUCAAUUAUAUAAUUGAUUUGAAAUUAUGGCCCUGAAUUUGCUUUGGAGAUUGGUACCUCACAACUCUAAAAUAAGGUUGGGGAUGUGGGACCCACUCUUAACAUGAUACCUAUGAUUUGUAGCUUGUAGUGCACCGAGAAAGCAACUCGUUGAAGGUUCAUGUGUGGUCAUUCAAAAGGGAAGUUGGUGCUUCCAUGUGCAUAUUCAUUGGUCAUAAUGGUGAAUGUUACACAAUUGCAUACAGACCCAGAUGGAUAGUAGGGUGUAUGCAAAUGAUUUCAUGUACCCGAUUCUUUUAAACGAUGUGUUCGAUGAAUGCUUGGGUAUAUGUAGUGGAAUUGAUCCAUGCUCAAGUGGAAAAACUAGGGCUUUGUUGAGGUACUUUCAAGGUUCAUAUCAAAUCAUAAUUGGCUAUGAUGAAGGAAGUGUUAUGGAAAUGACAAUAGUGGAAAAAUAAUAUGGGCCAAUUAUAACUAAAUUCAGAUUCUGAAUAUAAGGAGUGUGGGAGCAAAUUUUGAGUUUGAAGAGGAUUCUUUUGCUAAUUCAAUUUAUGAAGCUUUUAUUCUUGAAGGAGCCACAAAGCUUAGAACUAGUUCCAACCAGGAGGAUCGAGUGAGAUUCAUCAAGAAAAAAAUACGAGUUUCAAGAUUUUUUGAAGCCUAGCUUGUGAAUUACUAUAAUUUCUUUUGGAAAGAGCUCUCUCUCCAAUAAGCUUUUCCUAGAAAGUCCAUUGAGAUUUUUUGGAAUUCUAACUCAUAGAAAUUGGAAACUAUGGUAGAUGACAAAGACGAGAGGUGAUAGUAAAGUUCACAAAAUUAUUGAAGAAACCUAUGUGGAUCAAUAUCUUGGUAUCAUUGGUUAGCAUGCUGAUAUCUUAUGUACGUGAUUGUCCACUUAAGAGCCAUUCUGCCUACUAUGUGUUUCCUUCUAGGCAUUACAAGGUUUUUAAUGACUGGCUUCCACCUACUUCUCCAUAAGAAUACACAGAUGAAGAAAUUGCACCCCAUGUUGUAUUAAAGAAAUCCUAAGUGUGCCUUCAACUCAAUCAAGGGACCCGACAACUCUGCUAAGAAGGGUAAGCUGUAGAGGAUUCCAGUAAAUCAGUUCUUGAUUUACGGCAUCCUCCUUGAUUGUAGGACUGUAGAGGAUUCCAGUAAAUCAGUUCUUGAUUUACGGCAUCCUCUUUGAUUGUAGGAGAUACAUUUUCCAUUUGUAAUUAUCUUUUCUAAUUUAUCUCUGUAUUCAAACUUCUUGUAUACGUAUAUAUAAAUGGAAAACUCAACCCCAUAGAAGUGUGGUGGUUUUAUAAACAUUGUUAUGGUAUCAGAGCAUUUUUGGAUUAACCUCCUCGAUCCUCCCAUGGCCGAUUCUUCCUUCUCCUUCAACACCAUGAUCCACAUGAUCACUAUUAAACUCUCCUCCACAAAUUAUCUUCUCUGGCGAAAUCAACUUCUCCCUCUUCUUCAAUGUCAGAAUCUCCUUAGCCAUGUCGAUGGUUCCGUUGCGCCGUCUCCAAUCACUAUAGCUGUUGAUUCUUCUUCUUCUCAACCGAAUCCUCAAUAUGUGGCAUGGCAACUCCAAGACCAACGUCUUCUCAGUCUCCUCUUCUCCUCCUUGACUGAAGAAGCCAUGGCCGAAGUUCUUGGUCUCACCAUCGCUCGUGAUGUUUGGCUUGCCUUGGAAAAUUCCUUCAGCCAUAUUUCCAAGACUCGUGAGCUUCGCAUCAAAGAUGAUUUGCAGCUCAUCAAACGUGGCACCCGAAGUGUCACUGAAUAUUCUCGUUCAUUCAAGGCUUUAUGCGAUCAGCUCACUGCAAUGGGCCGCUCAGUUGAUGACACCGACAAAGUCCACUGGUAUCUCAGAGGAUUGGGCGCUGAUUUUGCUAAUUUUUCCACUGCCCAAAUGUCUCUCACCCCAUUACCGGUUUUCAAAGACUUGGUUCCUAAAGCUAAAAGCUUUGAGAUUUUCCAGAAGUCACUCGGGUCCUCCUUCCCUGUUUCCUUUGUUUCCUUUGCUGCUUUUACUGCCACCAAUGGAUCGUUUUCUUCAUCUCGGGGUGGUAGUUCCUCCAAGUCCCGUCGUUCUCGCGGUGGCUACCAUGGAGGCCAUGGACGUGGUAAAUGUGGUUCCUAUAUUCCUCGGUGUCAAAUCUGCAAGACUGAAGGUCACACUGCUAAUCGAUGCAGGAGCUGUUACGAUCGUGCUGAACCUACAACACAACUUGCUGAAGCCUUCACCACAGCCUGUUCUCUCUCUAAUGGCUUGGAAUCUGAUUGGUUCACCGAUACCGGAGCAUCCGCUCACAUGACCCCUGAUCCUUCUCAGUUGGACAAGGUUGAGCCUUAUCAUGGUAAGGACUGUGUAAUAGUAGGAAAUGGUGCUUCUCUUCCUAUUACACACACUGGCACGCUCUCUUCCUCUUCCAAUUUUCAACUUUUAGAUGUUCUUGUUGUUCCCCGUCUUACCAAAAACUUGUUGUCCAUAAGCAAACUGACGUCUGAUUUUCCUCUCUUUGUCACAUUUUCUCAUGAUAAUUUUGUUGUCCUGAAUCGAAUAACAGGAAUGGCAGUGGCAAAAGGUAAACACGCAGGUGGUUUGUAUGUGAUGGAACGUGGUCACUCUGCAUUUGUUUCUGUCCUUAGAAAUAAGAAUUUACAUGCGUCCUUUGAAUUAUGGCAUGCUUGUCUUGGUCAUGUAAAUCACUCUAUUUUAUCUUUUUUGAAUAAAAAAGGACAAUUAUUUCUCACUUCUUUAUUGCCUACUCCCUCUCUUUGCUCCACUUGUCAACUCGCUAAGAGCCAUCGCUUGCCUUUUUCCUCGAAUACUACUCGAUCUAAUGUUGUUUUAGGUCUCGUCCAUUGCGAUAUUUGGGGUCCCGCUCCCGUCAAAUCUAAUUUGGGAUUUAACUAUUAUGUGUUAUUUAUCGAUGAUUAUUCUCAAUUUACUUGGCUUUAUCCACUAAAAUUAAAAUCCGAUUUCUUUGAUAUUUUCCUCCAAUUUCAAAAAUUGGUUGAAAAUCAAUACUCCACCAAAAUCAAGAUUUUUCAAAGCGAUGGCGGUGCCGAAUUUACAAGCAACCGUUUUCAAUCUCAUCUUCAACAAUUUGGCAUCCACCACCAAAUGUCUUGCCCAUACACUCCUUCCCAAAAUGGUCGAGCUGAGCGCAAACAUCGUCAUGUCACGGAAACUGGCCUUGCUCUCCUUUUUCAUUCCCACGUUCCUCCUCGGUAUUGGGUUGACGCUUUCAGCACAGCAACCUACAUUAUCAACCGGCUGCCUCUGCCUGUUCUUGGUGGUCUUUCACCUUUUGAAGUUUUAUUUGGUAAGUCUCCUAAUUAUGAGAAUUUCCAUCCUUUUGGUUGUCGUGUUUACCCAUGCUUACGGGAUUACGCACCUCACAAAUUUUCUCCCCGUAGCUUACCGUGUAUUUUUCUUGGUUAUAGUUCCUCACAUAAAGGUUUUCGUUGUUUUGACACCACAACUUCUCGCACAUAUAUUACACGGCAUGCUCGCUUUGAUGAACAUUUUUUCCCUUUUUCAAAUACUUCCAGUGCCACUUCUAUUGCUGACAUCAGUCUCUCAAAUUUUUUUGAACCCUGCGCCCUUGAACCAUCUCCUAGCACAUCAUCUCCUACUACUACACGGGUCCCUCCUUCUCCUCCUUGCCAAUUUUGUGCGGAUGAUUUUGCUGUUGAGCCCUUGCAGGUUUCCUCUUCUGCUACGGAGUCCACAUCUUCUUCAGCUGCGGUCUCGCCCGUAUCUGCCUCUACGACGACCUUGGUUCCUUUUGCUGCUGAAGUUUUAUGGCUCACUCAUCUCUUCCGUGACCUUCGGGUUACUUUAACUCACCGACCUCUCCUUCUUUGUGACAACAAGAGUGCACUUUUCUUGAGCUCUAAUCCCGUGUCCCAUAAGCGCGCCAAGCACAUCGACCUUGAUUAUCAUUUCCUACGUGAGCUCAUUGUUGCUGGCACUCUUCGUCUUCAACAUAUCCCGUCUCACUUACAAUUAGCGGACGUCUUCACCAAGAGUGUCUCACGGGAUCUUUAUGUCUUCUUUCGCUCCAAGCUCCGAGUUUGUGUUAAUCCCACUCUUCGCUUGCGGGGGGCUGUAGAGGAUUCCAGUAAAUCAGUUCUUGAUUUACGACAUCCUCCUUGAUUGUAGGAGAUACAUUUUCCAUUUGUAAUUAUCUUUUCUAAUUUAUCUCUGUAUUCAAACUUCUUGUAUACGUAUAUAUAAAUGGAAAACUCAACCCCAUAGAAGUGUGGUGGUUUUACAAACAUUGUUAUAAGCAAUAACCAAAUGAAACAGAUUCCACCCAAGAACUUAAUGGUGAAAUUUCUCCUACUUCUUCUACCCUAGAAAAAGCUUUUAGAGAGGCUAGACAAAGGAGCGCAUAAUAGAAAUCACCUGCAGCCAAUAGAAAAUCAGAUCCACAGUCCAAAGAAGCAAGAAUUUCAGUUCCAUUGGAACAAUGGAUAUUUUGGAAAAGACAAUAUGACAAACUUGAAUGGGAGUUCAUCUAGGCUACCCUAGAAUCAAAAUGGCCCACGUCUUAGCCUCUAUGCUAAUCCCACCAAUCACCAACCAUACCACAAUGUAUGGCUUGCUUACAACCCAUCACUAGAAGUCAUGACAAUGGAUGUUUGCAUGUACUAUCGACCAAUCUUGCAAAGUUCUAUGAUGAAAUCUGGAGCAUGUGACUGCUGAAAAUAUGGUUUUGUAGCAUUAAUCAUGAGUGAUUGAACCAUCCGUGGAUGAAACCAUGUGAAUUUUGAAAGAGCGUCAGGAGAGGAAUGAGAUCUAUCACAAUCCUGAUAAGGCAACUGACUUGAUUAUUGAAACUAGUUCUCAGGUUCGACUUCGUCACACAUAGUUUCCUGAGGAAGCAAGAGAGCUUAAGAAAGUGCUCAAAUAGAACACCAAAGAGAAGAACAAAGCAAUAUGAAGCCAAGAUUCUGAGAAGGCAGGUGAAUUACGUGAUAGAGAACUUGAUCUAAAGGCAUAGAUCUCAAGUCUCAUAGACAAAGGCAAGGAAAUGACCAAGGUAGAGUAUCCAAAUCUUUAAAGACUCUACAUAAGCUAUUAUUGAACAAAAAUAUUUACUUCCUGAACCUCCUCCAUUGGGUUUGGUCUAAGUAUCAGGAUUCAUGAGUUCAAAUGGGGAACCAAAAUUUCUCCUCAUCAAUGACUGAAAAAAAAAACAUGAAAAUGGUAGAGAUCAACAACUUUGAACUUCUGGGAUUGGAUAAGGUCAUUGACGAAGACUGAGGUAACCAGAUUGUUUGGUAAUGGGGGUGAAGUUGCAACCAUUGGAAGUGGGUGAUGGAACAUCCUCAAAGAAACUAUUGAAAGUAGAACUGAAGAACUGUUUGUGGUUUCUACAAGUUUACUCCCAAAGAAGAAAUCCAUUUUGGCACUACUGUCUUAGGAUCCCCAACAACUCAAAGUCAUAAGAUGUAGAAUUGUCAAACUGGAAUAUCAACAAUCAAGCCAGUUCCGAAAAGCAUUGCCGUCAUCUCUAAUGCCGAGAUGUAGGAGUUAAUGGCUCAACAUGGCAUUGGAAAUCAAUAAAACUUUGAACAACAGGGAGCCUUGGAAAGUGCCAAAAGAGAGCAUAAUGCAGUUAGGGAUUCAACACCAGCAAGGCAGUCUCAGUCAAGUCUCAGGCUCCACCCAUACAGUUGCCACCUUGGUGCACACCGUCCUCCUCUUAUUACUUCUUCUCUUUCUUGUGAACAUACACAUUUUAAAUCUGGAUUUCAAAAUCUUUUCCAUUAAAUAACUCCAGUUAUCUUUAAAAUUCCAUCCUUAGGAGUUCAUAGACAUUAAAAUCUAGAUUUCAACAAACUUUUAGCUGCCAAUUUUUCUUCUAGCAUGCAUUUUCACUAUUUUAUUUAAUUUUCAACUAUUCACUUGAUGUUCUCAAUUUUCAAUAGGCAUGAAUAAAUUUGAUAGUUCCAAACAAUGGAACUCAUGGCAUUAAUUCAUGCAAAAAUAAAUUGGGUCUUAGUGGGGGCCCAACAUCCAUGACGUUUUCUUUGAUAUUGAUUCAAGUGAGGUGUUUGUUUGAUGUUUGAUUGAUAUCGAUCCCCUUUGUGAUACAUGAGAUUAUUUUGCACCUGUUAUUGAGCUAACCUUGUUUCUAUAGAAGUGCUGACGUUUGCUACCCAGGUAUGCUCUCUAUCACCCACUCUUCAAAAUCCAUGAAUAUGCAGAAUAUUAUGAGCAAUACCCAUGUUCGAUGUCAUACUUGAUUAUCUUUGAUAAAAAUGCAUGUUGUGUGUCAUAUUUCUGAGCUAACUUUGAUGUCUUAUGAUAGCGUUUGAGAAGCAGUCUAAGUACACACCCUAACUCUUCUUUAUGAUUGUGAUUUGAUUUGAUUUGAUUUUUUUUCAUUUGGCAUGCUAGUGAUAAUAGAAAUUUGAAAUCACCUUAGUCUACCUAGAUAACUUCAAUCAAUCGAUUAAUUGCCACAUUUCCCUCGACUUAGGCAAUAGAGACCUCUUUAGGGCUUAGAGGGGUACUACCUCUUUGAGGUACCUUCCCAAUAAGUAACCUGAUCCUUGGACCUAGACUCGGGUUUUUCAAAGACACACUUUUUUCAAAACUAUGAAGUCAUUUUUUUAAGGUUUUCUUUCUUGUUUUAUUUUCCAUUUUAAAAUAAAAUAAAAUAAGUGGUGACUCUGACUUUUCCAAAACUAAUUUUUCACCAUUGGAAAGUGAGUCUUGUUGAUUGAGUUGGAACACACAUGAAGAUUGCGGGUCCACAAUUAUUUUUUUGUUAGGCUAGAGAAAUAACCUUUUCUCAGGGGCUUCAAGCAUGUCUAAAGAUUUAUAACGUGUUCUUUUUUAUUGGUCAAGAUUUAAAAAGGUUUAUAUACAUUUAUUCUACAUGACCAUGAACUUCAUGUCAAUCAACUUUCAAAGAUUUCAAACAUCAUCAAGUGUACCUUAAUAUAUGUUGGGAUGUAGCCUUAGAAAACAUGAUAUGAUGUAAUAGAUUGAAAUACAUUUAUAAAUUUUAUUUAUUCAUAUUUCUUGGAUUUCCUUUAUCCUGUUUGUAUUAAUUGCAUAUAUGAGCAUACACACCCAAAUCUUUUACAUUGUUCACGACUUGGGUGCAUUAGUUGUUGCAUAGAAAAUACAAGUCAUAGGAUCUUUAUAAGUAGAUAAGUUGUCCAUAGUCAGUUCAUAGAUCUGGGCAAUCUUGUAGAGAUUGUAAUGCACUAGCUCCUAAUUGGAGGGAUAACUUGUCUUGGCCGUCGGAAUGACUUUUUCAUGAUGAUUGCACUAAUGUGUAUGGUUACAUAUUGGACAGGAUCUAUGGUGAAUCAUGAUGUAAGCUAUCGAUUUUCAUGAUUCACUAAACUACUAUAUUACAUGGACUCUCAACCUUGAAAGGAUAUUGAGUUUGUGCCAAAGUUAACAGGAGGCUAUAACUUAUGGGGGAGACCCUUAGGUGGUCACAUAUCCUUGUAGAUUGAGUCAUUAUUGAUGAAGAUUGGUAACAAUAGGUAUUCUCAAUAGAGGCACCAUGAUAUCUCAUAGGAAUGAAAUAGUGUGUCCCAUUGGGUAAUCUAAAGACAUAUGAUCUAGAAGACUGACCGUAACAUUUCCUUUAAUAGAAAUUUGACAUAUGCUAUUUGAAGAGAUAAUCUUCAAAUAGAGUAUGCCAAUUGAUCACAUAAUAAGUGAGAUAUGUAAUUCAAGGAUUGAAGAGAUAAUCUUGAUAGAUGAUAACAUUACCCUGUUAGAUUACAAACACUAGUUCAUUGGAAGUAUGCAUGGAAUGUAUAGUAAGUCACGAACCCAAGUUUUGUCUUAUUGUUAUUUACAUAAUGUAUAUAGUGUUGUUGAUUCUCUGUAUCAAGAUGUUGAAUCAAUUUCAGAAUUGGAUUUUGAGGGAAUUGAUAAUCCUAUAGGUCUUAAUGGUCUCCACUUUAAGCUCGUAUAUCCUAAUGACACGAGUUAUGAAGGUUAGAUUGAUUCUAGGUUCACUCUUGUGUAUAAGGACAUUUUGGUAAUUACAUAAGAUUGCAUAGGGGAUAGCAAACAAGGAUUUGGGAUUAGGUUAAUUAAUUAAUUAAUUAAAUAACCCUAUAUGGUUAUUUAAUCAAUUAAAACCUAUUUUGGUUUAGAUUAAGUGAUCCAAACCCAUGUGGGCUUAAGUCACUUUAAGCCCGAUAGGGGAAUUCUAUAAAUACCCCUUUAGGGGUUAAGGUUUCCAAGGUUUUUGAUCAUCAUCUUCCAUUGACCGGCGUGUUGUUUGGGCUAUAGAAAAGUUGGCAAAGAAAGACGAAAUUAAUGGGAUGGAGACCGUUUGUUUCAUGAUCGUGGAACCCUCAAUAGAAUUCCAAAUUUCCAAGUGACAUGAAUUAUCUUGUUGAAACUUGAAUCCAAAUUAAUAAAUUCUAUCAUUAUACAUAUUUUGAUAUUUUUGUUAAUGGAAUGAAAUUGCGUGGAUACUAAAUUCAUCUAAUAUCAUUUUCUUUCUAUAGUUUAUUGCAUCAAUUAUCCAUGUUUCAAUAAUCGAAUACAAUCGAAUUUACUUAAAUGUUGAAUGCUACAGAAUUUGUAGUUUCAAAUUAUUUUAUCAAAAUAAUACAAAAAUUGUAGUUCACAUGUUUUUUAAGAAGAAAAGUUGGAAAAAAAAUUUUCCACACAACCUUCAGAAAAUAAUAAAUUGUUAUACGACUUAGAAUGGCAUGAAUAAGGAAAAAAACCAUCCAUAAAAGUAAUGUUUACGCAUGUUUAGGAUUAGCAGUAUCUCCAAGCUAUUUCCAAUGGGAAUUCUACUCUUUUCAUGGAUUUUCUUCAUGCCCUUAUGCUCAAGCUUUUUUCUUAUGCAUGUUGCUUUGGUGUCCGACGAGUGUCUGAGUAAUGAGAGGGUAUGCUUGGAAGAUGAGAGGAUGUUGUUGUUGCAACUGAAGAGUACCCUCAAAUUCAAUGUUGCUGCAUCUAAUAAACUAGUUUCCUAGAGUCAAAGUGCCGAUUGUUAUUCUUGGGGCGGUGUAACCUGGGAUGCCACUGGUCAUGUUGUGUCUCUUGAUCUCAGUAGCGAAUUCAUUUCUGGUGAAUUCAAUAGCUCCAGUAGAAUUUUCAGUCUACAGUAUUUGUAGAGCUUGGAUUUAGCUAGCAACACCUUCUACUAUUCUCAAAUUCCAUUUGGAUUCGAUAAGCUUGACCGUUUGAUAUACCUGAAUUUGUCUAGCGCUGGGUUUUUUAGGUAGAUUCCAAUUGAGAUCUCACACUUGAGGAAAUUGGUUACUAUUGAUUUCUCCAUGUCUUAAUUACCUAGAGUUCCUACGUUGAAACUUGAGAAGCCAAAUCUGAGAAUGCUAGUUCAAAACCUAACAGAGCUUAGAGAACUCUAUCUUAAUGGUGUAGACAUAUCAGCCCCGGGGAAUGAGUGGUGUCAGGCAUUAUCAUCAUCUGUACCUAAUCUUUGAGUUCUGAGCUUGUCCUGGUGUUUUCUUUCAGGCCCUAUUGAUUCUUCCAUGGUGAAGCUUCACUCCCUGUCAGUUAUUCAUCUUAAUUAUAAAAUUUUCACAACUCCAAUUUAUGAUUUUUUGGCAAAUUUCUCAAAUUUGACUUCUUUAAGCCUCAGUUGUUGAGGACUAUAUGGAGCAUUCCAAAAAAUAUCUUUUAGGUACCAACCUUGCAAAUUCUUGACUUGUCUAACAAUCAGUUACUCUGGGGUGCUUUGCUAGAGUUUCCUUAGGGUGGGUCUCUACGGACUCUAGUGCUUUCGGAUACAAAAUUUUUUGGGCAUAUGCCAGAUUCCAUAGGUAAACUUGAGAUGUUGUCCUGGAUAGAACUAGCACGUUGCAAUUUCAGUGGACUAAUCCCCAGCUUUAUAGAAAAUCUUACUCGAUUGUUUUACCUGGACUUAUCGUCAAAUGGCUUUGCUAGUUCAAUUCCAUCCUUUCGUUCUUCAAAGAAUCUGACCCAUAUAAACCUUUCUCGUAACUAAUUUACUGUUCAGAUUAUUUUCCACCACUGGGAAGGUCUUUUGAAUCUUGUGAAUCUGGACUUGCAUCACAAUUUGCUGCAUGGUGGUCUUCCACUGUCCAUAUUUUCUCACUUAUCACUGCAGAAUAUAUGGCUUAGCAAUAACCAAUUUUCUAGUCAACUCAAUGAAUUUUCAGCUGUGUCUUAUGUACUGGAGGCCCUUGAUUUGGGUAGCAACAAUCUACAAGGGCCAAUACCCAAGUUUGUCUUGUUAAUAAAACCAUUAUGAAUCCAAAUUCUACAUAGAAAUCUCAUGUAAAUCAUAUAAAGAAAUUUUGCUUGAACAUUUUACGGAAUGCAAACAUACAAAAUCCGAACUAACCUGAGUCCAUUGUGGGUGUUGAAGAAGUAUGGAUCUUCUAAGGCGAUAGAGAGGAAACCACCUUUUGCUUAAUCUCUCUGGUUAUGGGAUGCAGGAGAGCGAGCGUUCUUUCUUUUCAAAAAAUAUAUAUAUCUUGAACGAACACCAACCUGAUGAAUUCCUUAUAUCCUCUAUGCCUUAGGGACCAUACCCUUUGGAUAUUGGGCCAUAUGUGUCUUUGGCCCAUCAUUUGAGACACAUAUGGUAUUGGGCUCUACACAUAAGGUGGCCUAUACUUUAUAACAAAUAUAAAUUAAAUAUAUACAUGCGAAUAGCUUAAUCAUAAACUAUGCUUCAUAUCUGUGAGUCCAUAGUUAUUCUAACAAUCUCCCACUUGUACCACAUAUAUUACCGAACAAUGUUUAUGAUAGUACUUUAUUGAGCUCAUCUUUGCUAUCCCAUCUAAUUGGUCCUACUUUAUGACUAAAAAUAGUCAAAUUUCACUUUCAACACUUGAUGCUAAACUGCUUCUACAAGUCAUCAUUUCAAUUCAGAGUAUUCAAACAUAAUAAUCUUUAAAACCAAAGUCUAUACAGAUAACACAAACAUAACAAUACAUCAAGAAAACAAACAUAAAACCUAAAUACAAACUCCCACUAUACUAGCACAUCAUUAAUAUGUACAACAUCCAUAUGUGUGACAUACUCAUGAUAUACUUUGGGUGGCAAACCCUUAGUGAGUGGAUCCGCAAUCAUGGAGUUUGUGCUUAUGUGGUCAAUUGAUACUUGAAGACUCUGAACUCUUUCUUUCACAACCAAGAACUUGAUGUCAAUGUGUUCGAACUUUGACAAACUUUGAUUGUUCUUAGAAUACAAUUCUGCGACCUUAUUAUCACAAUUGAUUCUCAAUGGUUUCUCAAUCCCAUUAACAAUUUGCAAUUCUGUGAUAAAAUUCCGUAGCCAUAUCCCAUGGUUUGAUGCCUCAUAGCAGGCUAUGACAUCUGCCUCCAUAGUGGAAGAAGCAAUAAGUGUUUUUUUAACACUUUUCCAAGAAACUACUCCUCCAGCCAACAUGAAGAUGUAGCCUGAAGUGGAUCUCCUAUUGUUAAGACAUCCCGCGAAAUCGGAGUCCGAAUAUCCCACGAUCUCUAAAUGAUUGGAUCUUCGAUAUGUGAGCAUCUAAUCUUUAGUUCUUUGUAAAUACCGCAUAACUCGUUUUUCCUUUUUCCAGUGAUCCAUACCUGGGUUACUCAAAUAUCUGCCCAACAUUCCAACAAUGUACACAAUAUCCGGACGCAUACAAACUUGUGCAUACAUGAGACUUCCUAUUGUCGAGGCAUAGGGAAACCUCUCCAUAUUCUUCAUCUCAAGUUCAUUUUUCAAACAUUGGUGCAAGCUAAAUUUAUCGCCUUUUGCCACAAGCAUGUCUCUUGGUGCAUAAUUGCUCAUGCCAAACCUACUUAACACAUUAUCGAUGUAGGACUUUUAUGAUAGCCCAAGUAUACCUCUUGAACGAUCCCUAUAUAUUCUUAUACCCAGCACAAAAGAUGCAUUAUCAAGAUCCUUCAUGUAAAAUUUACGGAAUAGAAAUCGCUUGGUUUCAUGCAAAAGUUCCACAUCACUACUUGGAAGUAGAAUAUCAUCUACAUAUAGCACCAAGAUAAUGAAUUUGCUCCCACUGAACUUGAGAUAUAUGCAGUGAUCAACGAUGUUCUCCUUAAAAUUAAAUGAAGUAAUCACUUGAUCAAACUUUCGGUACCAUUGUCGAGAAGCUUGUUUUAAACCAUAUAUGGACCUUUUUAAUGUGCAUACAAGUUGCUUUGACUCAUUAGACUCAAAUUUCUCCGGUUGCACCAUGUAUAUUGUCUCAUCAAUGUUACCAUUAAGAAACGCAGUUUUAACGUCCAUUUGAUGCAACUCUAAAUCAUAAUGAGCCACAAAUGCCAUGAUGAUUCUAAAGGAGUCCUUUGACGAAACCGGUUAAAAGGUCUCCUUGUAAUCAAUACCUUCUUUUUGAGUAAAACCUUUUGCGACUAGGCGUGCCUUAUACCUAACAAUGUUGCCUUUUGAAUCCUUCUUGGUCUUAAAAAUCCAUUUACAACUAAUCGGUUUUACAUCUUUAGGCAACUCUACUAGGUCCCAAACACCAUUGUGUUUCAUUGAUUUCAUCUCAUCCUUCAUGGCUUCUAUCCACUUUUCAGAGUCAGAACAUUGUUUGACUUGACUAACUAAAAUUGGAUCAUCUUUUAAACCCAUGUCAAACUCAUGUUCCUGGAGAUAUACAACAUAAUCAUCUGAAAUUGUACUUCUCCUUUCUCUAGUGGAUCUUCUCAAUGGUACUUGUACUUGAGGUUGUUGAAGUUGUUGAGUUACCUUUUCAUGAACUUGAAUUGGUUCCACAACUUGAGUAGGAGGAAUUUCAGGUGUGUCUACAAUCUCUGUUAUUGGUUGUACAUUCUGGAUAGUGUCAUCAAACAUAAUAUGACCAUGUCUAGUUGCAAUAAUAGGAAUACUAACAGAUUCUUCUUCAAAGACCACCUUUCUUAAUGGCUCUCUCCCACUUAACUCAACAUUCUCAAUGAACUUAACAUUGCCCGUUUCAAAGAAAGACUUAGUUGAGGGGUUAUAAAACUUGAAACCUCUCGACCUUUCAGAAUACCCUACAAAGUAGCAGCUCACUAUUCUAGAGGCCAAUUUCUUUUCAUUUGGCUUAUAAGGCCUAGCCUCAGUUGGACAACCCCAAACAUGCAAAUGCCUAAUACUAGGUUUCUUGUUAGUCCAUAACUCAUAUGGGGUUUUGGCUACUGCUUUGCUUGGGACUCUGUUCAAAAUGUAAACUGCAGUUUUGAUAGCUUCACCCCAAAGUGAUUCUGGUAAGGUGGAAUGACUGAUCAUACUUCUUACCAUAUCCUUAAGAGUACGGUUUCGCCUCUAUGCUACACUAUUUUGGCUUGGAUUCCCCGACAUGGUGUACUGAGGAAUGAUACCACACUCCAUAAAAUAUUUAGCGAAUGGCCUUGGACGUUGUUCACCGGAUCCGUCAUAUCUACCAUAAUAUUCAUCUCCACGGUCAAAUCUAACAACCUUUAUUUUCUUGCUUAGUUGGUUCUCAACUUCAGCUUUAAAAUUCUUGAACACAUCCAAUGAUUGAGACUUCUCAUGAAUCAAAUAAAGAUAGCCAUAGCAUGAGUAAUCUUUAAUGAAAGUGAUAAAAUGUUGUUGCCCAUUCCAAGAAGGGGUAGGAAAUGGACCACAAAUGUUCGUAUGUAUCAAUUCCAAGAUGUCACCCUCACCUAUUGGCAUCCUUUUUCUUCACAUUUUUUUGUUUACCCUUAAUACACUCUAUACAAACUUGAAAGUUUGACAAAUUAAGUGGAUCAAGAAUUCCUUCUAACACAAGCCUUUGAAUACGUUGAUUUGAAAUAUGACCUAAACGCUUAUUCCAUAGCAUUGAUGAAUUCUCAUUUGUUAAUUUUUCACUUAAUGCCAUAAUUGCUUGAAUGCAAGGUUUCAUUACCAUUAGAGACCUUUAUGUUCAAUUUGUAUAACUUAUCUUUUAGACUACCGGUACCAAUAACACUUGAAUUUAAAUAAAAACUAACCAUUCCAUUUCUAAAUGAACAAUAAUAUCCACAUUUGUCCAAACAUGAUACAGCAAUUAAAUUUCGUCUAAACGAUUGUACCACAAAAGUCUCUUUUAAAUCCAAAGUAAAACCAGAAUUUAACUGUAAUCUAAAAAGACCAAUAGCCUUCACUGCAACCUUAUUUUCAUUUCCCACAUAGAUGUAUUUUUCAUCAUCAGUUGGAAUUCGGCUCCUUAGGCAACCCUGCAUCGUGACACUAAUGUGAGUAGUUGCACUGUAUCUAUCCACCAAGUGUCAAUAGGCACUAUAGCUAAAUUAAUUUUUGAACAAACAAAGUUGAGAAGUGUACCUUUCCUUUCACGCCAAGCGGCAUAUUUGGUACAUGUCUUCUUCAUAUGACCAGCCUUCUUGCAAAAGAAACAAGUGAUCUCCUUAUCUUGUUUUUUCUGCACCUUUUGCUUAGAUGUCCCAGAAAAUGCAGUUUGUUUUCCUUUAUUGUCCAUUUUUCUUGUCUUGUUGGUACCAAAUCCCUGAGAUGUGGAAGCCAAGUGAGCACUUUCUAUCUUUUCUUGUUUCAAUCUCUCCUCUUCUUGUACACAUUGAGCAAUAAGCUCAUUCAUAGUCCAUUUUUCCUUUAGUGUGUUGUAACUGAUCUUGAAUAGACUAAAUUGUGUAGGUAGAGAGAUCAAGACCAAGUGCACAAGUAUGUCUUCUAACAACUCUAACUUUAGUGCCUUGAGUCUAGUCAUAAGAUUGGACAUUUCCAUUAUGUACUCCCUUAUAUUCUCUUUCCCUUUGUACCGCAUGGAGACAAGCUUACUAAGAAUAACGCUUGUGUCAACCUUUUCGUUUGCAGCGAAUUGGUUUGCUAUCUGGUCCAAGAAUGUCUUGGCUCGGGUCUUCUCAGGUAUUGCACCCCUUAUAGCUUUUGGAAUUGAGUGCUUCAUUAUCAUUAGACUCAUGCGAUUGGAUCGCUUCCAUUUUUCCAUAGCAGCCCUUUGCUCAGCAGUACUGGCACUAGUGAGGUCUGUAGGGCGAUCCUCUCUUAAUGCAUAGUCCAAAUCCAUGCACCCGAGCACAAUUACAAUGUCGUCCUUCCAUUUCUUGAAGUUUGUGCCAUUAAGCAUAGGAAUGUUAUUAACAUUAGCAAAUAUAGAAGAUGCUGAAUCCAUAACAUUAAAUCUCACAAUCAGUCACAAAAAAUAUCAUAAUAAAUAAAAAAUUUAACAUAUAUAUAUAUAUAUAUAUAUAUUUAUAUAUAUAUGCAUGUGGGCUUAUUACAAGAUACCUAGCACAAACAUUAAUAUUCAGUCUUUGGACAAAAAUAUCAACUUGUAAUUGGUAUCCUUUUACAAAAUUAGUUCAUAAAUAUUGACAAUAAAACCAAAGCAAUAUGCCUAUCUUUGGACUGACAUACAGCAUGCAAGGUAAACUUUAUAUGUCACAUAUUUAUGACUACUUUAUUUAUUAUUAUAUUAAAAUAAUCUUCCUUUGGGCCAAUUAUUUUAUACAAUAAUAACAUGUUUACAUAUUUCAAAAUAAAUAAAAUUAUAUAAUAUAAGUCACUUUGGCAACAAAUAUACAUAACUCAUUUAUUUUAAAAAUAUUAAACACAAAUGCAACAAGAAAUGGUAAAUUCGUAUAUUUAAUGUGGUACAGAAAAGAGAAUACAGAAAUUUAUCAAAAUCAUAAUUUUUUAUGGUACAAAAUCAUAAACAAGCAUAAGGGUUCUGUAGCUCAAUUGGUAGAGUGCAAGACUCUCAACCUUGUGGUCGUGGGUUCAAACUUAAUUAGGCUUUAACAUGUUUUGUGCUCUGGAUAACUUUUCUCCUAUUUUUAUAUCCUUGUUUUUGUUAAUUGUUUUAGGAAUUCUGUACUUACAAAAUUGCACAAUUUAUUGAGCUUAUAUGUGUCGUGCAGUUAAUUUGGUUUUGGCAUGAACUUUGACUUUGCUUAUUUUGUGUGCCCAUUUUUUUUUAAAAAAUCGGCAGUAAGUACCUUUUGAAAAUAGAAUUGUUGUCAUGUUUAAACAUUUCAUGUUUAAAUGGGCAAUAAUUACUUUAUUGGGCUUGAAGUUGCUUUUCUAUUUGCAAUACUUAAAGGCUUACUAUAUGAUUGAUUGGGUGGUGUUUUGUAGAAAUGAAGCUCCAAACGAUGCCGACAUUGGCGCCUUAAAGCCAAAGGACACCAACAAAAGAAGGACCCAUGGCGACGCCGAAUACCCCAGUAGUGGGGCCAAAUGAGGCCACAACGUCUUUCCGAUCGCCUAAAACGGCGCCAACAACCCUCUCUAGGCGGCAUCGCGGGGAACGCCUACAACGGCACCAAAACGACACUAGAACAAUGCUUUUUCGAUCCCCUAACGACACCAAAAUGGUGUCAUUGACUGGCGGAAUGGCAUCCAGCGCUGCUCCGAUUGCCAAAACAGCGCUUGCAGUGCUCCUCAAGGCGGCGGGGUAGUGGAAGCAGUGUCACCACUAUCACCGGUAGAGGCACCAAACGACGCCACAACGCUUCUCUGAGCGCCAUUCUUUGCUCUCUAGAAACCCGAAUCACCACCCUCCCUAAUGGCCUCCGAAUCGCCACCGAAUCAAGUCUCCCAAGCUGUGUUGCGGUUGUUGGUGUCUGGAUCUACUUCGGGAGUCGCUUUGAGAGCAACGCCACCAACGGUGUGGCUCAUUUUCUAAAACGCAUGGUGUUCAGGGGCACGGAAAAGAGGCCUGUUGAGGGUUUUGGUGAAGGAAAUUGAGAGCAUGGCGAUCACUUGAUGAUUUAAAAAAUGGCAAUUUCUUAAUGAUUUAACAUGCUGCUCUAAUACCAAUUGUUAAUAAAACCAUUAUGAAUCCAAAUUCUACAUAGGAAUCUCAUGUAAAUCAUAUAAAUAAAUUGUGCCUGAACAUUUUACGGAAUGCGAACAUACAGAAUCCGAACUAACCUGAGUCCAUUGUGGGUGUUGAAGAAGUAUGGAUCUUCUAAGGCAAUAGAGAGGAAACCACCUUUUGCUUAAUCUCUCUAGUGAUGGGAUGCAGGAGAGCGAACGUUCUUUCUUUUCAAAAAAUAUAUAUAUCUUGAACAGACACCAACCUGAUGAAUUCCUUAUAUCCUCUAUGCCUUAGGAACCAUGCCCUUUGGAUAUUGGGCCAUAUGUGUCUUAGGCCCAUCAUUUGAGACACAUAUGGUAUUGGGUUCUACACAUAAAGUGGCCCAUACUUUAUAACAAAUAUAAAUUAAAUAUAUAUAUGCAAAUAGCUUAAUCAUAAACUAUGCUUCAUAUCUGUGAGUCCAUAGUUAUUCUAACAUGUCUUUGAUCUUUGGGGUCUUCACAUCCUUGAACUUUCUUUCAACAAACUCAAUGGCACCCUUGAACUAAGCAAAUUUCAAAAACUAGAGAACCUUACUAUUCUGAGUCUUUCACACUAUAGGUUGUCAAUCAAUGUGGAUGGUUUCAAUUCCACCUUUUCUAAACCCCCGCAUUUCACCACAUUAAAAUUGGCUUCUUGCAACCUGAGAAAAUUCCCUGAUCUAAGGAACCACUCAAAGUUUUUGACAUAUUUAGACCUUUCACAAAACCAAAUUCAAGGGGAAAUACCUAAUUGGGUUUGGAUGAUCAGCAGUAGCUUCCUUAUGCUUUUGAAUCUCUCACAAUUUGCUGGUGGGUCUGCAACAACUUUUCUCCAAUUUUGCUCCUUAUCUCUGUCUACACUUGACCUACAUUCCAACCUGCUCCAUGGACGAAUCCCCACCCCACCCCAAUUUUCCAACUAUGUGGAUUACUCAAACAACAACUUCUUCUCUUCCAUCCCAGAUGAUAUUGGUACUUACAUGUCCUUCACUGUUUUCUUCUCUGUUUCAAAGAAUAAAAUCUCGGGAAUCAUGCCUGCAUCCAUCUGCAGUGCAACUUACCUCCAAGUUCUUGACUUUUCUAACAAUGCUUUGAGUGGUGGAAUACCUUCAUGUUUGAUUGAGAAUGAGGCUCUUGCGGUUCUGAAUCUACGGAGAAACAUGUUUAGCGACACUUUAUCUGGGAAUUUUCCUGGAAACUGUAAUUUACAGACUCUAGAUCUCAAUGGCAAUCUUUUAGAAGGGACAAUUCCAGAAUCCGUAGCCAAUUGCAAAGAGCUAGAGGUUUUAAACCUUGGAAAUAAUCACAUAGAUGACAACUUCCCUUGCUGGUUGAAGAACAUGAGAAGUUUGCGUGUGCUUGUUCUGUGAGCCAACAGAUUCCAUGGACCCAUUGGAUGUCCAAAUAGCAAUUCCACCUGGGCAAAGCUUCAGAUUGUAGACCUAUCUUACAACAAUUUUAGUGGGAAAUUCCCGGCAAAAGGCUUUUUGACCUGGAAAGCAAUGAUGGCUAGUGAAGAUGGAGUCCAAUCAAAGCUAAAUCACAUGCAAUUUAAGGUCCUAGAAAUGAGUGAAUUGUAUUAUCAGGAUGCUGUAAGUCACCAGCAAAGGUCAAGAAAUGGAGCUUGUGAAGGUCCUGACUCUCUUCACUUCCAUCGACUUCUCCUUCAACAACUUUGAAGGCCAGAUACCAGAAGAGAUGGGAAACUUCACAUCACUAUAUGUCCUCAACUUAUCCGGUAAUGGUUUCACAGGCCAAAUCCCAUCAUCAAUAGGGCAGCUGAGACAGCUCGAGUCAUUAGACCUCUCACGCAACCACCUGAGAGGGAAGAUCCCCAGAGAGUUUGUGAGCCUAACUUUCCUUUCAGUCCUGGACCUCUCCUUCAAUCAGUUAGUGGGGGCAAUCCCAAGCGAUAAUCAAUUUCAAACAUUUUCAGAAGCUACUUUCCAAGGGAACAAAGGAUUGUGUGGCAACCUUUGAGUGUAAAUUGCGAAGAGGAAACACCAUCACCGACGUUUGAUGACAGGCACUCAGCUUCCCGAAUGGAGAUUAAGUGGGAAUACAUAGCUCCUGAAAUAGGAUUUGUGACAGGGUUGGGAAUCGUGAUUUGGCCUCUAGUGUUGUGCAGGAGAUGGGAGGAAAAGCUACUACAAACAUGUUGAUAGAAUUCUUUCAAGGAUUCUCCAUAACCAAGACCAAAGAAGAGCGAGUGAUGGAAGAAGAGC
rnacentral:lncRNA from 1 species